AUAAUUUUUUGGAGGUGCGGGCAGAGUGAUAGAACCAAAGUUUAGAUGCAUGAGUUUUUGCAUCUUCCAAAUAUCCUCUGGUGACUGAUCUAUGUAGCUAGAUGGCAUUUCUAGUGUUUGAAGGUUUAAAAGGGUGCAUAGCAGUGAAGGAAGGCAUUUGAGCGAAGGGAUAUUCAAUUUCAAAUACUUCAAAAGGAAUAAAUUUUCUAAUCCGGGUGGAUAUUGGUCCAGGACUGCAGAACCCAAGUUCAGUACCCGAAGGUAUUUGAACCUUUUAAAAAAAUUCUCGCAAUCUUUCGGAUUAAGAUGAUAUCUUUUUGGACUGUGAUUGAGAAAAGAUUGGAGAUACAUGUCAGAAUGUUCUAAAGAAAGGAACUCAAUCAAAUCAUCGACAAUGAAGCACCGUUUAACAUUUGCGGGUGGUUCCUCUUCCACGUCAUGCAUCCAGACAAAUCCCGUCUUCUUUGCCACCACAAACAAUGAAGUGUAGUAUACAAUACUUGGAAAAUAACACGAUUUAAUUGUGCCUCCGGCCCUUCUUUUACUCACUUGAAUGAAGCCGCGAUGGAUUAGUUCUUUCAAGUAAUGUUCGGCAGUUUCUUCACUGUUGUAUGGUAUGAAACCUUCAGCUACCCACAAAUGAUAUAAUUGCCUCGUGGAUAUCUCAAUGCCUGGAGGGAAGACACACAAAUAGAUGCAGCAGAUUUUCAAGUGAAAAGGUAACUCCAACACAGAACAAAUUCCAAUGAAAAUUGUCGGAAUCGUUUCGCCUUGAACAUAAUUUUCUAAUGGCAUACUUCCAUAGUGUAGGAUGAAAAAUUGCCAGGCUUCAUGCUUUAAUCUGAUCAAUGGUCCUCCAAUGAGCACCGAAUCAAGCCGAAUCUUCUCUCCAUUUUCCAUUUCAAGCGACGCAAGGAGGUCUGGAUCAGUGACUGUUAUCAAUACUCUGCUUCCAUUCUGAUUAUCAGGAAGAACUUCUUCAAGAUCAUCCCAUAUGUCAAUGUUAUCGCAGACAUCAUCAAGCACAAUAAAGUACUUCUUGUUUGUUAGGUAAUCUCAAAGAAUAGAUUCCUUGAAUUGAUAAUCUUCACCGAUAAUUACACUAACCCGAGAUGGAGGCAUCACAGACUUGAUUAUGUCAUCCAAUAUCUUGCCCAAAUCGUAGAAUACAGAAACCCUGACCCAAGCAAGACAGUCAAAAUAGAACCUGACAUGAUUAUUGUUGUAAGUAUCUGCAGCAAAAGCAGUCCUAUCGAAGCCACUGCUGUCGAGAAUUGCAACCACUGCAAGCCCAGAUGGUCCCUCAAUCAAUAGAUCAAACAACUUCUCUCUGCCCCUUUCAAAUUCACUGAUAUCGAGCCGAGGUUGUCCCUCAUUCAAUAGGCGAAUGAUUUCGUUACUUUUUUCACUGAUAUCAAAACCAUUGUCGCCGGGCGGAAGUUGUUGCAUCCGAUUUCUAAUAUCAAUGAUUUCACUGUGGACAUGAAGAGCCAUAUUAGUGCUGCUUUCACUUUCGUUUUCACUGUUUUGCUGCUGCAUUAUGUUGAUGAAGAAUCUGUCAAUGGCUUCCUCAGAUUCAUGGACAAAGUCAUUGAUGUGCACCAGAAUUUCCAAAAUAUCUGGUCUUUUAACGUCUUCUUCAUCGCUUUCUUCUAAGUCCAACAGUUGCAAAAAAGGAAAAGAUAUUUCGAAGUCAUCGAAUUCUUCUAGAAUGAGUUGAAACAAAUGCCGAGCCAUGUCAGCUUCAUAGUUUCCCAGAAGAGUAGCAGCAAUAAUUUCGGACUCCGUAAGAAGGUUUUGAAAAAGUGGGGUUAAAUUUGUUGAAUCUGGCAGCGGCAACGUGCCUUCUUCACCUGCUAACACCCUUUUCAACCUCUCACAAAUCAGUCGGAGGUGGAAUUCCAGCAUUUCUCCUUCUCUCCGUAGCACUCAAUUAGAAUUAUCUUCGAAUUCUAAUUUAAUUGACUAAGUAGUUAUAGCUAUUCUAUUGAUUAGGUCUAGCUAUUAUAUUCUAAAUGAUUAAUUGAGAGGUAUAGUUGAAAGAUUAAACACCAUGGAAGAAUUUGAAAGGAAAAUGCCAAGAAACUGUGUAAGUGGCUAAAUUCCACAAAUAUGACAUUAUUGCUCAUUUUUUAACUCAAAAAAAGGGUACGCAUUCAUUUAGAGAAAAGUCCAAGACGCGUGCUUUUUAAAAAGAACAGGUAUCCAACCUCUAUCUUAUUAAAUUACAACCAUGACAUAAUUGAUGGUGCUUAAAUCAAUUGUUUCUUUUUUAAUUUAAAGAAUUUUUCAUUAAAAAAAUAUUUUAAUAUCAAAUUGCCUUCAGUGGCGUAACUGCCUCAGGCCCAGUAACAGGACUAAUUAAAAAUUUUACAAUUUUUGGGCAUGGAAAUAGUAGUAUUAAACAUUAGAAAGGUAAGGUUGUUCUGUUAAAGAAUUGAUAUUGACAUAAUUUUAUUUUGGUUUUCGUGGAAAAAAAAUUUGUUGACAAGUAAGAAAAUAUUUUUAUUUUUUAAAAUUUAUUAUGCAUAUUUUAUCAUAUUAAAGUAAUUUUAAUAAUAAAUAGAAACAUAAUAUUACAAUAAAUAAAUUAUAGUUUAAAUUAUUUUGAAUAUUAUAAAAAAUAAUGUUAAUAUUAUUAAUAGGAAGACAUUUUGUUAAUUUUAAAAUCUUUUUAAUCCAAAGGUUUAUUUAAAAUCUCUAUAAUAAAUACAAAUAUAAGAUUAAAAUAAAAAUCAUAAUUUCAAAAUUUUAAUAUUAUUUUAAAUGUUAAAUAUACUUUAAUGUUAUUAGCCUACUACGUAGAUUUUAUUAUUUAUAUUAUAUUCGUAUUGAUUAAAAUUUUUUAAAGUCAAUUUUUUAGUUAGUACAUUCAAGAGGUAUCAUAGUUAAAGAAAAGAUUUUGGUGCAACUGUUUUAAAAUUUCAGGGUAUAAAUGAUAAUUUUUUUUAAAAUUUUAAGGAAGUAGGUAUUAUUUUUCCGACAAUUUAUUUUAUUUUGAGGGAAAUCCGAUGAGAAAUAUCAUCAGAGAACAUUAAUUUAACAUUCUUUACCUUUAUGAAAAAAGUGGAAACCAAGAACUAUUCAAAUUUUUUUUUUUUGUGUAAUUCAAAAAAUGCAUCCACCAAACAAGCUUAUCAUAAUUUUCCCACUUUAUUCAUUUUCGAUGCUUUUCAAAAGAGGUUCCUUUAAUCCAUCUAGCAUCUGCAGCCCCCACUAUUUUACAAAUCUCCAUCCCACAUCUACACUAUCAAAAAAGUUGAUGGAAAUUGAACCCAUUAAGUUAUGUUCAUUACUGGUCAUUAUCUUUCUAUGAGCCACUUAUUUUGAGCAUUAGCGAUCUUCUAAGGAAUCAUGCCUUUUCAGGAUCGUUUUCUUUCAUUUCCUUAUUGUAGUAGUUAAUUAAAUAAAGAACGAACAAGUGAACUUUGUCUAUUUCGAGGAAGAACUAGGUUUCCAACACUAGAGGAACUUUGAAGAAAAUUAAUUGGAAGCCUUUAUUCAUCUUUGAAGAAAAUUACGUGCCAAUGUAACCAAGGCUUUUAUUCAUCUUCGGACUAUGAAUUUAUACAAAAACAUUAACAGAAAAUAACAAAGACACAGCUAAAUGAUAGCAACAAGUGUUGAUUUAGUGGACCACUUCUACAAGUAAAUAAAAACUAAAUAUUUAUUUAAGGAGGGCUUUUGUUAGUAGAGUUUUUAUAAAUAGAAAUUUAACAAAAAAAAAUUAUAGUUAUUUAGUUGUCAAUGUCCAAAUUGAUGAAUUAUUGUUCUUUUUGUUAACAUGUGUUUGUUUUACUUAAUAAUAAAAGUUUAGUUUACAAUUACACCGGUGUCAAAUCAGCAGAGCAUUUUUGCAGCCAGUCACAUUAUACAUUAUAUACUAAUAGCAUCGGCAAGAGUUUUCGAUUGUUGCAACUUGCAAUGCACGCGAUGCGAGAAAAUGAGAAUCUUGUUUAAUUGCAAUAAUGACAAACCUAAUCCUUUCAUUAGGAGUAAAUUAAUAAUCGUUUGUUAUUAUUGAAUAUGUAUAAAGAAAGGACAAUUCUAUUCAUAGAUUCGACUUAUUUUUUGUUUAAAGUAAUUAAUCAUUCAACCAUCUUCAUUUGCCUCUGGCCAAUGCCCUUGUAGAUUAGUUGAAGCGUUUAUUACUUAAUUCAGAUAAUUACAACGUCCUUUUCGCUAAUUAAUUAUGAUUAUGAACAUUUUCAUAUAGCAAGUGGCAUUGUAGAUCUAAACUACGUUGCUAUUUCAAUACGUUAAUUAAGUGAUUCUCCUCAUUGUCAUCAACGUUAUAAACAGGAAUUGUGCAAACAGUACACAAUGCUGCAGCAAGGCGUGGGUGGCUAGAGUUUUGCAACCACCCUUGAGAUCCUGUGCUGCCAGUAGUAAAAGAAUUUUACGCCAAUUUGGUAAGCCCUGGUCAGCACAACAUUUGGGUAAGAAACUCACUUGUUCCAUUAGACUCUCGAGUUAUAAAUGUUUUUUAUAAUUUACCUGCUGAAAUUAAUUGUGAGUAUGCCAAGUUGCUUGACAAAUUGACCCCGCAACAAUGGAACACAAUUUUCACGACACUUACGGUAGAGGGUGCAUCGUGGGCUAAUGAGGAGGGGCAUGUAAUUAACAAGAUAGAUUUAAAACCCAUUGCUAAGGUGUGGGUGAAAUUUCUAAAAUCCAGGCUUAUGCCAACCACCCACACCACUACUGUUUCACAGGAAAGGUUGGUGCUGUUAUAUGCUAUUGUUAGAGGGCUUCCCAUAGAUGUGGGAAGCAUUAUCGAAAAAGAAAUUCGAGAUUGUGCCAUGAAAAACCACAAGGCUGCUGCCUUGUUAUUUCUUUCACUCAUAACCAGCAUAUGUGUAGUAUCAGGUGUUCGUCUUGAUGCAAAGGAUGAAAUUUGUAAUUAUAUUAUGGCUCCAUUUGGUAUAACUUUUUAAUUCGAACUUAUUUAAGGAGAAUUUUUAUUAGUAGAGUUUUUAUAAAUAGAGAUUUUACUAAAAAACAAAAAUUAUAGUUAUUUAGUUGUCAAUGUCCAAAUUGAUGAACUAUUGUUCUUUUUGUUAACAUGUGUUUGCCAGUCACAUUAUACAUUUUUGCAACUUGCAAUGCAAGCGAUGAGAGAAAAUGAGAAUCUUGUUUAAUUGUCAAUAAUGACAAACCUAAUCGUUUCAUUAGGAGUAAUUUCAUAAUCGUUUGUUAUAAUUGAAUAUGUAUAAAGAAAGGAAAAUUCUAUUCGUAGAUUCGACUUAUUUUUUGUUUAAGGUAAUUAAUCAUUCAACCAUCUUCAUUUGCCCCUGGCCACUGCCCUUGUAGAUUAGUUGAAGCGUUAAUUGCUUAAUUCAGAUAAUUACAACGUCCUUUUCGCUAAUUAAUUAUGAUUAUAUACGUUUUCAUAUAGCAAGUGGCAUUGUAGAUCUAAAUUAUGUUGCUAUUUCAAUACGUUAAUUAAGUGAUUCUCCUCAUUGUCAUCAAGUGGAAAAUAGCUCAAUUGUUUCCCUGCAUCGAUUUUCAUUGGUAAGUGAUUUCUUAUGAUAUUCGUUUGAGCUUUCCUUAUUAAAAAAGCUUGAGCCUUGAUCACCUAAUACUGAUAUCAAUUAACUUGUGAACGAUUUUGUAAUGAAAUUAGGAGUUAAAUAUAUAAGAUUUUUACGUGAUGAAUUUUGAUUUUUUUAAUUUUUUGAUGUAGUCAAUUUGCUAAUUUUAUAUAUUUCAUAUUCAACGGAAUUUGGGCACGGAAAGUUUGGAUUCUAAUAUUUAUAUAUUUAGCUUUAAUCAGCUUGACUUUAGCAAUCUUUUUCCCUCAUCAUUAAGGGAUUCAGAAUUAGAGAAACGCUAGGAAGAGGAAGAAAAUAACUUUGGAAGUAAGUAAGAGGGAAAAAAUUAUGAAAUUUGGAAUUAUUUUUUGUAAAGUAUGUUGCGUUUACUAAACUGGAAUUAGAAUGAGCUGAAAUCAGAAUGAAUAGGAAUGCGAAUGUGCUGAAAUCGGAAUAGGUAAUGAGAAUAAGAAUAAGUUGUUUACUUGAACUGUAAAAAUCAAAAUCGGAAUGAGCUGAAUUGCAAUUACUUUGUCUUGGAAUCGGAAUCGGAAUCGGAAUGAGUUAGAUUAUAACAAAUUACUGAAAAGUACUUAAUGAAUUAUUGUCAUAAUUAUUAUUUUAUAUUUUAAUUAUAGUGAUUAUUUAUUCAAAAAUUAUUAUUAUUAAUUAUUUCCAAUAAUAUAUUAAUAUGUUAAUUAAUUUUAAAAAUUAUUAAUUAAUUUAUUAUAAUAAUAUACUAAUUAAUUAUAAUUAUUAUUAUAAAAAUAUAUUAAUAAUAAAAUUACUAAUUUAAUUGUAAUAAUAUAUGAAUUAAUUAUAAUAAUUAUUAUAAUAGUAUAUGAAUUAAUUAUAAUAAUUAUUAUAAUAGUAUAUUAAUUAAUAAUAAUAAUAAAAAUAUAUUAAUUAUGUGAUUAUUUAUUCAAAAAAUAUUAUUAUUAAUAAUUAUUGUUAAUAAUGUAUCAAUAUACUAAUUAAUUAUAAUAAUUAUUAUAAAAAUAUAUUAAUUAUUAAUAAUAAAAUUACUAAUUUAAUAAUAAUAAUAAAAAUAUAUUAAUUAUGUGAUUAUUUAUUCAAAAAUUAUAAUUAUUAAUAAUUAUUGUUAAUAAUGUAUCAAUAUAUUACUUAAUUAUAAUAUAUUAAUUAAUUAUAAUAAUAUAUUAAUUAAGUAUAAAUGAGGACAAAGUGGGUAUUUUUAAUUUCACGAAGGGGCAAAAUGGUCAAUUCUAGUAAUGGGAGACUCACUCCCACCCUCUCCUUUGGGAAUGAGUCUCCCAUUCCUCAUUCCCAAAUUGUGGUGGGCCCCAUGAUUUUGACUCCGAUUUCUAACUCAAUUUUGCGAAGUAAACGCUACCAAUGAUUCCGAUUUCGGAUUCUGAUUCACUUAUCUGAGAAGUAAAAGCAACAUAAAUGUGUAUGAAUAAUUGAUACCUAUGAAUAGUUUUGGGAGUUUUAGCUAGGAGUCAUCUAUUGAAGAUGUUUAGCAAUUGAAGAUCUCUGUCUCAGUAGUUUUCCCAAUCAAAAUCAAGAAGCAAAAAAACUUGCCAUUUUUCUACUUGAUAAUUAAUUGAAAUUUAAGAAAAUACAAUGGCAUUUCAAUUAGAAUUGGUAAUUGUUUAUCUUUUUUCAUUGAUCAAAUUCUAAUCGUGAUCCAAUAGUUAUGGAUGAAGGAAAUAUUAUGAGAGGCGAUAGGCCAAGUGAAGACGUACCAGCAAAUUCAAAAUAGUCGGGAGGUGGACGUCCAGCAUAUCUCCUUCUCUCUGUAGCACCCAGAUGCAUUGUUAUUUGCUCCAAGAAAUGUUAAAAGGAUUGGCCCUAUCUCAAUGUGGUUAGUGGCAAGGGCGGAGACAGCAUAUUAAUUGACUGUGGGCUUACUCAACUGCGAUAAAAAAAAUUUAAAAAAUAAUAAAUAAUAAAUUUAAAAGAUUUAUCAUACUUCAAUAUAUGUUUAUAAUUAUCCUUUACGAGUUUUCAUACAUUGAUAACGUUGUAUUACAACUUCAUUAUCAAUAUUAUUGUGGGCUGUUUAAAAAUUUGAUUAAUAUUAAUAUUUAUAGGCUUGAUUUUAUUUUGUAAAGCCCAUCUCUUUUUAUUUGUUUUAAAAACUUAGAGUGUGAGAAUUUAAGUAUAAUUAUGUAUUAGGAACUUGAAUAUAAAUUAGUGGGGGCUUAGGAAAAAUUUAUUAGAAAUUUUUGGCAAAUCAAAUUAGUUAGUAAAAGAUUUUUUUUUUUUUUUUCAGUGGGGACUUAAGUCCCCACUGGUCCCAAGCUAGAUCCGCCACUGGUUAGUGGUGAAAAAUUAAACACCAUGGAAGGAUUUGCAAGGAAUAUGCCAAGAAACUGGCUAAGUUCCACAAAUAUGGCAUUAUUGCUCUUUUUUUUUUAAAGAAAAAUUAUACACGUUAAUUUAGCAAAAAGUCUAAGACACGUGCCUUUUGAAAAGAAUAGCUAUUACCAUGACACAAUCGAUGCGGCUGAAACCAAAAUUUUCUUUUCUUAAUGUAAAGUUUUUUUUUUAAAUAGAUUUUAAUAUCAAAAUGCCCUUCGAUGUUAUUACUCUCACAAGCCCUGUAACAGGAGUAAUAAAAAAGUUUAGAAUUUUUGGGCAUGAAAAAAGUAGUAUUAAACAUCAGCAAGCAAAGGUUGUUCUGUUAAAGAAUUGAUAUUGACGUGAUUUUAUUUUGGUUAUCGAGAAAAAAAUAUAUUUGUUGACAAGUAAGAAAAUAUUAUUAUAUUUUACAAUCUAUUAUACAUAUUUUAUUAUAUUAAAUAAUACUAAAUAGAAACAUAAAAUUAGAAUAAAAUAAAUUAAAAUUAAAAUUAAAAUUAUUUUGAAUAUUAUGUAAAAAAUAAUGUUAAUAUCAUUGUUACUUGUAAAAUAUAUUUAGCCUAAAGAUUUAUUUAAAAUUUUAUAAUGAAUAAAAAUAUAAAAAUAAAUUAAAUAUCAUAGUUUAAAAUCUUAAUAUUAUUUUAAAUAUUAAAAAUACUUUAAUGUAUCUUAAUAUUAUUUUAAAUAUUAAAAAUACGUUAAUGUUAUUAUUCUACUACACAUGUUAUAUUAUUUAUAUUAUAUUUGUAUUAAUUAAAAAUUUUAAAGUCAACUUUCUAGUAACUAUAUUCAAAGGUAUUAUGGUUAAAUAAAGGUCUUAGUGUUUCUUUUUCAAAAUUUGAGGGUCUACAUGAUAAUUUUUCCAAACCCUAAGGUAUAGGAGUCCUUUUUGUCAAUAAUUUAUUUCACUUUUGAGAGAAUACGAUGAGAAAUAAGAUCAGAGAAAUGUCAAUUUAAUGUUCUCUAGCUUAAUGAAAAAAAAAUGGAAACCAAGAACUAUUCAAUUUUGUAUUUUUUGUUUGUAAUUCAAAAAAUCCAUCCGCCAAACAAGAUUCACGCAUUUAUGUUGUCAUAAAAUGAAAAAACAGUUUGUGAAAAAAUGGCACCAAACAUACCCUUAAUGUCCCACAUGAUUUCUUAUGAAGCCCAUAUUAGAUAUAUUUAUACAUUUUACUGCAUUUAGGACAUGUUUGAUAGCCUGCAUUAUAUAGGAUAAAAACAUAAUUUUGUAUUAAAUUAAUGCACACUCACGUUUGGCGCUAAAAGUAACUCCAGCCGCAUUGCAUUAAUGGGCUGCUACUGCGGCAAUUGCCGCACUAGCUUGCCUCUUUUUCUUUUUAAUUUUAUUUAUAAUAAUAAUAAUAAUAAUAAUAAUAAUAACAUAAUAUAACUUUUAUUUUAAUAUAAUAUUAAGUAUAAUUUUUAUUUUUACAUUAUAAUUAUUGAUAUAAAUUAAUAAAUUUAUUAUUUAUUAUUCAAUAAUAUUAUAUUAUUAUUUUUUUAUUUUUACAUUAUAAUUUAUUAGUAAAUUUAUAAUUUAAUAUAAUUAAUGAUAAUAGAAAAUAUCAUUACAUGUACUACAAAACUCUUACUUGGAUUAUUUAACACAAUUUAUUUUAUUCGUGAAUAUGUUAUAACAAUUGUAUCACUUUAUUGUUUUGUUAUUAUUUUGUGGUAUGUAUAAAUUUUUAUUCUAUUAUUCAAAGAUGACUUUUGAACUAAUCUUAUAGGUUUUAACUAUUUAUUUAUGUUGUUAUAUUAUUAGAGAUUAUUUGAUUAAAUUAUUUGCUUCGAUCUUUAUUUUACAGGUCAUAUAUUUAGAAAUUACUGAAAAAUAAAUGUUCUACUUCCAAAAAAUUUAAGGCUAUAAGCUCGAUCUUUAUGAAUAAUUGUGAUAUUUUUUAACAUUUACACUAAAAAAAUUGUUAAAUUUCUAAAAUUUAAGACUUCUAUAUUUAGUAUUUUUCCAAUUACUAAUAAGUAUUAUUUUCUAAAUAUAUAAUUUAAAUUAAUCACAAAAAAUUAAUACAGUACAGUGCAAUAUCAAAUAUAAUAUAAUUAAAAAUUAUACAGUACAAUGUAGCACCAAAUAUUGUACAAUAUUAUUAUAAAAUAGUACUGAUGCAAUACAAUAUAAUACAAUAUAGUGUGCCAAACGCACCCUUAGAGUGUGUUUGGAACAUGGGAUUAUAGGGUAUUAAAACACUGUUCACAUUAGCUUAAUACCAAUAUCAUGUUUGGAAAGAAAUUUUAAGGGAUUAAAGGGGGGUGAGCUAAUGCCAUAACUGCGCCAUUAGUGUCUUGGUUUUUUUUUAAAUAAUAAUAAAAAAUAUAAAUUCCUAAUUUUAUGUAAUAUUAUAUAAUAUUAAUUUUUAUUUUCUUUGAUCUUUACAUUAUAGUAAUUAAUAUAAGUUAAUAAAUUUAUAAUUUAUUAUUCAUAUUUUAAUUUUUAUUAUAUUAAAAAUAUAACUAAAUAAUUUAAUUUUAAUUAUAUAAUAAUUAAUGUAUAAAAUUGAUUAAUAUUUAAUAAGUUAAUACAACUAGUAAUAAGUGCUUAAAUAAUAUAUAAAAAUAAAAAUAUAACAUAAUAUUACAUUAUUUAAUUAUAUUACAAUAACUAAUAUAUAAAAAUUGAUUAUUAUUUAACAAUUUAAUAUAGCUAAUAAUAGAUACUUAAAUAAUAAUUUAAUAUAACUAAUAAUGAAUAUUGAUAUAUGAAUAUAUUUAAAUAAUAUUAAUACCAAUAUAUAUAAUAAUAUAAAAUAUUAUUACAUGUACUGUAGUAUUCUUACUUGGAUUAUUUAGCGCAAUUUAUUUUAUUAGUGAAUAUGUUACAACUAUUGUAUCACUUUAUUAUUUAAAUUAAUCAAAAAAAUUAAUACAGUACAAGAUAGCACUAAACAUUGUAUAACAUUAUUAAAAUACAGUGUUAAUGCAAUACAAUAUAAGACAAUACAUCUAUAUUAAAAUAAAAUAAAAUAAUUUAAUUUAAUAUAAUACAGUAUGUCAAACGCACCUCGUAUAUUUUAAUUUCAAAAGAAGUUGGUCCUUCCGUUAUUUAUAAAAGAUAACUUUAUUUUCAGAUUACCACUAAACUCUGAAGUAGAAUUGGUGUAAUGUUAAGAGAGAGUAACACAGUUUUCCAUUACCAUCUUUGAAAAUAGAAAGAUAUGGAUCAGUGUAUUUAAGAGUUAUCGUGAAAAUCAUACAGUUCAAUUCCCUGACACAUAUAUUUAUGAGCAUAUGCCAAAAGAAUAAAUAGAUAGAAAGUAAAUUUACAAUCCUCACUUCCUCACAAUUGUUAAAAUGAAGAUGCAUUACAACUGUGAACUGUCACUAUUUUAGCCUUUUUUAUUUUUUACUUUUAGUUAUAGUGCGAUGGAGACAGUGAACAUCAAGGAUGAGAAUAAAAGUUAAAGAUGACCCACCCACUUUCUUUUUAAAGUGCUCUGCUCAAAGACAAACUUCCUCUGGCUAAUUAAUUUAGAUGUGAAGAGAGAAUAAAGUCCUAGAUGCCUUCUGAAAUUAGAAAUACAUUUUAUAUGCUUUAAUUAUGAUUAUUUGGUAGACUAUAGACCUAAAAGACAUGUUAGAUUAUAAAACAGUGCGAUUAAAAAAAAAAGAGUAUUUGUGACGUCAAAUAACAAUUGGUAACUAAAAUCCAAAAUAUUUGAGUUGUUAAAAGCAAAUAAAAAAAAAGAAGGUAAGAGUGAUGCAGAAACACAAUAUUAGCUUAUCUUGAUUUUCCCACUUUAUUCAUUCUCGAUGCUUUUCAAAACAAAUUCUUCUAAUCUUUCUGGUGUCUGCAGCCCCUUGUCACGGGACGAGAGGUUUCGAGCCCGUGCGGUACUCUCGCAUCCCAUACUGCGAGAGUAAACCUAGUGGAAGUGGCACAAUAUCGACUGGUUUCACCCUGUCUUGGGCUCAUCAGGAGAACGGCUCCAGUUCCCAACCAGUGUGUGAAGAGCUUCGCCUAAACCCCUCUUCAACGUUAAGUCCUUGACUAGCGACAAGCUCCCCAAACUCAACCAGGUUGGCCUGCCUGAACUCCAAGAAAUCUAGGAUCAUUGUAUUCCCCACACGACGCCCCUGAAGCACGUCUCCUACAAUCAGCACAACCCUUAUCGAUACCAGCGUACAAACGCAUAUCUUCGGCGUCACAAUUGCAGUCCGUGACACCCUGCUCUUGUUAUAAAACUCCACCCCAAAUCUACACUACAAACAAGUUGAUUGAAAUUAAACAAUUGCUUUUUGAAGUGGACCCAUUGAGUCGUGGUCAUUACUCGUCAUUGUCUAUUUUUUCUAUGAGCCAUUUAUUUUGAGCAAUAGUGAGCUUCUCUGAACUACUCCAAUUAUUGAUGUAACUCCAGUGGCUGCAUCCAUAGUUGAAUAUAUGACAGUAUUAGCUCUUAUUUGAGAAUAUAGGGGGAUCUUUCUUUGUUUCUUUGUUGCAGUGUUCUAGUUUAUAGUCUUGCUGUUAAUGAAUUCACUGAGGCAUUAUUAAUUUAAUUUCAGUGAAGUAAUUAUGGAUGAAAAAUAAAUAAAGGAUAACAGAAUAGAGCUGAAGUGCUGAAUCGGCUAUUAAAGAAAGUGUCACGUGAUCACAAUCACACUGAUGCACAACUCUCUCUAUGUACUCCAAAUUCAGCCAAACCAUACAUGCCUCAACAAAAUUAAACCGUAGUUCUCAUCACUACAGUAAAUGAAGCCCACAAAGACAGCUGAAAUGGAAAAUAUUGACUAUUGAAUGGAUCAAUGCUGAAUUACACUUGAAAUGGGAAGCUUGGCUGCGGUUACGAUGUUUCCCCCUCUGAUUUUUCUCCAAAACAAAUUCCGUUGUAAAUAAUAUUCAAUGUAGCAACACUUUAUUCAGCAAAGAAAAUACCUAAUUUUUCAACUAACAAAUUCUCUUGUCUAAACUAAAAAAACUCACAUCUCUCCAAUCUAUCUACAAAAUAUUGGAGAUGAGAGGUGAUUUGUCAACUCGAUAAAUAAAUUCAUGCAUAAUGUUACCAAUAAUGAUAAAUUACUUAAUAAUUCUUAUAAAGAAUCAUAAAUAAGGAACAUUAACCAUUUUACAGUCUAUUACAUAAGUAAGAUUAAUCUUAUAAUAAGUUAACUUAUAACGUAAUAAAUAUUUCAAUUCAUAAUUAUUUAAGAAGUCACUUAACAAUAAAAUAUUUUUUUAUUUAAUUGAUCAUGUCAUAUAACGUUAUCUAAACUCCUGACGAUAUUAUUAUUACUCACUUUUCUCAAAAAAACAUGACUAACGUUUAGAGAAAAGUCAUGCCUUUUAGAUAGAUAGAAUAUGAUUACAAGCUAUCCAUACUUUAUCUUACCAUGACAAAAUUGAUGGUGAUUAAAUCUAUUUUUAAAAUAGAUUUAAUGCACAAACAUGAUGACUUUUGCCAAAAAUUAGUUUCAGAAGAUAACUAAAUUAAGUUGCAAAGGAGCUUACUUCAAUUUCUAAGCUUUUCAAUCAUGAUUCCUCCAUGCCUUCCUCUGAUACCAUUUUGUUACGUGCCAACGUAAUUGACCUUGUAAUUGGUUUGUAUAAGGAAUGAAGCCCUUUCAAGAUCGUUUCUUUUGUGUCCAUAUUGUAGUAGACUAGUAGUCAAGUAAAUAAAGAGUGAAUAACUGAAUUUGGUCUAUUUCGAAGAAGACUAUGGCCUCCACACUACAAGAAAAUAGGCGAUAGAUAACGGGAAAUAACCGUCAUAAAAGGUGGUGUAUGACAGACAGUUUAUUCGUCAUCUAUGUCACUGUCAUUAAUUUAUGACAGAAUAUUUUCCGUCAUGAAUUCUUGAUGUUAUUUUACAAUCAUAUAUCCAUCACACAAUAUUUUAAUGAGAAAAAAUAAUUAAAUAAAAUUUGAAUUUAUUAAAAUUUUUGCUCUAUUUUUUAAUUUUUUGGCGGAAAAUUAAAUUGUCAUUUGUAAAUUUCUUAUUCAAUUUUGGUGGAAAAUUUUUUUAUGACAGACUUUAUGAUGUGUAUUUCCCAUCAUAAAGUUAAUUUUUUUAAAUUAUAUUGUGAUUAUAGUUUAUUUCUGAAUUCCUGUUUACAAAUUUAAUUAAUUAAUAAAAAAUGAAUAUUGUCAAAAAAUAAAAAAAUAAUAGUAACUAAAAUCCAUUCAAUCCAACAAAUUAAUUUCAAAAUAAAUACAUCUAAUAUUCAAUGUCAUUACCACUAAUACAUAAUAAAACAUCCCAAAUUAAAAAAAAGAAUGUCAAAAUAUAAAACAAUAGUUAAAUUCCAAUUAAAUUCCAAGAAAUGUAAUUCAAAUUCCGGACACCGAGCCAAGCUCCCCAGCAAAACUUCCAAAGAUUAAUGGAAAUAUUCCAAUAGCAAGACUUCCAGAAGCAAUACCCUCUUCCAGUGGCAAUACAUUGACUAAUCUUUGAAGCCAUGACUCCUCAAGCCAAUGCCAAAAAUGUGUGCAAAAUUAAUGCUCUAUCCACAAAAAUUUCAGUCUAUAUUGGUAAGAAGAAACAUGAAGAAACAAUUACCUCAGCAUCAUCGUCAUUGGAAGCCAAAUCAGCUGUAAAGACCACAAAAUGUUUGGUUAGAACUAGUGGAAGUCUUACUCUAAAACUUUUAAUUUUUGAAUUUCGAAAGAUCUAGUAAUGACAAAGAUUCUCAUAUCCAGUGACCAAGUUUUGAAAAUUAGAAUACGGAAUAACGUCAACUAAAUUCACUAAUAUAGGGUGCAUUUGAGAUUGAGGUUGGACAGCUGUAGCUUAAAAGCUACAGUAGUAAAGUGUUUGGUAAACACUAGUUGCUGUAAUUUAAAAACUAUGUUGAUAUGAUUUUUCACUUGUAUAAUGGAGAAUCUAUUUUUUUAAAUAAUUAUGUCAAAAUUAUUAUUUAAAAUUUAUAUUUACUACAUAUUAUUAAUUUUUGUUUCAUAGUCACAGUUUUUUUUCCACAGCAGUUGUAAAGCUACAUCACCUCAAUCCCAAACGCACCCUAAGCUAGAGGAAUCCCUAGUUGAUAUAGCACACAUGCACACAUGAUAUGCAUGCAUCAGAAUACACAAUAAUAAAUUAUCUCAAAGUCAAUAAGAAGCCAAAACUAGAGAUAAACCUUUAGCCACUAUAAGGAAGACUGAUAUUUGCAGUGUGAUUACAAUAAACAAACAGAAACUUCACUACCCAUAAGUAAAGCAAAAUAAAUAAAGGAUAAUAACUAACCAAGAAAUGGAAAAGCUCACAUUCUCUGAACACGCACCCCAAAAAGAAAGAAAGAAAUAAAUGUUCCCAUUGGAUCUGAAGCACAAGCAAUCCACUGACAUCCUUCUAUAAUUAGGUAAUUUAAAGGGGUUAAGCUCACAUCUUUUACGGAAGCAACAAGAGAAUUAACAACAUUCCAGAGGAUUUAGGGAAAAACCACGAGGCAAGAAAAAAGAAAGAUCCUUCUUCAAUCUAGAUAUCUUGACACUGCUCACCAUCUACAGCAGUCUGGGGCUUAAAAAGCAUGAUCUCUCCCCCCCUCUGGCACCAUUUUCUCUCAUGUGAAUCUGUCAUUGCCCGUAGAAACAAACCAGAACUGCAUAAAUUCUCUUAUCUUCCAGCAGCUUCUUUUCUCCAGAAAUAGGCACAACUAUUUGACAUGGAAACAAUUUAUCUAACAUGGCCACCUUUAAAGACAAAGACAUACUAAGGACAUGGUUUUAGAUACGGAUACAAGAAACAAUCACAAAAUGUAAAAUCUAUACAUAUGAUAUUAAUUUCCAAUGGAUACAGCACUUCAUUCUUUGACUUAACUUCAUUAGAUUACUAGGUUUGAUUAGGUUAUACACACAUUUAUUCAUUUAUGGUUUUCAACCUAUAAUCUACAUGCACUUAGAAUGAGAGGUACCUAUAAAAACAAGUUACCAGAAAACAAUACAGCUAGAAAACAUUAAAACAUUAAUCUAAGCAGUUCUAUAGGUUUAACUAACUGCAGGAAAAAACCGUUGAUUUUGUCCGUCGGAUUAUUGAGAUCCUAAUUCUGGUAAAAAGAAAAUGAGAUAAUAGAAAAUCAAAAAUUAAAUAGACACAAAAUGAGAAAUCAAGAUCAUACGGCAACUAAUAUAUAGCAUGGGCUGCAGCUAACAAGCAAUAUAAGCCAUGAUAUUAUGCCAGAUACAAAAUUUUGAGAUCCAAGAGAGAUCAAGAAGCAUGAAUAUUGAAAGAAGUGAGUGCAGAAGGAUAAGAAAUCAGGUUGAUAUUCUUCAUACUUUGGGUCAACACGUAGUGAUGCAAUAAACUUGUAAUUAGCUUCAAGUGUAUAGGCUACCAUGUCAACAUUUCCGAAAACACACAAGAUUGUGCUGGAUUCAUAUAUAGUACAUAUAUAAAAAAACAAUCUGCUUCUAAACUUCAUGAGAACAUCGAAUAAUGAACUUACAAUUUGAUCCCUCAUCAUCUUCAUCGCACCAUUUGUUCCAAUCAACCUUAAUGUAAGGUGCUGGUUUCUCUUCUGACUUGAGUAGCCUUUUCCACCAACCUUUCUCUUCUUUUUGCACCGAGCAUAUUAUGUUCCUUAAGCCAACUUUAGUCUUACAUUUCUGCACCACCAGCAACAAAAUUCAAAGCAUUACAAAAGAGGUAUAUUUAGCCGCUCUUGACUCGAGUGAGAGAACAGGAUAAACAGCCUAGGUAUAUCCACAUCCAUGUUAUGAGAUUAAUUAUGCAACAACUAACUUUAAUAUAAAGUUUGUGCUCCAACAAAGACUAAAAUGUUUGUAAUUGUUAUGCUUCCGGAGCUAAAAUGUUUCGCAAACACUCACUUUUACUCUGCAGCUAAUAUCUAGCACCCAGCCACACAAAGUCCGUAGUCUUUGUCUCAACUUUGUCUGAGGCCAAUGUAAAUCCAAUUUGCACAAGCUCUCUAUGCACCACAGCUCUUCUGGAAGCUUUCUCAAGUACGCACAAGGGUUGACAAUUAAGCUUUCAAGUUUUGGUAUUGCUCCAGCCCCCAUCGUCCACUCAUCUAGCCAAUACAUUGAUUUCAGGCGCAAAACCUUAAGUUCCGGAAAGCCACCCGAGCAAGCACAGGCCAGCUUUCUUCCUAAAUACAAGCUCUGCUUCAGUUUCAGCACUUGAAGGCGUGGAAGCUUUUUGAUAAGGAAAGGGAGCCACGGAGGUCAACAAAGGUUCAUAAGCCUAACUACAGAUACGAGGGCUUUGUUUGAACAUUCGUAAGUCUCAUGCAGCCAUGCAUGCGGUCAUGCAUGUUGCAUGCAAUACCAUGCAAGACUUAUUUACGCAUGGAUUAAAGAGUAGUCUGUUUCUAGUUUUUUAUUUAAGAUUGCUCAGUUAUUUAAAUUGAUUUUAGCCGUGAAUUGUGGCUACAAAUCCUUAGUAGUGUUUGUAUUAACUACUAUAAAUAAGCUCCAGCAAUUAAUAAAAGGAUUAUGCAAAAAAUUAUCUCAAAGUACUAUUCUUGGUCGUUUUCACCGUAAGUAGAACAACGUAAACUUAGCUAUUGUUGAACGUUUUUGAUUGGGACCUAUCACUUUUCCAGCCUUGGCAUGGGAUCCUCCAUUAGCUCAGUAUUUGAUAAGCUCAGUUGGGUCAGACUUGGAGGAAAUUGGUAUUCAGACAGGACCGUCCGUGAGAGCUUGCUUUCAUUCACCAGCUUCAAGCAUUCAAGUUUCUCUAGUUCGCAUAGGCUUUUGGAAAUCCCAGAUUGAUAGUAACUCAAAUCUCCAGACACUCUAAGAGUUUGAAGAUUAGGUAGUCUGCCCAAUAUAGCUGGAGUGCAACUACUAGGGUGUAAGGCUGAUAUGAAAAUGAGAUUUUUCAGAGAGCUGGAAUAAUUUUUUGGAGGCGCAGGCAGAGUGAUGCAACCGAAGUUUAAAUGCACGAGUUUUCGCAUCAUCCAAAUAUCCUCUGGUGAAUGAUCUAUGUAGCUUGAUGGCAUUUCUAGUGUUUGAAGGUUUAAAAGAGUGCAUAGCAGUGAAGGAAGGCAUUUGAGCGAGGGGAUAUUCAAUUUCAAAUACUUCAAAUGGAAAAAGUUUCUAAUCCGGGCGGAUAUUGGUCGAGAAUUGCAGAACCCAAGUUCAAUACCCCAAGGUGUUUGAACGUUUGACGAAAAUUCUCGCAAUCUAUCAGAGCGAGAUGAUCGCUUUCUGAACUGUGAUUCAGAAAAGAUUGGAGAUAGAUGUCAGGAUGUUCUAAAGAUAAAAACUGAAUCAGAUGUUCCAAAAUGAAGCACCGUUUAACAUUUGCCAGUGGUUCCUUUUCCCUUUCAUGCAUGCAGACAAAUUCCGUCUGCGCUGCCACCAAAAACAAUGGAGUACAUAAAAAACUUGGAACAUAACACGCUUUAAUUGUGCCUCCGGCUCUUCUCUUACUCACUUGAAUGAAGCCGCAAUAGAUUAGUUCUUUCAAAUAAUGCUCGGCAGUUUCUUCACUGUUGUAUGGUAUGAAACCUUCAGCUACCCACAAAUGAUAUAAUUGCCUCGUAGAUAUUUCAAUACUUGGACGAAAGACACACAAAUAGAUGCAGCAGACUUUCAAGUGAAAAGGUAACUCCAUCAAAGAAUAACUGUGUCUCUAAAUUGUCGGAAUCGCUACGCCUUGAACAUAAUUUUCUAAUGGCAUACUUCCAUAGUGUAGGAUGAAAAAUUGCCAGGCUUUAUGCUUUAAUCUGAUCAAUGGUCCUCCACUGAGCACUGAAUCAAACCGAAUCAUCUCUCCGUUUUCCAUGUCCAACAGCGUAAGGGGGCAUGGAUCAGUGACCAAUAUCAAUACUCUGCUUCCAUUCUGAUUGUCAGGAAGAACUUGUUCAAGAUCAUCCAAUACAUCGUCACUCUCUUCACAGUAAUCAUCAAGCACAAUAAAGUACUUCUUGUUUGUUAGGAAAUCUCGAAGAAUAGAUUUCUUCAAUUGAUAAUGUUCACCGAUAAUUACACUAACCCGAGAUGGAGGCAUCACAGACUUGAUUAUGUCAUCCAAUAUCUUGCCAAAAUCGUAGAGUACAGAAAUCCUGACCCAAGCAAGGCAGUCAGAGAAUUGCAACCACUGCAAGCCGAGGAUGUCCUUCAAUCAAUAAAUCAAACAACUCCUCUCUACCACUUUCAAAUUCGUUGAUAUCAAGCCGAGGUUUUCCCUCAAUCAAUAAGUGAAUGAGUUUGUCCCUUUGUUCAGUGAUUACGAAACCAUUGUCGCCGGGUGGAAGUUGUUGCAUCCGAUUUCUAAUAUCAAUAAUUUUACUGUGGAGUCCAACAAGAAGAGCCAUAUUAGUACUGCUUUCACUUUCUUCUUCACUGUUUUGCUGCUGCAUGAUGUUGAUGAAGAAUGUGUCAAUGGCUUCCUCAGAUUCAUGGACAAAGUCAUUGAUGUCCUUCACAAUUUCCAGAAUGUCUGAUCUUUUAACGUCUUCAUCGCUUUCUUGUAAAAAAGCCAAAUAUAUUUCGGAUUCAUCGAAUUCUCCUCUAAUGAGUUGAAACAAAAGCCGAGCCAUGUCAGCUUCAUAGUUUCCCACCAGAGUAGUAGCAAUGAUUUCUGACUCCGUAAGAAGGUUCUGAAAAAGUGGAGUCAAAUUUGUUCAAUCAGGCAACGUUAACGCGCCUUCUUCACCUGCUAGCACCCUUUUCAACCUCUCACAAAAUAGUCGGAGGUUCACGUCCACCAUAUCUCCUUCCCUCCGUAGCACUCAGAGAAGAUUGGUCCUAUCUCAAAGUGGUUAGUGCUGUAAAAUUAAACACCAUGGAAGAAUUUGAAAGGAAUAUGCCAAGAAACUGGCCAAGUGGCUAAAUUCCACAAAUAUGACAUUAUUGCUCAUUUUCUCUCAGACACGUGAUACACGUUGAUUUAGAGGAAAGUUCAAGAAUUUUGCUUUAAAAAAAAAAAUUGAUGGUGCUUAAAUUAUUAUUUUUUUAAUUUAAAGAGUUUUGCUUUUAAAAAAAAAUUAAUAUCAAAAUGCCUUCAAUGUUAUUACUGCCACAAGCCCAGUAACAAAACUCAUUAAAAAUUUUAGAAUUUCUGGCCAUGGAAAGAGUAGUAUUAAACAUCAGAAAGCAAAGGUUGUUCCGUUAAAGAAUUGAUGUUGACAUAAUUUUAUUUUGGUUUUCGGGAAAAAAAAAAUAUUUGUUGGCAAGCAAAGAAAAUAAUUUUAUACUUUACAAUCUGCUAUACAUAUUUUAUCAUAUUAAAGUAAUUUUAAUAUCUAUCAAAAAAAUAAAUUUAAUAAUAAUUGGAACAUAAUAUUACAAUAAAUAAAUUAAAAUUAUUUUAAAUAUUAGGAAAAAAAUAUUAUUAAUAGGAAGAUAUUUUGUUAAUUGUAAAAUCCUUUUAUUCCAAAUAUUUUAUUUAAAUUUUUUAUAAUAAAUAAAAAUAUAAAAUUAAAAUAAAUAUCAUAAUUUAAAUUUUUUAUAUUAAAAAUAUUUUAAUGUUAUUAGUCUACUACAUAAAUUAUAUUAUUUAUAUUAUAUUCGUAUUGAUUAAAAUCUUUUAAAGUUAAUUUUAUAGUUACUAUAUCCACAGGGUAUUAUAUUAUAUUUAAGAGUAAUUUUUUCAAAUUUUAGGAUUGCAGAUGUCCUUCUUCCGAUAAUUUAUUUCACUUUUGAGAGAAUCCAAUGAGAAAUAUGAUAAGAGAUGGUCAGUUUAAUGUUCUCUGCCUUUAUGGAAAAAAAGUAAAAAGUAAAAACUAUUCAAUUUUGUACUUUUUGUGUCCACCAAAUAAAUUUUACACAUUUAUGUUGUCAUAAAACGAAAAAAAAGGGUUUGCCAAAAAAUGGUACCAAGCAUACCUUUAAUGUCCCACGUGAUUUCUUAUUAAGCCCAUAUUAUAUAUAUUUAUACAUUUUAUUGCAUUAAACAUUUUUAUUAUAAAAGAAGUUGGUCCUUCCCCUAGUGAUAAAAGAUAAAUAUGAUAAUGUUUGAGAUGGGUUUAGUCUUUUAUAUUUGCUGAGUCCAGUGGGUUAAAGAAUUAGAGUAAAGCAUCUGGGCAUUCUUUCAUGCAAAACUAAAAAUCCUGAAAAUAGUUGGCUUUAACUGAUUAAGACAAGCUUGGUCGAAUUGAGUUGAACUUCAUAUAUAAAAGCCAAAUAUAUUGCGGAUUCAUCGAAUUCUUCUCUAAUGAGUUGAAACAAAAGCCGAGCCAUGUCAGCUUCAUAGUUUCCCACCAGAGUAGUAGCAAUGAUUUCUGACUCCGUAAGAAGGUUUUGAAAAAGUGGAGUCAAAUUUGUUAAAUCAGGCAACGUUAACGCGCCUUCUUCACCUGCUAACACCCUUUUCAACCUCUCACAAAAUAGUCGGAGGUUCACGUCCAGCAUAUCUCCUUCUCUCCGAGAAACUGUGUAAGUGGCUAAAUUCCAGAAAUAUGACAUUAUUGCUAUUUUUUUAACUCAAAAAAAUGGUACGCGUUCAUUUAGAGAAAAGUUCAAGACGCGCGCCUUUUGAAAAAUGGUACCCGUUCAUGUAGAGAAAAGAACAGGUAUCCCAAUCGGUAUCCAACCUUUAUCUUCUUUAAUUACCACCACGACAUGAUUUUUUUUUUUUUUUUUUGAUGACAUGAGACUAUUGCUUAAAUUACAACUCAAAUUACAACUCAUAUUACAUGAGAGUAUAAUUGAUAUGUACAAUCAUAUAUACAUACUGAGAUCUAUUGACAUUAAUGCUGAUAUGACACUGCUCAGAUUUUUGUAACCCUCUCAAAUAUUCGAGGGACGUCAAACUCCUAUCCUGGGAGAAAGACUGCCUUCACUCGAGCUCUGUGGCUCCAAGGAAGGAAAUAUAAAUUAAACCUCUACAAUGCGACUGCGGAGGCUCGAACCCCUUCCCUCACAUAUGUGAGGGAGUGGCUCUAGCCACUUGGGCUAGCCCAAGUGGUUCCACGACAUGAUUGAUGGUGCUUAAAUCAAUUGUUUCUUUUUUAAUUUAAAGAAAUUUUCAUUAAAAAAAUAUUUUAAUAUCAAAUACCCUUCAAUGGCAUAACUGCCGCAAUCCCAGAAACAGGAUUAAAUAUUUUUUUUUUUUUGAAUUUUUGGGCAUGGAAAGAGCAGUAUUAAAAAUCAGAAAGCUAAGGUCGUUCUGUUAAAGAAUUGAUAUUGACAUAAUUUUUUUUUGGUUUUCGGGGGAAAAAAAAAAUUGUUGACAAGCAAGAAAAUAUUUUUAUAUUUUACAAUUUAUUAUACAUAUUUUUUUUUUUUGGAUCAAUAAUGGGCUCUAAAAGAGCUAAAGCACCAGUAAACGGGAGUGGGCAACCCCAGACACAUCGUUAUGAAGAAUACUCUGUAAAUUAGGAGGAGCAACAGUAAGUAACUGCAAUCCUAAAGGACAAGACAAAUUAAAUGAGGCCAGAAAAUCUGCUGCUAUGUUUGCUUCUCGAUAGAUGUGGUUCACUUUCACGACCCAGUCCCUGCUGAUCAGCUCACGAAUGGCAAGGAUAAGAGAAUGAUGCUCAUUAACAGGAGUGGUCGGAUUCUCCAAGAUUUGAGAUUUAUUAUACAUAUUUUAUCUUAUUAAAGUAAUUUUAAUAAUAAAUAGAAACAUAAUAUUACCAUAAAUAAAUUAAAGUUUAACUUAUUUUGAAUAUUAUAAAAAAUAAUUUUAAUAUUAUUAAUAGGAGGACAUUGUAUUAAUUUUAAAAUUUUUUAACCCAAAGGUUUAUUUAAAAUCUUUAUUAUAAAUACAAAUAUAAAAUUAAAUAUAAUAAUUUAAAAUUUUUAAUAUUAUUUUAAAUAUUAAAAAUAUUUUAAUGUUAUUAGUCUACUACAUAGAUCAUAUUACUUAUAUAAUAUUUGUAUUAUUAAAAAUUCUUAAAAUCAAAUUUUUAGUUAGUAUAUUUAUGAGGUAUUAUGGUUAAAAAAAAAACCUUAUUAUUACUUUUUAAAACAUUGAGGGCCUGCGUGAUAAUUUUUUCAAAAAGAAAAUGCUUGGUAUCUAGGAGGGUUAGAGAAACAGGACUACCAAAAUCUCUCACCCUUUUUUAAUUAAAAAAAAUUAAAAUAUCAAUAAAAAAAAUAAAGAAAAUAGAAUUUUAUCUGCUCCUUACUCCAUUUUUGUAACUCUCUCACCAUCUCUGUCGAGCAGCCCUCUCUUUCACUGUCUCUCACUAUUUCACAAUCUCUCUCUCACUCACACAGUCCUUUAGAAAAGCCCAAAAUAGGCCCAAUAAGCCCAUAAUUAAAAUAAUCGAAUCGAAUUAUUUCAAUUAAUCGAGUAUUUGAUUAUUUCGGUAAUUUGAUUAAUCGCGAUUAUGAUUUUAAAAUAAUCGUAAUCGAACGAUUAUGAAAAAUUUAGUAAAAAACCGAAUUGAACCGAACCGCACCCACCCCUACAUAAAAGAACAACAAUUACUUGUCAUUUUCAAUUUUUUCUAUAAGCUAUUUAUUUUGAGCAUUAGUGAUCUUGUCUGGACUACUCCAAUUAUUGACGUAACUCCAGUGGCUGCAUCCACUGGAAAAAGUGGAUGAGAACAUUUUUUUUUUUCAUAAAGGUAACUACUCCAAUUAUUGACAUAAUUGAUGGUGCUUAAAUCAAUUUUUUUUUUUAAUUUAAAGAAUUUUGCUUUAAAAAAUAAUUAAUAUCAAAAUGCCUUCAAUGUUGUUACCGCCACAAGCCCAGUUAGAGGACUCAUUAAAAAUUUUAGAAUUUUUAGGCCUGGAAAGCGUAGUAUUAAACAUCAGAAAGCAAAGGUUGUUAUGUCGAAGAAUUGAUGUCGACAAAAUUUUAUUUUAGUUUUCGGAAAAAAAAAAAAAUUUGUUGACAAGCAAGAAAAUAUUUUUUAUACUUUACAAUCUGCUAUACAUAUUUUAUCAUAUUAAAGUAAUUUUAAUAAUAUAUGGAAACAUAAUAUUAUAAUAAAUAAAUUAAAAUUACUUUGAAUUAUUGAAUAUUACAAAAAGAUAAUUUUAAUAUUAUUAAUAGGAAAACAUUUUUAAUUGUAAAAUCUUUUUAAUACAAAAAUUCAUUUAAAAUCUUUAUAAUAAAUACAAAUAUAAAAUUAAAAAAAUAUCAUAAUUUAAAUUUUUUAAAAUUAUUUAAAUAUUAAAAAUACUUUAAUAUUAUUAGUCUACUACAUAAAAUAUAUUAUUUAUAUUAUAUUCGUAUUGAUUAAAACGUUUUAAAGUCAAAUUUUUAAUUAGUGUAUUCAAAGAUACAAAAGAUUUUAGUAUUAUUUUUAAAAAAUUUCAGGAUAUGAAUGAUAAUUUUUUCAAAUUUUAAAGAUGUAAGAAUCUUUUUUUCUGAUAAUUUAUUUCACUUUUGAGAGAAUCCGAAAACGUUAAUUUAACAUUCUUUACCUUUGUGAAAAAAGUGAAAAUCAAGAACUAUUCAAUUUUGUUUUUAUUUGUAAUUCAAAAACUUUAUUCAUUUUCGAUGCUUUUCAAAAGAGACUCCUCUAAAUCCUUUUGGUGUCUGCAGCUCCUGCAAUUCUCAUAAAUCUCCAUCCCACAUCUACACUAUCAAACAAGUUGAUGGAAAUUCUUAUCAAAAAAAAAAAAAAAAACAAGUCGAUGGAAAUUGAUCAAUUACUUUUUGAAGUGGACCCAUUGAGUCAUGUUCAUUUCUGGUCAUUGUCUACUCUUUCCAUCAGCCAUUUAUUUUGACCAUUUGCGAUCUUAAAGGAUAUGAGAACGUAGCUGAAGUGCUGAAGGGGCUAUUAAAGAAGAGUGUCACUUGAUCACAAUCACAUUGAUGCACAACUCACUCGUGGCAAAUUUCGACUAUACGUUCUGCAAAUUCAGCCAAACCAUACAUGCAUGAACAAAACUAAAAUGUAGUUCUAAUCACAACUGCAGUUAUAAUGUUUACCCCUCUGAUUUUUCUCCAAAACAAAUUCAGUUCAAAACAAUAAUUAAAUAGCCACAUUUUGUUCGUCAAAAUAAAUGCCCAAAUUUUCAAUUAACAAAUCAUCUUCUCUAAACUAAAAAUCCCACAUCUCUAAAAUCAAUCUACAUAAUGUUGGAGAUGAGGGGUGAAUUGUUAACUCAGUAAAAAAAACUCAUGCAUAAUAUUACUAAUAAUAUAAAAUAUAUAUUAAUCAUUAUAAAGAAUCAUAAUUAGAAAAAUUAAUCAUUUUAUAAUUUAUUACACAAGUAAGAUAAAUCUCAUAAUAAGUUAUAACAUAAAAAAAACGUUAUCAAUAUAUAAUCAUUUAAGAAGUCAUUUAACAAUAAAAUCGUUCUUUAAUCAGUUGGUCAUGUCACAUAGUGUCAUCUAUAUUUACGGUGAUAAUAUUAUUACUCAGUAUUAUCAAAAAACAUGAUUUAACAUUUAGAGGAAAUUCUUGCCUUUUAAAAAAAACAUGUAUGCAACAACUACCCAUGCUUUAUCUUACCAUGACAAAUAUUUUCUCAAUGAAAGAAAAUUUUUUAAAAAUUGAUUUAAUGCACAAAUAUGAUGAUUUUUCCAAAAAUUAGUUUUGGAAAACAUAGUGAGAGAAAAUAGUGACGAUUAUUGUUUAGAUGUAUAAAUAGCCUAAACAUAAUCCUUAAUACCAAUAUCCUAAUGCAUCUUAUCAUCUUUCAUGAUAUUCUUUCAUUUAUGUCCAUUGGUUCAAGAUUUGAAUUUGAUCAUUAAAUCAUGUUCAAUAAUAUUAGAGAUUCUAACAAAUGAGUACCAACUUAAAUCCCAAUGUUAUGUGUCAUUGACCAAUUUUGUGUCAUUUUGUUAUUAACUAGGUGAUGAAUUUGUAGUUGAUAAAAUCACUUAAAAAUAUCUUAAAAAUCAAACAAUAGUUUGCUUAAUUUUUCCAAGUUAACUGCUCAAGAUGCUCUAUUAUAAAUAAUAACCUAAUUAUAUUCAUAAAAAAUGAUAUUUUUUUUGUGGUGUUGAUAAUGAGAUUAUCAUUCAACAUUUUAAAAUGUGAAAACAUAUGGAAGAUGGUUGUAAAUUGAUUGAAUGAAAACAUUUCAGUGAAGUCUCAAAAAUUUGGUACUUGUUGUCUUAUCGAAAGUUUUCUAAAUUAUAUUCGUGGCACAGCCACUAUCCAAACCAUACAAGUCCAAAGCUAUCCAAACCAUACCUGCAAGUCCGGGGCUUAAAUGGAGUACUUCUAAGCAAAAAAACAUUGACUAAAAUAGAAUAUAUACAUACAGACACACAUACAUACCAGCAUAUUCAAAAUAGCAAAAGGAGUGCAAAAGUUCAAGUUUGUAGACAACAUUGCAACCAUAGCAUGUUUAUAGCAAAUCCUCAAAAUCUGCUAAAUAAAACAAUGCCCUGUCUCAUGAAUCAAUGCUGAAUUAAAAUUGAAACUGAAAGUCUGGAUGGUUUUGUUUGUUGAGAAUGUCAAAUAAAACGGCAUUGAAGGAAGUUUUCAAAGGCAGAAUCCGCACUUGUCAAAGGGAUGAUCUGCACUUGUCAAAGACACUAUCCGCGCCGAACGGAUCGACACAUUUCCUUCCGUAUUCACAUAUGUAAUCUUUGAAAAAAUAUAGCUUCUGCAUCUAUAAAUAACGCUCAGUGUAUAAUGUUUUAUUCAAGAAAUAAAAACAAGUUUCUACAUGGUAUCAGAGCCAUGAAUGCGCUCAAGUUUCUUCAAGUUUCGCUGCUCUGUUUGUCACAAAAACAGAGGAAACCAAUUAAAUUCGUCCCACAACCAUUUUUUCCACCAUUUUCUUCCUUAAAAUCAUUCCUAACAUUACAGAAAUCCAUGCCGAUCAAAAAACAUGAAAGACAAAUUACACAUGUGCAGUAACCAAUGAUCAUAUUUCGUUACUGUCAAACACAAUGCAUCUGAGCAAAACAUUGGAAGCCAACACCAGAAUACAUAUGAAUAAACAAUUAAAGAUAGAGAAAAAAGGCUUAAACCUUGGGGGGAAAAAGUGAAAAAACAUGAAAGACAAAUUACACAUGUGCAGUAGCCAUCGAACUUAUCAGUGACAGCUGCAUCCAUUACAUUGCUCCAACAACACAAUGGCAAACCACCAGUUUCAAAUUGAGGAUAGCUAUCGAGAAUGAGAAAGUGUCCAAAACGUCAUAAAUAGACAUGUUCCGAUUGUGCAUAAUUUACAUUAUAGGCAAAUAUUCUUAUACCAUCAAAGGCAAAACAUGACACUAACAAUUGAUCACCCCCCCCCCCCCCCCCCCAACAACAAAAAAAAGGAAAAAAACAAUACAGAAAAGAUUGAAACAGAUAAGGCUACACUGAGCACAGGAUGCCAUGAAACAUAAUCCAGGAACCAAAUUAAUAAAAAAGGAAGCCAAACCAUUAUUUAACAAUCUGUUUUGUAUUUGGGAAAGUCUGAUAAAAUCUACUUGGGGAUAAUUAGAGAACCUCAACUAUUAAUCACACCUCAUAAAUGAACUAACAUUAAACAUCUACCAUCCCAACGUCACACAAACAUUCUCUACACUUCUGAACCUAAUACUUCCAUCUUCAAUUGGGGUUUUUUUUUCUUUUUCUUUGGGGGGGGGGGGGGGGGGGAUUGAAAUGCUGAUUUCGAAUCACUAACAGUAAAAUUGGAAGCUCAUGAAAAAAUAGUUUUAUCUCAAAAUUACAUCUCGAUAUAAAUUCUCUUUUCAUUUCCUUCAACUUUCUAAUUAAGCUUAAAAAAUGUACCUUCAACCACAAAGGGGUUUAAAAUUUAAAAUAUAAAAAAUAAAUUCAGAUAACAAUAAUUAAUUUAAUUAAAAAUAUAAAUAGAGUUACAGAGAAAGAGAAAAUAGAGAAAGACGUAAUGUUGAGUCCUUUGGCGCAAGUCUCUUCAUAGGUCCGAACCAUUUCUUCGGGCGUGGGUUUCGGGUCUUUAGGAUACUCCAUAGUGAUAAGCCAGUGAUUGUAAUCGCAACCCUCGAACAGAAUCGUGUCGGGUGUGAUCUCGUCGCCGUCCUUAUACAAGUGGUACGUCUUGUUAACCGACGGCGUAGACGAGAGGGAGAUCGUCGGGGACGAUCUGAACGGCCGAGAUUGGAUAAUGAUGGAGGAGGAGAAGAUUAGCGAUGACGACGCCGAUGAAAUGGAAGGGUUUACCAGAGGAGUGGAUGCGAAGAAUGCAGGGACGGCCGCAAAGAGAGAGCGGCGGAGAGCGGCGACGGACGGUAGUGACCAGCGGAGGCGGAAAAUGGCGGUAUGGGCCAUUGCUUGCGCGUCGGUGAGUGUCUCGAGUGAGAGAGUGAAGGGUUUUGGGAAAUGAAAAAUGCAAAUGUUUGAUUUUGUUGCUAGAAACUUCUUCUGCCGCUGCCUUUUAUUUUCGCUAUAAUAAUAAUAAUUUGUUAAUCAAAUAUUUUCUUAAAAAAGAUAAAUUUCUACAACAAAAUUUAUAUUAAAUCAAAUUGUAAAAAUGUCUAUUAGGGUUAAUUUCUCCUUAAUAUUAUUAUUAGUAGAUGUAGAUUUUCGAAUUAGUCUUGAUAUAUUUCAGAGUUGUAUUAUAAAUGUAUAUGUAUCUGGAUUGCAAUUAUAUUUUUAAAAAAUAUAAUUUUUUUAAUUAUUGCACAAUAAAUGUAAAUAGUAUCUAUAAAAUAAUAUUAUUAGGACUACGAAAAAAAUAUUAUUUUAGAGAAGUUAUUUAUUUAUUAUUGAAUGAAUAAAAAAAUUAGUUUGGCAUUUUUAUAACCUCCUUGAAGGUUUUACGAUAAACAUAAAUCUACUGAGAAAGUGGGAAAAAAAAAAGAAAAUGCAUAUAAAAGUAUGAGUUAUCAGAUAAGAUUAAAACUCACCCAAUUCAAUCCAUCAGAUUCCGUAAGGAUAUAACUGGAUGUCAUACCGCCACUCCAUAUCCUCGAAAGUCCGUAGUCCUUGUCUCAACUGUGUCUGAGGCCAGUGUAAGUCCAAUUUGCGCAAGCUCUUUAUGCACCACAGCUCUUCUGGAAGCUUUCUCAAGUAAGCACAUGGGUUGACAAUUAAGCUUUCAAGUUUCGGCAUUGCUCCAGCCCCCAUCGUCCACUCAUCUAGCCAAUACAUUGAUUUCAGGUGCAAAACCUUAAGUUCGGGAAAGCUACUCAAGCCAACACAAGCAAGCUUUCUUCCUAAAUACGAGUUCUGCUUCAGUUUCAGCACUCGAAGGCGUGGAAGAUUUUCCAGAAUUGGCAUGGGAUCCUCCAUUAGCUCAGUAUUUGAUAAGCUCAGUUGGAUCAGACUUGGGGGAAAUUGGUAUUCAGACAGGACCAUCCGUGAGGGCUUGCUCUCAUUCACCAGCUUCAAGCAUUCAAGUUUGUGGAGUUCGCAAAGGCUUUUGGAAACCCCAGAUUGAUAGUAACUCAAAUCUCCAGAUAUCCGAAGAGUCUGAACACUAGGUAGUCUGCCCAAUAUAUCAGGAGUACAACUGCUACGGUUUAAAGCUGAUAUGAAAAUGAGAUUUUUCAGAGAGCUAGAAUAAUUUUUUGGAGGUGCGGGCAGAGUGAUAGAACCAAAGUUUAGAUGCAUGAGUUUUUGCAUCAUCCAAAUAUCCUCUGGUGACUGAUCUAUGUAGCUAAAUGGCAUUUCUAGUGUUUCAAGGUUUAAAAGGGUGCAUAGCAGUGAAGGAAGACAUUUGAGCGAAGGGAUAUUCAAUUUCAAAUACUUCAAAAGAUAUAAAUUUUCUAAUCCGGGCGGAUAUUGGUCCAGGACUGCAGAACCCAUGUUCAAUACCCGAAGGUGUUUGAACUUUUUACAAAAAUUCUCGCAAUCUAUCAGAGCGAGACGAUCGCUUUCUGAACUGUGAUUCAGAAAAGAUUGGAGACGCAUGUCAGAAUAUUCUAAAGGAAAGAAGUCAAUCAGACGUUCCACAAUGAAGCACCGUUUAACAUUUGCCACUGAUUCCUCUUCCAUGUCAGGCGUCCAGACAAAUCCCGCCUUCUUUGCCAGAAAAUACAAUGAAGUGUAUACAAAACUUGGAACAUAACACGCUUUAAUUGUGCCGCCGGCGCUUCUCUUACUCACUUGAAUGAAGCCGCGAUGGAUUAGUUCUUUCAAGAAAUGGUCGGCAGUUUCUUCACCGUUGUAUGGUACGAAACCUUCAGCUACCCACAACUGAUGUAAUUGCCUCCUGGAUAUCUCAAUACUUGGAGGGAAGACACACAAAUAGAUGAAGCAGACUUUCAAAUGAAAAGGUAACUCCAUCACAGAAAAAAUUUGUCUCCAAACUGUCGGAAUCGCUUCGCCUUGAAGAUAAUUUUCUAAUGGCAUACUUCCAUAGUGUAGGAUGAAAAAUUGCCAGGCUUCAUGCUUUAAUCUGAUCAAUGGUCCUCCAAAGAGCACUGAAUCACGCCGAAUCUUCUCUCCGUUUUCCAUUUCCAACGACGCAAGGAGGUCUGGAUUAGUGACUGUUAUCAAUACUCUGCUUCCAUUCUGCUUAUCAGGAAGAACUUCUUCAAGAUCAUCCCAUAUGUCACUGUCAUUGAAGACAUCAUCAAGCACAAUAAAGUACUUCUUGUUUGUCAGGUAAUCUCGAAGAAUAGAUUUCUUCAAGCGAUAAUCUUCACUGAUAAUUACCCUAGCCCGAGAUGGAGGCAUCAAAGAAUUGAUUAUGUCAUCCAAUAUCUUGCCAAAAUCGUAGGCUAUAGAAACCCUGACCCAAGAAAGACAGUCAAAAUAGAACUUGACAUGGUUAUUAUUGUAAGUAUCUGCAGCAAAAGCAGUCUUAUCGAAGCCACUGCUGUCGAGAAUUGCAACCACUGAAAGCCCAGAUGGUCCCUCAAUCAAUAGAUCAAAAAACUUCUCUCUGCCCCUUUCAAAUUCACUGAUAUCGAGCCGAGGUUGUCCCUCAUUCAAUAGGCGAAUGAUUUCGUUACUUUUUUCACUGAUAUCAAAACCAUUGUCGCCGGGUGGAAGUUGUUGCAUCCGAUUUCUAAUAUCAAUGAUUUUAGUGUGGAGUCCAACAAGAAGAGCCAUAUCAGUACUGCUUUCACUUUCGUUUUCACUGUUUUGCUGCUGCAUUAUGUUGAUGAAGAAUCUGUCAAUGGCUUCCUCAGAUUCAUGGACAACGGGAUUGAUGUCCUCCAGAAUUUCCAAAAUAUCUGCUGUUUCAACGUCUUCUUUAUCGCUUUCUUCUAAGUCCAACAGUUGCAAAAAAGGCAAUGAUAUUUUGGAGUCAUCGAAUUCUUCUCUAAUGAGUUGAAACAAAUGCCGAGCCAUGUCAGCUUCAUAUUUUCCCAGCAGAGUAGUAGCAAUAAUUUCGGACUCCGUAAGAAGGUUUUGAAAAAGUGGAGUUAAAUUUGUUGAAUCAGGCAAAGUUAACGUGCCUUCUUCACCUGCUAACACCCUUUUCAACCUCACACAAAACAGUCGGAGGUGGAGUUCCAGCAUAUCUCCUUCUCUCCGCAGCACUCAGAGGUAUAGUUGAAAGAUUAAACACCAUGGAAGAAUUUGAAAGGAAUAUGCCAAGAAACUGUGUAAGUGGCUAAAUUCCACAAAUGCGGCAUUAUUGCUCAUUUUUAACUCAAAAAAUUGAUACGCGUUCAUUUAGAGAAAAGUCCAAGACGCGUGCCUUUUGAAAAGAACAGGUAUCCCAAUCGGUAUCCAACCUCUAUCUUAUUUAAUUACUAUCAUGACAUAAUUGAUGGUGCUUAAAUCAAUUGUUUCUUUUUUAAUUUAAAGAAUUUUUCAUUAAAAAAAUAUUUUAAUAUCAAAUUGCCUUCAGUGGCGUAACUGCCUCAAGCCCAGUAACAGGACUAAUUAAAGAUUUUACAAUUUUUGGGCAUGGAAAUAGUAGUAUUAAAUAUUAGAAAGGUGAGGUUGUUCUGUUAAAGAAUUGAUCUUGACAUAAUUUUAUUUUGGUUUUCGUGGAAAAAUAAAAUUUGUUGACAAGCAAGAAAAUAUUUUUAUAUUUUAAAAUUUAUUAUGCAUAUUUUAUCAUAUUAAAGUAGUUUUAAUAAUAAAUAGAAACAUAAUAUUACGAUAAAUAAAUUAAAAUUUAACUUAUUUUGAAUAUUAUAAAAAAAAUUUUAAUAUUAUUAAUAGGAAGACAUUGUAUUAAUUUUAAAAUUUUUUAACCCAAAGGUUUAUUUAAAAUCUUUAUUAUAAAUACAAAUAUAAAAUUAAAUAUCAUAAUUUAAAAAUUUUAAUAUUAUUUUAAGUAUUAAAAAUAUUUUAAUGUUAUUAGUCUACUACAUAGAUCAUAUUACUUAUAUAAUAUUUGUAUUAUUAAAAAUUCUUAAAAUCAAAUUUUUAGUUAGUAUAUUCAUGAGGUAUUAUGGUUAAAAAAAAAAAAGACCUUAUUAUUACUUUUUAAAAAAUUGAGGGUCUGCGUGAUAAUUUUUUCAAAAAGAAAAUGCUUGGUAUGUAGGAGGGGUAGAGAAACAGGACUCCCAAAAUCUCUCACCCUUCUUUAAUUAAAAAUAAAUAAAAUAUUAAUAAAAAAUAAUAAAGAAAAUAGAAUUUUAUCUGCUCCUUACUCCAUUUUUGUAACUCUCUCACCAUCUCUGUCGAGCAGCCCUCUCUUUCGUUGUCUCUCACUAUUUCACGAUCUCUCUCUCACUCACACAGUCCUUUAAAAAAGCCCAAAAUAGGCCCAAUAAGCCCAUAAUUAAAAUAAUCGAAUCGAAUUAUUUUAAUUAAUCGAGUAUUUGAUUAUUUCGGUAAUUUAAUUAAUCGCAAUUAUGAUUUUAAAAUAAUCGUAAUCGAACGAUUAUGAAAAAUUUAGUAAAAAAACCGAACUGAACCGAACCGCACCCACCCCUACAUAAAAGAACAUCAAUUACUUGUCAUUUUCAAUUUUUUCUAUAAGCUAUUUAUUUUGAGCAUUAGUGAUCUUGUCUGGACUACUCCAAUUAUUGACGUAACUCCAGUGGCUGCAUCCACUGGAAAAAGUGGAUGAUAACAUUUUUUUUUUUUUCAUAAAGGUAACUACUCCAAUUAUUGACAUAAUUGAUGGUGCUUAAAUCAAUUUUUUUUUUAAUUUAAAGAAUUUUGCUUUAAAAAAUAAUUAAUAUCAAAAUGCCUUCAAUGUUGUUACCGCCACAAGCCCAGUUAGAGGACUCAUUAAAACUUUUAGAAUUUUUAGGCCUGGAAAGCAUAGUAUUAAACAUCAGAAAGCAAAGGUUGUUAUGUCGAAGAAUUGAUGUCGACAAAAUUUUAUUUUAGUUUUCGGAAAAAAAAAAUUUGUUGACAAGCAAGAAAAUAUUUUUUAUACUUUACAAUCUGCUAUACAUAUUUUAUCAUAUUAAAGUAAUUUUAAUAAUAUAUGGAAACAUAAUAUUAUAAUAAAUAAAUUAAAAUUAAAAUUACUUUGAAUUAUUAAAUAUUACAAAAAGAUAAUUUUAAUAUUAUUAAUAGGAAAACAUUUUUAAUUGUAAAAUCUUUUUAAUACAAAAAUUCAUUUAAAAUCUUUAUAAUAAAUACAAAUAUAAAAUUAAAAAUAUCAUAAUUUAAAAUUUUUAAUAUUAUUUUAAUAUUAAAAAUACUUUAAUAUUAUUAGUCUACUACAUAAAAUAUAUUAUUUAUAUUAUAUUCGUAUUGAUUAAAACGUUUUAAAGUCAAAUUUUUAAUUAUUGUAUUCAAAGGUACAAAAGAUUUUAGUAUUAUUUUUUAAAAAUUUUAGGAUAUGAAUGAUAAUUUUUUCGAAUUUUAAAGAUGUAAGAAUCUUUUUUUCUAAUAAUUUAUUUCACUUUUGAGAGAAUCCGAAAACGUUAAUUUAACAUUCUUUACCUUUGUGAAAAAAGUGAAAAUCAAGAACUAUUCAAUUUUGUUUUUAUUUGUAAUUCAAAAACUUUAUUCAUUUUCGAUGCUUUUCGAAAGAGAUUCCGUUAAAUCCUUUUGGUGUCGGCAGCUCCUGCUAUUCUCAUAAAUCUCCAUUCCACAUCUACACUAUCAAACAAGUUGAUGGAAAUUCUUAUAAAAAAAAAACAAGUCGAUGGAAAUUGAUCAAUUACUUUUUGAAGUGGACCCAUUGAGUCAUGUUCAUUUCUGGUCAUUGUCUACUCUUUCCAUCAGCCAUUUAUUUUGACCAUUUGCGAUCUUAAAGGAUAUGAGAACGUAGCUGAAGUGCUGAAGGGGCUAUUAAAGAAGAGUGUCACUUGAUCACAAUCACAUUGAUGCACAACUCACUCGUGGCAAAUUUCGACUAUACGUUCUGCAAAUUCAGCCAAACCAUACGUGCAUGAACAAAACUAAAAUGUAGUUCUAAUCACAACUCCAGUUAUGAUGUUUACCCCUCUGAUUUUUCUCCAAAACAAAUUCAGUUCAAAACAAUAAUCAAAAUAGCCACAUUUUGUUCGUCAAAAUAAAUGCCCAAAUUUUCAAUUAACAAAUCAUCUUCUCUAAACUAAAAAUCCCACAUCUCUAAAAUCAAUCUACAUAAUGUUGGAGAUGAGGGGUGAAUUGUUAACUCAGUAAAAAAAACUCAUGCAUAAUAUUACUAAUAAUAUAAAAUAUAUAUUAAUCAUUAUAAAGAAUCAUAAUUAGAAAAAUUAAUCAUUUUAUAAUUUAUUACACAAGUAAGAUAAAUCUCAUAAUAAGUUAUAACAUAAAAAAAACGUUAUCAAUAUAUAAUCAUUUAAGAAGUCAUUUAACAAUAAAAUCGUUCUUUAAUCAGUUGGUCAUGUCACAUAGUGUCAUCUAUAUUUACGGUGAUAAUAUUAUUACUCAGUAUUAUCAAAAAACAUGAUUUAACAUUUAGAGGAAAUUCUUGCCUUUUAAAAAAAAACAUGUAUGCAACAGCUACCCAUGCUUUAUCUUACCAUGACAAAUAUUUUCUCAAUGAAAGAAAAUUUUUUAAAAAUUGAUUUAAUGCACAAAUAUGAUGAUUUUUCCAAAAAUUAGUUUUGGAAAACAUAGUGAGAGAAAAUAGUGACGAUUAUUGUUUAGAUGUAUAAAUAGCCUAAACAUAAUCCUUAAUACCAAUAUCCUAAUGCAUCUUAUCAUCUUUCAUGAUAUUCUUUCAUUUAUGUCCAUUGGUUCAAGAUUUGAAUUUGAUCAUUAAAUCAUGUUCAAUAAUAUUAGAGAUUCUAACAAAUGAGUACCAACUUAAAUCCCAAUGUUAUGUGUCAUUGACCAAUUUUGUGUCAUUUUGUUAUUAACUAGGUGAUGAAUUUGUAGUUGAUAAAAUCACUUAAAAAUAUCUUAAAAAUCAAACAAUAGUUUGCUUAAUUUUUCCAAGUUAACUGCUCAAGAUGCUCUAUUAUAAAUAAUAACCUAAUUAUAUUCAUAAAAAAUGAUAUUUUUUUUGUGGUGUUGAUAAUGAGAUUAUCAUUCAACAUUUUAAAAUGUGAAAACAUAUGGAAGAUGGUUGUAAAUUGAUUGAAUGAAAACAUUUCAGUGAAGUCUCAAAAAUUUGGUACUUGUUGUCUUAUCGAAAGUUUUCUAAAUUAUAUUCGUGGCACAGCCACUAUCCAAACCAUACAAGUCCAAAGCUAUCCAAACCAUACCUGCAAGUCCGGGGCUUAAAUGGAGUACUUCUAAGCAAAAAAACAUUGACUAAAAUAGAAUAUAUACAUACAGACACACAUACAUACCAGCAUAUUCAAAAUAGCAAAAGGAGUGCAAAAGUUCAAGUUUGUAGACAACAUUGCAACCAUAGCAUGUUUAUAGCAAAUCCUCAAAAUCUGCUAAAUAAAACAAUGCCCUGUCUCAUGAAUCAAUGCUGAAUUAAAAUUGAAACUGAAAGUCUGGAUGGUUUUGUUUGUUGAGAAUGUCAAAUAAAACGGCAUUGAAGGAAGUUUUCAAAGGCAGAAUCCGCACUUGUCAAAGGGAUGACCUGCACUUGUCAAAGACACGAUCCGCGCCGAACGGAUCGACACAUUUCCUUCCGUAUUCACAUAUGUAAACUUUGAAAAAAUAUAGCUUCUGCAUCUAUAAAUAACGCUCAGUGUAUAAUGUUUUAUUCAAGAAAUAAAAACAAGUUUCUACAUGGUAUCAGAGCCAUGAAUGCGCUCAAGUUUCUUCAAGUUUCGCUGCUCUGUUUGUCACAAAAACAGAGGAAACCAAUUAAAUUCGUCCCACAACCAUUUUUUCCACCAUUUUCUUCCUUAAAAUCAUUCCUAACAUUACAGAAAUCCAUGCCGAUCAAAAACAUGAAAGACAAAUUACACAUGUGCAGUAACCAAUGAUCAUAUUUUGUUACUGUCAAACACAAUGCAUCUGAGCAAAACAUUGGAAGCCAACACCAGAAUACAUAUGAAUAAACAAUUAAAGAUAGAGAAAAAAGGCUUAAACCUUGGGGGAAAAAGUGAAAAAACAUGAAAGACAAAUUACACAUGUGCAGUAACCAUCGAACUUAUCAGUGACAGCUGCAUCUAUUACAUUGCUCCAACAACACAAGGGCAAACCACCAGUUUCAAAUUGAGGAUAGCUAUCGAGAAUGAGAAAGUGUCCAAAACGUCAUAAAUAGACAUGUUCCUAUUGUGCAUAAUUUACAUUAUAGGCAAAUAUUUUUAUACCAUCAAAGGCAAAACAUGACACUAACAAUUGAUCACCCCCCCCCCCCCCCCCCCCAACAACAAAAAAAAGGAAAAAACAAUACAGAAAAGAUUGAAACAGAUAAGGCUACACUGAGCACAGGAUGCCAUGAAACAUAAUCCAGGAACCAAAUUAAUAAAAAAGGAAGCCAAACCAUUAUUUAACAAUCUGUUUUGUAUUUGGGAAAGUCUGAUAAAAUCUACUUGGGGAUAAUUAGAGAACCUCAACUAUUAAUCACACCUCAUAAAUGAACUAACAUUAAACAUCUACCAUCCCAACGUCACACAAACAUUCUCUACACUUCUGAACCUAAUACUUCCAUCUUCAAUUGGGGGUUUUUUUUUUCUUUUUCUUUGGGGGGGGGGGGGGAUUGAAAUGCUGAUUUCGAAUCACUAACAGUAAAAUUGGAAGCUCAUGAAAAAAUAGUUUUAUCUCAAAAUUACAUCUCGAUAUAAAUUCUCUUUUCAUUUCCUUCAACUUUCUAAUUAAGCUUAAAAAAUGUACCUUCAACCACAAAGGGGUUUAAAAUUUAAAAUAUAAAAAAUAAAUUCAGAUAACAAUAAUUAAUUUAAUUAAAAAUAUAAAUAGAGUUACAGAGAAAGAGAAAAUAGAGAAAGACGUAAUGUUGAGUCCUUUGGCGCAAGUCUCUUCAUAGGUCCGAACCAUUUCUUCGGGCGUGGGUUUCGGGUCUUUAGGAUACUCCAUAGUGAUAAGCCAGUGAUUGUAAUCGCAACCCUCGAACAGAAUCGUGUCGGGUGUGAUCUCGUCGCCGUCCUUAUACAAGUGGUACGUCUUGUUAACCGACGGCGUAGACGAGAGGGAGAUCGUCGGGGACGAUCUGAACGGCCGAGAUUGGAUAAUGAUGGAGGAGGAGAAGAUUAGCGAUGACGACGCCGAUGAAAUGGAAGGGUUUACCAGAGGAGUGGAUGCGAAGAAUGCAGGGACGGCCGCAAAGAGAGAGCGGCGGAGAGCGGCGACGGACGGUAGUGACCGGCGGAGAGCGGAAGAUGGCGGUAUGGGCCAUUGCUUGCGCGUCAGUGAGUGUCUCGAGUGAGGAGUGAAGGGUUUUGUACUUUUGUUUAGGGUUUUGGGAAAUGAAAAAUGCAAAUGUUUGAUUUUGUUGCUAGAAACUUCUUCUGCCGCCGCUUUUUAUUUUCGCUAAAUAAUAAUAAUAAUUUGUUAAUAAAAUACUUUCUUAGAAAAGAUAAAUUUAUAGAACAAAAUUUAUAUUAAAUCAAAUUGUAAAAAUGUGGAAUAGGGCUAAUUUCUCCUGAAUAUUAUUAUUAGUAGAAGUAGAUUUUCGAAAUAGUCUUGAUAUAUUUCAAAGUUGUAUUAUAGAUGUACAUGUAUCUGGAUUGUAAUUAUAUUUUAAAAAAUAUACAUUUUUUUUCAUUAUUGCACAAUAAAUGUAGAAAGUGUCUAUAAAAUAAUAUUAUUAGAACUAUGAAAAUAUAUUAUUUUAGAGUAGUUAUUUAUUUAUUUUUGAAUAAAUAAUUUAUUAAUUUAUUAAUUUAUUGAUAAAUUAAUAAAUAUUAAUUUAAAGAGAGAUUUUUUUUUUUGGGGGUUUUUAAGAAGAGUUUUGUUGGUAUAUGUACAAACUUAUAAAGAAAUACAAAAAAUGCUUCCUCAAGUCAAUAGUAUUUACUUUAAUUCAUAAUAGUAUAGUUUAAUCAAGAAACUUAUAAUUAUACUAUAUCUUUCUUUCUUUGUUCUAUUUGGUGGGACAUUGUGAUAAAUCAUUGGAUUAAAAUGCAUUUCUAAAUGAAAACUUGUUAAAACCUAAUUUAUUUGGGAACGACAUUUUAUUUGUCAGUCGUAUUUCUCAACUUCGUAAGUUAUUUCUAAUUUAUCGGUCUCUAUUGGUUCUCUUAAGUACCUAUUUGGCAUGACUUAUUUAAUAGUAAUAAGUGCUUAUUUAAUCUCAUAAGUUUUUUCCCUCUCUGACAAUUGAGUUAGGGGGUCAAACUUGAAAGUAUCUUAAAAUUAGACAACAAUUUAACUAUUUUUUUUUUUUUAGAUAACUGCUAAUAUGCUCUAUUAGACAAUGAUGAGUGAUAACCUAGGUGUUUGCAUUUAAAGGGAUACUUUUUGUGGUGUUGAUAAAGAGGUUAAGUAUGAUUCAACAAUUUAAAAUAUGAAAACAUAUGGAAGACGGCCGCAAUUAAAUUAAUUGUAUGAAAAUAUUUCAAUGAAAUUUUAAAAAUUUAGUAUUUGUUAUCUUAUCGAGAGUUUUUUAAAAUUAUAUUACUACUUGAACUUGACUGCUUUUGUAUUUAAUUCCUACCGUUGCCAUUGCUUCUACUCAAAAGCCAUUUAAGUUUGUGUAAGCUACGUAUAGUUUGAACAACAAUUUACUCAUGAAUUGUUGUUCAUAAUAGCAUCAGUGCAUGCAUCAUUUUAAUGAGAAAGAAUAUUCUAAGAACGAAAUUGAACGUGGGAGGUAUCGGGAAGGAAUUGGAAUGGAAUAAUAUCGAUUCAUAUAGAUACAGAAGAAAAAGUUCUCUAUUGAUUCAAAUGCUGUGCCUAUGGGAUAAGGAUAGAGAAAGAGGAAAAAACCGAAGCCAGAAAUGUACACGCAUGAGGAACUUUUCCUAGAAGAUUGAUAUUUCUUUGACUAGCAAACCAUACAAGUCCAAAGCUAGCCAAACCAUACCUGCAAGUCGGGGGUUUAAAUGGAAUACUUCUAAGCAUAAAACAUUGAUUAAAACAGAAUACACACAUACAUACCAGCAAAUUCAAAAUAGCAAAAGGAGUGCAAAAGUUCAAGUUUGUAGACAACAUUGCAACCAUGGCAUGUUUAUAGCAAAUCCUCGAAAUCUGCUAAAUAAAACAAUGCCCUGUCUCAUGAAUCAAUGCUGAAUUAAAAUUGAAACUGAAAGUCCGGCUGGCGUUGUUUCCCUCUCCAAUUUUGCCUACAUAAGUGAAAAUAAGAAUAAUAAAUGAAAAUCUGCUUUUACGGUUCUUAUUAGAUAGAUAAAAGGGGGAUCUUUCUUUGUUUCUCUGCUGCAAUGUGUGGCUAUCCCACUCUGUUUUGCCACCCAAGCUGAGUCUAUGCUGAGACAUAAUUUUGACAUCAGAAGCAAUCUCAAUUAGUUUGGCACUUUUAAGCAAUCUCAUAUUUUGCUCACUUGAAGGUUUUACGAUAAACAUAAAUCUACAGAGAAAGUGGGAAAAAAAAAAGAAAAUGCAUAUAAAUAUAUGAGUUAUCAGAUAAGAUUAAAACUCACCCAAUUCAAUCCAUCAGAUUCCGUAAGGAUAUAACUGGAUGUCAUACCGCCACUCCAUAUCCUUGAAAGUCCGUAGUGUUUGUCUCAACUCUGUCUGAGGCCAAUGUAAAUUCAAUUUGCGCAAGCUCUUUAUGCACCACAGCUCUUCUGGAAGCUUUCUCAAGUAAGCACAUGGGUUGACAAUUAAGCUUUCAAGUUUCGGCAUUGCUCCAGCCCCCAUCGUCCACUCAUCUAGCCAAUACAUUGAUUUCAGGUGCAAAACCUUAAGUUCCGGAAAGCUACUCAAGCCAACACAAGCAAGCUUUCUUCCUAAAUACGAGUUCUGCUUCAGUUUCAGCACUCGAAGGCGUGGAAGAUUUUCCAGAAUUGGCAUGGGAUCCUCCAUUAGCUCAGUAUUUGAUAAGCUCAGUUGGAUCAGACUUGGGGGAAAUUGGUAUUCAGACAGGACCAUCCGUGAGGGCUUGCUCUCAUUCACCAGCUUCAAGCAUUCAAGUUUGUGGAGUUCGCAAAGGCUUUUGGAAACCGCAGAUUGAUAGUAACUCAAAUCUCCAGAUAUCCGAAGAGUCUGAACACUAGGUAGUCUGCCCAAUAUAUCAGGAGUACAACUACUAGGGUUUAAAGCUGAUAUGAAAAUGAGAUUUUUCAGAGAGCUGGAAUAAUUUUUUGGAGGUGCGGGCAGAGUGAUAGAACCAAAGUUUAGAUGCAUGAGUUUUUGCAUCAUCCAAAUAUCCUCUGGUGACUGAUCUAUGUAGCUAGAUGGCAUUUCUAGUGUUUCAAGGUUUAAAAGGGUGCAUAGCAGCGAAGGAAGGCGUUUGAGCAAAGGGAUAUUCAAUUUCAAAUACUUCAAAAGGAAUAAAUUUUCUAAUCCGGGUGGAAAUUGGUCGAGAACUGCAGAACCGAAGUUCAGUACCCGAAGGUGUUUGAACUUUUUACAAAAAUUCUCGCAAUCUAUCACAGCGAGAUGAUCGCCUUCUAAACUUUGAUUGAUAAAAGAUUGGAGAUAGAUCUCACCAUGUUCUAAAGAAAUGAAGUCAGUCAGAUGUUCCAAAAUGAUGUAGCGUUUAACAUUUGCAAAUGGUUCCGCUUCCAUUCCAGGCAUCCAGAGAAAUUUCGUCUUGUCUGCCACCAAACCCAAUGAAGUAUAUACAAAACUUGGAACAUAGCAAGCUUUAAUUGUGCCGCCGGCUCUUCUCUUACUCACUUGAAUGAAGCCGCGAUGGAUUAGUUCUUUCAAGUAAUGUUCGGCAGUUUCUUCACCGUUGUAUGGUAUGAAACCUUCAGCUACCCACAACUGAUAUAAUUGCUCCGUAGAUAUCUCCAUACUUGGAGGGAAGACCAACAAAUAGAUGCAGCAGACCUUCAAGUGAAAAGGUAACUCCAUCACAGAAAAAAUUUGUCUCCAAACUGUCGGAAUCGCUUCGCCUUGAAGAUAAUUUUCUAAUGGCAUACUUCCAUAGUGUAGGAUGAAAAAUUGCCAGGCUUCAUGCUUUAAUCUUAUCAAUGGUCCUCCAAUGAGCACUGAAUCACGCCGAAUUUCCUCUCCAUUUUCCAUUUCCAACGACACAAGGAGGUCUGGUUCAGUGACUGUUAUCAAUACUCUGCUUCCAUUCUCAUCAUCAGGGAGAACUUCUUCCAGAUCAUCCCAUAUCUCACAGUCAUCGAAGACGUCAUCAAGCACAAUAAAAUACUUCUUGUUUGUUAGGUAAUCUCGAAGAAUAGAUUCCUUGAAUUGAUAAUCUUCACCGAUAAUUACACUAACCCGAGAUGGAGGCAUCACAGACUUGAUUAUGUCAUCCAAUAUCUUGCGAAAAUCGUAGAGUAGAGAAACCCUGACCCAAGCAAGACAGUCAAAAUAGAACUUGACAUAGUUAUUAUUGUAAGUAUCUGCAGCAAAAGCAGUCUUAUCGAAGCCACUGCUGUCGAGAAUUGCAACCACUGAAAGCCCAGAUGGUCCCUCAAUCAAUAGAUCAAACAACUCCUCUCUGCCCCUUUCAAAUUCACUGAUAUCAAGCCGAGGAUGUCCCUCAUUCAAUAGGCGAAUCAUUUCGUUACUUUUUUCACUGAUAUCAAAACCAUUGUCGCCGGGUGGAAGUUGUUGCAUCCGAUUUCUAAUAUCAAUGAUUUCACUGUGGAGUCCAUCAGGAAGAGCCAUAUUAGUGCUGCUUUCACUUUCGUUUUCACUGUUUUGCUGCUGCAUGAUGUUGAUGAAGAAUGUGUCAAUGACUUCCUCAGAGUCACGGACAAAGUUAUUGAUGUCCUUCAGAAUUUCAAAAAUAUCUGCUGUUUCAACGUCUUCUUCAUCGCUUUCUUCUAAGUCCAACAGUUGCAAAAAAGGCAAAGAUAUUUUGGAGUCAUCGAUAUCUUCUCUAAGGAGUUGAAUCAAAUGCCGAGCCAUGUCGGCUUCAUAGUUUCCCAGAAGAGUAGUAGCAAUAAUUUCGGACUCCGUAAGAAGGUUUUGAAAAAGUGGAGUUAAAUUUGUUGAAUCUGGCAGAGGCAACGUGCCUUCUUCACCUGCUAACACCCUUUUCAACCUCUCACAAAACAGUCGGAGGUGGACGUCCAGCAUAUCUCCUUCUCUCUGUAGCACCCAGAGGUAUUGUUUUUUGCUCCAAGAAAUAUUAAAAGGAUUGGUUCUAUCUAAAAGUGGUUACUGGUGUAAAAUUAAACGCCAUGGGAGAAUUUGAAAGGAAGAUGCCAAGGAACUGGCGAAGUGGCUAAAUUCCACAAAUACGGCAUUAUUGCUCAUUUUUAACUCAAAAAAUUGAUACGCCUUCAUUUAGCGAAAAGUCCAAGACGCUUGCCUUUUGAAAAGAAGAGGUAUCCAUAGAUAUCCAACAUUUAUCUUAUUUUAAUUACUACCACGACAUGAUUGAUGGUUGUUAAAUCAAUUGUUUCUUUUUUAAUUUAAAGAAAUUUUCAUUAAAAAAUAGUUUAAUAGACACAUAAUAUUACAAUAAAUAAAGUAAAGUUUAAAUUAUUUUGAAUAUUAUAAAAAAUAAUUUUAAUAUUAUUAAUAGGAAGACAUUUUGUUAAUUUUAAAAUCUUUUUAACCCAAAGGUUUAUUUAAAAUCUUUAUUAUAAAUACAAAUAUAAAAUUAAAUAUCAUAAUUUAAAAUUUUUAAUAUUAUUUUAAGUAUUAAAAAUAUUUUAAUGUUAUUAGUCUACUACAUAGAUUUUAUUAUUUAUAUUAUAUCUGUAUUGAUUAAAAUUUUUUAAAGUCAAUUUUUUAGUCAAUAUAUUCAAGAGGUAUUAUAGUUAAAGAAAAGAUUUUGGUGUUAUUUUUUGAAAAUUUUAAGGUUUAAAUGAUUUUUUUUUUAAUUUUAAGGAUGUGGGUAUUAUUUUUCCGACAAUUUAUUUUAUUUUUGGGGAAUCCGAUGAGAAAUAUCAUGAGAGAAGGUUAAUUUUACAUUCUUUACCUUUAUGAAAAAAGUGGAAACCAAGAACUAUUCAAUUUUGUAUUUUUUGUUUGUAAUUCAAAAAAUGCAUCCACCAAACAAGCUUAUCUUGAUUUUCCCACUUUAUUCAUUUUCGAUCCUUUAAUCCAUCUAGCAUCUGCAGCCCCCGCUAUUUUCACAAAGAGUAAUGAUACAGCCACAAAUUCUUGUACAAAUUUAUUUUGUAUAAACUGACGUGGCAUGAUAAGAUUGGUUGAAUUAAAUAUCACUUGGCCCACAUGAUUUGUUUUUAUUAUUUUAUAUUUUUAUUCAACCAAUGAAUUAAUGCCACGUCAGUUUGUACAAAAUAAAUUUGUACAAGAGUUUGUGGCUGUAUCAUUACUCUGUCAAGAAUCUCCAUCCCACAGCUACACUAUCAAACAAGUUGAUGGAAAUUGAACAAUUGCUUUUUGAAGUGGACCCAUUAGGUUAUGUUCAUUACUGGUCAUUGUCUAUUCUUUCUAAGAGCCACUUAUUUUGAGCAUUAGCGAUCCUAUCUGGACUACUCCAAUUAUUGAUGUAACUCCAAUGGUUGCAUCAACAGUUGAAUGUAAGAUAGUGUCAGUUCUUUUUUGAGAAUAUAGAGGGAUCUUUAUUUGUUUCUCCGUUGCAGCGUAUUAGUAUAAAUUUCUUGACCUUACAGUUCCUACAGUCUUCCUGUUAAUGAAUUCGCUGAGGCAUUAUUGAUCCAAUCUCAGUGAAGUAAUUGUGGGUGAAAAAAAAAUAAAGGAUAAGAGAACGUAGCUCAAGUGCUGAAUUGACUAUUAAAGAAGAGCGUCACCUGAUCACAAUCACAUUGAUGCACAACUCACUCGAGGCAAAUUUCAUCUAUAUAUACUGCAAAUUCAGCCAAGCCAUGCAUGCAUGAACAAAACUAAAAUGAAGUUCAUAAUCACAACUGUAAUUAGAGCUACAAAAGGUGGCAAACCAUACAUGCAUGAACAAAAUUAGACAUAAAUUGAAGCCACAACAUUAAUUGAAGCCACAAAAGCCAGCAAAUCCAAAUGAAAACUUAAAAGGAAGAUCUUAUCGAAGUUUGUCCCCAAAAGACAGCGGAAAUGAAAAAUAUUGACUAUCGAGUGGAUCAAUGCUGAAUUACAUUUGACCUGGAAAGCUUGGCUGCAGUUGCGAUGUUCCCCCUCUGAUUUUCCCUAAAACAAAUUCAGUUGUAAACAAUAACUGGAGUAGCAACAAUUUAUUCAUUAUAGAAAAUACCUAAAUUUUCAACUAUCAAAUCCUCUUGUCUAAACUAAAAAACUCAUAUCUCUAAAAUCUAUAUACAAAAUGUCAUAAAUGAGGGUGAUCUCUCAAUUCGGUAAACAAAUUCAUGCAUAAUAUUACCAAUAAUGAUAAAUUACAUAAUAAUUAUUAUAAAGAAUCAUAAAUUGGAAACAUUAAUCAUUUUAAAAUCUAUUACAUAAUAAAAAUAAAUCUUAUAAUAAGUUACGUUAGAACAUAACAAAUAUUUAAAAUGAUAUAUAUAAUUAUUUAAGAAGUCUUUUAACAAUAAUUUUUUUUUUCUUUUUCAGUUGAUCAUGUCAUAGCGUUAUCUAAAAUGCUAGCGAUAUCAUUAUUCCCCACUUUUCUCAAAAAAAAGAAAAAGAUAAAGAAAAAAGAAAUAUGAUUAACGUUUGGAGAAAAGUCAUGCCUUUUAAAAAGAAUAUGUAUACAAUACCAAUUCAUACUUUAUCUUACCAUAAAAAAAUUGUUUAAAAUAGAUUUAAUGCACAAAUAUGAUGACUUUUGGCAGAAAUGAGUUUCGGAAAUAUUGGGAUGAAAACCAUAUUGGUUCAGACUUAAAAUUACUUAAUAAAAUUACUUAACUACCAUUUAAUAAAUAAAAAUCAUAUUAGUUGAAAGUUAAAUUAAGAUUUAAAUGUUGAGAUAUCUAACGUUACUCAAUCAGAAUAAACAAUAAUCAAUUCAAAUUAUGACUAUCAUGUAGAAGCAAAUGUUUAUGCUUGGGUCUUUUACUUCUUGAAUUUGAUUGGAAAAAUUUCUGAGACAGGGAAGUGAGUGUUUUGGAUAAUAUUUUUCGGGAUUGAAACCACAAGUUGGUCGAGGAAAAUAAUUUUGGACAAAUUUUUAUUAUAUUGUAGAACCUUUUUGGUUCCUUUUGUGUCGGCAGCCCCUCACUAUUCUCUUAACCCUGAGUUUUGAGAUAGAAAUUUCCCGAACUCCAACCCCACAUCCACAGACAAGUUGAUUGAAACAAUUGCUCUUGUAAUUAAGAGGAUGAGUUAGGGUUCAGUUCUUAUCAUUGUCUGUUAUUUCUUUGAAUCAUUAUCUUAGUUAAUUACAUCAAUUGUUUCUUUUCUUAAUUUAAAGAAUUUUUCUUUUAAAAAAAUAUUUUAAUAUCAAAAUGCGUUAAAUGGUAUUACUGCCGCAAUCCCAGUAACAGGAUUAAUUAAAAAAAUAUUCUUAGGAAGAUAUUUUGUUUAUUGUAAAAUCUUUUUAACCCAAAGGUUUAUUUAAAAUCGUUAUAAUAAAUAAAAAUAUAAAAAAAAAUAAAUAUCAUAAUUUAAAAUUUUAAUAUUAUUUUAAAUAUUAAAAAUACUUUAAUGCUAUUAGUCUACUACACAGGUUAUAUUACUUAUAUUAUAUUUGUAUAAAUUAAAACUUUUAAAGUUAAAUUUUUAAUUACUAUAUUGAAAAGGUAUUAUGGUUAAAAAAAGUUUUGGCAUUUGUUUUUUGAAAAUUUGAGGGUCUGCAUGACAAUUUGUCCAAAUCCUAGAGGUAUAGGUGUCUUUUUUUUUCGAUAAUUCAUUUUACUUUUGAGGGAAUCCGAUGAGAAAUAAGAUAAGAGAAACGUCAAUUUAACGUUCUCUAGGGAAAACCAAGAACUAUUCAAUUUUGUAUUUUUUGUUUGUAAAACAAAAAACAGUUUGCCAAAAAAGGUACCAAACAUAUCCUUAAUGUCUCACAUGAUUUCUUAUUAAGUCCAUACUCGAUAUAUUUAUACAUUUUAGGUAUUUUAGUUAUAAAAGAAGUUGGUCCUCCCUCUGUUUAUAAAAGGUAACUUUAUUUCGAGAUUACCACUAAAGUCUUACAAAGAAUUAGUGUAAUGUUAAGAGAGACUAACACAGUUUUCCAUUACCAUUUUGAAAAUAGAAAGAUAUGGAUGUGUGCAUUUAAUGGUGCGUUUACUUGCCGGAUUGGGGAAUCAGAAUCUGGAAUCAGAAUGAUUGAUGGUGUUUACUUCACAAAUAUGGAGCAGGAAUCGGAAUUGGAAUGGUGGGGCCCACCACUAUUUGGGAAUGGGAGAUUGAUUCCCAUGGGGGAAGGUGGGAAUGAGUCUCUCAUUCCCUGGAUUGACCAUUUUGCCCUCCCUCAAAAUUAAAAAUGCCUACUUUGUCCUCUUUUAUAAUUAAUUAAUAUAAUAUUAUAAUUAAUUAAUUAAUAUAUAAAUAUUUUAUUAACUAUAAUUAUUAAAAAUUAUAGUUCUUGAAUAAAUAAUCACAAUAAUUAAUUUAUUAUUAUUAUUGUUAAUGAAUUAAUAUAAUUAUUACUAUUAAUUAAUAUAUUAAUAUAUUAUUAACAAUAAUAUAUUAAUAAUUAUUGUUCGUGAAUAAAUAAUCACAAUAAUUAAUAUAUUAUUAUUGAAAUUAAUUAAUUAAUAUACUAUUAUAAUAAUUAUUAUAAUUAAUUCAUAUAUUAUUAUUAAUUAAUUAAUAAAAUUAAAAUUAUUAAUUAAAUAAAUAAUAUAAUUAUUACUACUAAUUAAUAUAUUAAUAUAUUAUUAAAAAUAAUUAUUAAUAAUUAUAAUUUUUGAAUAAAUAAUCACAAUAAUUAAUAUAUUAUUUUAAUUAAGUAAUUAAUAUUAAUAUUAUUAGUUAAUAUAUUUUUAUAAUAAUUUUUGAUAUAGUUAUUAUAAUUAAUUAAAAUUUUUUACAAUUAAUUAAUAUAUUAGUUAAUAAUAAUUAUGACAAUAAUUCAUUAAGUACUUUUUAGUAAUUUGUUACAAUCUAAUUCAUUCCGAUUCCGAUUUCAAGACAAAGUAAACACAUUAAUGGCAAUCUAGCUCAUUCCGAUUUCGAUUCUUACAGUUCAAGUAAACAACUUAUUUUGAUUCCCAUUACCUAUUCCCAUUCCAGCCCAUUCUCAUUUCUGCCCAUUUCAAUUCCAGCUCAUUCCGAUUCCAGUUUAGUAAACGCAGCAUAAGAGUUAUCAUGAAAAUCAUACAAUUUAAUUUCCUGAAAUAUAUAUUUUAUUCACAUGUGCCAAAAGAAUAAAUAGAUAGAAAGUAAAUUUACAAUCCUCACUCCCUCAUAAUUGUUAAAGUGAAUAUGCAUUACAACUGUGAACUGUCACUACUUUAGCCCUUUAUUUGUUUUUUCAAUUAUAGUGUGAUGGAGACAGUGAACAUUAAGGAUAAAGUGCUCUGCUGAAAGCCAAACUUCCUUUGGCUAAUUAAUUUAGAAGUAAAGCAGAGAAUAAAGUCCUUGAUGCCUUCUGAAAUUAGAAAUACAUUUUAUAUGCUUUAAUUAUGAUUAUUUGGUAGACUAUUGACCAAAAGACAUGUUAAAGUAUAAAACAGAGCGAUUAAAGAAAAAAAAAAGGAGCGUUUGUGACGUAGAAUAACAAUUUGUAAGCAAAGUCCUAAUUUGAGUUGUCAAAAAGCAAACAUAACAGAGAAGGUAAGAGAGAUGCAAAAACAGAAAACUAUUAGCUUAUCUUGAUUUUCCCACUAUAUUCAUUUUCGAUGCUUUUCAAACGAGAUUCUUUUAAUCCUUCUGGCGUCUGCAGCCCCUGCUCUUCUUAUAAAUCUCCUUCCCACAUCUGCACUACGAACAAGUUGACUAAAAUUAAAUAAUGUUGGAGACGAGGGGUGAGCCGUCAACUUAUUAAAAAAAACUCAUGUAUAAUAUUAUCAAUAAUAUAAAAUAUAUAAUAAUUAUUAUAAAGAAUCAUAAAUUAGAAAAAUUAAUUAUUUUACAAUUUAUUUCUUAAGUAAGAUAAAUCUCGUAAUAAGUUAAGUUUAAUGUAAAAAAUAUUUUCAAUUUAUAAUCAUUUAAGAAGUCAUUUAACAAUAAAAUCUUUUUUUUGAUCAGGUGGCCAUGCCAUAGAGUAUCAUCUAUAUUCGUGGUGAUAUUAUUAUUACUCAAUAUCCUCAAAAGACACUAUUUAACAUUUAGAGAAAAUUUCUGCCUUUUAAAAAGAACAUGUAUGCAAUAGCUAGCCACACUUUAUUUUACCACGACAAAAUUGAUAGUGAUUAAAUCAAUUUUCUCAAUUAAAGAAAUUUUUUUUAAAUUGAUUUAAUGCACAAAUAUGAUGAGUUUUUGCAAAAAUUAGUUUUGGAAAAUAUAGUGAGAGAGAAUGGUGACGAUUAUUUUUCAGAUGUGCAAAUAGCCUAAACAUAAUCUCUAAUACCAAUAUCCUUGUGCAUCUUAACACCUUUCAUGAUAUUCUUUCAUUCAUAACCAUUUGUUCAAUAUUUGAAUUUGAUUAUUAAAUUAUGUUCAAUAAUGUUAGAGACCCCAACAAUUGGGUACCAACUUAAAUCCCAAUGCUAUGUGUCAAUGUAACAUAGCAAAAUCCCAUUAACAAAUGUUGUGUCAUUUAUCAUUAUUGAAUGAAUAAUUCGUUAAUUUAUUGAUAAAUGAAAAUUUAUUAAUUUAAAGAGAGAUUUUUUUUUUUGGUUUUAAGAAGAGUUUUGUUGGUACAUGUACAUACUUAUAAAGGAAAAACUUGUAAUUAUACUAUAUCUUUCUUUCUUUGUUCAGUUUGGUGGGAUAUUGUGAUAAAUCAUUGGAUUAAAAUGCAUUUCUAAAUUGAAACUUGUUAAAAUCUAAUUUAUUUGGGAAACGCAUAUUAUUUGUCAGUCGUACUUCUCAACUUAGCAAGUUAUUUCUAACUUGUCGGUCUCUAUUGGUUCUCUUAAAACUAAUAGUCUCGUAUCUCCCGCAUUUGAUAUCUUGCCAUUACUGUUGGCAUUAACAUGUUACCUGAGAUUGGGAUUCAUUAAAAUCCUCAAUGUAAUCGGUGGAACGAAUGGAUUUCUUCUGUUCACCAAUCCACCAAAAUUUCUGUAAUUAAAUUCAAAAGUCAAGAUCUAUGCUUAUAAUCUAUUCAACAGCUAAUAUUCUAUUUUAUAUUUACUUAAAUAUGAAGAGCUAUGCUUGUAGUUAACUUCAAAUGUGAUCGAAGCAGCCUUACAUCUAUAUAUUACUUAUGCCCAACCUUUUUUUUUGACUUCAUAUACAUUCUUUUCAUGUUAUUUACUCUUUUUUCCCCCUCUCUGACAAUUGAGGUAGGGGGUCAAACUUGAAAGUAUCUUAAAAUCAGACAAUAAUUUUUUUUUUUUAAAGAUAGCUACUAAUAUGCUCUAUUAGACAAUGAUAAGUAAUAACCUAGUUGUUUGCAUUAGAAAUGAUAUUUUUUGUGGUGCUGAUAAAGAGGUUGAUUAUGAUUCAACAAUUUAAAAUAUGAAAACAUGUGGAAGACGGCCGCAAUUAAAUUGAUUGUAUGAAAAUAUUUCAAUGAAAUUUUAAAAGUUUAGUACUUGUUAUCUUAUCGAGAGUUUUUUUAAAUUAUAUUACUACUUGAACUUGACUGCUUUUGUAUUGAAUUCCUACCGUUGCCAUUGCUUCUACUCAAAAGCCAUUUAAGUUUGUGUAAGCUACCUAUAGUUUGAACAACAAUUUACUCAUGAAUUGUUGUUCAUAUUAGCAAUUUGAUUGAAAGUGCGGCUGCACUAAUUUUCUAGAUGAAUUUUUUCCUACAUGCUUGUUCUCGUAUGACCCAAAAUCCUACUACAUCAGUUGUAUUAGAAAUUAAUCAACUGGGUUACAAUUAUGCAUCCCCACCAAUAUUUAAGCAAUUUAAUUACAGAAAUAUUUCUUGAGGAAAGAAACUCAUAUCGCCACUAGGCUUGUAAUGAGGCUCAUUUUUAUGAAUCUGGAUGGCAUUAGAUAUCUCUACGAAUAUUGGUGGGAGUAGAUCGCAGAUCUCUGGGCUAUACUACAAAGUUUAUGUACGUUGACUCUCAAUAAAUACAAACGAUUCUCUGAUAUGAUUCAAACAUCAGUGCAUGCAUCAUUUUAAUGAGAAAGAAUAUUCUAAGAACGAAAUUGAAGGUGCAAUCAGCAGCUAAAAUGAAGCCAGAAAUGUACAUGCAUGAGGAAUUUUUCCUAGAAGAUUGAUAUUUCUUUGACUAGCAAACCAUACAAGUCCAAAGCUAGCCAAACCAUACCUGCAAGGUGGGGGUUUAAAUGGAAUACUUCUAAGCAUAAAACAUUGAUUAAAACAGAAUACACACAUACAUACCAGCAAAUUCAAAAUAGCAAGAGGAGUGCAAAAGUUCAAGUUUGUAGACAACAUUGCAACCAUGGCAAGUUUAUAGCAAAUCCUCGAAAUCUGCUAAAUAAAACAAUGCCCUGUCUCAUGAAUCAAUGCUUAAUUAAAAUUGAAACUGAAAGUCUGGCUGACGUUGUUUCCCUCUCCAAUUUUGCCUACAUAAGUGAAAAUAAGAAUAAUAAAUGAAAAUCUGCUUUUACAGUUCUUAUUAGAUAGAUAUAAAUGGAUCUUUCUUUGUUUCUCUGCUGUAUUUUGUGGCUAUCCCACUCUGUUUUGCCAGUCAAGCUGAGUCUAUGUUGAGACAUAAUUUUGACAUCAGAAGCAAUCUCAAUUAGUUUGGCACUUUUAUGACCUCCUUAAAGGUUUUACAAUAAACAUAAAUCUACUGAGAAAGUGGGAAAAAAAAGAAAAUGCAUAUAAAAAUAUGAGUUAUCAGAUAAGAUUAAAACUCACCCAAUUCAAUCCAUCAGAUUCCGUAAGGAUAUAACUGGAUGUCAUACCGCCACUCCAUAUCCUUGAAAGUCCGUAGUGUUUGUCUCAACUCUGUCUGAGGCCAAUGUAAAUUCAAUUUGCGCAAGCUCUUUAUGCACCACAGCUCUUCUGGAAGCUUUCUCAAGUAAGCACAUGGGUUGACGAUUAAGCUUUCAAGUUUCGGCAUUGCUCCAGCCCCCAUCGUCCACUCAUCUAGCCAAUACAUUGAUUUCAGGUGCAAAACCUUAAGUUCGGGAAAGCUACUCAAGCCAACACAAGCAAGCUUUCUUCCUAAAUACGAGUUCUGCUUCAGUUUCAGCACUCGAAGGCGUGGAAGAUUUUCCAGAAUUGGCAUGGGAUCCUCCAUUAGCUCAGUAUUUGAUAAGCUCAGUUGGAUCAGACUUGGGGGAAAUUGGUAUUCAGACAGGACCAUCCGUGAGGGCUUGCUCUCAUUCACCAGCUUCAAGCAUUCAAGUUUGUGGACUUCGCAAAGGCUUUUGGAAACCCCAGAUUGAUAGUAACUCAAAUCUCCAGAUAUCCGAAGAGUCUGAACACUAGGUAGUCUGCCCAAUAUUUCAGGAGUACAACUACUAGGGUUUAAAGCUGAUAUAAAAAUGAGUUUUUUCAGAGAGCUAGAAUAAUUUUUUGGAGGUGCGGGUAGAGUGAUAGAACCAAAGUUUAGAUGUAUGAGUUUUUGCAUCAUCCAAAUAUCCUCUGGUGACUGAUCUAUGUAGCUAGAUGGCAUUUCUAGUGUUUCAAGGUUUAAAAGGGUGCAUAGCAGUGGAGGAAGGCAUUUGAGCGAAGGGAUAUUCAUUUUCAAAUACUUCAAAAGAUAUAAAUUUUCUAAUCCAGGUGGAAAUUGGUCGAGAACUGCAGAACCGAAGUUCAGUACCCGAAGGUGUUUGAACUUUUUACAAAAAUUCUCGCAAUCUAUCACAGCGAGAUGAUCGCCUUCUGAACUUUGAUUGAUAAAAGAUUGGAGAUAGAUCUCACCAUGUUCUAAAGAAAUGAACUCAGUCAGAUGCUCCAAAAUGAUGUACCGUUUAACAUUUGCAAAUGGUUCCGCUUCCCUGUCAGGCAUCCAGAGAAAUUUCGUCUUGUCUGCCAUCAAACCCAAUGAAGUAUAUACAAAACUUGGAACAUAGCAAGCUGUAAUUGUGCCGCCGGCUCUUCUCUUACUCACAUGAAUGAAGCCGCGAUGGAUUAGCUCUUUUAAGUAAUGUUCGGCAGUUUCCUCACCGUUGUAUGGAAUAAAGCCUUCAGCUAUCCACAACUGACAUAAUUGCCUGGUAGAUAUCUCAAUGCCUGGACGGAAGACACACAAAUAAAGGCAGCAGACUUUCAAGUGAAAAGGUAACUCCAACACAGAACAAAUUCGACUCAAGAGUGUCAAAACCACUUUUUCAUCCAUAUAAUUUACUAAUGGGGCACUUCCAUAGUGUAGGAUGAAAAAUUUCCAGGCUUCAUGCUUUAAUCUGAUCAAUGGUCCUCCAACAGGCACUGAAUAAAGCGGAAUGAUCCCUCCAUGCUCCAAUUCAAAAAAGGUAAGGAGGAAUGGAUCAGUGACCAAUAUCAAUACUCUGCUUCCAUUCUGCUUAUCAGGAAGAACUUCUUCAAGAUCAUCCCAUAUGUCACUGUCAUUGAAGACAUCAUCAAGCACAAUAAAGUACUUCUUGUUUGUCAGGUAAUCUCGAAGAAUAGAUUUCUUCAAGUGAUAAUCUUCACCGAUAAUUACCCUAGCCCGAGAUGGAGGCAUUAAAGAAUUGAUUAUGUCAUCCAAUAUCUUGCCAAAAUAGUAGCCUAUAGAAACCCUUACCCAAGCAAGACAGUCAAAAUAGAACUUGACAUGAUUAUUAUUGUAAAUAUCUGCAGCAAAAACAGUCUUAUGGAAGCCAUUGCUGUCGAGAAUUGCAAUCACUGAAAGCCCAGAUGGUCCCUCAAUCAAUAGAUCAAACAACUCCUCUCUGCCCCUUUCAAAUUCACUGACAUCAAGCCAGUGUUGUCCCUUACUCAAUAGGCGAAUGAUUUUGUUACUUUGUUCAGUGAUAUCAAAACCAUUGUCGCUGGGUGGAAGUUGUUGCAUUCGAUCUCUAAUAUCAAUGAUUUUACUGUGGAGUCCAACAAGAAGAGCCAUAUUAGUACUGCUUUCACUUUCGUUUUCACUGUUUUGCUGCUGCAUGAUGUUGAUGAAGAAUGUGUCAAUCGCUUCAUCAGAUUCAUGGACAAAGUGAUUGAUGUCGUCCAGAAUUUCCAAAAUGUCCCGUCUUUUUACGUCUUCAUCAGUGUCUUCUAAGUCUAACAGUUGCAGACAAAGCCAAGCCAUUUCAGCUCCAUUGAGUUGUUCUCUAAUGAUGCGUCGAAUCACACGACGAGUCAUGUCACCUUCAUAGUUCCCGAGCAGAGUAGUAAUAAUUUCAGUCUCCGUAAAAAGGUUUUGAAAAAGCGGGGCUAAGUUUGUUGAAUCAGGCAACGUUAACGUGCCUUCUUCACCUGCUACCACCCUUUUCAACCUCUCACAAAAUAGUCGGAGGUGGACGUCCAGCAUAUCUCCUUCUCUCUGUGGCACCCAGAGGUAUUGUUAUUUGCUCCAAGAAAUGUUAAAAGGAUUGGUCCUAUCUCAAAGAGGUUAGUGGUGUAAAGUUAAACACAAUGGAAGAAUUUGAAAGGAAUAUACCAAGAAACUGUGUAAGUGGCUAAAUUCCACAAAUAUGGCAUUGUUGCUCAUUUUUAACUCAAAAAAAUACACGUUAAUUUAGCGAAAAGUCCAAGACACGUGCUUUUUGAAAAGAACAGGUAUCCCAAUAGGUAUCCAACCUUUAUCUUAAUCAAUUACUACCAUGACAUACUUGAUGGUGCUUAAAUCAAUUUUUCUUUUCUUAAUGUAAAGAUUUUAUUUUUUUAAAACAGAUUUUAAUAUCAAGAAAAAAUAUCACUCGUAUAUCCUUAAAUGACACUUGUAUCAAACGUACUACAACACUUUUAACAUGUAUCACUUGUAUACCUUAAGUUGACAAAUUGUGUCUACCAUCCACCAAACCGUUAGUUGCCGUUUGCAAGCGCUGACAUCAUAAAGGUAAUCUAGUCUUUUCAAAUGGAAGAAACUUUGAUUAAAAAAACGACAUGUCAUCCCAUUUACCUCGUAAAAAAUGACAUAUCAUAUGAUAUAUAUUGACAAAAAAUGACAUGUCAUCCCAUUUAUCGGAAGAUGAUGUCAUCUAUGUGAAACAACGUUGUUUCAACGGGACUAAAAAAAAAAUGAUACUCCACAACCGAAUCGACUCCUCCAAACUUUAACUUGAAUAUUUGAAGAUCUACUCAUCCAAGCUCCAACUGGAAUUUUUUAUGGUAUAAUAUGUUGUUAAUAAUUUUUUAUGGUAUAAUAUGGAUUAUUUUUUAUGGAUAAUUGUUAAUAAUACGUACCAUUAAUAAUUCAUUUUUUAAUAAAAAAUGUAUUGUUAAUAAAAAAUAAAAAAUAUAUUGAAAAUUUACGUUAAUUUUUUGGGCAAAUAUGUAUUUUUACCUUAUUUUGAGUUUCAAGGGCGAAAUAGUCAAUUUGUCAUAAUUCUGUUAACUUUCUAAUGGUAGCUAACAGUUUGGUGGACAGCAGACACAUUUUGUCAACUUAGGGUGUACGAGUAAUACAUGUUAAAAGUGCUGCAAUACGUUUGAUACAAGUGUCAUUUAAAGGUAUAUGAGUGAUACAUGUUAAAAGAGUUGUAGUACAUUUGAUACAAGUGUCAUUUAAGGGGAUAUAAGUGAUAUUUUCCCUAAUAUCAAAUUGCCUUCGAUGUUUUUACAGCUACAAGCUCAGUAACAGGAUUAAUUAAAAAGUUUAGAAUUGUUGGGCGUGCAAAGAGUAGUUUUAAACACCAGAAAGCAAAGGUUGUUAUUGACAUAAUUUUAUUUUUGUUUUCGAGGGAAUUUGUUUUUUUUGUUGACAAGAAAAUAGUAUUAUAUUUUACAAUCUAUUAUACAUAUUUUAUCAUAUUAAAGUAAUUUUAAUAUUAAAUGGAAACAUUAAAUUUAAAUUAAUUAAUUAAAAAUUGAAUUAUUUUGAAUAUUAUGUAAAAAAUUAUUUUAAUAUCAUUAAUAAGGAGAUAUUUUGUUAAUUGUAAAAUAUUUUUAACCCAAAUAUAUAUUAAAUUUUUUAUAAUAAAUACAAAUACAAAUAUAAAAAUAAAAUAAAUAUCAUAGUUUAAAAUUUUAAUGUUAUUUUAAAUAUUAAAAAUAAUUUAAUGCUAUUAGUCUAUUACACAGGUUAUAUUAUAUUUGCAUUAAUUAAAAGUUUUAAAGUCAAUUUUCCAGUUUCUAUAUUCAAAGGUAUAAUGGUUAAAAGAAAGUUCUUGGUGUUUCUUUUUAAAAAUUUGAGGGUCUUAAUGAUAAUUUUUCUAAAUCGUAAGGGUAUAGGUGUCUUUUUUUCCGAUAAUUUAUUUCACGGGUAUCCAAUAAGAAACAUGGUAAGAGAACGUCAAUUACUUAUCAUUUUCUAUUUUUUCUAUGAGUCAUUUAUUUUGAGCAUUAGUGAUCUUAUCUGGACUACUCCAACUAUUGAUGCAACUCCAGUGGCUGCAUCCACAGUUAAAUAUAUGAUAGUGUUAGCUCUUAUUUGAGAAUUUAGAGGGAUCUUUCUUUGUUUCUCUGUUGCAAUGUGCUAGUAUAAAUUUCUUUACCUUAAAAUUUAUAUAGUCUUGCAGUUAAAGAAUUCACUGAGGCAUUGUUGAUUCAAUUUCAGUGAAGCAAUUGUGGGUGAAAGAUAAAUGAAGGAAAAGAGAACAGAGCUGAAGUGCUAAAUUGGCUAUUGAAGAAGGAUGUCACAUGAUCACAAUCACAUUGAUGCACAACUCUCUGGAGGCAAAGUUUGUCUAUAUGUACUCUGAAUUCAGCCAAGCCAUACAUGCAUGAACAAAAAUUAAACCGUAGUUCUAAUCACAACAGUAAUUGAAGCUACAAAAGCCAGCAAAUCUGAACGAAGACUUAAAAGAAAGAUCUUAUUCAAGUUUGUCCCCAAAAGACAGCUGAAAUGAAAAAUAUUGACUGUUGAAUGGGCCAAUGCUGAAUUACAUUUCAAAUGGAAAGCUUGGCAGCAGUUACAAUGUUUCCCCCUCUGAUUUUCCUCCAAAACAAAUUCAGUUGUAAACAAUAACCGAAGUAGUAAUAAUUUAUUCAUCAAAGAAAAUGCCCCCAAGUUUUCAAUUAAAAAAUCCUCUUGUCCAAACUAAAAGAACUCAUAUCUCUAAAAUUUAUUUGCAAAAUGUUGGAAAUGAGGAGUGAUCCGUUAACUCUGUAAAUAAACUCAUGCAUAAUGUUAACAAUAAUGAUAAAUUACAUAAUAAUUAUUAUAGAGAAUCAUAAAUUGGAAACGCUAAUCAUUCUACUAUUAUAUAAGUAAGAUAAAUAUCAUAAUAAGUUAAGUUAUAAUGUAAUAAAUAUUUGCAAUAUAUAAUUAUUUAAGAAGUCAUUUAACAAUAAAAUAUUUUUUUAUCCAGUUGAUCAUAUAGCGUUAUCUAAACUCUUGACAAUAUUAUUAUUACUCACUUUUCUCAAAAAAACAUGAUUAACUUUUAGAGAAAGUCAUGUCUUUGAGAAAGAAUAUGUAUACAAGCUAUCCAUACUUUAUCUUACUGUGACAAAAUUGAUGGUGAUUAAUUGUAUUUUUUAAAAUAGAUUUAACGCACAAAUAAGAUGACUUUUGGCAAAAAUUAUUUUCGGAAGAUAUAGUGAUAGAAAAUAGUGAUGAUAAUUAUUGUUUAAAUGUGUAAAUAGCCUAAGCAUAGCCCGUAAUACCAAUAUUCAUUUGCACCUUGAAAGAAACUUAGUUCUAUAUUGUUUGGCAAGCAAGAAAGUAAAGGAAAAUGAAAGAGAACUCUAAAGAACCUUUUUUAUUAUACUCAGAUAUCUCAACUUAAUGAAUACUGAUUGACAUUUAUACUAAGCUACAAUCUUCACUACACACACGAGUUUGUAACAUCACAUAACCAUUUGCUGCAUAACUAACUUUACACAUCAGCUCAACCAGCUAACUAACUUUGACAGGUCAGCUCAGUGAGUUGAUCUGCUACAACCAGCUACACAGCAACAGCAUGCUCUGCUCCAGCUAUACAGCAACAUCAUGCUCUGUUCCAGCUUUAUCCGCUCUGCUUUGCUCUGCUCCAGCUUUGACAGGUCAGCUCAGUGAGUUGAUCUGCUACAACCAGCUACACAGCAACAACAUGCUCUGCUCCAGCUAUACAGCAACAUCAUGCUCUGCUCCAGCUUUAUCCAAUUCACUAACAUCCCCCCUCAAGCUAAAAUGUUUAGGAUGAACAUUCAGCUUGCUUCUGAAGUAACUGAAUUGUUUGAAAGUAAGAGCCUUAGUUAACACAUCUGCUGUUUGAUCUGGACUAGGCACAUAGCAUACUGCAACCUCUUUAGCAGUGACCUUAUCUCGGAUAAAAUGUAUAUCCAAUUCAACAUGCUUAGUCUUAGCAUGAUAAACUGGAUUAUAAGCUAAAGCAAUUGCUCCUUGAUUAUCACACCACAUUAUAGGAGUGGAGCUUAAUGUGAUACUAAGUUCACCAAGUAAGGAUUUAAUCCAGGUAACCUCUGAAGCAGCAUGGGCAAGAGAUCUAUACUCAGCUUCUGUGCUGGAUCUGGAAACAACAACUUGUUUCUUUGACGACCAGGAAACAAGAUUAGGACCUAGAUAAACAGCAAAGCCAGCCACUGACUUCCUAUCAUCAUGAUCACAAGCCCAAUCAGAAUCUGAAAAACAAUGUAAUUGCAGAGCUCCUUGAUUGUAGAAAUGCAGCCCCAGAUGGAUAGUGCCUUUUAAGUACCUCAAUAACCUUUUACAUGCUUCCCAAUGUUGAGUUCUAGGACUGGAAAGGAACUGACUUAACUUGUUUACAGAGAAGGCAAUGUCAGGUCUGGUAAGAGUAACAUAUUGAAGAGCUCCUAUAACACUUCGAUAUUGAGAAACAUUUUCAAGUGGCUCUCCUGAGUCUUUGGUGAGAUAAAAGCCUGUAGACAUUGGAGUUGGCACAGGACUGCAGUCUGUCAUGCCAUGUUUAUCCAGAAUAUUAGCAAUGUACUUUGCUUGUGUCAAGGAAACCCCUUGUGAAGAUUUGCUGACUUCAAUCCCCAGAAAAUAGUGAAGUUCCCCCAGGUCUUUUAAAGCAAAAGCUUGAUGCAUAUGCUGGAUAACUUGUUGAAUUAUGGAUGGACUGGAACCAGUGAUGAUAAUAUCAUCAACAUAGACCAAAACAACAGUUAGAUGACCACUGUUCCAGGCAUAAAAGAGAGAGUUAUCAGACCUGGAAUGCUGAAAAUGCCACUUGGAGAUCAUUGCAUCCUUAAACCUAUCAAACCAGGCUCUAGGAGCUUGUUUUAAGCCAUACAAAGCCUUAUUUAGCUUGCAGAUAUGAUUAGGUUUAGUUGAAUCAACAAAACCUUGAGGUUGAGCCAUGUACACAUCUUCAAUUAAAAUGCCAUUUAGAAAGGCAUUGUUAACAUCCACCUGCCUUACAACCCAGUGACUCAAUACUGCUAAGCUAAGAAUAACUCUAACAGUGGAGGACUUAACCACUGGACUGAAGGUUUCUGUGUAGUCAAUCCCAUGUGUCUGAUGAAACCCUUUAGCCACAAGCCUGGCUUUAUACCUUGAAACUGAACCAUCUGAGUUAUACUUUACUCGAAAUACCCACUUGUUGCCAACUAUCUUCACUGGAGUAGCAGGUAAGACUAAAUCCCAGGUGUGAUUGGUUUUAAGAGCUAGAUACUCUUCUUGCAUAGCUUUAUACCACAUAGGAUCAGAAAGUGCUUUGGAAACAGAGGUUGGUUCUGACUUCUGAGCUAGUAAAGCUGACAAGUAGAUCUUGGGCUUGAAGAUACCUGCUUUUGACCUGGUUAUCAUUGGAUGACCAGAUGAUGCAGGUUGUGACAAGGUAUGUGGAGGUGAAUGAUGGGAUGGUGAAGAAGGAGAAGAAGAAGUGGAAUUGAAAUUAUCAGAAAAGUAAACUGGAGUAGAAUUUGGGAAGGAAAUAGAAGCAUGUGACUGAGAAUCAUUAAGAAGAUAUUCUGAUGAUGCUGCUAAAGGUGCUUGUAACUGAGUAACAAAAGGAGUAGAAGAAUUAAAAGAAGACUCAGAAUGAGUUGAUGACUGACAGUUUGAAGAAACUGAAGAAAAAUCUGUUCCUGACUCAUAAGGAAAAGAACGUUCAUAAAAGGUUACAUGAUUUGAAAUAUAGACCCUCCCAGAAGAGUGAAGACACUGAUAUCCCUUGUGUUGUGAACUGUAGCCAAUGAAUAUACAUCUAGCUGUUCUGAAAUCAAACUUAUGUCUAUUGUAUGGUCUGAGUGUUGGAUAACAAGCACAGCCGAAAAUUUUAAGUGUUGAAUAAUCUGGUUGGGAAUGAAACAACUUUUGAAAAGGAGAAAUGCUGUUUAGAACUGGAGUUGGAAGUCUGUUUAUCAAGUAGACAGCUGUAUGGAAUGCAUUCCACCAAAAUUUGAGUGGUAAAUGUGCUUGAGCUAAUAAAGUCAGUCCUACAUCAACUAUGUGUCUAUGUUUCCUCUCAAUUUUUCCAUUUUGAUGAUGAAUGUGGGGGCAAGGAUGUCGAAAAUGGAUGCCAGAAGUGGUGAGUAAUGAUGAAAAUGUUCUGAACUCCCCUCCCCAGUCAGUUUGGACAGUUUUGAUGGAAAGUUGAAGAUGCUUCUCAAUGAAUAUUUUGAAAUUGGUAAAAACUUCAAGAGCAUCAGAUUUUGCUGAUAAGGGAAAAAUCCAGGUAAACCUACUGUAAUCAUCUAGGAUUGACAAGUAGUAAUUAUAUCCUUGGGUAGAACAAACAUGAGAAGGGCCCCAAAGAUCUGCAUAUAUCAGUUGUAAAGGUGCUGAAGUUUUUGUUUCUACUGAAUCAAAAUGCAGCAUGUGAUUUUUACCAUAUUGGCAUGCUGAACAAAAUUUCAAACUGUCAACUUUAUUAAAAGCAGUAGAGUUGUUACAAGCUUUGAGAAUGGUUUUGAGAGUAUAAGAUGCUGGGUGUCAUAAUCUUCUAUGAAGAAGAUUUACAUCAAUAGAACCCUUUACAACAACUGACAGACAUGACUUUUUAUUCAACUCAUAAGAGCUAACAGUAGAGAGCUGAGCAGAAUUAAAAACAGGAGAACAAGCAAAAAGAGACUGAAUUUUGUUUUGACCAACUGAACUGAGAAAGACUGAAUGAACAGCAGCAUGAGAAGAGACUUUAUACAAGCUGUUGUGCAAAUUUUAAUGUACUCGCAAGCGCACGAAUCUAUUAUAGUAUAGAUCAAUGGUGACGAGUGUCGAUCCCACGAGGAGGUAGAUUUUAAUUGUGUAUAGAAUUAAUUUUGCAAAUGGUUGAUUGGAUUUGUAGUGGAAAUGAUUAGGAAUAUGCUAAAACUUAAAUUAAAAUGGCGAGAAUAAAUUCUAAAAUUGGAAUUGCAAUGGCGAGAAUAAAUUGAAGAGAAAUGUAUUGAAAUGACGUACUUGGGUAUCUGGAUCCGUAUCAACAUGCAUCAUGGGCUAAAUAAUCCGUAUUAAUGCCAAUUAAAUCAUGAGGGGGGAAUCCACACCUCAUGAACCACGCUCUAAUCAAUAUGGUGCUAAGGGCUUAUCGUGCCAAAUAAUAAUAACCUUAUACUAGAGAGCCGGUGUAACCAAGGCGGUAUCUAGACAAGAUCAGUAUUAUUUGUCGACGAUAAGUCAAAUCAUCCACAAAAACUAGAGGGGAAAAGAAAAUAAAUUUACCAAAUAAAGCCCAUGACACAUGUUGAGACUUCACCUUCAACCCAAGCUUGAAAGGAAAUUAGCUACUCAUAAUUGAACUAGGGGCAAAAUGGGAAUUUAUUAAAAUACAAAGAAAAUACAAGAUGGAGAGGGAAUUACAGAAAAUGGAUCCCAAAAAUGGAUUCAGAGAUAUCAAAUUAGGGGGGGAGGCCCAUUUUUUAUAGAUACAUGGAGUAAAUCAUGGCCAUCGGAUUAAAAACAGUUUGGACGCUCAGGAUUGCGCCACGUCAUCAGUCAACAGUCAACGGUUUGACCACGCGGAUGAACAGUAACAUGGUUUGGUUGAAAAUAAUCCUGUGUGAUGCAUACACCGUACGCGAGAUUUUUCGUCCACUGAUAUGCUGCCACGUCACCAUCAACAGUACAUAAGAAUUUUAGUCCAACAGGAUCGUGACACCUCAUCAGUCAAUGCCACAUCAUCGGUCAAUGCCACGUCAUCGAUCCGUCUAUGUGAACAGUGUCGUGAACAGUAACGUAGACAGUACCGUAUACGUGAAUAGUACCGUACAUGUGAAUAGUGCCAUUUUUCCUUUUAUGCUCCUCCUAAGGUUUUCGACCGUCCUGAGUUCAAAAGUGAUGUCCGUUUUGCCGUCUGAUCUCUCCUUUAUUGUGAAAUGACUAUAAUGCCCCUAAAAUACAUAAAAUACUUAAUUAAAAUAACACACACGUAAUUACAUCACAAGAGGGUUAAAUACAUAAAAGUAAGGGUUGUUAGUAAGACUUGAAACGUAAAAUGACGGUUUUCUCCUUUAUAAAUAUGCAUUUUCUAACACUCAACACAAGCCACCUUUAGCAACACCUUCAAGUAAAAUUUUCCCUGUGUUCCUGGCCUUUAUAAAACACAAAUUACCAAGAAAUUCAACAGUAACUGGAUUGUCAGCCAACAAUUUUGAGAUGCUAAGCAAAUUCUUAGUAAUAAAAGGGACAUGAAGAACAUGGUUAAGAAAUAAGGAUUGAGAAGCUGAAGUAUUUAGCACAACUGACCCUACAUGUGUAAUAGCUAAUGCAUUUCCAUCUCCAACAAAUAACCUUUCAGUACCAGUGUAAACUUUUGAAUCCAGAAGCUUACCUAGAUCAUUGGUAAUAUGAUUUGUUGCUCCACUAUCAAUAUACCAGGAAGGAUCUUCAAUGUGUUCAGGUGGGAGUGAAGAAGACAUAGCAGAGGAGGAGGAAGCACUUGACUGUUCCAGAUUAUUAUGUCCUAGACAGAAACAAAAUUAGAUGAUCCAGGGUUGAAUGAGAAAUAAGCAGAUGGGUUGCUUUCUGGAUAUACUAUAUUUCCUUGAUAGCCAAAACCCCUGGGGGCAUUACCAAAACCAACAUUUUGUCCAAAACCAGCAUUUGAACCAAAACCUCCAAAACCUCUUCCACUAUUACCAUUAAAGGCUCUUCCUCGACCAUAUUGCCCUUGAUUAAAACCUCUGCCACCAUUCAUAUUACCUCUACCAUGGUUCCUCUGUGGAACAAAAGAUGAGUUGUACCUAUUUCUGCAUUUAUAGGCUGCAUGACCAGGUAUGAAGCAAAUUUGGCAAACAACUUCAGAGAAAUUACUAUUAUUAUUAAACUGACCAUAUCCAUAUCCAGAAUUAUUACCACCUCCAGAGUUAUUUCCAUACUGUUUCUGAAAAUUUCCAUUAUUCUUUCCAGCAUAUGAGUUCUUCUGAACAAUAUUUGCUGUCAUGUUAUGCAUCACAUCACCAGCAAUUUUUCCUUUCUUUUGCUCAACUCUAUUUUCAUGAUUCAACAGCAAAGAAUAUAGUUCAUCUAAUGUUAUCUUUUCACCUCGAGCUAACACAGCAGUGACUAAAGAUUCAUAAUCUGAUGAAUCAAGACCAGUUAAUACAUGCAUCACAAGAUCAUUUAACUCAACAGGUUUUCCAGCUAGAGCUAAAGUAUCAGCUAUACGUUUUACUUUUACAAAGUAAUCAGACAUAUGCAUUGCACCUUUCUUAAUAGUUUGAAUCUGCAUUCUAAGUGUUUGAAUUCUAGCUUGUGAUUGAGAGAUAAACAUACUAGCAAGAGUCUCCCAAAGCUGUUUUGAGGUUGUUGAGUCAAUCACAGUAGCAAGCAGAUUUUGUUGUAUCAAUGACAUCAUCCAACUCAGCAGAAGUUGAUCAGCCUUCAUCCAAGCUACGAACUCUGGAUUAACAGAUCUGGAUCCAGAUUCAGUAACAGAUCUGGAUCCAGAUUCAAUUAAGAUUUCAGCUCCAUUGUUGUUGCCAGAAGAAAGAAACUGCUCAGGACAUUCUCGAUCACCAUUGAUAAAACCUUCCAAACCAUUUCCUUUGAUCGAAGCUAGAAUUUGUGUGCGCCACAAAAUAUAGUUGUUUUGAUCUAGCUUUACAGGCGUAACAAAACUAAAAGAGUUGUUGUUUUGAACUGUAUUUGCCAUUUAUGGCUCUGAUACCAUGAAAGAAACUUAGUUCUAUAUUGUUUGGCAAGCAAGAAAGUAAAGGAAAAUGAAAGAGAACUCUAAAGAACCUUUUUUAUUAUACUCAGAUAUCUCAACUUAAUGAAUAUUGAUUGACAUUUAUACUAAGCUACAAUCUUCACUACACACACGAGUUUGUUACAUCACAUAACCAUUUGCUGCAUAACUAACUUUACACAUCAGCUCAACCAGCUAACUAACUUUGAUAGGUCAGCUCAGUGAGUUGAUCUGCUACAACCAGCUACACAGCAACAGCAUGCUCUGCUCCAGCUAUACAGCAACAUCAUGCUCUGCUCCAGCUUUAUCCGCUCUGCUCUGCUCUGCUCCAGCUUUGACAGGUCAGCUCAGUGAGUUGAUCUGCUACAACCAGCUACACAGCAACAGCAUGCUCUGCUCCAGCUAUACAGCAACAUCAUGCUCUGCUCCGGCUUUAUCCAAUUCACUAACACACCUUCAUUUGUGUUAUCACAUUUCAUGAUAUUCUUUCAUUUAUGACCAUUGUUCAAGAUUUUAAUUUGAUUAUAAACUAAGUUGCAAGGGAGCUUACUUCAGUUUCUAAGCUUUUCAAUCGUGAUUCCUGCAUGCCAAACGUAACUGACCUUAUAAUUGGUCUGUAUAAGAAAUCAAGCCCUUUCAGGAUCGUUUUCUUUUUCUCCCUAUUGUAGUAGUCAACUAAAUAAAGAAUGAACAACUAAACUUGGUCUAUUUCGAGGAAGACUAAGGCUUCCAAUACUAGAUGAACUUUGAAGAAAAUUAAUCCGUUGUUUUUAUUCAUCUUUGGACUAUGAAUUUAUACAAAGACUUUAACAGAAAAUAACAAAGACACAGCUAAAUGAUAGCAAUAAGUGCUGACUUGGUGGACCACUUCUGCAAGUAAAUAAAAACUAAAUAUUUAUUUUGACUAUAACAACAACUACGCUGAUGAAUAGGAUUUCACAGCAGCCACGUGACAACUAAUUUCUCCUUAAUAUUAUUAUUAGUAGAAGUAGAUUUUAAAACUAGUCUUGAUAUAUUUCAAAGUUGUAUUAUCAAUGUAUAUGUGUCUAGAUUGUAACUAUAUUUUAAAAAAUAUAAAAUUUUUAAUUAUUGCACAGUAUAUGUAGCAAAAUAUCUAUAGAAUGAUAUUAUUAGGACUAAGAUUUUUUUUUAUUUUAGAUAAGUUAUUUAUUUAUUAUCGAAUGAAUAAUUUAUUAAUUUACUGAUAAAUGAAUAUUUAUUAAUUUAAAGAGAGAUUUUUUUGGUUUUAACAAGAGUUUGUUUGGUAAAUGUACACACUUAUAAAGAAACAUAAAAAGUGGUUCCUCAAGUCAAUAGUAUUUGCUUCAAUCGCAAUGGUUCAUAAUAAUAUAGCAUAGUUAGGAAAUUUGUAAUUAUAUUAUGGCUCUGUUUGGUAGUAAAACUCAUUUAAGUAGAGUUGUUGUUAAUAGAGCUUUUAUAAAUAAAGCUUUUACUAAAAAAAAUUUAGUUGUUUGCUUGUCAAUGUCCAAAUUGAUAAACUUUUGUUCUUUUGUUAAGAUAUGUUUGUUUUACUUAAUAAUAGCAUCGGCAAGAGUUUUCGAUUGUUGCAACUUGCAAUGCACGCGGUGAGAGAAAAUGAGAAUCUUGUUUAAUUGUCAAUAUAUAAUGACAAACCUAAUCCUUUCAUUAGGAGUAAUUUAAUAAUCGUUUGUUAUAACUGAAUAUGUAUAAAGAAAGGAAAAUUCUAUUCAUAAAUUUCGACUUAUUUUUUGUUUAAAGUAAUUAAUCAUUCAACCAUCUUCAUUUGCCUCUGGCCAAUGCCCUUGUAGAUUAGUUUACUUAAUUAUGAUUAUAUACAUUUUCAUAUAGCAAGUGGCAUUGUAGAUCUAAACUAAGUUGCUAUUUCAAUACCAGCAAAUUCAAAAUAGAAAAGGAGUGCAACUAUUCAACUUUGUAGACAAUAUUGCAACCAUGGCAUAUUUAUAGCAAAUCAUUGAAAUCUGCUAAAGAAAACAAUGCCCUGUCUCAUGAAUCGAUGCUCAAUUAAAAUUUAAAUUGAAAGUCCGGCUGGUGUUGUUUUCCUCUCCAGCGAAAUAAGAAUCAUAAGUGAAAAUAGGCUUUGACAGGUCUUAUUUCUUUGUUUCUCUGCUGCAAUGUGUGGUUAUCCCACUCUGUUUUGCCACUCAAGCUGAGUCUACGUUGAGACAUUAUUUCAGUAUUGAGGUAACAAUAAUUUCGGACUCCGUAAGAAGGUUUUGAAAAAGUGGAGUCACAUUUGUUGAAUCAGGCAACGUCAACGUGCCUUCUUCACCUGCUAACACCCUUUUCAACCUCUCACAAAAUAGUCGGAGGUGGACGUCCAGCAUAUCUCAUUCACAUUUGUUGAAUUUGCAUGGAAUUUGCAAGGAGUAUGCCAAAGAAUUUGCAAGGAAUAUGCCAAGAAUUUGCAAGGAAUAUGCCAAGAAACUGGCCAACCCGCUUAGCUUAAUUCCACAAAUAUGACGUUAUUGCUCAUUUUUCUCUCAAGCACAUAAUACACGUUCUUCGAGACGCGUGCCUUCUGAAAAGGACAGGUAUCCAACCUCAUCUUAAUUACUACCAUGACAUAAUUGAUGGUUGCUUAAAUCAAUUUUUUCUUCUUUUUUUUUUUUAAUUUAAAGAAUUUUCCCUUAAAAAAAAUUUAAUAUCAAAAUGCCUUCAAUGUUAUUACUGCCGAAAGCCAAACUUCCUUUGGGUAAUUAAUUUAGAAGUGAAGCAGAGAAUAAAGUCCUAGAUGCCUUUUGAAAUUAGAAAUACAUUUUAUAUGCUUUAAUUAAUCAAUUCACUGAGGCAUUAUUGAUCCAAUCCCAGUGAAGUAAUUGUGGGUGAAAAAAAAAUAAAGUGCUGAAUUGGCUACUAAGAAAGAGUGUCACUUGAUCACAAUCACAUUGAUCCACAACUCACUCGAGGCAAAUUUCAUCUAUGUGUACUGCAAAUUUAGCCAAACCAUACAUGCAUGAACAAAAUUAGGCCGUAGUCCUCAUCACAACAUUAAUUGAAGCCACAAAAGCCAGCAAAUCCAAACAAAAACUUAAAAGAAAAUGCUUGGUAUAGAGAAGCACGAGAGAAAGACGAGAAAAACAAUGAAGAAAGUGGUAGAGAGAGAGUGAGUGGGUAGAGAGAGAGCAAAAUUCUCUCGUCUUUCUCUCGUGCUUCUCUCUCUCUAUCACUACUCAAACUUAAAAGGAAGAUCUUAUUCAAGUUUGUCCCCAAAAGACAGCUGAAAUGAAAAAUAUUGACUAUUGAGUGGGUCGAUGCUGAAUUACAUUUGACAUGGAAAGCUUGGCUGCAGUUGCGAUGUUCCCCCUUCUGAUUUUCCUCCAAAACAAAUUCAUUUGUAAACAAUAACGGAAGUAGCAACAAUUUAUUCAUUAUAGAAAAUACCUAAAUUUUCAACUAUCAAAUCCUCUUGUCUAAACUAAAAAACUCAUAUCUCUAAAAUCUAUAUACAAAAUGUCAAAAACGGGUGAUCUCUCAAUUCGAUAAAUAAAUUCAUGCAUAAUGUUACUAGUAAUGAUAAAUUACAUAAUAAUUAUUAUAAAGAAUCAUAAAUUGGAAACAUUAAUCAUUUUACAAUAUAUUACAUAAUAAAGAUAAAUUUUAUAACAAGUUAAGUUAGAACAUAUCAAAUAUUUUCAAUAUAUAUAAUUAUUUAAGAAGUCUUUUAACAAUAAUUUUUUUCUUUUUCAGUUAAUCAUGUCAUAUACCGUUAUCUAAAAUGCUGGCGAUAUUAUUAUUCCUCACUUUUCUCAAACAAAAAAGAAAAGAAAAAAGAAACAUGAUUAACGUUUAGAGAAAAGUCACGCCUUUUAAAAACAAUAUGUAUACAAUAGCAAUCCAUACUUUAUAAAAUUGAUGGUGAUUACAAAGAAAAAUUGUUUAAAAUAGAUUUAAUGCACAAAUAUGAUGACUUUUGGCAAAAAUUAGUUUCGGAAAUGUUGGGAUGAAAACCAUAUUAAUUGAGAAUUAAAAUUACUUAAUAAAAUUACUUAACUACCAUCUAAUAGAUGAAAACCAUAUCAAUUGGGACUUAAAUUAAGAUUUAAAUGUUGAAAUAUCUAGCAUUACUCACAAUAACCAAUUCAAAUUAUGACUAUCAUGUAGAAGCAAAUGUUUAUGCUUGGGUUUUUUACUUCUUGAAUUUGAUUGGAAAAAUUUCUGAGAUAGAGAAGUGUUUUGGAUAAUUUUUUCGGGAUUGAAACCACAAAUUGGUAGAGGAAAUUAAUUUUGGACAAAUUUUUCUUAUAUUGUAGGACCUUCUAGUUGGAGUAGUGAUGGCUUUGUCUUCAUUUUUGGUUCCUUUUGUGUCAGCAACCCCUUACUAUUCUCUUGACCCUGAGUUUGAGAUAGAAAUUUAUCAACCUCCAACCCCACAUCCACAAACAAGUUGAUUGAAACAAUUACUCUUUUAAUUAAGAGGACCCAAAUGAUUUAGGUUUCAGUUCUUAUCAUUUGUCUAUUAUUUCUUUGAAACAUUUAUUUUGAGCGUUACUGAUCUUAAUUAUCUGUAUUUCUCCAAUUAUUGAAGAAUUUCAAGUGGCCACUUUUUCUCCUUUUUAUAUAUGUUUAUUUUUUGGAGUGAUCAAACGGGUGAAAAAUCAAGUAUUCGCUGGUCUGUAGUUUAGCCAACGAUGGCUGAUCCACACAGUUGAUUAUAUGAUACUAUUAGCUCUCAAAAUCUUUCUUAUUUGAGAACAUAAAUUGCCCAUUGAAGUUAAACUAUGUUACCCAGCUCCAUGCACAUACAUUAAAUGUUUAGGUAGUUUUACAAAAUGAUAACAGCAUGCCAAAACUUGAUGUUGUCAUAUUCGACAUUUCAAAUUGAAAAAUAUGCAAGCAAUCUUCAGUGACCAUUACGUUUUUAUUGAAUAAUUUAAAUGGCCAGUAAAUCAACAGUCCGUGAGUUUUAAAUCUGUUAUGACUUAAUGUAUCUUUCUGUAUUCGUACACAGGUUAUAUUAUCAUAGUUUAAAAUUUUAAUAUUAUUUUAAAUGUUAUAAAUACUUUAAUGCUAUUAGUCUACUACACAGGUUAUAUUAUUUAUAUUAUAUUUGUAUUAAUUAAAACUUUUAAUGUCAACUUUCUAAUUACUAUAUUGAAAAGGUAUUAUGGUUAAGAAAAAGUUUUGGCAUUUCUUCUAAAAAAUUUGAGGGUAUGCAUGACAACACUACAAGAAAAAUGACCUACCAUGACAGUCCUCUGUGUGACAGUUUUUGGUCUGCAGAGCUACUACGAUAGAUGGAUGAUAAAUUUUUUUUCUAUCAUUCAUUUAUGACAUACUUGUGAUAGAAAUUUCAUCUAUCAAGCACUUAUGAUAGACUGAUGAUAAAUUAUUUGGUUAUCAAGAAGUAAUGACAAGUUUGUGAUAUAAUUUAGAUCAUCAAGUAGCUUUUUUAUUUUGACUUUAUUUCACAAGGUUGACUGAAAAUUUUAAAAUGAAUGAAAAAAAUAAAUAAAGAAUAAACGGUACCGUUUGGAUUAAAAGUUUCUCUUUGGACAAGAAACGACACCGUUUAGAUUGAAGCUAAAUAAAAACAAAACCCUCUUCAGUUUUCACUAAUCGAAUUUUUUUUCCCUAAGUGUCGGCACUCUCACUCACUCUCGUCUCUCGCUCAGUCAUUCUCGUCAAUCUCACACUCACAAAGCCCUUUUCACCCGAAAUCCUUGCAUGGGCACUGAACCACUGCCGCCAUUCUCUUGUAUUUGACUAUCAAUUUUGGCUCUCACCGAGAACUAUAUGGAAUACCCACCAAACGCAUGUGCUUCUACUAUUGAAUUUCAAUACCCUAACUGAGAGCCCACGCUCACCCACUAUUGUAACCGUUCGAUCAAUACAGGUAAAUAAUAUUUCUAGUGUUGUGUUCCAUUUCAAUUUUAAUGUUCUUGUCAAACUCGAACCCUAUAUAUGUAAACUUAAAAACCCUAGAUGUGUUCUUGUCAAAUUCGAACCCUACACACCUAAAUCUUGUAAAACCUAGAUGUUUUCUUGUCAAAUUUGAACCCUGUACGUGUAAAACUUGAAAAUCCUAGGUGUGCUCUUGUUAAAUUUGGAUCUAUUUGAUUGGUCUUCUAUGUUUCUUUAUUUAUGGAAUUUUAAACAUUUAUUUGAUUUUUUUGGAAUUUAAUUAUUAUAGUUUUAUUGUUAAAUUAAUUUGAUUUAGGCUGUAAAGAUCCUUGCCAAUUUAAUCGUGAUGGGUGUUGGGAUAUUGUCUAGGCUGCUUUAUCUUUGGGGUUUUCUAAUAACUAAUUUUUUUUUUUCACUUUUUUGUGGAUGCAUGGAACUAUAUAUAUAGAUAAUUCUCAAAUUCGUUCACUGUGAUGCAAAGUCUUUUUUUUUUCAAUUUCAUUGGUUAAAUUCACUAAUUCGUUGAAAUUAGUGGUGAUUGUGGGCCGAGUCGCAUGUGCAGGAAGUGGUGUCAGGUCUGGGCGCACAUUGAGUCAUGCACUUGGUGGGCAAUUGGUAUUGUUUCUAUUGUGUGUGUUGGAAAUAAUGUCAAUAUCAUCCAACCAAUGUGUGUUUCUAGUGGCUGUUUUUGCACCGAGCAGAUAAUUUAUUAUUACAUCAGAGUUCCCCAUCCCUUGUUUCUCUUUUGGGUAAUGCAGGUAUUGACUAGUUCAUUUCCAUUUUCAUUUGUCUUGAGGGAAUGUUAUCAAUUUUUCGAUCUUACAAGAUAUUGAUUGAUACAUAUGUGUACAAUACAUUAAAAAUCAUUAAACAUUUUGCUCUUAGUUACAAUUUUGAAUGAAUGUCACAUGGAAAGAUCCUCUAAGAAUAUCAAUAGUAUUGUGGUUUCUACUCAAUUUCCACUCUCCGCACUCAUAUGAGCAUGGUUUGAAUCUCAAGCCUUUUGUACCAUUCAAAAAUUUAUACCAAUUAACAACAUAGCUUGCUAGCACCACAAAUUGUUUCAACUCCAAGGCAGAGAAUUCCUAGAAGAUAUAUACAUAUUGAUAUAUACUUGCAUGUAGCCGUAUGCUCACUACCUUCGAAUUGGGGAUAUAGUCACUAUUUUUGUAUUCCCUCCAAGUGUUUGAUAAAAAGCAUGAAUGAAUCUUGGCUCUUUAAUUGUUGCAGGCCAUUUCUACCUAUGAGGAGCAAAGGAAUAUGAAGCUUAUUAUAUUCAUUCACAAAGCAAAGCUGAUAUAAUUCAUGGCAAAGCUUGAUGAGGUGUUGUAUUUAAUCUUGCUCAUGAGAUCAAUUACCUAUCUUGUUGGACUUUAUUCUUGUAAUUAAGGUCCAUCCAAAGUUGAUGGCUUGUUUGUCAGAAAGAUAAUCUGAAGGCUAUGAUUGAUUACUUGCGGGCCGAUGGAAAUGUCUCCAUGAUUGGUUUAUGAGGUUGUUAAAUUACUAAAUAGGUAUAUUUACUUUUCAUGAGCUUUAUCUUCGUUUUUCCAUUAUGGAAAUGUCUCUAUGAUUGUAACUUUUAACACGUGGAACUCUUGAACCCUAUGUUUAGUUAUAUACUUAUAUUGGGACUUGUAUAAAUUAAUAUGAUGGUUUUAUUAUUAUUAUUAUUAGUAGUAGUAGUAGUAGUAGUAGCAGCUACAAAAGAUCAAAAGAACUUAAAGGUGUGGCUUGUGGCUUUCUUGCUGUUUGGGCUUUAACUGCUGCCUCACUUGUCAUUGUUGCUAAUCUGGUGUGCCACGUCCAUUUCAGUGUAAUUACAUAAGUUAGUUUGCUUGAUUAAUUAAUUAAUUAGUUAGCGGAUUGAAUAGCCAGAGUACUACAUUUUGCAUAGGUCUGAUGCUGGAUGAAUUUUCAUGUCUUGGCUUUGGGGCUGCUGGAUUUUGCUGCUGGAAGACUAGAUUUUGCAAUUUUGUUGCUGGAAGACUACAUUUUGUGUAGGUUUGUUGCUGGAUGUUGCUGAAUGCGGAGUACUUUGCUUGGUUUUGGAUUGGCCUUUGUUGUCUAUUGGCUCGACUUUGGAAUAUGGAUUAACUAAUGUAAUGUACUUUGGAUAUUUUUAUGGUUAAUAAAGUUCACUAAUUUAGUUCAUUAGUUUUGGAUUUAAUUGCAUUUAGUAAUUUAUUUUCUUUCAUAUAAUUUUAAUAAUUUUAAUAAUUUUAAUUUUUAAAUUUCAUAAUUUUUAUUUUAAAUUAAUAAAUAAAAUAAAUAAUCAAUUUUUUCAAAAAAAAUGUGAUAGAAAAUACUAGUCAUACACACAAUUGAUAUCCCAAAAAAAAAUACAAUCCAAAAAUUUCUAAAAAAAUGAAAAUAUAAAAUAAAAAAAUAAUUUCCCUCUUCUAAGUAGUAUGACAUAAUUAUGAUAGGUAAAAUCUAUCACAACUUGUGACGCGAUUUUAUCUGUCAUCUUUUCUUGACGCUGACUAUAAUGACAGUAAGGAUAACCGUCAUCUACCCCCUAAGAUGACAGUUUUUACCUAUCAUAAUAGGUCAUUUUUCUUGUAGUGCAAUUUUUCCAAUUCUAAGGGUAUAGGUUUGAAAAUUUAACGUUAUUUAACUUAAUGAAACAAAAGGGGAAACCAAGAACUAUUCAAUUUUGUAUUUUUUGUUUGUAAUUCAAAAAAUACAUCCACCAAACAAGUUUUACACAUUAAUGCUGUCAUAAAACGAAAAACAGUUUGCCAAAAAAUGGUACCGUCACAUGAUUUCUUAGUAAGUCCAUAUUAGAUAUAUUUAUACAUUUUAGGUAUUUUAGUUAUAAAAGAAGUUGGUCCUCCCCCUAUUUAUAAAAGAUAACUUUGUUUCGAUAUUACCACUAAACUCUUACAUAGAAUUAGUGUAAUGUUAAGAGAGAGUAAUGCGGUUUUCCAUUACCAUCUUUGAAAAUAGAAAGAUAUGGAUGCGUGCAUUUAAGAGUCAUCGUGAAAAUCAUACAAUUCAAUUUCCUGACAUAUAUAUUUAUGCACGUAUGCCAAAAGAAUAAAUAGACAGAAAGUAAAUUUAUAGUCCUCACUUCCUCACAAUUGUUAACGUGGAGAUGCAUUACAACUGUGAACUGUCACUACUUUAGCCUUUUUUUUUUUUAAUUAUAGUGUGAUGGAGACAUUAAGGAUGAGCAUAAUAGUUAAAGAUGACUCAUUUCUCAUUUUCUUUUUAAAGUGCUCUGCUGAAAGCCAAACUUCCUUUGGCUAAUUAAUUUAGAAGUAAAGCAGAGAAUAAAGUCCUAGAUGCCUUCUGAAAUUAGAAAUACAUUUUAUAUGCUUUAAUUAUGAUUAUUUGGUAGACUAAAGACCUAAAAGAUAUGUCAAAAGUAUAAAACAGAGCGAUUAAAGAAAAAAGAAAAAAAAAACAGAGUAUUUGUGACGUAGAAUAACAAUUGGUAAAUAAAUCCUAAAUAUUUGAGUUGUUAAAAGCAAAUAUAACAGAGACGGUAAGAGAGAUGCUGAAACAGAAAACUAUUAGCUUAUCUUGAUUUUCCCACUAUAUUCAUUUUCGAUGCUUUUCAAACGAGAUUCUUUUAAUUCUUCUGGUGUCUCUUAUAGAUCUCCAUCCCACAUCUGCACUACGAACAAGUUGAUUAAAAUUAAAUACUGUUGGAGAUGUGGGGUGAGCGGUCAACUUGGUAAAAAAACUAUGUAUAAUAUUGUUAAUAAUAUAAAAUAUAAAAUAAUAAUUACAAAGAAUCAUAAAUUAGAAAAAUUAUUUAUUUUACAAUCUAUUUCUUAAGUAAGAUAAAUCUCGUAAUAAGUUAAGUUAUAAUGUAAAAAAUAUUUUCAAUUUAUAAUCAUUUAAGGAGUCAUUUAACAAUAAAAUCUUUCUUUUUUUGAUCAAUUGGUCAUGCUACAGAGCAUCAUCUAUUCGUGGUGAUAUUAUUAUUACUCCGUAUUCUCAAAAAACACGAUUUAACAUUUAGAGAAAGUUCCUACCUUUUAAAAAGAACAUGUAUGCAACAACUACCCAUACUUUAUCUUACCACGACAAAACUAAUAGUGACUAAAUCAAUUUUCUCGAAUAAAGAAAAAUUUCUUAAAAUUAAUUUAAUAUACAAAUAUGAUGACUUUUUGCAAAAAUUAGUUUUGGAAAAUUAGUGACAGAAAAUAGUAACGAUUAUUGUUUAGAUGUGUAAAUAGCCUAAACAUGAUCCCUAAUACCAAUAUCCACGUGCAUCUUAACACCUUUCGUCAUAUUCUUUCAUUCAUGGUCACUGGUUCAAGAUUUGAAUUUGAUCAUUAAAUCAUGUUCAAUAAUAUUAGAGAUCCCAACAAUUGAGUACCAACUUAAAUCCCAAUGCUAUGUGUCAUUAACAAAUGUUGUGUCAUUUAUAAUUAUUGAAUGAAUAAUUCGUUAAUUUAUUGAUAAAUGAAAAUUUAUUAAUUUAAAGAGAGAUAUUUUUUUUUUGGGUUUUAAGAAGAGUUUUGUUGGUACAUGUACAUACUUAUAAAGAAAUAAACUUGUAAUUAUACUAUAUCUUUCUUUCUUUAUUCAGUUUGGUGGGAUAUUGUGAUAAAUCAUUGGAUUAAAAUGCAUUUCUAAAUUAAAACUUGUUAAAAUCUAAUUUAUUUGGGAAGCGCAUAUUAUUUGUCAGUCGUACUUCUCAAGUCUCAACUUAGCAAGUUAUUUCUAACUUGUCAGUCUCUAUUUGUUCUCUAAAAGCUAAUAGUCUCGAAUCUCCCGCAUUUGAUAUCUUGCCAUUAUUGUUGGCAUUAACAUGUUACCUGAGAUUGGGAUUCAUUAAAAUCCUCAAUGUAAUCGGUGGAACGAAUGGAUUUCUUCUGUUCACCAAUCCACCAAAAUUUCUGUAAUUAAAUUCAAGAGUCAAGAUCUAUGCUUAUAAUCUAUUCUAACAGCUAAUAUUCUAUUUUAUAUUUACUUAAAUAUGAAGAGCUAUGCUUGUCAUUAACUUCAAAUGUGAUCGAAGCAGCCAUACAUCUGUAUAUUACUUAUUCCCAACCUUUUUUUUUGACUUCAUAUACUUUCUUUUCAUGUUAUUUACUCUUUUUUUCCCCUCUCUGACAAUUGAGGUAGGGGGUCAAACUUGAAAGUAUCUUAAAAUCAGACAAUUUUUUUUUUUUUUAAGAUAGCUGCUAAUAUGCUCUAUUAGACAAUGAUAAGUAAUAACCUAGUUGUUUGCAUUAGAAAUGAUAUUUUUUGUGGUGCUGAUAAAGAGGUUGAUUAUGAUUCAACAAUUUAAAAUAUGAAAACAUGUGGAAGACGGCCGCAAUUAAAUUGAUUGUAUGAAAAUAUUUCAAUGAAAUUUUAAAAAUUUAGUACUUGUUAUCUUAUCGAGAGUUUUUUUAAAUUAUAUUACUACUUGAACUUGGGUACUUGUUAUCUUAUCGAGAGUUUUUUUAAAUUAUAUUACUACUUGAACUUGGCUGCUUUUGUAUUGAAUUCCUAGCGUUGCCAUUGCUUCUACUCAAAAGCCAUUUAAGUUUGUGUAAGCUACCUAUAGUUUGAACAACAAUUUACUCAUGAAUUGUUGUUCAUAAUAGCAAUUUGAUUGAAAGUGCGGCUGCACUAAUUUUCUAGAUGAAUUUUUUCCUACAUGCUUGUUCUCGUAUGACCCAAAAUCCUGCUACAUCAGUUGUAUUAGAAAUUAAUACUGGGUUACAAUUAUGCAUCCCCACCAAUAUUUAAGCAAUUUAAUUACAGGAACAUUUCUUGAGGAAAGAAACUCAUAUCGCCCCUAGGCUUUUAAUGAGGCUCAUUUUUAUGAAUCUGGAUGGCAUUAGAUAUCUCUCCGAAUAUUGGUGGGAGUAUAUCGCAGAUCUCUGGGCUAUACUACAAAGUGUAUGUACGUUGACUCUCAAUAAAUACAAACGAUUCUCUGAUAUGAUUCAAAACAUCAGUGCACGCAUCAUUUUAACGAGAGAGAAUAUUCUAAGAACGAAAUUGAAGGUGCAAUCAACAACUAAAAUGAAGCCAGAAAUGUACACGCAUGAGGAAGUUUUCCUAGAAGAUUGAUAUUUCUUUAACUAGCAAACAAUACAAGUCCAAAGCUAACCAAACCAUACCUGCAAGUCCGGGGCUUAAAUGGAGUACUUGUAAGCAUAAAACAUUAAUCAAAACACAGUAUAGACACACACACACACCCCUACAUACAUACCAGCAAAUUCGAAAUAGAAAAAGGAGUGCAACUAUUCAAGUUUGUUGACAAUAUUGCAACCAUGGCAUAUUAAAGCAAAUCCUUAAAAUCAGCUAAACGAAACAAUUCCCUGUCUCAUGAAUCGAUGCUCAAUUAAAAUUGAAAUUGAAAGUCCGGCUGGUGUUGUUUCCCUCUCCAGGUUUGCCUACAUAAGUAAAGGGAAAUGAGAAUCAUAAAUGAAAAUCUGCUUCGAUCACUGUUCACAAAUCACUGUUCACAAAUCCCUAAUUCAAAAAUUACUGUUGAUUAUCGUUUUACAGCAGCGCCUCAGCUCCAGCCUUCACCCCGCAACGCAAGCAGCAGCCAGCGCGAACCAGUCGCGCCCAACGCAAGCCCCAGCAACCCAGAUUGUUAGCUCCAGCCGCGCGCAACGUAGCUGAGCAGCAGCAGACCAGCAGCGCGAACCAGCUCUCGCGCGCAACACAACGCGAACGCAGCAGUGCGUAGAUGCAGCCCAGCAACGCAGCGCGAACCAGCAAUGCAGCCUCACCAGCGCGCAACGCAAGCCCCCGCACGCGCAGCACCAGCAUCCCGUUUCUCGCAGCGCAGCAGCGCGCAACGCAGCGCAGCACCCGCAAAGCAAGCCUCACCAGCGCGCAACGCAAGCCCGCAACGCAGCAACGAGCACGCCCUGCAACGCAACCAGCUUACGCCUUGUAUUCCAGCCGGGUAAAUCGAAAUCCGUGAGUACAAUUAUUGUAACAAUGCCGAAGAGGAAAGCAUCCACUUCCAAGUCAUCGAAAAAGACACCCAUCGCAAAGAAAUCUAAGAUUGCCGCUCCCACUACGGUUCCAUGGAACACAAUUUCAGAUUCACGCCAAGCCGUGAGACAAAGAUCGAAGCAUGGAAAAGGCAUGAGUAUUUUGCCACUUGCGGAAUCCAAUCUCGAAGGGUGCCUUGCAUUCGCGACUCAACAAGAGAAAGAGAGGUACAAAGAUAUUUCCACGGGCAAAAUACUUCCAGCUAAGAAUUUUUGGAUAUGUCUAUGUUUGAAAGAACAUGUGUGGUUGAAUUCAAGGAGGGGAGAUUUCAGUUUACUGAACCAGGACCCACUCAACUUCCGAAGAAGCUUUAUGCUAGGAGUGGUGCUACCUCUGAUGACGAGUUUGACGACGACACUGCUGCCCCGCCAACUAUUCCUUCUACAUCCGCACCACCUUUGAGCAUUCAAUUAGAGAAAAUGGAGCACAAGCUGAACAAGAUGGAGCAGAAUUUGGCCGCAUACUUCGAGAGUGUGGGAUUUACCCCACCAUUUCCGCCAAGCCCAUAGACGUUAUGUGGAUCAAAGCUCACAAUUCAGGGAAGUUUCUUUUUGCCCUUAAUCCUUUAUCCUUACGCUUUAAUUUUUAUGUGAGCUUUGAUUAUCUUACAUUGGGGACAAUGUAAGUUCUUGGUGUGGGGGAGGGAUUUUUGCAUUAUUGAUGUCUGGAAUUAUUGUUUUCACUCUACUUAUUUUUUUUUUUCACUCUACUCAUCCUUAAAUGAUUUUGGAGUUAGUAUGCUUUAUAUAUUAUUAUUUUUUCUUUUCUUUUAUUUCUCACAACUUUUUUUUUCCCAUCUAUCUCAAAUUAUUUACAUCUAUUUUUAUUCUAUCAUACUGUUUCAUCGCUCACAUUUUAUCUUUCACUUUUCAUCUUUCUCACUUCUUAUCAUUUUUACCUUUCCUUUUAUAUAUCACCCAUACCUUCUUCUCAUUCUACACCACUAUUGAUGGUUGAUUCAUUUGAAGAGUGUACAUGAUUUGAUGGCAAAUUUACCAACUUUGUGAGGAUUUGAGCCUAUGAGCAACCACUUUGCUCUAAUAUUUUUGUUAUGUGAAUAUCAAUCUUAGUUUGUUUAUUCUAGAACUUGCUUUGUUAUGCAUGUUGAAGCCGCAUUACGGGAUUUUAUGCACUAAAAUGAUAAGGGCAAACCCUUUUCCAUUUUUCUAUUCUCGCAUUUUUUUUCUCUACCCGAAGAUCUUUAUUUGCUAUCUUUGUUUGAGCCUUAACAAUUACCCAUCUAAUUCUCUCCGUCUACUUAACCAUUUUUCUUCUUUUUUUUGAGCCUCAAUUUAAGGAGAUUUUUGGACUCAUUGUGUGGAUAUAUUUUGUUGCUUUUUCUACCUUGUAAUAAAGUUUCUCAAUUAGAUCAACAAGCAUUAUGCUUGAAUUAAAUUGUGCAAGGUUCGUUUCUUUUGUUUGAUUCAAAAACAAAAACAAAAAAAAAAAAACAAAAAACAAAAAAAAAAAAGAAAAAAAAAGAAAAAAAAAAAGAAAAAGAAAAAUCACAAAAAAAAAACAAAAAAAAAUGUUUACAUUCUUGGUGACUUAAGUAGAAAUAAGCAUUUUGAUAUCAUAAGUUCAUUCAAUGAGUUCAUUUUUCUCGUUUUAAUCUCUUUUUCUUUCGUAAACCUUUCUUUUUCAUUUAACCCAUUUAACCCCAUUACAACCCUCUUAAGACCCUUAGAUUUUUGCAUUUUAUUCAUGUUUUGUGGAUUGAGAUGUGAUAUAUGAGCAAGCUUAUGGUAAUAGCAUUCUUUGAUUUGAUUUGAGUGGAUAAAUGACACCCUAAAAACUUUGAGUGCAUGGAGUGAAGUUAUUGAGAGGGCUAUUAAAUCUUGUUGCACUUGAAUUUUGAAUGGAUCUCCUUGGUGGUUGAAUGUUCUUAUUCUAUCUUAUGAAAUUCUAUGCUUUAAAAUCCUUGUCUCUCGAAUGUUAAUCGACUUAAUUUCUUGAGGUAUGCUUUCUUAAAAUUGUUUUUGGAUGAGUUGAGAUGAGAAUUGAGUGGAGAUUUGAGAUUAAUCUUGAGUUAUAUGCUUGAGGACAAGCAUCAUCUUGGUGUGGGGGAAUUUGUUAGAGUGCAAUUUAUGCACUAGUUUUGCAUUGUUUACUUCCCUUAAUAUCGAUGUUUUACACUUAAUAAUAAUGUUUUACUUGUGUUUUACUUUUGUAGGUGCAAUUCUAUUGAUUGGUGAUAAAAUUGAGCUAAAAGAUGAUGUUUAAGGAGGAUUGUUCUCUUGGAGAAAUUAUGAGCGUCGAAAGAACUUUGUUGAUAAGGCGUGGGCGCGUGCUGUCAACUGCGGACCUGCAGUUUUUAGUUUAACGUGUUUUGUAUUUUUGGUUAUUUUUGUAAUUACGAAUUUAAUAUUUCAGAUAUUAGUAUUUUAUUUUAAAUAGAAUUCUAAAAGAGAAGAGAGAGAGAGUAUUUAAGGGAGGAAUCUAUUGUGAAAAGGGGGAUUUGGAUUGGAGAAAAAGAAAGAAACCCUAGAUCUAAUUUUUCUCUUCUCUCUAUGAAGAACUAAACCUAUUUUUCUGGUUGAAGGAUAAUGACGCUUUGAUUCAUCACUACUGUGAGAUUUUUCUUAUGCUUUAAUUGUUUUAUUACUUUUUGGGUAUUUGUUUAUUCUCUGAAUUAGUUUCAUGAUUAUGUUUGUUAAUUAGGUAAUUGUCCACUAUUUAAUUAUCAACUUAAUCUAUUGUCAAUUAAAGGAUUCAUCGUAUGAAGAAUUUAAUGUUUGUGACAAAUAACAUAGCAGAGAGUUGUGUUGUGAGAAUAAACAAUCUAAUUUAAAUGAAUCAUCAUAUGUGUUGAUUAGGAUUUGGGUCUCUCUGGUUUUUCAGGCUGUCAAUUGAUUAAAUCCUAUGAUCGUAUCAAGGGUUGUCUAUUGAUUAGGGAAAUAUCCAACGGUCGUACCUUGGUUAUCGACUAGUUAAGGAGAGAUUGGCUAUUAGAGGGUCUCAAUAGCUAUAACCGGUCUAUUCAUAAGUAAUAAUAAUAUAUAUUUGAAUCAAUGAUCAGUAGUCGAAUCAAGCUGAGUUAAUUCCUUCAACCAGAGCUUUCUCCAAUUUGAAUUACAACUUUAAUUUGCAUUUUGUAUUUAAUUUGAUUUUUAUUAUUGUCUACAAUUCCCCCAUUUUAUGUUUUACGUUUCAAAAGGAUUUAAAUAAUUACCGAUCUCUGUGGACACGACCCUGCUCAAUCACUAUACACAAUUUAUUUAGAGUAGGAAUUUAUUUUUGUUGGCUUCGACACCCAUCAGUUGAUUUGUGUUGUUUAUUGCUAGAUUUCGCAUAAUUGUUUGCUGAUUACUAGAACUGGCUCUGUUUGGAUCUGAUACCAUGUUUAAAAACAUAAAAAAUCACUGAUCAGUUUGUUUGGUUGCUAAGAAAAUUUGCUCUGUUUGCUGAGAAAGUUUCAAAGAAGAUUCUCGAUUUUUUUUAUUUCAUCUUUCUUACUUCACGAAUGAUUACAAACACACCUUUUAUACACAACUCAACUAGCUAACAGAAAGAAAGCUACAAAACAGAAUCUCAGUAAGCUUAACUAAUUUUGCUGAGCUGGCAUUACACACUUAACUAACUUCGGCUAACUAAAUUCUCACAUGUGCUAAGCAUGAGCAGACUGUUUGUACACAUUAUGUGCUUCUUUAACACAAUGGAGUUUUAAAAAUUUGGUACUUGUUAUCUUAUCGAAAGUUUUCAAAAUUAUAUGAAUGUUCAAACUUAGCCCCUCCCGGCACUGCCACUGCUUCUACGUGAAAGUCAUUUAAGUUUGUGUUAGCUGCCUAUAGAUUGAAUAACAAUUUUACUCCGGAUUUUUUGUCCAUUAUGAAAAUUUGAUUGAAAGUGCGGCUGCACUAAUUUUCUAGAUGAACUUCCCUACAUGUUUUUUCUCAUAUGACCCAGAAUACUGCUAUAACAAUUGUAUUGGAAACUAUUCAACUGGGUUACUAUUCUACAUCCCCACCAAAAUUUAAACAGUCGACAUUGUGGAAAGAAACUCAUUUCGCCACUAGGCUUUUAGUGAGGCUAAUUUCUCUGAAUUUGGACAGAGUAGAUUUCUAAGCUAAUGCUUGGAAGAUCUCUGGCGAUAUUACAAAGUGCAUGUACAUUGAGUCUUAAUAAAUAUAAACGAUUCUCUAAUAUGAUUCAAAACAUCACUACAUGCAUAAGUUAAUAAGAGAAAAAAUUAUAAGAUUAUUUAUGCAUCACCAUUUAUAGUUGCACCCUCUCUAAUGAAAUUGAAGGUGCAGCCAGCAAUUAAAAUGAAGCAGAAAUGUACAUUGACCCUUAAUAAAUAGAAACUAAGGCGUUAUCGAUUCAACUUCAGUUGAUCAAUUGCGGGUGAAAGAUAAAUAAAGGAUAAGAGAAUAGAGCUGGAGUGCUAAAUUGGCUAUUGAAGAAGGGUGUCACAUGAUCACAAUCACAUUGACGCACAACUCUUUGGAGGCAAAUUUUGUCUAUGUGUACUCUAAAUUCAGCCAAACCAUACAUGUAUGAACAGAAUUUAAACCGUAGUUCUCAUCACAAUAGUAAUUGAAGCUACAAAAGCCAGAAAAUCUGAACAAAAACUUAAAAGGAAGAUUUUAUUCAAGUUUGCCCCCAAAAGACAGUUGAAAUGAAAAAUAUUGACUAUUGAAUGGGUCAAUGCUGAAUUACAUUUCAAAUGGAAAGCUUGGCAACAGUUACAAUGUUUCCCCUCUGAUUUUCCUCCAAAACAAAUUCAGUUAUAAACAAUAACUGAAGUAGGAAUAAUUUAUUCAUCAAAGAAAAUACCCUAGUUUUCAACUAACAAAUCCUGCUAUCCAAAUUAAAAAAACUCGCAUCUCUAAAAUUUAUUUGUAAACUGUUGGAAAUGAGGAGUGAUCUGUCAACUCCGUAAAUAAACUCAGGCAUAAUAUUAAUAAUAAUUAUAAAUUACAUAAUAAUUAUUAUAAAGAAUCAUAAAUUGGAAACGCUAAUCAUUCUACAAUCUAUUAUAUAAGUAAGAUAAGUCUCAUAAUAAGUUAAGUUAUAAUGUAAUAAAUACUUUCAAUAUAUAAUUAUUUAAGAAGGCAUUUAACAAUAAAAUAUUUUUUUUUCUAUUCGGUUGAUCAUAUAGUGUUAUCUAAACUCUUGACGAUAUUAUUAUUACUCACUUUUCUAAAAAAAAAACAUGAUUAACGUUUAGAGAAAAGUCAUGCCCCUUAAAAAUAAUAUGUAUACAAGCUAUCCAUACUUUAUCUUACCAUGACAAAAUUGAUGGUGAUUAAAUCUACUUUUAAAAUAGAUUUAAUGCACAGAUAUUAUGACUUCUGGCAAAAAUUAGUUUUGGAAGACAUAAUGGUAGAAAAUAGUGAUGAUCAUUAUUUAAAUGUGUAAAUAGCCUAGGCAUAGCCUGUAAUACCAAUAUCCAUUUGCCUUUAUUUGGAUUAUCACAUUUCAUGAUAUUCUUAUAUUUAUGACCAUUGUUCGAGAUUUGAACUUGAUCAUAAAUUAAGCUGCAAGAGAUUUUACUUCAGUUUCUAAGCUUUUCAAUCGUGAUUCAUCCAUGCCUUUCUUGGAUACCAUUAUGUUACGUGCCAAUGUAACUGACCUUGUAAUUGGUGUGUAUAAGGAAACAUGCCCUUUCAAGAUUGUUUUCUUUUGUUUCCUUAUUGUAGUAGUCAAAUAAAUAAAGAACGAACAAUUGAACUUGGUCUACUUCGAGGAAAACCAAGGCCUGCAAUAUUAGAUGAACUUUGAACAAAAUUAAUCUACUGCUUUUAUUCAUCUUUGGACUAUGAAUUUAUACAAAGACUUUAACAAAAAAUAACAAAGACACAACUGAAUGAUAGCAACAAGUGCUGACUUAGCGGACUACUGCAACAACUAAAUAAAAACUAAAUAUUUAUUUUGACUGUAACAACAAUUGCCCUGAUGAAUAGGACUCCACAGCAGCCACGUGACAACUAAUUUCUCCUUAAUAUUAUUAUUAGUAGAAGUAGAUUUUCAAACUAGUCUUGAUAUAUUUCGAAGUUGUAUUAUUAUCAAUGUAUAUGUAUCUAGAUUGUAACUAUAUUUUAAAAAAUAUAAUUUUUUUAAUUAUUGCACAGUAAAUGUAGAAAAAUAUCUAUAAAAUAAUAUUAUUAGGACUAAGAAAAAAAUAUUAUUUUAUAUAAGUUAUUUAUUUAUUAUUGAAUGAAUAAUUUAUUAAUUUAUUGAUAAACGAAUAUUUAUUAAUUUAAAGAGAGAUUAUUUUGGUUUUAAGAAGAGUUUGUUUGGUACAUGUACACACUUAUAAAGAAACACAAAAGGUGCUUCCUCAAGUUAAUAGUAUUUGCUUUAAUCGCUAUAGUUCACAAUAAUAUAGCAUAGUUUGGAAAAUUGUAAUUAUACUAUGUCUACGUUUGGUACAAUUUUUCAAGAAGAACUUAUUUAAAUAGAGUUUUUGUUAGUAGAACAUUUAUAAAUAAAAUUUUUACUGAAAAAAUUUAAGUUAUUUGGUUGUCAUUGUCAAAAUUGAUGAACUUUUGAUCUUUUGUUAACAUGUGUUUUUUUUACUAAAUAAUAAAUGUUAGGUUACAAUUAUUUUCAAUAGUUUUUGAAGGAAUCAAGUUAUGAAAUUUUUAUCAAUGAACUUUCAAUAUGUCAGCAUAUGGUCUGUAAAAUUUGAGAGUUUUCCAAUGAGGGAAUAAUUUAUUAAAAAUAAGAGAAUAUGGAUUGUUCUGUUUUAAGGGCCGAUUAUUGAGGACAUUUGAGGUUGAGCUUAGGAGAUGUUUAAAUUGAGAUAUUUGAGGACAUUAUGUUAGCCUAAAGGGCUACACAUAAUGUAAUUUUGAUGAUAACAAACAUGUGUCUUAAGUAAAAAUAAUAAAUAUUGUAUUUCACAUUUUCACUAGUUUUUGAAGGAUAAUAUUUAUGCAAGUGAAUCAAGUGAAAUCAAGAUUGAAGAUACUCAACGGACAACGGCGACAUCAAGAAUAUAGUUUAGAGCUCAAUGAACAAAUUAGUGCGAUAAAUUCUUGUAAAGCCGGUAUGAUUUAAUUGAUGCAUGAUUUAGCAUUUGAGAAGCUCAAGAGAUUAAUUUAAUUAAAUACUUUUCAUAAACUAAAAGGUUUUAUUUUUAUAAAGUAAAGUAUUUUGUGGAUUUGAGUAAUUUGGACUUAAAUGCUAAGAUUUGAAAUCUUUGAUUUUAAUAAGUAUUAAAUUUCGGAGUUGGACGUUUUGAUAAACAUUUGAAAUGUUUUGGGUCAUACUAUAAUUUAUAAAUAUUUUGGACUAAAGUGAAAGGUUUUGAGAACUUUGAAAAAUAUGGGUAUUAUGUUGAAAAGGACCUUUGUGCGAACUAAAAAUUUCUUUGGGGCCAUAUCAUAAUUUCAGAAAGUUUGGGAAGACAACUACUCUUAGGAAGUUCUGAAAUUGGACCUAUUUGCAAAGUUUUAUGACAUUUUGAGCCAUAGUAUAAUUAUAGAAAGUUUUGAGCCAAAGUAUAAUUUUAGUGAACAGUGUUACUAUAGCAAUUCAAAAAUAACGGUAAUAUCACUGUUCCUGAGCGGCUAGCCGGAUAAAUCAAGCGGCUAACUGCUUGGGCGAGGGAAUUUGCCUAUAACGGCUAGUUUUCAGGCUUUAACUAUAAAAACUCAGCUCAAACUUCAUUCUAAGUACUAAUGCAUGCAAAUAUAAGAUCAUACAACAUAUAUUGAGCUUCCAAAAUGCAAAUCAUCAUUGAUUGAAUCAUUGUUGAGCUAUUAGUUGCAUAUCCACUCUUAAAGAGAGUUUUUGUUGUAAUUUUCAUUUCUUAUCAAAUUGUGAGUGUGUGAGUGUGUAAGUGUGGGAAACACUUGGGGUGAAGAGAUUGGGGAGAUAAUCUCUUGGUUGUAAAGGUUCAUUGACACCUUGGAAGUCAAUUGUAAAAACUUGAACCCUUGAGAGGCUUGGAUAGUGAAAUCCUCGAGCAUGGUUGGCUUGGAGGCGUGGACGUAAGCAGGGAUUGCCGAACCACGUAAAAAUCCGCGUGUUUGUUUCUCUCUUCCCUUGCUCUUUUAUUUUUACGCUUGUUUGAAUUUAUUGUUCUCUAUUUCAUUAAGGCGUUAGAUUGAUUUAUUGUGCGAAUUGUAUUGCAUUAUUUUUAAAAACUCAAUUCACCCUCCCUCUUGGGUUGCAUUACUUGCAUUUACAUUAGAGUUUAUGAUUGAGACUCGAUUAUAUCUUAUGAGAAAUUUAUUGAUGAUUUUAGGUUGAUGAUAACAGUACGCAUUUGUUACAUGAGGAUGCCAAGAGGUAAGUAAACUAGACUUAAAAACGAAUCACAAUAAACAAUAUAUAUGUUUGACUUGUAUGAAAAGUCUAUUUUGAUAUGUACGAAUAUAGAUUUAUAUGUCUCUACUCAUGUGUUUAUGUGAUGUGUUGUUAUGUAUUGGGCGUGAUUAUGUACAUAGGCAUAUGUAUGUGUGAUGGUUCAUUGUCAUGAGCACGAAAAUGCAUUGAGUUUUCUAUGAAUGAAAAGUGGAUUUUAGCAAAUGAGAUUUCUCUUUUAUGAGAUUUUGCAUUGGGGGCCACCUCUUGAGGGCCAGAGUGCCGCAAAGUACCACGCACAACACAAAGUGCCACAUUGCAGGAUACGUAUUUUAUUGAAAGGAAAUAUGAAAGUUUGAAAGCGACAGAAAGAGAUUUUUAUGAAUUUGUUUUACAGUAUUUCCAAAAGAUCAUGGCAUAGCAUCCAUCUACAUUAUGUAUAAGUAUGCAUGUUUGCUUAUUGAGUUUUGUACUCAUUAUAGUUUAUUAUGAUUCAGUUUCCAGAAGUCAGGAUUGAUUCGUGAUGAGUGAGAAGAUGAAUUUAAAUUGAGGAUGGUAGAUGGUUUGGCUAAAUUUUUAAGUUAUUCCGCUGGCUUUUGUAUUCGAGGCUCGAAUUUUAUCGGUUGUAAAGAGUUAUUUAAAUUCAUAUGUGAGUUGUAGUCAGAUUUGCCCUCGGAGUUCGGGUUGGGGCGUUACAGAUGCAGAAACAGAAAACUAUUAGCUUAUCUUGAUUUUCCCACUAUAUUCAUUUUCGAUGCUUUUCAAACGAGAUUCUUUUAAUCCUUCUGGCGUAUGCAGCCCUUGCUCUUCUUAUAAAUCUCCAUCCGACAUCUGCACUAGGAACAAGUUGAUUGAAAUUAAAUAACAUUAGAGAUGACGGACGGUUGAGCCGUUAACUCGGUAAAAAAACUCAUAUAUAAUAUUACUAAUAAAAAAAAAUAUAAUAAUCAUUACUAAGAAUCAUAAAUUAGAAAAAUUAAUUAUUUUACAAUCUAUUUCGCAAGUAAGAUAAAUCUCAUAAUAAGUUAAGUUAUAACGUAAAAAACAUUUUCAAUUUAUAAUCGUUUAAGAAGUCAUUUAACAAUAAAAUCUUUCUUUUGGUCAGUUGGCCAUGCCACAGAGUAUCAUCUAUAUUCGUGGUGAUAUUAUUAUUACUCCGUAUUCUCAAAAAACUUGAUUUAACAUUUAGAGAAAAUUCCUACCAUUUAAAAAGAACAUGUAUGCAGCAGCUACCCAUACUUUAUCUUACCCCGACAAAAUUAAUGGUGACUAAAUCAAUUUUCUCGAUUAAAGCAAAAUUUUCUUAAAAACGAUUUAAUGCACAAAUAUGAUGACUUUUUGCAAAAAUUAGUUUUGGAAAAUAUAGUGAGAGAAAAUAGUGACGAUUAUUGUUUAGAUGUGUAAAUAGCCUAAACAUAAUUGCUAAUACCAACAUCCACGUGCAUCUUAACACCUUUCGUGAUAAUCUUUCAUUCAUGGUCACUGGUUCAAGAUUUGAAUUUGAUCAUUAAAUCAUGUUCAAGAAUAUUAGAGAUCCCAACAAUUGAGUUCCAACUUAAAUCCUAAUGCUAUGUGUCAUUGACCAAUAUUGUGUCAUUUUUUGUUAACUGGGUGAUGAAUUUCUAGUUGAUAAAAUUACUUAAAAAUAUCUUAAAAAUCAGAUAAUAGUUAGCUUAAUUUUUUGAAGCUAACUGCUCAAGAUGCUCUAUUAGAAAUGAUAACCUAAUUAUAUAAAAAAAAAAAUGAUGUAUUUUUUUCGGUGUUGAUAGUGAGAUUAUCAUUCAACAUGUUAAAAUAUGAAAACAUAUGGAAGAAGGUUGUAAAUUGAUUGAAUGAAAAUAUUUCAGUGAAGUCUAAAAAAUUUGGUACUUGUUAUCUUAUCGAAAGUUUUCUAAAUUACAUUCGUGGCACUGCCACUGCUUCCAUGUGAAGGUCAUUAAAAUUUGUGUUAGUUACCUAUAUGUUGAAUAAUAAUUUUAUUCAUGAAUUGUUGCUCAAUAUAGCAGUUUCUAGAUGAAUUUUCCUACAUGUUUGUCCUCAUAUGACCUAGAAUGCUGCCAUAUCAAUUGUAUUGGAAAUUAUUCAAGUGGGUUUGUGCUCUAUACCCCCACCAAAAUUUAAGCAAUCUACAGAACAUUCCUUGUGGAAAGAAACUUAUUUCGCUACUAGGUGGGAGUAGAUUUCUAAGCUAAUGCUCGGCAGAUCUCUAGGCUAUACUAAAAAGUGUAUGCACUUUGACUCUCAAUAUAUACGAGUGAUUCUAUGAUAUGACUGAAAACAUCAGUACAUGCAUGAUUUUAUAAGAAAGAAUAUUCUAAAAUUAUUUAUGUAUCACCAUUUGAAGUUGUACCCUCUCGAAUGAAGGUGCAAUCAGCAACUAAAAUGAAGCCCGAAAUGUACACGCGUGAAGCAGUUUUUCUAGAAGAUUGAUAUUUCUCAAACUAGCAAACCGUACAAGUCCAAAGCUAGAAAAAGGAGUGCUUCUAAGCAGAAAACAUUGAUUAAAACAGAAUGCACACAAACAUACCAGCAAAUUCAAAAUAGAAAAAGGAGUGCAACUGUUCAAGUUUGUGGACAAUAUUGCAACCGUGGCAUAUUUAUAGCAAAUCCUUGAAAUCUGCUAAAUAAACAAUGCCCUGUCUCAUGAAUCAAAGCCGAAUUAAAAUUGAAAUUGAAAGUCCGGCUGGUGUUGUUUCCCUCUCCAGUUUUGCCCACAUAAGUGAAGGGAAAUGAGAAUCAUAAACUAAAAUCUGCUUUUACAGUUCUUAUUAGAUAGAUAUAAAGGGAUCUUUCUUUGUUUCUCUGCUGCAAUUUGUGGCUAUCCCACUCUGUUUUGCCACUCAAGCUUAGUCUACGUUGAGACACAAUUUUGACAUCAGAAGCAACCUCAAUUAGUUUGGCAUUUUUAUGACCUCCUUGUACGUUUUACGAUAAACAUAAAUCUACUGAGAAAGUGGGAAAAAAAGAAAAUGCAUAUAAAAGUAUGAGUUAUCAGACAUGAUUAAAACUCACCCAAUUCAAUCCAUUAGAUUCCGUAAGGAUAUAACUGGAUGUCAUACCGCCAUUCCAUAUCCUCGAAAGUCCGUAGCCUCUGUCUCAACUCUGUCUGAGGCCAAUGUAAAUCCAAUAUGCGCAAGCUCUUUAUGCACCACAGCUCUUCUGGAAGCUUUCUCAAGUAAGCACAAGGGUUGACAAUUAAGCUUUCAAGUUUUGGCAUUGCUCCAGCCCCCAUCGUCCACUCAUCUAGCCAAAACAUUGAUUUCAGGUGCAAAACCUUACGUUCCGGAAAGCAACCAGGGCCAACGCAGGCCAGCUUUCUUCCUAAAUACGAGUUUUGCUUCAGUUUCAGCACUUGAAGGCGUGGAAGCUUUUCCAGCAUUGGCAUGGGAUCCUCCAUUAGCUCAGUAUUCGAUAAGCUCAGAUGGCUCAGACUUGGAGGAAAUUGGUAUUCAGACAGGAUAAUCCGUGAGGGCUUGCUCUCAUUCACCAGCUUCAAGCAUUCAAGUUUGUGCAGUUCGCAUAGGCUUUUGGAAACCCCGGAUUGAUAGUAACUCAAAUCUCCAGAUAUUCUUAGACUUUGGACAAGAUAUUCUUAGACUUUGGACAUUUGGUAGUCUGCCCAAUAUAGCUGGACUGCAACUACUAGGAUGUAAGGCUGAUAAGAAAAUGAGAUUUUUCAGAGAGCUUCAAUAAUUUUUUGGAGGUGCGGGCAGAGUGAUGCAACCGAAGUUUAGAUGCAUGAGUUUUUGCAUCAUCCAAAUAUCCUCUGGUGAAUGAUCUAUGUAGCUAGAUGGCAUUUCUAGCGUUUGAAGGUUUAAAAGGGAGCAUAGCAGUGAAGGAAUGCAUUUGAGCGAAGGGAUAUUCAAUUUCAAAUACUUCAAAAGGAAUAAAUUUUCUAAUCCGGCUGGAUAUUGGUCGAGAACUGCAGAACCCAAGUUCAAUACCCGAAGGUAUUUGAACUUGUCGCAAUCUAUCAGAGCGAGAUGAUCGCUUGCCGAACUGUUAUUCAGAAAAGAUUGGAGAUACAUGUCAGAAUGUCCUAAAGAUAAAAACCCAGUCAGAUCUUGGGCAAUGACGCACCGUUUAACAUUUGCCACUGGCUCCUCUUCCCUGUCACGCAUCCAUACAAAUUCCGUCUUCUCUGCCACCGAGCACAGUAAAGUAAAUUCAAAACCUGGAACAUAAAACGCUUUAAUUGUGCCGCCGGCUCCUCUUACUCACUUGAAUGAAGCCGCAAUGGAUUAGUUCUUUCAAGUAAUGUUCUGCCGUCUCCUCACUGUUGUAUGGUAUGAAACCUUCAGCUACCCACAACUGAUAUAAUUGUCUCGUAGAUAUCUCAAUGUCUGGACGGAAGACAAACAAAUAGGUGUAGCAGACUUUCAAGUGAAAAGGUAACUCCAUCACAGAAUAAAUUUGUCUCCAAAUUGUCCGAAUCGCUUAGGCUUGAAGAUAAUUUUCUAAUGGCAUACUUCCAUAGUGUAGGAUGAAAAAUUGCCAGGCCUCAUACUUUAAUCUGAUCAAUGGUCCUCCAACGAGCACAGAAUCAGGCCGAAUCUUCUCUCCAUUUUCCAUUUCCAACGACACAAGGAGUUCUGGAUCAGUGACUGUUAUCAAUACUCUGCUUCCAUUCUCAUUAUCAGGGAGACCUUCUUCGAGAUCAUCCCAUAUCUCACUGUUAUCGAAGACAUCAUCAAGCACAAUAAAGUACUUCUUGUUUGUUAGGUAAUCUCGAAGAAUAGAUUUCUUCAAUUGAUAAUUGAAAGAGUUUGUAUAUAGUGUUUGGUUUAAGAGAAACUAACAAGAAAAUAAAAGAAAAUCAUAAAGAACCAGAUCUGAAAAUGAUCAUAUUCUCAUUUUUUGACUAAUGAUUACAACUUGUUAUUUAUAGUAAAGAUCAGAGGCGUCACGUAGCUUGUCAGUUUGUUGGAUCUAAUAUGCAUGCAGUACAGUUCGUUAUCUUUGCUGCUGAGCUGGAUAACUAACUCAACACACGUAAGCAUCAGCAGCUCCAUUUAAUCAGAUGCUCUCAUCUAUACCAUAUUAUCAUACUCUAUAACAUCCUCCCUCAAGCUGAACUGACCUGGAUGGACAUUCAGCUUGCUUCUUAGAUAGUGAAACUGAUUGAAGGUUAGUGCCUUGGUAAGAACAUCGGCAUUUUGGUCUUCACUGGGAAUGAACUGAACUGUAAUUUGCUUAGCUGUUACUUUGUCUCUGAUGAAGUGAAUAUCAAGCUCAACAUGCUUAGUUUUAGCAUGAUAAACAGGAUUGUGAGCUAAAGCUAUGGCACUUUGAUUAUCACACCACAUUAUGGGGGCUGUGACAAGAUGAAUAUGUAGCUCUUUCAGUAAGGACUGAAUCCAAGUAACCUCAGCUGUAGCUUGAGCCAAAGCUCUGUAUUCAGCUUCAGUGCUUGAUCUGGAAACUACUGCCUGUUUCUUAGACGACCAAGAAACCAAAUUUGAACCAAGAUAAACAGCAUAACCAGCCACUGAUUUGCGAUCAUCCUUAUCACAUGCCCAAUCUGAGUCACUAAAACAAUUUAUCUGCAUAGUGCCGUAAUGAUAAAAAUGUAAUCCAAAAUGAAUUGUUCCUUUCAAAUAUCUAAGAAGCCUCUUACAAGCCUCCCAGUGCUCUGCUGUUGGUGAAGCUAAAAACUGACUAAGUUUGUUUACAGAGAAAGCUAUUUCUGGCCUAGUGAGAGUCACAUAUUGUAAAGCUCCAACUGCACUUCUAUAUUGAGAACUAUUUGAAAUAACACUUCCUGACCCCUUUGUAAGAUAAUGACCAGUGGCCAUGGGAGUAGGAACUGGACUGCAGUCAGCCAUAUUGUGUUUGGCUAGAAUAUCAGCUAUGUAUUUAGAUUGAGAGAGAUAAAUUCCAGAUGCUGUUUUGGUAACUUCUAUCCCAAGAAAAUAACUCAAUUUGCCCAGAUCCUUCAAAGCAAAAGCAUUUUGCAUAUUGGUAAUCACUUGCUGCACCAUUUGAUCACUUGAGCCUGUUAUGAUUAUAUCAUCCACAUAGACAAGAACAAAAAUUACUUGAUCACCUAUCCACUUGUAGAAAAGGGAGUUGUCUGACCUUGAAUUUUGGAAACCCCAUUUCACAACCAUAGCAUCUUUCAGUCUCUCAAACCAUGCCCUGGGGGCUUGUUUUAAACCGUAGAGAGCCUUUUUCAACUUACAGACAUGAAGAGGUCGAGAUGGAUCAAUGAAGCCCUCUGGCUGCCCCAUGUACACAUCUUCAACUAAUAUGCCAUUCAAAAAGGCAUUAUUCACAUCCACUUGUCUGAGCUCCCAUUUAUUCAUAACUGCCAAACUUAAAAUAACUCUGACUGUGGAUGCUUUAACAACUGGACUGAAUGUUUCUGUGUAAUCAACUCCUUGUGUCUGAUGAAACCCCUUAGCCACUAACCUGGCUUUGUAUCUAGAAAUGGUUCCAUCAGCAUGAUAUUUUAUCUUGAAUAUCCAUUUGUUACCAACUACCUUAACUGGUUCACUUGGCAAAACCAGAUCCCAUGUAUGAUUAUUCUGAAGUGCUUGAAAUUCUUCUUGCAUUGCCUUAAACCAUUUUGGAUUAGAUAAAGCAGCUGAAACAGAAGUAGGUUCUGAAGGUAUGGCUAGUAAAGCAGCUAAAUAAGAUUUAGGCUUAAAUAUACCAGCCUUGGAUCUGGUUAUCAUGGGAUGACCUAUAGGUGGUGCAGCAGGUAAUAUAUGAGGAGGAGAUUGUGUAUGAUGUAUAGGAUGUGUAUGUGAUGUCAAAGUAGAAGAUGAAGAGGAGGUUGAAGAAGGAGAGAAUACCUGUGGAGUGUCAGCAGGUAGGUAAUCACUUGCUAGAGAUUGUUGCAGGGGGGAUUGUACUUGUGGGAUUGGAACAAGAGUAACUUUGGACUCUGAAGAAAUAUCUGAGGGACUGCAAGACUGAGCAAUGGAAGAGAAGUCUAAUCCAGAUACAUAUGGAAAAGAUUGUUCAUCAAAGAUGACAUGAUUGGACACAUACACACGACCAGAUGAAUGAAGACACUGAUACCCUUUAUGAGAAGAGCUAUACCCAAUAAAAACACAUCUGUUUGAUCUAAAACUGAGCUUGUGUCUGUUAUAAGGUCUGAGAUAAGGAAAGCAAGCACAACCAAAGACCCUAAGAGAGACAUAAUCUGGUACUUGCUGAAAAAGUUUUUGGUAAGGUGAAAUGUAUUCAAAGUUGGUGUGGGUAGUCUGUUAAUAAGGAAUACAACAGUAUGAAAGGCAUUCCACCAGAACUUAAGUGGUAAAUUAGCUUGAGCUAACAGAGUGAGGCCAAUGUCCACUAUGUGUCUAUGUUUUCUCUCAAUUCUUCCAUUUUGAUGAUGGAUAUGUGGACAAGGAUGCCUGAACUGAAUUCCAAACUGAGUGAGAUAUGAUGCAAAGGUUCUAAACUCCCCUCCCCAAUCUGUUUGAACUGUUUUGAUGUGUUGUUGUAAGUGUUUUUCAAUAAAAGAUUUGAAUUCUGUGAAAACUUGGAGUGCAUCUGAUUUGGCAGUCAAAGGAAAAAUCCAUGUGAAUCUGCUAAAAUCAUCUAAAAUGGACAAAUAAUAUAUAUAGCCUUGAGUGGAUGCAACAUGUGAUGGUCCCCACAAAUCAGCAUAUAUAAGUUGUAAUGGUGCUGUUGUUUUUGUUGGAAUAGAUCCAAAAUGUAAAAGGUGACUUUUACCAUGUUGACAGGCAUUGCAAAAGUUUGGAGUUUUAUUGAGUACAUUGAAACUAUUACAAGCUUUCAAUACAGAUUUGAGUGUGUGUAAGGCAGGAUGUCCUAGCCUUUUAUGGAAAACAUUGACAUCGACUGAGCUAGUAUUGACAGCCAAGGCUGAUUUACACAGCAAAUGAUGAGACAAAGUACUCUUACUUAUUUCAGGAGAAAUAUCACUAGACAAAGGAGAAUGAAAAGCAAACAAAGACUGAGGUUUAUUGGAAGAAAGUUGACAAGACAAGGCUGAGCUAGUUUCAGAGACUUGAGCUGCAGAUUGGACUUGAUACAAUCCCCCUGUUGCAAUUCCUCUAAGCAAAGUGAUCCCUGAGUUCCUGGCCUUGACAACACAGACAUUUGCAAAAAACUCAAGUGUCACAUUAUUAUCUACUAAGAGCUUUGAAACACUGAGUAAAUUUUUCUUAAUAUUUGGAACAUGAAGAACAUGGUUUAAACACAAGGGUUUAUUUGCAGUAGUAGCUAGCAAUACUGAUCCAAUAUGCUGAAUAUGCAAUGCAGAACCAUUCCCAACAAGCAAUUUGUCAGUUCCAACAUAUGGCUUGAGAUCCAGUAAUUUACCUGGGUCAUUUGUGAUGUGGUUAGUAGCACCACUGUCAAUGUACCAAGCUGGAUCUUCAAUCAUCUCAGGUGCAUGAGCUGGAACAGGGACUGAAGGAGAUCCAGAGUAAUCUCCAGUAGGAGCAAAAGCAUGAGCAGGAGAGUAACCACCAUGAGAAUUAGAUGGUUGAUAAACAUUGAAAGCAGCUGGAUCUGAAUACAUCAAAUGGCCUUGAUAACCAGGUGCUCUUGGUAUGUUGAAAUUACCAAACUGAGAGUUACCAAUUCCAGCACCAUAUUGAGGAUUAAGAUUUCUACCAAAAUUACCAAAAUUUCCAUAAGCCAUAGAAGACCUAUUGCCAUUAGCAUAGCCAAAACCUCUACCAUACUGCCUCUGACCAGGCCUAAAAUUUCCAUUAAAACCACCUCUUCCUUGAUUUCUUGAAGGAACAAAAGCUGAGUUAAACCUAUUCCUGCAUUUAUUGGCACCAUGACCAGGAAUGAAAUAGAUCUGACAUACAAUUUGUGAGAAGUUACCAUCACUAGAUCCAGCUCCAGAAUUAUAACUUCCUCCAUACGAUCCAAUGUUAAACUUCUGAUUACCACUAGUGUUUUUACUAGGAUUGAACUGCUUUUGAGCAACAUUAGCUGACAAGUUAUGUGUAACAUCACUUGCAAUUUUUCCUCUCUUUUGUUCCACAUGAUUUUCAUGACUCAAUAACAAUGAAUAAAACUCAUCAAGACUGAUAUUAUCUCCUCUAGCUAACACAGUAGUAACUAGUGAUUCAUAAUCAGAGGAAUCCAAUCCAGUCAAAACAUGUUGAACGAAAUCAUUCACUUCAACAGGUUUUCCAGCUAAAGCCAAGCUAUCAGAUAUCCUUUUCAUUUUUGCAAAAUAAUCAGUUAUGGACAUCGAGCCUUUUUUAAGAGUUUGGAUUUGCAUUUUUAGAGGCAUUAUUCUAGCUUGUGACUGGGAAACAAACAUACUUGUAAGUGUAUCCAGCAGCUCCUUUGCAGUUGAGCAGUGGAUCACAGUUGUCAACAGAUUCGGCUGAAUAGAUGAGAGCAUCCAGCUCAGAAUCAAUUGAUCCGUCUUUAUCCACAUUGUGUAAGCUGGAUUGAUCUCUUGAUUCUCUGUUCCAGUUGAGAAACCAGCAGCAGAGCUUAUAGCAGAGAAAAAUUUUCCCGGACAGACUUGAUUUCCAUUGAUGAAAUCUUCUAAACCAUUUCCUUUAAUGGAUAUGAGAAUCUGAGUUCGCCAAACAAUGAAGUUAUUAUGAUCUAGUUUUAUCGGAGUAAUAAAACUAUAGGAUCCAGAAUUUUGAUUCGAAUUUGCCAUUUGUUAGCUCUGAUACCAUGAAAGAGUUUGUAUAUAGUGUUUGGUUUAAGAGAAACUAACAAGAAAAUAAAAGAAAAUCAUAAAGAACCAGAUCUGAAAAUGAUCAUAUUCUCAUUUUUUGACUAAUGAUUACAACUUGUUAUUUAUAGUAAAUAUCAGAGGCGUCACGUAGCUUGUCAGUUUGUUGGAUCUAAUAUGCAUGCAAUACAGUUCGUUAUCUUUGCUGCUGAGCUGGAUAACUAACUCAACACACGUAAGCAUCAGCAGCUCCAUUUAAUCAGAUGCUCUCAUCUGUACCAUAUUAUCAUACUCUAUAACAUCCUCCCUCAAGCUGAACUGACCUGGAUGGACAUUCAGCUUGCUUCUUAGAUAGUGAAACUGAUUGAAGGUUAGUGCCUUGGUAAGAACAUCGGCAUUUUGGUCUUCACUGGGAAUGAACUGAACUGUAAUUUGCUUAGCUGUUACUUUGUCUCUGAUGAAGUGAAUAUCAAGCUCAACAUGCUUAGUUUUAGCAUGAUAAACAGGAUUGUGAGCUAAAGCUAUGGCACUUUGAUUAUCACACCACAUUAUGGGGGCUGUGACAAGAUGAAUAUGUAGCUCUUUCAGUAAGGACUGAAUCCAAGUAACCUCAGCUGUAGCUUGAGCCAAAGCUCUGUAUUCAGCUUCAGUGCUUGAUCUGGAAACUACUGCCUGUUUCUUAGACGACCAAGAAACCAAAUUUGAACCAAGAUAAACAGCAUAACCAGCCACUGAUUUGCGAUCAUCCUUAUCACAUGCCCAAUCUGAGUCACUAAAACAAUUUAUCUGCAUAGUGCCGUAAUGAUAAAAAUGUAAUCCAAAAUGAAUUGUUCCUUUCAAAUAUCUAAGAAGCCUCUUACAAGCCUCCCAGUGCUCUGCUGUUGGUGAAGCUAAAAACUGACUAAGUUUGUUUACAGAGAAAGCUAUUUCUGGCCUAGUGAGAGUCACAUAUUGUAAAGCUCCAACUGCACUUCUAUAUUGAGAACUAUUUGAAAUAACACUUCCUGACCCCUUUGUAAGAUAAUGACCAGUGGCCAUGGGAGUAGGAACUGGACUGCAGUCAGCCAUAUUGUGUUUGGCUAGAAUAUCAGCUAUGUAUUUAGAUUGAGAGAGAUAAAUUCCAGAUGCUGUUUUGGUAACUUCUAUCCCAAGAAAAUAACUCAAUUUGCCCAGAUCCUUCAAAGCAAAAGCAUUUUGCAUAUUGGUAAUCACUUGCUGCACCAUUUGAUCACUUGAGCCUGUUAUGAUUAUAUCAUCCACAUAGACAAGAACAAAAAUUACUUGAUCACCUAUCCACUUGUAGAAAAGGGAGUUGUCUGACCUUGAAUUUUGGAAACCCCAUUUCACAACCAUAGCAUCUUUCAGUCUCUCAAACCAUGCCCUGGGGGCUUGUUUUAAACCGUAGAGAGCCUUUUUCAACUUACAGACAUGAAGAGGUCGAGAUGGAUCAAUGAAGCCCUCUGGCUGCCCCAUGUACACAUCUUCAACUAAUAUGCCAUUCAAAAAGGCAUUAUUCACAUCCACUUGUCUGAGCUCCCAUUUAUUCAUAACUGCCAAACUUAAAAUAACUCUGACUGUGGAUGCUUUAACAACUGGACUGAAUGUUUCUGUGUAAUCAACUCCUUGUGUCUGAUGAAACCCCUUAGCCACUAACCUGGCUUUGUAUCUAGAAAUGGUUCCAUCAGCAUGAUAUUUUAUCUUGAAUAUCCAUUUGUUACCAACUACCUUAACUGGUUCACUUGGCAAAACCAGAUCCCAUGUAUGAUUAUUCUGAAGUGCUUGAAAUUCUUCUUGCAUUGCCUUAAACCAUUUUGGAUCAGAUAAAGCAGUUGAAACAGAAGUAGGUUCUGAAGGUAUGGCUAGUAAAGCAGCUAAAUAAGAUUUAGGCUUAAAUAUACCAGUCUUGGAUCUGGUUAUCAUGGGAUGACCUAUAGGUGGUGCAGCAGGUAAUAUAUGAGGAGGAGAUUGUGUACACACUGAUCCAUGUACAACACAUCUCUUGAUUAUCUGUGUGUGUGCUGCUCAUCAAUGAUUAACAAGAUACAGUAGUUUUGUGAAGUCUCAUGUCUUGUGUUACAAAAUUUUGUGAUGGAAAGAAGGAAUAAUUCAACUAAAAAAAAAAAACACACGCGCGCAGCACACACACAGAGGGCCGCAACUAGCCCUUGAACCCCUAUUGAACUCGCACAAGAUACUAUUGAACUAAAUUCAAAAACAGCUGUUAAUAGCAUCUUAAAAUAUGGGUUCUAUCCAUACUCCCACCUGAAUCAUUUCUUGCGGCAUGACUCAAAAAUAACAAUAAGCCUGUCGCACCGAUAACUCAUUAGUGCAAUUUUUUUAACUCAAAAAAUUGAUACGCGUUCAUUUAGCGAAAAGUCCAAGACGCUUGCCUUUUGAAAAGAAGAGGUAUCCAAUAGAUAUCCAACCUUUAUCUUAUUUAAUUACUACCACGACAUGAUUGAUGGUGCUUAAAUCGAUUGUUUCUUUUUUAAUUUAAAGAAUUUUUCAUUAAAAAAUAUUUUAAUAUCAAAUUGCCUUCAAUAGCGUAACUGCCGCAGGCCCAGUAACAAGAUUAAUUAAAAUUUUUUGAAUUUUUGGGCAUGGAAAGAGUAGUAUUAGACUUCAGAAAGCUUAAGGUUGUUAUGUUAAAGAAUUGAUAUUGACAUAAUUUUAUUUUGGUUUUCGGGAAACAAAUUAUUUGUUGACAAGCAAGAAAAUAUUUUUGUAUUUUACAAUUUAUUAUACAUAUUUUAUCAUAUUAAAGUAAUUUUAAUAAUAAAUAGACACAUAAUAUUACAACAAAUAAAGUAAAGUUUAAAUUAUUUUGAAUAUUAUAAAAAUAAUUUUAAUAUUAUUAAUAGGAAGACAUUUUGUUAAUUUUAAAAUCUUUUUAACCUAAAGGUUUAUUUAAAAUCUUUAGAAAUCUCCAUCCCACAUCUACCCUAUUAAACAAGUUGAUGGAAAUUGAACAAUUGCUUUUUGAAGUGGACCCAUUGAGUUAUGUUCAUUACUGGUCAUUGUCUAUUCUUUCUAAGAGCCACUUGUUUUGAGCAUUAGCAAUCCUAUCUGGACUACUCCAAUUAUUGAUGUAACUCCAAUGGUUGCAUCAACAGUUGAAUGUAAGAUAGUGUUAGUUCUUUUUUGAGAAUAUAGAGGGAUCUUUAUUUGUUUCUCCGUUGUAGCGUAUUAGUAUAAAUUUCUUUACCUUACAGUUCCUACAGUCUUCCUGUUAAUGAAUUCGCUGAGGCAUUAUUGAUCCAAUCUCAGUGAAGUAAUUGUGGGUGAAAAAAAAAAAUAAAGGAUAAGAGAACGUAGCUGAAGUGCUGAAUUGACUAUUAAAGAAGAGCGUCACCUGAUCACAAUCACAUUGAUGCACAACUCACUCAGAUCAUUACAACGUCCUUUUCGCUAAUUAAUUAUGAUUAUAUACAUUUUCAUAUGGCAAGUGGCAUUGUAGAUCUAAACUACGUUGCUAUUUCAUUACGUUAAUUAAGUGAUUCUCCUCAUUGUCAUCAGCGCUUUUUGGGCAUGGAAAGAGUAGUAUUAAACAUUAGAAAGCAAAGGUUGUUCUGUCAAAGAAUUGAUAUUGGCAUAAUUUUAUUUUUGCUUUCGAGUAAAAAAAAAAAAAUUGUUGACAAGCAAGAUACUGUUUUUAUAUUUUACAGUCAGUUAUACAUAUUUUAUCAUAUUAAAGUAAUUUUAAUAAUAAAUGGAAACAUAACAUUACAAUAAAUCAAUUAAAGUUUAAAUUAUUUUGAAUAUUAUAAAAAAUAAUUUUAAUAUUAUUAAUAGGAAGAUAUUUUGUUUAUUGUAAAAUCUUUUUAACCCAAAGGUUUAUUUAAAAUCGUUAUAAUAAAUAAAAAUAUAAAAACAAAAUAAAUAUCAUAAUUUAAAAUUUUAAUAUUAUUUUAAAUAUUAAAAAUACUUUAAUGCUAUUAGUCUACUACCCAGGUUAUAUUACGUAUAUUAUAUUUGUAUAAAUUAAAACUUUUAAAGUUAAAUUUUUAAUUACUAUAUUGAAAAGUUAUUAUGGUUAAAAAAAGUUUUGGCAUUUCUUUUUGAAAAUUUGAGGGUCUGCAUGACAAUUUGUCCAAAUCCUAGAGGUAUAGGUGUCUUUUUUUUUUUUCGAUAAUCAUUUUACUUUUGAGGGAAUCCGAUGAGAAAUAAGAUAAGAGAAACGUCAAUUUAAGGUUCUCUAGGGAAAACCAAGAACUAUUCAAUUUUGUAUUUUUUGUUUGUAAAACGAAAAACAGUUUGCCAAAAAAGGUACCAAACAUAUCCUUAAUGUCUCACAUGAUUUCUUAUUAAGUCCAUACUCGAUAUAUUUAUACAUUUUAGGUAUUUUAGUUAUAAAAGAAGUUGGUCCUCCCUUUGUUUAUAAAAGGUAACUUUAUUUCGAGAUUACCACUAAAGUCUUGCAAAGAAUUAGUGUAAUGUUAAGAGAGAAUAACACAGUUUUCCAUUACCAUUUUGAAAAUAGAAAGAUGUGGAUGUGUGCAUUUAAUAUUGCGUUUACUUGCUGGAUUGAGGAAUCGGAAUCUAGAAUCGGAAUGAUUGAUGGUGUUUACUUUGCAAAUAUGGAGCAGGAAUCGGAAUUGGAAUGGUGGGGGCCACCACUAUUUGGGAAUGGGAGAUUGAUUCUCAUGGGGGAAGGUGGGAAUGAGUCUCCCAUUCCCUGGAUUGACCAUUUUGCCCUCCCUCAAAAUUAAAAAUGCCUACUUUGUCCUCUUUUAUAAUUAAUUAAUAUAAUAUUAUAAUUACUUAAUUAAUAUAUAAAUAUUUUAUUAACUAUAAUUAUUAAAAAUUAUAGUUCUUGAAUAAAUAAUCACAAUAAUUAAUUUAUUAUUAUUAUUGUUAUUUUAAUUAAUUAAUUAAUAUACUAUUAUAAUAAUUAUUAAUAUAAUUAAUUUAUAUAUUAUUAUUAUUAUUAAUGAAUUAAUAUAAUUAUUACUAUUAAUUAAUAUAUUAAUAUAUUAUUAACAAUAAUAUAUUAAUAAUUAUUGUUCGUGAAUAAAUAAUCACAAUAAUUAAUAUAUUAUUAUUGUAAUUAAUUAAUUAAUAUACUAUUAUAAUAAUUAUUAAUAUAAUUAUUAUAAUUAAUUCAUAUAUUAUUAUUAAUUAAAUUAAUAUUAUUAAAUAAAUAAAUAAUAUAAUUAUUACUACUAAUUAAUAUAUUAAUAUAUUAUUAAAAAAUAUUAAUAAUUAUAAUUUUUGAAUAAAUAAUCACAAUAAUUAAUAUAUUAUUUUAAUUAAGUAAUUAAUAUUAAUAUUAAUAUUAUUAGUUAAUAUAUUUUUAUAAUAAUUUUUAAUAUAGUUAUUAUAAUUAAUUAAUUUUUUUUACAAUUAAUUAAUAUAUUAGUUAAUAAUAAUUAUGACAAUAAUCCAUUAAGUACUUUUUAGUAAUUUGUUACAAUCUAAUUCAUUCCGAUUCCGAUUUCAAGACAAAGUAAACACAUUAAUGGCAAUUUAGCUCAUUCUGAUUUUGAUUCCUACAGUUCAAGUAAACAACUUAUUUUGAUUCCUAUUACAUAUUCCCAUUCCAACCCAUUCUCAUUUCUGUCCAUUCUCAUUUCUGCCCAUUCCGAUUUUAGCUCAUUCCGAUUUCAGUUUAGUAAACGCAGUAUAAGAGUUAUCAUGAAAAUCAUACAAUUCAAUUUCCUGAAAUAUAUAUUUUAUUCACAUGUGCCAAAAGAAUAAAUAGAUAGAAAGUAAAUUUACAAUCCUCACUCCCUCACAAUUGUUAAAGUGAAUAUGCAUUACAACUGUGAACUGUCACUACUUUAGCCCUUUUUUUUUUUUCAAUUAUAGUGUGAUGGAGACAGUGAACAUUAAGGAUAAAGUGCUCUGCUGAAAGCCAAACUUCCUUUGGCUAAUUAAUUUAGAAGUAAAGCAGAGAAUAAAGUCCUAGAUGCCUUCUGAAAUUAGAAAUACAUUUUAUAUGCUUUAAUUAUGAUUAUUUGGCAGACUAAAGACCUAAAAGAUAUGUCAAAAGUAUGAAACAGAGAGAUUAAAGAAAAAAGAAAAAAAAAAAAAAACAGAGUAUUUGUGACGUAGAAUAACAAUUGGUAAAUAAAUCCUAAAUAUUUGAGUUGUUAAAAGCAAAUAUAACAGAGACGGUAAGAGAGAUGCAGAAACAGAAAACUAUUAGCUUAUCUUGAUUUUCCCACUAUAUUCAUUUUCGAUGCUUUUCAAUCGAGAUUCUUUUAAUUCUUCUGGUGUCUGCAGCCCCGGCUCUUCUUAUAAAUCUCCAUCCCACAUCUGCACUACGAACAAGUUGACUGAAAUUAAAUAAUGUUGGAGAUGAGGGGUGAGCCGUCAACUUGUUAAAAAAAACUCAUGUAUAAUAUUAUCAAUAAUAUAAAAUAUAUAAUAAUUGUUACAAAGAAUCAUAAAUUAGAAAAAUUAAUUAUUUUACAAUCUAUUUCUUAAGUAAGAUAAAUCUUGUAAUAAGUUAAGUUAUAACGUAAAAAAUAUUUUCAAUUUAUAAUCAUUUAAGAAGUCAUUUAACAAUAAAAUCUUUCUUUUGAUCAUGUGGGCAUGCCAUAGAGUAUCAUCUAUAUUCGUGAUGAUAUUAUUAUUACUCAGUAUCCUAAAAAAAACACGAUUUAACAUUUAGAGAAAAUUCCUGCCUUUUAAAAAGAACAUGUAUGCAAUAGCUAGCCAUACUUUAUUUUACCACAACAAAAUUGAUGGUGAUUAAAUCAAUUUUCUCAAUUAAAGCAAAAUUUUAAAAAUUGAUUUAAUGCACAAAUAUGAUGAGUUUUUGUAAAAAUUAGUUUUGGAAAAUAUAGUGAGAGAAAAUGGUGACGAUUAUUUUCAGAUGUGCAAAUAGCCUAAACAUAAUCUCUAAUACCAAUAUCCAUGUGCAUCUUAAUACCUUUCAUGAUAUUCUUUCAUUCAUGGCCAUUUGUUCAAGAUUUGAAUUUGAUUAUUAAAUCAUGUUCAAUAAUGUUAGAGAUCCCAACAAUUGAAUACCAACUUAAAUCCCAAUGCUAUGUGUCAUUAACAAAUGUUGUGUCAUUUAUAAUUAUUGAAUGAAUAAUUCGUUAAUUUAUUGAUAAAUAAAAAUUUAUUAAUUUAAAGAGAGAUACUUCUUCUUUUUUUGUUUUAAGAAGAGUUUUGUUGGUACAUGUACAUACUUAUAAAGAAAUAAACUUGUAAUUAUACUAUAUCUUUCUUUCUUUGUUCAGUUUGGUGGGAUAUUGUGAUAAAUCAUUGGAUUAAAAUACAUUUCUAAAUUAAAACUUGUUAAAAUCUAAUUUAUUUGGGAAACGCAUAUUAUUUGUCAGUUGUACUUCUCAACUUAGCAAGUUAUUUCUAACUUGUCAGUCUCUAUUGGUUCUCUAAAAGCUAAUAGUCUCGAAUCUCCCGCAUUUGAUAUCUUGCCAUUACUGUUGGCAUUUGUUAAGUAUAGCUGAAGCUGGUGACGUGUAUAAGCUGCUGAUGAAGCUGCUGAGUUGGCUGGCUGGUGAUGUGUAUAAACUGAAGGUGCUGAGCUGGAUUGGGUUGUUGUUCACACCAACUAAAGAUGUAACAGAUUAUCCAGCUGGCUUGUUAUGAUUGGAAGUUAGAUUAGUUUGUUAAUACAGCAAACAAUGAGCUCUGUUUUGGUAGUUAGUUUUGAGUGUAACUAUAAAUACUGGCUAACAUGUUUUCAGUGUUAAGCUUGAGUUUUAAUCAAUAAAAAUCAAUUCAGUUAAAGUUUCUUUGUUAACUUUCUUUCACUUUCUCACUUGCCAAACAACCUAUUAAUUCUAAAAUGGUAUCAGAGCUUGCACCUAUGUCAGGAUCUAAUCAUAUAGCUUCCUCAUCACUUUCAUUCAAUUUUGUUCAACCUAUAAAACUCGAUAGAUCAAACUACUUGGUGUGGAAAGCUCAAGUUAGAACAUCGAUCAUUGCUAAUGGACUUGAGAGCUUCAUCAAUGGUGAGAGUGUAUGUCCAAAAUGUUAUCUCAUUGAUUCUAUUCAAGAACUUCAAAGAUCUGGAGCUGAAACAUCACAGAAGCAGGAAAAUCCAGAGUAUAUCUUAUGGAUGAAAACUGACAAACUUCUGCAGAGCUGGAUGCUUUCGUCAAUGGUGGACAAUGUAUUAAUCAUGGUGAUCAAUUGUGAAACAUCACUUGAACUUUCGGAGAUGCUUGCUAGAAUCUUCAUGUCACAAUCCAAAGCGAGAUAUCUGCCUUUGAAGAUGCAGAUUCAAUCAACAAAUAAAGGAUCUCUCUCCAUCAGUGAUUACUUCAAAAGGAUGAAGAAAAUUGCUGAUAGCUUGGCCAUUGGAGGUAAUCCAAUUACUUCGAAUGAACUGAUUAUUCACUUGCUUACUAGAUUGGAUGAAAACUAUGAAUCCAUAGUCACAAAUAUACUUACUAGACUGGAAAAAGAGAGACUUACUGCUGAAGAGGUGUACUCUAUGUUACUUAGUCAUGAAACUAGGUUGGAAAUGAGCAAAGGAAAAUCACAUAAUGAACCUCUGCAUGAUAUGACAUCAAAUUUUGCUCAGAAAGGCCAAGGUUAUAAUACUGGUCCUGGAAGAGAUGUUGUGUGUCAAAUCUGUUACAUUCCAGGCCAUGGAGCUUAUAAGUGUAAACAUAGAUUCAAUCAAGGGUUUAUUCCUAGAAACAAAGGCUUUGGUGGUUUCAGGCCAAGAGGUGGAGGUCAGAAUUAUAGAGGAUUCCCUAGAAAUAAUCAGAAUUAUUUUGGUAGAGGUUCUGGAUACAAUAGUUCUGCUUUUGGAUCUGGAUUCAGACCUAACUUUCCCAGGCAAGCCGGACCUACUGGACCUUUCUUUGGCUAUGUUGCCUAUCAGAAUCCAGGAUUCAUGAAUCCUCAAGGUGCCUUUGACUUUCCAAGUGCAAAUGGUGAUUAUACUGGUGUUCCAACAGCAAACAUGUAUGUUGGAAAUUAUGGCAUUCCUCAUAAUGUCUCUCCCUCUGCACAAUUGGCAAACUUCAGCAAUGUAGCUGAUUCAGCCUGGUACCUUGACUCUAGAGCAACAAAUCACAUUGCUCAAGAUGCAGGUAUACUUUCUAAGUGCUCAACUUACCAUGGCCUUGAAAAACUACAUGUAGGAAAUGGUAUGGGGCUGCCUGUUCAUAAUGUUGGUUUUGUUGCUGUUAAAACCUUGACUACAACACCUAUAUACCUAAAUCAUGUUCUGCAUGUCCCUAAAAUUACUAAAAACCUUAUCAGUGUUUCCAAAUUGCUUGCUGAUAACAAUGUUUUUAUUGAGUUUUACAACCAUGUUUGUUUUGUUAAGGACAAGAAUUCAAGAAUCACAUUGCUCAAGGGGAUUGUUAGAGGAGGUCUUUAUCAAGUUUCAAGCUUAAAUACAGUCUGUGAUAACUCCAGUUCAGUGUUCCCAGUGUCAACCACUUCUGAGUUUGUUUUUACUUCAAUAAGUACAUUCCCAGCAACUCCAGUGUCUAUGUUUACUCAACUAAGUUCAUUUGAUACUAAGUUUCACUCUUGUAUGCUUGUAAAUAAUUCUCAAAUCAAUAAGAAUGUCCCUGUGGCUCACUUUGCUUCAUAUAACAAGCCUAUUGAUUAUAGUUUACUGCACAAAAGAAUGGGUCAUCCAACUACUCAUGCUUUAAAACAGAUCAUGAAAUGCCUGAACUCAAAUUUUAUUCUUCCCAAAGAUUUCACAACACAGUUCUGUGAUGCCUGUCAACUAGGCAAGUGCCAUACGCAGCAUUUUCCCUCCAUAGAAACUUCAACCACUCAGCCCCUUGAAUUACUACAUGCUGACCUUUGGGGACCAGCUCCCAUUACCUCUUCACAAGGUUACACCUACUAUCUAUCUAUCUUAGAUGACUACACUCGAUACACUUGGAUUUUUCCUCUCAUUGCCAAAUCCAAAACCUUGUCAGCCUUUAUUGAAUUCAAAAACAUGAUUGAAAACUGCCUGAACUUGAAAAUUAAAUGUUUACAAACUGAUUGGGGUGGAGAAUUCAGGCCUUUUGUGUCAUAUCUUUCUAACCAGGGUAUACAAUUUUGACAUCCCUGCCCUUAUAUCCAUCAUCAACAUAUUACCUGAGAUUGGGAUUCAUUAAAAUCCUCAAUGUAAUCGGUGGAACGAAUGGAUUUCUUCUGUUCACCAAUCCACCAAAAUUUCUGUAAUUAAAUUCAAGAGUCAAGAUCUAUGCUUAUAAUCUAUUCAACAGCUAAUAUUCUAUUUUAUAUUUACUUAAAUAUGAAGAGCUAUGCUUGUCAUUAACUUCAAAUGUGAUCGAAGCAGCCUUACAUCUGUAUAUUACGUAUUCCCAACUUUUUUUUGACUUCAUUUACUUUCUUUUCAUGUUAUUUACUCUUUUUUCCCCCUCUCUGACAAUUGAGGUAGGGGGUCAAACUUGAAAGUAUCUUAAAAUCAAACAAUUUUUUUUUUAAGAUAGCUGCUAAUAUGCUCUAUUAGACAAUGAUAAGUAAUAACCUAGUUGUUUGCAUUAGAAAUGAUAUUUUUUGUGGUGCUGAUAAAGAGGUUGAUUAUGAUUCAACAAUUUAAAAUAUGAAAACAUGUGGAAGACGGCCGCAAUUAAAUUGAUUGUAUGAAAAUAUUUCAAUGAAAUUUUAAAAAUUUAGUACUUGUUAUCUUAUCGAGAGUUUUUUAAAUUUUUCUACUUGAACUUGACUGCUUUUGUAUUGAAUUCCUAGCGUUGCCAUUGCUUCUACUCAAAAGCCAUUUAGUUACUCAUGAAUUGUUGUUCAUAAUAGCAAUUUGAUUGAAAGUGCGGCUGCACUAAUUUUCUAGAUGAAUUUUUUCCUACAUGCUUGUUCUCGUAUGACCCAAAAUCCUGCUACAUCAGUUGUAUUAGAAAUUAAUCAACUGGGUUACAAUUAUGCAUCCCCACCAAUAUUUAAGCAAUUUAAUUACAGAAACAUUUCUUGAGGAAAGAAACUCAUAUCGCCACUAGGCUUUUAAUGAGGCUCAUUUUUAUGAAUCUGGAUGGCAUUAGAUAUCUCUCCGAAUAUUGGUGGGAGUAGAUAUGCUACAAAGUGUAUGUACGUUGACUCUCAAUAAAUACAAACGAUUCUCUGAUCUGAUUCAAAACAUCAGUACAUGCAUCAUUUUAAUGAGAAAGAAUAUUCUAAGAACGAAAUUGAAGGUGCAAUCAGCAGCUAAAAUGAAGCCAGAAAUGUACACGCAUGAGGAAGUUUUCCAAGAAGAUUGAUAUUUCUUUGACUAGCAAACCAUACAAGUCCAAAGCUAGCUAAACCAUACCUGCAAGUCGGGGGUUUAAAUGGAGUACUUCUAAGCAUAAAACAUUGAUUAAAACAGAAUACACACAUACAUACCAGCAAAUUCAAUAUAGCAAAAGGAGUGCAAAAGUUCAAGUUUGUAGACAACAUUGCAACCAUGGCAUGUUUAUAGCAAAUCCUCGAAAUCUGCUAAAUAAAACAAUGCCCUGUCUCAUGAAUCAAUGCUGAAUUAAAAUUGAAACUGAAAGUCUGGCUGGCGGUGUUUCCCUCUCCAAUUUUGCCUACAUAAGUGAAAAUAAGAAUAAUAAAUGGAAAUCUGCUUUUACAGUUCUUAUUAGAUAGAUAUAAAGGGAUCUUUCUUUGUUUCUCUGCUGUAAUUUGUGGCUAUGCCACUCUGUUUUUCCAGUCAAGCUGAGUCUACGUUGAGACAUAAUUUUGACAUCAGAAGCAACCUCAAUUAGUUUGGCAUUUUCAUGACCUCCUUGAAGGUUUUAUGAUAAACAUAAAUCCACUGAGAAAGUGGGAAAAAAAGAAAAUGCAUAUAAAAGUAUGAGUUAUCAGAUAAGAUUAAAACUCACCCAAUUCAAUCCAUCAGAUUCCGUAAGGAUAUAACUGGAUGUCAUACCGCCACUCCAUAUCCUCGAAAGUCCGUAGUCCUUGUCUCAACUGUGUCUGGGGCCAGUGUAAGUCCAAUUUGCGCAAGCUCUUUAUGCACCACAGCUCUUCUGGAAGCUUUCUCAAGUAAGCACAUGGGUUGACAAUUAAGCUUUCAAGUUUCGGCAUUGCUCCAGCCGCCAUCGUCCACUCAUCUAGCCAAUACAUUGAUUUCAGGUGCAAAACCUUAAGUUCGGGAAAGCUACUCAAGCCAACACAAGCAAGCUUUCUUCCUAAAUACGAGUUCUGCUUCAGUUUCAGCACUCGAAGGCGUGGAAGAUUUUCCAGAAUUGGCAUGGGAUCCUCCAUUAGCUCAGUAUUUGAUAAGCUCAGUUGGAUCAGACUUGGGGGAAAUUGGUAUUCAGACAGGACCAUCCGUGAGGGCUUGCUCUCAUUCACCAGCUUCAAGCAUUCAAGUUUGUGGAGUUCGCAAAGGCUUUUGGAAACCCCAGAUUGAUAGUAACUCAAAUCUCCAGAUAUCCGAAGAGUCCGAACACUAGGUAGUCUGCCCAAUAUAUCAGGAGUACAACUACUAGGGUUUAAAGCUGAUAUGAAAAUGAGAUUUUUCAGAGAGCUAGAAUAAUUUUUUGGAGGUGCGGGCAGAGUGAUGCAACCGAAGUUUAGAUGCAUGAGUUUUUGCAUCAUCCAAAUAUCCUCUGGUGACUGAUCUAUGUAGCUAGAUGGCAUUUCUAGUGUUUCAAGGUUUAAAAGGGUGCAUAGCAGUGAAGGAAGGCAUUUGAGCGAAGGGAUAUUCAAUUUCAAAUACUUCAAAAGAUAUAAAUUUUCUAAUCCGGGUGGAUAUUGGUCCAGGACUGCAGAACCCAUGUUCAAUACCCGAAGGUAUUUGAACCUUUUAAAAAAAUUCUCGCAAUCUUUCGGAUUAAGAUGAUUGCUUUUUGAACUGUGAUUCAGAAAAGAUUGGAGACACAUGUCAGAAUGUUCUAAAGAAAAGAACUCAAUCAGAUCAUCGUCAAUGACGCACCGUUUAACAUUUGCCACUGAUUCCUCUUCCACGUCAUGCAUCCAGACAAAUCCCGUCUUCAUUGCCACAAUAUACAAUGAAGUGUAUACAAAACUUGGAACAUAACACGCUUUAAUUGUGCCUCUGGCUCUUCUCUUACUCACUUGAAUGAAGCCGCGAUGGAUUAGUUCUUUCAAGUAAUGUUCGGCAGUUUCUUCACCGUUGUAUGGUAUGAAACCUUCAGCUACCCACAACUGAUAUAAUUGCUCCGUAGAUAUCUCAAUACUUGGAGGGAAGACAUACAAAUAGAUGCAGCAGACUUUCAAGUGAAAAGGCAACUCCAUCACAGAAAAAAUUUGUCUCCAAACUGUCAGAACCACUUCGCCUUGAAGAUAAUUUUCUAAUGGCAUACUUCCAUAGUGUAGGAUGAAAAAUUGCCAGGCCUCAUGCUUUAAUCUGAUCAAUGGUCCUCCAAAGAGCACUGAAUCACGCCGAAUCUUCUCUUCAUUUUCCAUUUCCAACGACGCAAUGAGGCCCGGAUCAGUGACUGUUAUCAAUACUCUGCUUCCAUUCUCAUCACCAGGAAGAAGUUCUUCGAGAUCACUCCAUAUCUCACUGUUAUCGAAGACAUCAUCAAGCAAAAUAAAGUACUUCUUGUUUGUUAGGUAAUCUCGAAGAAUAGAUUUCUUCAAUUGAUAAUCUUCACCGAUAAUUACACUAACCCGAGAUGGAGGCAUCACAGACUUGAUUAUGUCAUCCAACAUCUUGCCAAAAUCAUAGAAUAUAGAAACCCUGACCCAAGCAAGACAGUCAAAAUAGAACUUGACAUGGUUAUUAUUGUAAGUAUCUUCUGCAAAAGCAGUCUUAUCGAAGCCACUGCUGUCGAGAAUUGUAACCACUGCAAGCCGAGGGCGUCCUUCAAUCAAUAAAUCAAACAACUCCUCCCUGCCCCUUUCAAAUUCAUUGAUAUCAAGCCGAGGUUGUCCCUCACUCAAUAGGUGAAUGAUUUCGUUACUUUUUUUACUGAUAUCAAAACCAUUGUCGCCGGGUGGAAGUUGUUGCAUCCGAUUACUAAUAUCAAUGAUUUUACUGUGGAGACCAGCAAGAAGAGCCAUAUUAGUACUGCUUUCACUUUCGUUUUCACUGUUUUGCUGCUGCAUAAUGUUGAUGAAGAAUGUGUCAAUGGCUUCCUCAGAUUCAUGGACAAAGUCAUUGAUGUCCUUCACAAUGCCCAAAAGGUCCGCUCUUUCAACUUCUUCUUCAUCGCUUUCUUCUAAGUCCAACAGUUGCAAAAAAGGCAAAGAUAUUUUGGAGUCAUCGAAUUCUUCUCUAAUGAGUUGAAAGAAAUGCCGAGCCAUGUCAGCUUCAUAUUUUCCCAGCAGGGUAGUAGCAAUAAUUUCGGACUCCGUAAGAAGGUUUUGAAAAAGUGGGGUUAAAUUUGUUGAAUCAGGCAGCGUUAACGGGCCUUCUUCACCUGCUAACACCCUUUUCAACCUCUCACAAAACAGUCGGAGGUGGAAUUCCAGCAUAUCUCCUUCUCUCCGUAGCACUCAGAGGUAUAGCUGAAAGAUUAAACACCAUGGAAGAAUUUGAAAGGAAAAUGCCAAGACAUUAUUGCUCAUUUUUUAACUCAAAAGAUUGAUACGCGUUCAUUUAGAGAAAAGUCCAAGACGCGUGCCUUUUGAAAAGAACAGGUAUCCCAAUCGGUAUCCGACCGAUAUCUUAUUAAAUUACAACCAUGACAUAAUUGAUGGUGCUUAAAUCAAUUGUUUCUUUUUUAAUUUAAAGAAUUUUUCAUUAAAAAAAUAUUUUAAUAUCAAAUUGCUUUCAGUGGCGUAACUGCCUCAAGCCCAGUAACAGGACUAAUUAAAAAUUUUACAAUUUUUGGGCAUGGAAAUAGUAGUAUUAAACAUUAGAAAGGUAAGGUCGUUCUGUUAAAGAAUUGAUAUUGACAUAAUUUUUUUUGGUUUUCGGGGGAAAAAAAAUUGUUGACAAGCAAGAAAAUAUUUUUAUAUUUUAUAAUUUAUUAUACAUAUUUUAUCUUAUUAAAGUAAUUUUAAUAAUAAAUAGAAACAUAAUAUUACGAUAAAUAAAUUAAAGUUGAACUUAUUUUGAAUAUUAUAAAAAAUAAUUUUAAUAUUAUUAAUAGGAAGACAUUGUAUUAAUUUUAAACUUUUUUAACCCAAAGGUUUAUUUAAAAUCUUUAUUAGAAAUACAAAUAUAAAAUUAAAUAUCAUAAUUUAAAAUUUUUAAUAUUAUUUUAAGUAUUAAAAAUAUUUUAAUGUUAUUAGUCUACUACAUAGAUCAUAUUACUUAUAUAAUAUUUGUAUUAUUAAAAAUUGUUAAAAUCAAAUUUUUAGUUAGUAUAUUCAUGAGCUAUUAUGGUUAAAAAAAAAAAGACCUUAUUAUUACUUUUUUAAAAAUUGAGGGCCUGCGUGAUAAUUUUUUCAAAAAGAAAAUGCUUGGUAUGUAGGAGGGGUACAGAAACAGGACUCCCAAAAUCUCUCACCCUUUUUUAAUUAAAAAAAAAAAUUAAAAUAUCAAUAAAAAGUAAUAAAGAAAAUAGAAUUUUAUCUGCUCCUUACUCCAUUUUUGCAACUCUCUCACCAUCCCUAUCGAGCAGCCCUCUCUCUCACUGUCUCACUCACACAGUCCUUUUCACGAUUUGAAAUUCUUUGGCCCUCUGCAUUACAAGAAAUUAACGCUUUGGUUCUCCCAAGGGUAGAUUGGUUUUAUUGGGAAGCUAUUAAUUUUUUUUUUUUUUGAAUACUGAUUAAUCAUCAGAUUACUGCAUUACACAGAUAUUUACAACAACUGCUAUUGUAGCAGAGAUAUUAUACUGAUAUUUACAAUCAGAUAUACAUAAUUGGGACUUAUAUUAUGACAUUGAAUUCUAUGAAGUACAUGCCCAAACAAAUAACCCCUCACAGGAGAGGGAUGUCCAUACUCCACUCGCAUUUCGCAAGGGAGAAUGAUUUUUUGGAAGUAUAAAGAACAUUUAGCCCCCACAAUACUUUUGUGGGGGCUAGAACCGCUGCAGCAUUGUGAGGGCAGCAGCCCACCACUUCGGCCUUGGCCGAAGUGGCGGGAAGCUAUUAAUUAGAAGGAGGAAAAAGGACUAUAUUUAGAAUAUGAUUUGUUGGAGAAUCUCAGAGUUAGUCAAUUUUCAAGCCACACUUUCAAUAGCCAAUUGAUUUAGUAACCAUUAAUUACUUUAAUUUCCAUAAAUUGUAAUGACAGUGCAAAUGCAUCUGGUUGUGAUAGCUAAGGGUUAGCUUGAAGAAUUAAAUUUCAUAAGAUAUUACUGGAAAAUGCUUUGCAGAUAACGUGCUGCUUCCUUUGCUAGACUACAAUUUCAAAAAUCUCACGAGUUUUCCAUUGUUGUCACAAACCGAGAAAUUAUAAAAUACAUGGCCUGGUUCUUUGGCAAUGACCAUCUCAUCGUCGGCGGUCGUGUCGUCAUUGUCACUGUUCUUGCUCGACCGAGACAGUGAGAGAGAGGUUUGUUAGAUGGAGUUAGUGAGAGAGAGUUGUAAAGAUGGAAUGAUGAUAAAAGGAUUCUAUUUGUUUUUAUUGUUUUUUAUUAAUAUUUUAAUUUUUUAAAUUAAAAUGUGCUGCCGUUUCUCUAGCCUUUUUAGCUGCUUAACUUAACAGUAUUCUUUUCAAAAUUUAAGAAUGUAGUAGGUGUCCUUUUCUCUAAUAAUUUAUUUCAUUUUUAGGGAAUCCAAUGAGAAAUAUGAUAAAAGAACGUCAAUUACUUGUCGUUUUCAAUUUUUUCUAUAAGCUAUUUAUUUUGAGCAUUAGUGAUCUUGUCUGGACUACCCCAAUUAUUGACGUAACUCCAGUGGCUGCAUCCACUGGAAAAAGUGGAUGAGACCAUUUUUUUUUUCAUAAAGGUAACUACUCCAAUUAUUGACAUAAUUGAUGGUGCUUAAAUCAAUUUUUUCUUUCUUUUUUUUAAUUUAAAGAAUUUUGCUUUAAAAAAUAAUUAAUAUCAAAAUGCCUUCAAUGUUGUUACCGCCACAAGCCCAGUUAGAGGACUCAUUAAAAAUUUUAGAAUUUUUAGGCCUGGAAAGCAUAGUAUUAAACAUCAGAAAGCAAAGGUUGUUAUGUCGAAGAAUUGAUGUCGACAAAAUUUUAAUUUUGUUUUCGGAAAAAAAAAAAAAUUUUGUUGACAAGCAAGAAAAUAUUUUUUAUACUUUACAAUCUGCUAUACAUAUUUUAUCAUAUUAAAGUAAUUUUAAUAAUAUAUGGAAACAUAAUAUUAUAAUAAAUAAAUUAAAAUUACUUUGUAUUAUUGAAUAUUACAAAAAGAUAAUUUUAAUAUUAUUAAUAGGAAAACAUUUUUUAAUUGUAAAAUCUUUUUAAUACAAAAAUUCGUUUAAAAUCUUUAUAAUAAAUACAAAUAUAAAAUUAAAAAAUAUCAUAAUUUAAAAUUUUUAAUAUUAUUUAAAUAUUAAAAAUACUUUAAUGUUAUUAGUCUACUACAUAAAAUAUAUUAUUUAUAUUAUAUUCGUAUUGAUUAAAACGUUUUAAAGUCAAAUUUUUAAUUAGUGUAUUCAAAGGUACAAAAGAUUUAAGUAUUAUUUUUUAAAAAUUUCAAGAUACGAAUGAUAAUUUUUUCAAAUUUUAAAGAUGUAAAAAUCUUUUUUUCUGAUAAUUUAUUUCACUUUUGAGAGAAUCCGAAAACGUUAAUUUAACAUUCUUUACCUUUGUAAAAAAAGUGAAAAUCAAGAACUAUUCAAUUUUGUUUUUAUUUGUAAUUCAAAAACUUUAUUCAUUUUCGAUGCUUUUCAAAAGAGAUUCCUUUAAAUGUCUGCAGCUCCUGCUUUUCUCAUAAAUCUCCAUCCCACAUCUACACUAUCAAGUAUCAAACAAGUUGAUGGAAAUUCUUAUAAAAAAAAAAAAAAAAUUGAUGGAAAUUGAUCAAUUGCUUUUUGAAGUGGACCCAUUGAGUCAUGUUCAUUUCUGGUCAUUGUCUACUCUUUCUAUCAGCCAUUUAUUUUGACCAUUUGCGAUCUUAUCUGGACCUACUCCAAUUAUUGUUGUAACUCCGAUGGUUGUAUCUACAGUGGAAUGUAAGAUAGUGAAAGCUCUUUCUUUGAGAAAAUAGAGGGACCUUUCUCUGUUUCUCCGUUGCAACGUGCUCGUAUAAAUUUCUCUACCUUACAGUUUAUACGGUCUUGCUGUUAAUGAAUUCGCUGAGGCAUUAUUGAUCCAAUCUGAGUGAAGUAAUUGUGGGUGAAAAAUAAAUAAAGGAUAUGAGAACGUAGCUGAAGUGCUGAAGGGGCUAUUAAAGAAGAGUGUCACUUGAUCACAAUCACAUUGAUGCACAACUCACUCGUGGCAAAUUUCGACUAUACGUUCUGCAAAUUCAGCCAAACCAUACAUGCAUGAACAAAACUAAAAUGUAGUUCUAAUCACAACUGCAGUUAUGAUGUUUACCUCUCUGAUUUUUCUCCAAAACAAAUUCAGUUCAAAACAAUAAUCAAAAUAGCCACAUUUUGUUCGUCAAAAUAAAUGCCCAAAUUUUCAAUUAACAAAUCAUCUUCUCUAAACUAAAAAGCCCACAUCUCUAAAAUCAAUCUACAUAAUGUUGGAGAUGAGGGUUGAAUUGUUAACUCAGUAAAAAAAAAAAAACUCAUGCAUAAGAUUACUAAUAAUAUAAAUUAUAUAUUAAUCAUUAUAAAGAAUCAUAAAUUAGAAAAAUUAAUCAUUUUAUAAUUUAUUACACAAGUAAGAUAAAUCUCAUAAUAAGUUAUAACAUAAAAAACGUUAUCAAUAUAUAAUCAUUUAAGAAGUCAUUUAACAAUAAAAUCGUUCUUUGAUCAGUUGGCCAUGUCACAUAGUAUCAUCUAUAUUUAUGGUGAUACUAUUAUUACUCAGUAUUCUCAAAAAACAUGAUUUAACAUUUAGAGGAAAUUCUUGCCUUAAAAAAAAAACAUGUAUGCAACAGCUACCCAUGCUUUAUCUUACCAUGACAAAUAUUUUCUCAAUGAAAGAAAUUUUUUAAAAAAUUGAUUUAAUGCACAAAUAUGAUGAUUUUUGCAAAAAUUAGUUUUGGAAAACAUAGUGAGAGAAAAUAGUGACGAUUAUUGUUUAAAUGUAUAAAUAGCCUAAACAUAAUCCUUAAUACCAAUAUCCAUAUGCAUCUUAUCAUCUUUCAUGAUAUUCUUUCAUUUAUGUCCAUUGGUUCAAGAUUUGAAUUUGAUCAUUAAAUCAUGUUCAAUAAUAUUAGAGAUUCCAACAAUUGAGUACCAACUUAAAUCCCAAUGUUAUGUGUCAUUGACCAAUUUUGUGUCAUUGACCAAUUUUGUUAUUAACUAGGUGAUGAAUUUCUAGUUGAUAAAAUCACUUAAAAAUAUCUUAAAAAUUAGACAAUAGUUUGCUUAAUUUUUCCAAGUUAACUGCUCAAGAUGCUCUAUUAGAAAUGAUAACCUAAUUAUAUACAUAAAAAAUGAUGGAAAUUGAACAAUUGCUUUUUGAAGUGGACCCAUUGAGUUAUGUUCAUUACUGGUCAUUGUCUAUUCUUUCUAAGAGCCACUUGUUUUGAGCAUUAGCAAUCCUAUCUGGACUACUCCAAUUAGGAUAGUGUUAGUUCUUUUUUGAGAAUUUCUUUAUUUGUUUCUCCGUUGCAGCGUAUUAGUAUAAAUUUCUUUACCUUACAGUUCCUACAGUCUUCCUGUUAAUGAAUUCGCUGAGGCAUUAUUGAUCCAAUCUCGGUGAAGUAAUUGUGGGUGAAAAAAAAAAAAAAGGAUAAGAGAACGUAGCUCAAGUGCUGAAUUGACUAUUAAAGAAGAGCGUCACCUGAUCACAAUCACAUUGAUGCACAACUCACUCGAGGCAAAUUUCAUCUAUAAAUAAAAGAUCCCUUACUAUUCUCUUAACCCUGAGUUUUGAGAUAGAAAUUUCCCGAACUCCAACCCCACAUCCACAGACAAGUUGAUUGAAACAAUUGCUCUUGUAAUUAAGAGGAUGGGUUAGGGUUCAGUUCUUAUCAUUGUCUGUUAUUUCUUUGAAUCAUUAUCUUAAUUAAUUACAUCAAUUGUUUCUUUUUUUUAAUUUAAAGAAUUUUUCUUUAAAAAAAUAUAUUUUAAUAUCAAAAUGCCUUAAAUGGUAUUACUGCCGCAAUCCCAGUAACAGGAUUAAUUAAAAAUUUUAGAAUUUUUGGGCAUGGAAAGAGUAGUAUUAAAUAUCAGAAAGCUAAGGUUGUUCUGUCAAAGAAUUCAUAUUGGCAUAAUUUUAUUUUUGCUUUCGAGUAAAAAAAUAUAUAUAUAUAUAUUUGUUGACAAGCAAAAUACUGUUUUUAUAUUUUACAAUCAGUUAUACAUAUUUUAUCAUAUUAAAGUAAUUUUAAUAAUAAAUGGAAACAUAACAUUACAAUAAAUCAAUUAAAGUUUAAAUUAUUUGGAAAAUUAUAAAAAAUAAUUUUAAUAUUAUUUAUAGGAAGAUAUUUUGUUUAUUGUAAAAUCUUUUUAACCCAAAGGUUUAUUUAAAAUUGUUAUAAUAAAUAAAAUAUAAAAACAAAAUAAAUAUCAUAAUUUAAAAUUUUAAUAUUAUUUUAAAUAUUAAAAAUACUUUAAUGCUAUUAGUCUACUACAAAGGUUAUAUUACUUAUAUUAUAUUUGUAUAAAUUAAAACUUUUAAAGUUAAAUUUUUAAUUACUAUAUUGAAAAGGUAUUAUGGUUAAAAUAUGUUUUGGCAUUUCUUUUUAAAAAUUUGAGGGUCUGCAUGACAAUUUGUCCAAAUCCUAGAGGUAUAGGUGUCUUUUUUUUUCGAUAAUUCAUUUUACUUUUGAGGGAAUCCGAUGAGAAAUAAGAUAAGAGAAACGUCAAUUUAACGUUCUCUAUGGAAAACCAAGAACUAUUCAAUUUUGUAUUUUUUGUUUGUAAAACGAAAAACAGUUUGCCAAAAAAGGUACCAAACAUAUCCUUAAUGUCUCACAUGAUUUCUUAUUAAGUCCAUACUCGAUAUAUUUAUACAUUUUAGGUAUUUUAGUUAUAAAAGAAGUUGGUCCUCCCUCUAUUUAUAAAAGGUAACUUUAUUUCGAGAUUACCACUAAAGUCUUACAAAGAAUUAGUGUAAUGUUAACAGAGAGUAACAUAGUUUUCCAUUACCAUUUUGAAAAUAGAAAGAUAUGGAUGUGUGCAUUUAAUGGUGUGUUUACUUACCGGAUUGAGGAAUCAGAAUCUGGAAUUAGAAUGAUUGAUGGUGUUUACUUCGCAAAUAUGGAGCAGGAAUCGGAACUGGAAUGGUGGGGCCCACCACUAUUUGGGAAUGAGAGAUUGAUUCCCAUGGGGGAAGGUGGGAACGAGUCUCCCAUUCCCUGGACUGACCAUUUUGCCCUCCCUCAAAAUUAAAAAUGCCUACUUUGUCCUCUUUUAUAAUUAAUUAAUAUAUAAAUAUUUUAAUAACUAUAAUUAUUAAAAAUUAUAGUUCUUGAAUAAAUAAUCACAAUAAUUAAUUUAUUAUUUUUAUUUUUAUUUUAAUUAAUUAAUAUACUAUUAUAAUAAUUAUAAAUAUAAUUAAUUUAUAUAUUAUUAUUAUUAUUAAUGAAUUAAUAUAAUUAUUACUAUUAAUUAAUAUAUUAAUAUAUUAUUAAAAAUAAUAUAUUAAUAAUUAUUGUUCGUGAACAAAUAAUCACAAUAAUUAAUAUACUAUUAUUUUAAUUAAUUAAUAUAAUUAAUUUAUAUAUUAUUAUUAUUAUUAAUGAAUUAAUAUAAUUAUUACUAUUAAUUAAUAUAUUAAUAUAUUAUUAAAAAUAAUAUAUUAAUAAUUAUUGUUCGUGAACAAAUAAUCACAAUAAUUAAUAUACUAUUAUUUUAAUUAAUUAAUAUACUAUUAUAAUAAUUAUUAAUAUAAUUACUAUAAUUAAUUCAUAUAUUAUUAUAAUUAAUUAAUUAAAUUAAUAUUAUUAAAUAAAUAAAUAAUAUAAUUAUUACUACUAAUUAGUAUAUUAAUAUAUUAUUAAAAAUAAUUAUAAUUUUUGAAUAAAUAAUCACAAUAAUUAAUAUAUUAUUUUAAUUAAGUAAUUAAUAUUAAUAUUAUUAGUUAAUAUAUUUUUAUAAUAAUUUUUAAUAUAGUUAUUAUAAUUAAUUAAAUUUUGUUACAAUUAAUUAAUAUAUUAGUUAAUAAUAAUUAUGACAAUAAUCCACUAAGUAUUUUUGAGUAAUUUGUUACAAUCUAAUUCAUUUUGAUUCCGAUUUCAAGACAAAGUAAACACAUUAAUGACAAUCUAGCUCAUUCCGAUUUCGAUUCCUACAGUUCAAGUAAACAACUUAUUUUGAUUUUCAUUACCUAUUUACAUUCCAGCCCAUUCUCAUUUCUUCCCAUUCUCAUUUCUGCCAAUUCCAAUUCCAGCUCAUUCCGAUUCCAGUUUAGUAAACGCAGCAUAAGAGUUAUCAUGAAAAUCAUACAAUUCAAUUUCCUGAAAUAUAUAUUUUAUUCACAUGUGCCAAAAGAAUAAAUAGAUAGAAAGUAAAUUUACAAUCCUCACUCCCUCACAAUUGUUAAAGUGAAUAUGCAUUACAACUGUGAACUGUCACUACUUUAGCCCCUUUUUUUUUUUCAAUUAUAGUGUGAUGGAGACAGUGAACAUCAAGGAUAAAGUGCUCUGCUGAAAGCGGAACUUCCUCUGGCUAAUUAAUUUGGAAGUAAAACAGAGAAUAAAGUCCUACAUGCCUUCUGAAAUUAGAAAUACAUUUUAUAUGCUUUAAUUAUGAUUAUUUGGUAGACUAUUGACCAAAAGACAUGUUAAAGUAUAAAACAGAGCGAUUAAAGAAAAAAAAAGGAGUGUUUGUGACGUAGAAUAACAAUUUGUAAGUAAAGUCCUAAUUUGAGUUGUCAAAAAGCAAAUAUAACAGGGAAGGUAAGAGGGAUGCAGAAACAGAAAACUAUUAGCUUAUCUUGAUUUUCCCACUAUAUUCAUUUUCGAUGCUUUUCAAACGAGAUUCUUUUAAUCCUUCUGGCGUCUGCAGCCCCUGGUCUUCUUAUAAAUUUCCAUCCCACAUCUGCACUAGGAACAAGUUGAUUGAAAUUAAAUAACAUUGGAGAUGACGGACAGAUGAGCCGUCAACUUGGUAAAAAAACUAUGUUAAUAUUGUUAAUAAUAAAAAAAAAUAUAAUAAUCAUUACAAAGAAUCAUAAAUUAGAAAAAUUAAUUAUUUUACAAUCUAUUUCGUAAGUAAGAUAAAUCUUGUAAUAAGUUAAGUUAUAACGUAAAAAAUAUUUUCAAUUUAUAAUCAUUUAAGAACUCAUUUAACAAUAAAAUCUUUCUUUUGAUCAAUUGGUCAUGCCACAGAGUAUCAUCUAUAUUCGUGGUGAUAUUAUUAUUACUCCGUAUUCUCAAAAAACACGAUUUAACAUUUAGAGAAAAUUCCUACCUUUUAAAAAGAACAUGUAUGCAACAGCUACCCAUACUUUAUCUUACCACGACAAAACUAAUGGUGACUAAAUCAAUUUUCUCGAAUAAAGCAAAAUUUCUUAAAAUUAAUUUAAUAUACAAAUAUGAUGACAUUUUGCAAAAAUUAGUUUUGGAAAAUAUAGUGACAAAAAAUAGUAAUGAUUAUUGUUUAGAUGUGUAAAUAGCCUAAACAUGAUCCCUAAUACCAAUAUCCACGUACAUCUUAACACCUUUCGUGAUAUUCUUUCAUUCAUGGUCACUGGUUCAAGAUUUGAAUUUGAUCAUUAAAUCAUGUUCAAUAAUAUUAGAGAUCCCAACAAUUAAGUACCAACUUAAAUCCUAAUGCUAUGUGUCAUUGACAAAUGUUGUGUCAUUUUUUGUUAACUGAGUGAUGAAUUUCUAGUUGAUAAAAUUACUUAAAAAUAUCUUAAAAAUCAGACAAUAGUUUGCUUAAUUUUUUGAAGCUAACUGCUCAAGAUGCUCUAUUAGAAAUGAUAACCUAAUUAUAUACAUAAAAAAUGAUGUAUUUUUUGCGGUGUUGAUAGUGAGAUUAUCAUUCAACAUGUUAAAAUAUGAAAACAUAUGGAAGAAGGUUGUAAAUUGAUUGAAUGAAAAUAUUUCAGUGAAGUCUAAAAAAUUUGGUACUUGUUAUCUUAUCGAAAGUUUUCUAAAUUACAUUCGUGGCACUGCCACUGCUUCCAUGUGAAGGUCAUUAAAAUUUGUGUUAGUUACCUAUAUGUUGAAUAAUAAUUUUAUUCAUGAAUUGUUGCUCAAUAUAGCAGUUUCUAGAUGAAUUUUCCUACAUGUUUGUCCUCAUAUGACCUAGAAUGCUGCUAUAUCAAUUGUAUUGGAAAUUAUUCAAGUGGGUUUGUGCUCUAUACCCCCACCAAAAUUUAAGCAAUCUACAGAACAUUCCUUGUGGAAAGAAACUUAUUUCGCUACUAGGUGGGAGUAGAUUUCUAAGCUAAUGCUCGGCAGAUCUCUAGGCUAUACUAAAAAGUGUAUGCACUUUGACUCUCAAUAUAUACGAGUGAUUCUAUGAUGACUGAAAACAUCAGUACAUGCAUGAUUUUAUAAGAAAGAAUAUUCUAAAAUUAUUUAUGUAUCACCAUUUGUAGUUGUACCCUCUCGAAUGAAGGUGCAAUCAGCAACUAAAAUGAAGCCCGAAAUGUACACGCGUGAGGCAGUUUUUCUAGAAGAUUGAUACUUCUCAAACUAGCAAACCGUACAAGUCCAAAGCUAGAAAAGGAGUGCUUCUAAGCAGAAAACAUUGAUUAAAACAGAAUACACACACACAUACCAGUAAAUUCAAAAUAGAAAAAGGAGUUCAACUGUUCAAGUUUGUGGACAAUAUUGCAACCGUGGCAUAUUUAUAGCAAAUCCUUGAAAUCUGCUAAAUAAACAAUGCCCUGUCUCAUGAAUCAAAGCCGAAUUAAAAUUGAAAUUGAAAGUCCGGCUGGUGUUGUUUCCCUCUCCAGUUUUGCCCACAUAAGUGAAGGGAAAUGAGAAUCAUAAAUUAAAAUCUGCUUUUACAGUUUUUUAUUAGAUAGAUAUAAAGGGAUCUUUUUUGUUUCUCUGCUGCAAUUUGUGGCUAUCCCACUCUGUUUUGCCACUCAAGCUUAGUCUACGUUGAGACAUAAUUUUGACAUCAGAAGCAACCUCAAUUAGUUUGGCAUUUUUAUGACCUCCUUGUACGUUUUACGAUAAACAUAAAUCUACUGAGAAAGUGUGAAAAAAAGAAAAUGCAUAUAAAAGUAUGAGUUAUCAGACAUGAUUAAAACUCACCCAAUUCAAUCCAUUAGAUUCCGUAAGGAUAUAACUGGAUGUCAUACCGCCACUCCAUAUCCUCGAAAGUCCGUAGUCUUUGUCUCAACUCUGUCUGAGGCCAAUGUAAAUCCAAUUUGCGCAAGCUCUUUAUGCACCACAGCUCUUCUGGAAGCUUUCUCAAGUAAGCACAUGGGUUGACAAUUAAGCUUUCAAGUUUUGGCAUUGCUCCAGCCCCCAUCGUCCACUCAUCUAGCCAAUACAUUGAUUUCAGGUGCAAAACCCUAAGUUCCAGAAAGCAACCAGAGCCAACGCAGGCCAGCUUUCUUCCUAAAUACGAGUUCUGUUUCAGUUUCAGCACUUGAAGGCUUGGAAGCUUUUCCAGCAUUGGCAUGGGAUCCUCCAUUAGCUCAGUAUUCGAUAAGCUCAGAUGGCUCAGACUUGGAGGAAAUUGGUAUUCAGACAGGACAAUCCGUGAGCGCUUGCUCUCAUUCACCAGCUUCAAGCAUUCAAGUUUGUGGAGUUCGCAUAGGCUUUUGGAAACCCCAGAGUGAUAGCAACUCAAAUCUCCAGAUAUCCGAAGAGUUUGAACAUUAGGCAGUCUGCCCAAUAUAUCUGGAGUACAACUACUAGGGUGUAAGGCUGAUAUGAAAAUGAGAUUUUUCAGAGAGCUGCAAUAAUUUUUUGGAGGUGCAGGCAGAGUGAUGGAACCGAAGUUUAGAUGCAUGAGUUUUUGCAUCAUCCAAAUAUCCUCUGGUGAAUGAUCUAUGUAGCUUGAUGGCAUUUGUAGUGUUUGAAGGUUUAAAAGGGUGCAUAGCAUUGAAGGAAGGCAUUUGAGCGAAGGGAUAUUCAAUUUCAAAUACUUCAAAAGGAAUAAAUUUUCUAAUCCGGGUGGAAAUUGGUCGAGAACUGCAGAACCGAAGUUCAGUACCCGAAGGUGUUUGAACUUUUUACAAAAAUUCUCGCAAUCUAUAAGAGCGAGAUGAUCGCUUUCUGAACUGUGAUUCAGAAAAGAUUGGAGAUACAUGUCAGAAUAUUCUAAAGAAAGGAACUCAAUCAGAUCUUCCAAAAUGAAGCACCGUUUAACAUUUGCCAGUGAUUCCUCUUCCAUGUCAGGCGUCCAGACAAAUCUCGUCUUCUCUACUACCAAAGCCAAUAACGUAUAUACAAAACUUGGAACAUAACACGCUUUAAUUGUGCCGCCGGCGCUUCUCUUACUCACUUGAAUGAAGCCGCGAUGGAUUAGUUCUUUCAAGUAAUGUUCGGCAGUUUCUUCACCGUUGUAUGGUAUGAAACCUUCAGCUACCCACAACUGAUAUAAUUGCCUCGUUGAUAUCUCAUUGCAUGAAAGGAAGACACACAAAUAGAUGCAGCAGAUUUUCAAGUGAAAAGGUAACUCCAUCACAGAAAAAAGUUGUCUCCAAACUGUCGGAAUCGUUUCGCCUUGAAGAUAAUUUUCUAAGGGCAUACUUCCAUAGUGUAGGAUGAAAAAUUGCCAGGCCUCAUGCUUUAAUCUGAUCAAUGGUCCUCCUACGAUCACUGAAUCAAGCCGAAUCUUCUCUCCGUUUUCCAUUUCCAACAGCGUAAGGAGGUGUGGAUUAGUGACCAAUAUCAAUACUCUGCUUCCAUUCUGAUUAUCAGGAAGAACUUCUUCAAGAUCACUCCAUAUCUCACUGUCAUCGAAGACAUCAUCAAGCACAAUAAAGUACUUCCUGUUUGUUAGGUAAUCUCGAAGAAUAGAUUUCUUCAAUUGAUAAUCUUCCCCGAUAAUUACACUAACCCGAGAUGGAGGCAUCACAGACUUGAUUAUGUCAUCCAAUAUCUUGCGAAAAUCGUAGGCUACAGAAACCCUUACCCAAGCAUGACAGUCAAAAUAGAACUUGAUAUGGUUAUUAUUGUAAGUAUCUGCAGCAAAAGCAGUCUUAUCGAAGCCACUGCUGUCGAGAAUUGUAACCACUGCAAGCCGACGAUGUCCUAAAUCAAUAAAUCAAACAACUCCUCUCUGCCACUUUCAAAUUCAUUGAUAUCAAGCCGAGGUUGUCCCUCACUCAAUAGGCGAAUGAUUUUGUUUCUUUGUUCACUGACAUCAAAACCAUUGUCGCCGGGUGGAAGUUGUUGCAUCCGAUUACUAAUAUCAAUGAUUUUACUCUGGAGUCCAUCAAGAAGAGCCAUAUUAGUGCUGCUUUUACUUUCGUUUUCACUGUUUUGCUGCUGCAUGAUGUUGAUGAAGAAUCUGUCAAUGGCUUCCUCAGAUUCAUGGACAAAGCGAUUGAUGUCCUCCAGAAUUUCCAAAAUAUCUGGUCUUUUAACGUCUUCUUCAUCGCUUUCUUCUAAGUCCAACAGUUGCAAAAGAGGCAAAGAUAUUUUGGAGUCAUCGAAUUCUUCUCUAAUGAGUUGAAAGAAAUGCCGAGCCAUGUCAGAUUCAUAUUUUCCCAGCAGAGUAGUUGCAAUAAUUUCGGACUCCGUAAGAAGGUUUUGAAAAAGUGGGGUUAAAUUUGUUGAAUCAGGCAGUGUUAACGUGCCUUCUUCUCCUACUACCACCCUUUUCAACCUCUCACAAAAUAAUCGGAGGUGGGCGUCCAGCAUAUCUCCUCCUGUCUGUAGCAGCCAGAGGUAUUGUUAUUUGCUCCAAGAAAUGUUAAAAGGAUUGGUCCUACCUCAAAGUGGUUAGUGGUGUAAAAUUAAACACCAUGGGAGAAUUUGAAAGGAAGAUGCCAAGAAACUGGCAAAGUGGCUAAAUUCCACAAAUACGGCAUUAUUGCUCAUUUUUAACUCAACAAAUUGAUACGCGUUCAUUUAGAGAAAAGUCGAAGACGCGUGCCUUUUGAAAAGAACAAGUAUCCAAUAGGUAUCCAACCUUUAUCUUAUUUAAUUACUACCAUGACAUGAUUGAUGGUGCUUAAAUCAAUUGUUUCUUUUUUAAUUUAAAGAUUUUUUCAUUAAAAAAUAAUUUAAUAUCACAUUGCCUUCAAUGGCGUAACGGCCGCAAGCCCAGUAACUAGAUUAAUUAAAAUGAAAUUAUGAUUGCACUACUUUUUUAUUUAUUUAUUUAUCUAAUCACUAUAAAAUUUUAACAUAUUUUAUUUACUAUAUUUUUUUUAAAUUUGCAUCAAUUAGUCACUUUUACACUAAUACCGUUAAAUAAUUUAAACGGAAUGAUAAUUUUACCCCUAAAUAAAAUUAAAAGUUCAUUUUAUUUUAUAAAAACUUUGAAAAUAAAAAAUUAUAAUUAUAAAAUAUCCCUAAAUUUAAUAAAGAAAUAAAUCCCAAAAUUAGAAUGUUUAUUUUUAAUAAAAAUUAUUUUAAUAAAAAAUUAUAAUUAGAAAAAUAAUUACAAAAUUUUGGGAUUUAAUAAAAAUCCCCUAAAUGAUUAAAAUUUUAGGAUUUAUUUUUUAAUAAAUAAAUUCAGUUAUUUUAAUAAAAUUUUGCAAAAUUAUAAUUUUUAAUAAAUAAAUUCACUUAUUUUUAUUAUAAUUUUAAAAAAAUUUAAAUUUUUAAUAAAAAUAAUUAUUAAAAUUUUACAACAUCUAAAUUGAAUAAAAAUCAGCUGAGCACCUAUAUUUUGUAUUUAUUUUUAUUAAAUUUAGGGGUAUUUUUAUAAUUAUAAUUUUUUAUUUUUCAAAGCUUUAUAAGAUAAAAUGGUCUUUUAAUUUAUUUAGGGGUAAAAUUAUCAUUUCGUUUUAAUUAUUUAACGGUGUUAGUGCAAAAGUGGCUAAUUGAUACAAAUUUGAAAAGAAAUGUGGCGCAGAGAACAUAUUAAAAUUUUGUGGUGGUUGGAUGAACAUAAGGCAACAGAAAGGUGGUGCAAUAAUAAUUUCCCUAAUUAAAAUUUUAGAAUUUUUGGGCAUGGAUAGAGUAGUUUUAAUUAUGUUAAAGAAUUGAUAUUGACAUAAUUUUAUUUUGGUUUUCAACGAAAAAAAAUUUGUUGACAAGUAAGAAAAUAUUUUUUUUUUACUUUACAAUCGGUUAUACAUGUUUUAUCAUAUUAAAGUAAUUUUAAUAAUAAAUAGAAACAUAAUAUUACAAUAAAUAAAUUAAAGUUUAAGUUAUUUUGAAUAUUAAAAAAAUAAUUUUAAUAUUAUUAAUAGGGAGGCAUUUUGUUAAUUGUAAAAUCUUGUUAACCCAAAGGUUAUUUAAAAUCUUUCUAAUAAAUACAAAUAUAAAAUUAAAUAUCAUAAUUUAAAAUAUUUAAUACUAUAUUCAAUGUAAAAAUAUUUUAAUGUUGUUAAUAUACUACAUAGAUUAUAUUACUUAUAUUAUAUUUAUAUUGAUUAAAAAUUUUUAAAAUUAAUUUUCUAGUUACUAUAUUCAUAAGGUAUUCUGGUUAAAGAAAAUAUCUUGAUAUUACUUUUUGAAAAUUUGAGAGCCUGCAUGACAAUUUUUUCAAAUUUUAAGGAUGUAAUUAUCCUUUUUUCCAUAAUUUAUUUCAAUUUUGAGGGAAUCCAAUAAGAAAUAUGGCAGGAGAAUGUCAAUAGGCGAAUGAUUUUGUUACUUUGUUCACUGAUCUCAAAACCAUCGUCGCCGGGUGGAAGUUGUUGCAUCCGAUUACUAAUAUCAAUGAUUUUACUGUGGAGUCCAUCAAGAAGAGCCAUAUUAGUACUGCUUUCACUUUCGUUUUCACUGGUUUGCUGCUGCUUGUUGUUGAUGAAGAAUGUGUCAAUGGACAAAGUUAUUGAUGUCCUCCAGAAUUCCAAAAAUAUCUGCUGUUUCAACGUCUUCUUCAUCGCUUUCUUCUAAGUCCAACAGUUGCAAAAAAGGCAAAGAUAUUUUGGAGUCAUCGAAUUCUUCUCUAAUGAGUUGAAACAAAAGCCGAGCCAUGUCAGCUUCAUAGUUUCCCACCAGAGUAGUAGCAAUGAUUUCUGACUCCGUAAGAAGGUUUUGAAAAAGUGGUGUCAAAUUUGUUGAAUCUGGCAACGGCAACGCGCCUUCUUCACCUGCCAACACCCUUUUCAACCUCUCACAAAACAGUCGGAGGUGGAAUUCCAGCAUAUCUCCUUCUCUCCGUAGCACUCAGAGGUAUAGUUGAAAGAUUAAACACCAUGGAAGAAUUUGAAAGGAAUAUGCCAAGAAACUGUGUAAGUGGCUAAAUUCCACAAAUAUGACAUUAUUGCUCUUUUUUGAACUCAAAAAAAUGGUACGCGUUCAUUUAGAGAAAAGAACAGGUAUCCCAAUCGAUAUCCAACCUUUAUCUUAUUUAAUUACUACCAUGACAUGAUUGAUGAUGCUUAAAUCAAUUGUUUCUUUUUUAAUUUAAAGAAUUUUUCAUUAAAAAAAUAUUUUGAUAUCUAAUACCCUUCAAUGGCAUAUCUGCCGCAAGCCCAGAACAGGAUUAAUGAAUUUUUUUUUUAAUUUUUUGGGCAUGGAAAGAGCAGUAUUAAACAUCAGAAAGCUAAGGUUGUUCUGUUAAAAAAUUGAUAUUGACAUAAUUUUAUUUUGGUUUCGGGGAAAAAAAUAUUUUCUGAAAAGCAAGAAAAUAUUUUUAUAUUUUACAAUUUAUUAUACAUAUUUUAUCGUAUUAAAUUAAUUUUAAUAAUAAAUAGAAACAAAAUAUUACGAUAAAUAAAUUAAAGUUUAAAUUGUUUUGAAUAUUAUAAAAAAUAAUUAUAAUAUUAUUAAUAGGAAGACAUUUUGUUAAUUUUAAAUUUUUUUAACCCAAAGGUUUAUUUAAAAUCUUUAUUAUAAAUACAAAUAUAAAAUUAAAUAUCAUAAUUUAAAAAAUUUAAUAUUAUUUUAAGUAUUAAAAAUAAUUUAAUGUUAUUAGUCUACUAUAUAGAUCACAUUACUUAUAUUAUAUUUGUAAUGAUUAAAAAAUUUUUAAAUCAAUUUUCUAGUUAAUAUAUUCACGAGGUAUUAUGGUUAAAGAAAAGACCUUGGUGUUACUUUUUAAAAAUUUGAGCGCAUGCAUGAUAAUUUUUUCAAAAUUUAAGAAUGUAUGUGUCCUUUUCUCCAAUAAUUUAUUUCACUUUUGAGGGGAAUCCAAUGAGAAAUAUGAUAAGAGAAUGUCAAUUACUUGUCAUUUUCUAUUUUUUCUGUAAGGUAUUUAUUUUGAGCAUUGGUGAUCUUGUCUGGACUACUCCAAUUAUUGAUGGAACUCCAAUGGCUGCAUCCACAGUUGAAUAUAUGAUGGUGUUAGCUCUUACUUGAGAAUUCAGAGGGAUCUUUCUAUGUUUCUCAAUUGCAAUGUGCUAGUAUAAAUUUCUUUACCUUACAGUUUAUAUAGUCUUGCUGUUAAUGAACUCACUGAGGCAUUAUUGAUUCAAUUUCAGUGGAGCAAUCGCGGGUGAAGGAUAAAUAAAGGAUAACAGAACAGAGCUGAAGUGCUAAAUUGGCUAUUGAAGAAGGUUUUCACAUGAUCACAAUUAUGUAAAAUAAUCAUUUUUCUGAAAUUGUGUUUCCUAAAAUUAAUAAAUUUCCUUUUUUUUAAAAAAAAAAAAAAACUCUUCUACGACGUGGUUGCACAGCAAAUUAGAGAAUUAUAGGGUCUCUAAUCAAUACUCCAACCAAUAAUGAUAUGUGCACAAAAAAUAGUAUCAAUCACAACAAGAUUAAAAUUAAAAAAAGUAACUAUAAGAUGGAAAAAAAAAUUAUUACAAGAAAAUAAUUUUUUUGUCUUUUCUAUCUUUUAUACUAUUUUUGUUUAUAUGUACUCUAAAUUCAGCCAAACCAUACAUGCAUGAACAAAAAUUAAACCGUCGUUCUAAUCACAACAGUAAUUGAAGCUACAAAAGCCAGCAAAUCUGAACGAAGACUUAAAAGAAAGAUCUUAUUCAAGUUUGUCCCCAAAAGACAGCUGAAAUGAAAAAUAUUGACUAUUGAAUGGGUCAAUGCCGAAUUACAUUUCAAAUGGAAAGCUUGGCAGCAGUUACAAUGUUUCCCCCUCUGAUUUUCCUCCAAAACAAAUUCAGUUGUAAACAAUAACCGAAGUAGUAAUAAUUUAUUCAUCAAAGAAAAUACCCCCAAGUUUUCAACUAAAAAAUCCUCUUGUCCAAACUAAAAGAACUCAUAUCUCUAAAAUCUAUCUGCAAAAUGUUGGGAAUGAGGAGUGAUCUGUCAACUCCGUAAAUAAACUCAUGCAUAAUGUUAACAAUAAUGAUAAAUUACAUAAUAAUUAUUAUAAAGAAUCAUAAAUUGGAAACACUAAUCAUUCUACAAUCUAUUAUAUAAGCAAGAUAAAUCUCAUAAUAAGUUAAGUUAUAAUGUAAUAAAUAUUUUCAAUAUAUAAUUAUUUAAGAAGUCAUUUAACAAUAAAAUAAUUUUUUUAAAUCAGUUGAUCAUACAGCGUUAUCUAAACUCCUGACGAUAUUAUUAUUACUCACUUUUCUCAAAAAAAUAUGAUUAAUGUUUAGAGAAAAGUCAUGCAUUUUAGAAAAAAUAUGUAUACUAGCUAUCCGUACUUUAUCUUACCGUGACAAAAUUGAUGGUGAUUAAAUCUAUUUUUAAAAUAGAUUUAAUUCACAAAUAUGGUGACUUUUGGCAAAAAUUAUUUUCAGAAGAUAUAGUGGCAGAAAAUAGUGAUAAUUAUUGUUUAAAUGUGUAAAUAGCCUAAGUAUAGCCCAUAAUACCAAUAUCCAUUUGCACCUUCAUUUGGUUUAUCACAUUUCAUGAUAUUCUUUCAUUCAUGACCAUUGUUCAAGAUUUUAAUUUGAUUAUAAAUUAAGUUGCAAGGGAGCUUACUUCAGUCUCUAAGCUUUUCAAUCGUGAUUCCUGCAUGCCAACGUAACUGACCUUAUAAUUGGUCUGUAUAAGAAAUCAAGCCCUUUCAGGAUCGUUUUCUUUUUCUCCCUAUUGUAGUAGUCAACUAAAUAAAGAAUGAACAACUAAACUUGGUCUAUUUCGAGGAAGACUAAGGCUUCCAAUACUAGAUGAACUUUGAAGAAAAUUAAUCCGUUGUUUUUAUUCAUCUUUGGACUAUGAAUAUAUACAAAGACUUUAACAGAAAAUAACAAAGACACAGCUAAAUGCACUACUAAAAAAAUGAGUUUUACUGACACUAAUUUAGCGUCAGUAAUUACUUUUAUUGACACUUGUUAAUUGUGUCAGUGUUGCUCAAGCCAGAACACACUGACACUAAUUUUUGAUGUCAAUAAUUUUUGUGUCAGUAAUUUGUUUCACUAUAGUAUCACUAAAAUAAUGACACGAUGAUGUUGGUAUUUAAUAAUACUAUUUACACGUCAGUAAUUUAUGUGACUAUAGUAUCAAAAACUGACUCGAUAAUAUAAAAAAUUCUUAUUGUUAUUUUAAAUAUGUAGUGUCAGUAUUUAGUAAUGUUAUGCUGCUUUUGGUUAAUAGUAUAUUUUUUAUUUUAAUUAUAUUUUUCGUGUUUGUUGUACAACCAAAAGAAAACUCGAAAUAUAUUUAUUAUUAAAUAUCUUGCAACACAAUUCAUAUAAUAAACAUCUCAAAUACAUCACUUAAAUUCACACAAUUCAACUACAUCACUAUGUGUAAAAGACUUAACAUAAGUAUCAAAUUAAAUUUUCAACAAUCUCUAAACAACAAGUGCUAACUACUACUCAAUUAAGUUUCCAACCCAAAAGAAAAAAAAAAAAGCACAAGGUCACUCAAUAUCCAUCCACGGCUUCAUUUUGUUCCCACCUACAAAUGCAUAAAAUCAAUUAGUAUACUGUGAAAAAUAAAUCUUAGUUAUUUUGAAGCAAAAAUACUCAUAAAUUACUUCAACAUGGAAGAGUAGGAUUAAAAGAAGCAAGUUAAGGAAUCAGAAAAAGAAAUUGUAGAAUCUACACGUUCCCAAGUUAAUUACAGCCUGCAAUCAUGAUACCACAAAUUGCUUCACCAAAAGUAUUCUAUCAAGUAUUAAAGAGAACACUUAAUAAGUACAUCAAUAUUUAGUAAUGAUGACAUGAACAAUGGUGUCUACAACUUGACAAGCAUAAGUUAUUUUUUUUGUAAUCUAUUUCAUUGUCUAAAUUUAAAGUAAACAAUGCUAUAAUAUAUGAUCAAGUACAUUAAGUUAACAAGCACUAUAACAUUUAUUUAGCCCACAUUCAACGAUGAUCAGUUGGACCGAAAGCCAUAAAUUGAAAAACAAAAGAUAUUUAAUGAGCUUAAAGAGGAAAAAUAAAAGUUAACAAAAUUUAAACGACUAAUGAAGAAAUUAACCAAGCCGAGAUGAAAAACAGAAAUAGAAGGCCACUAUAAGCCAAACAUUACAAAUCAGGUUGCUUUUUAAGACACGAACCCAGUUUCCAAUUACAGUACUUUGCAAUUCUUUAAAAAAAAAAGGGUUUCCCAAUUACUAAAUCUUUUUAGGUUUGAAGUGGAUUGAUAAUUAAAUUGAUGAAAGAAAGGAAAGUGAAGCAAAAAUUAGAUUCAAGUAUGGGUCAAGUAAAAAAGUAAAAGAUAAAAAUCAGAUUCAGUGCAAACCUGGGUUUCAAAUGAUUAGCAAAGGAACAACUUCUUCUUUCUUCAAUCUAAUAUUCUUCUUCGAACAUGGAAUACUAACAAAAUACAAUUAGUAAUUCAUAAACAUAUAGUAAAAUGAGAUAGGUAUUUUUUGAGAGGAGAUUGAGAAAUACAUAUUUGAUUGAAGAAAGAAAACACAACAAAAAAAAAGGACCAGGUCUCCUCAAAGAAAAGCAAAAUGGGAAAAUAGGGGAAUAGUCUAUACAAAAGCCAACCCACCACCCUUGGAGGACCAUCCUUCUUCUGAGCAAAAAUCUAUACAAGAUUAGCCCAAACCUCCAAUAUAGUAAAAUGGGUUCGACAGACUAUUUCUAAUCUGUCAUUUGCAAAGUAAAGCUAAAAUUAGAAUUGUCUACUAACAACCUUCCUAUAGUUUGUCCACUAUAUUAUUACUAUAUUAUUAGAUGUAAAAUGCCCACUAUAAAAGGUAAUUAAUAGAGAAACUUCUCUGUAGUAUUUUCAUACCUGUGCCAAAACAGAGAAGAGAAAGAAAUGGUGUCUGACCUCGGUGGUAAAGGAACCGCUAUGGUAAAGGAUCGAACAUGGAUGAAAAAUAAACUUGUGCAAAUGGAGCCACCAGCAUUUUGCAAGAAUUAAAGAUUUUGGGUGAAAUCCUCUCUUAUAAACACUUAUUUGUAUUGGGAGCAUGCAUACUUCCGAGUAUGAUAUAAUUCUAUAAAAUUUAGACUCCUGAUAGAUAGAUAGAUAACACGUAUUAGCAUUAAUUAAAUGGAAGCAUCAACAAUAAUCAAUAAAUCAUUAUAGAAAAAAAAUUAAAAAUGAAAGGAGCUGAGGCACACCAUUGUGAUGCAAGAUUGACAAUCAAAAGAACCUUUCCUUUGUAGAUGCUAAGAUCAACAUCCUGUCCCUUCGCAUCCUGCAAAUAAGAUAAAUUUUUAUAAAAAUUAAAAAAUAUAUCUGUCAAAUCCCAAAUUGAAUUAAAAAUCAAAACAAGGGAAAGAAAAUGAAAGGAACAUGUCAUCAAAUUGUAGGUGGCUGGUGGUGCUUUUUAGUGAAGUGUUUGUAGAACUGUUAGAUGUAACCAUUCUUUACGCAUCAACUUCGCUAGUGAUUUGAUUUGAUGAAGAGGAUCUUUCCUUAUCUAGUUAUCUUCUUGUGUAGAUCCAUGUAGGAUUCCUUCACGAUUUCUUUUUUUUUUUUUUGGGGGGGGGGGGGGGGAGGUUUAAUUAACAAAACAAUAAGAGUAAAUGAGGAAUCAAUCCCUAAUUUAAGGCCUUCUAAGAUUGCUGAAGCUCUGCAUAAUCAAUGUCUCCAAGAAAAAGGUUUAUUUGCAGGCUGUAGCAGCAAUUUUCUUCCCCAUGAAAUCCAACUGAUCCAUUUGUAUUGAAUUUAAGCACACGCCUGAGGCUGGAAAAGACAAAGAAAUUAAUGAAAACAGGCUAUGUAUCUUUUUUACUUAUCAUUGCUCUAUGAAUUAAUUAUGCUACUAAUCACGACGCCGUUUAAAUCUUAGAACAAUAAUAAUCUUUUAGCAACAAAUAUGACGGUUCAAUAAUAUGUUCCGACUAGGGAUGUCAUAUUGUGAGGGCUGUUAAGUUUAAGAAACGAUCAAAUCUAAUUUUGUGUUCCAAAAACUCAUUGGCUUAACAGAUUAACUCCUCUGUAGUAUUUUCAUACCUGUGCCAAAAGAGAGAAGAGAAAGAAAUGGUUCUUGAUCUCGACGGUAAAGGAGCGGUGGCUGGCUGGGCUGAAGUUGAUGUGACGGCAUAAAAGCGGUAGCAGCGACAUACUGAAAGGUGGCUAGCUAGUCGUAGGUGGCUGAAGCUUGACAACAGUAGAGCAAAGGCGGCAGUGACGUCAAGGAACGGCGGCCGACAGCAGUGAAAGUCGAGGAGCAGCGGCCGGCAGCAGUGAAAGUCGAGGAGCAGCGGCCGGCAGCAGUGAAAGCCGAGGAGCAGCGGCCGGCAGUAGUGAAAGUCGAGGAGCAGGGGAGCGGUCGGCAGCAGUGAAAGUCGAGGAGCAGGGGAGCGGCGGCAGCAACUUAAGAAGUGGUGUGUUUGAUUCGGUUAGAUUUAGGGUUUCUUAUUUUCAUUUUAUACUUUGAAAAAUUAUACAGUGUAAUUGUUCGCAUUGUAAUUUAAUAAAACAACAAACUACAAGUCAACAUGUGGUCAAGUAAAAUUAUUAUUAUUAACAACGAAUUACAAGUUGACAUGUGGCAAAAUAAAAAAUAUUAUUCUCAAAACUAUUAUUAUUAUUAUUAUUAUUAUUAUUAUUAUUAUUAUUAUUAUUAUUAUUAUUAUUAUUAUUGUCCACAAAGUAAUUGUGUAAAAUUUAAUUAAAUAAAAAAAUUAAUCAAAUUGAAAAUUUAAAAACACAUGCAUCAAUGGUUUGCACUCUAAACUUACAAAUUUUAAGUUUAGAGAUCUUGAGUUCGAGUUCAAAUUAAAACAAAAUUAAUAUUAUUAUUUUUUUAUCACUGAUGCUUUAGUAUCAAUAAUCAUUGAAUUUUAAGCUACUGACACCUUAGUAUCAAUGAUUUAUGAUACAUACUUGUUAAAGGCGGAAAAUGGUCCAAACGUACACCAUUUCUGACACUUUUUACUAAGUGUCAGAAACAAAGUGUCAGUAAAUGUCAUUUUUGUAGUAGUGAUGAUAGCAAUAAGUGCUGACUUAGACACUUAGUGGACCGCUUCUACAAGUAAAUAAAAACUAAAUAUUUAUUUUGACUAUAACAACAACUACGCUGAUGAAUAGGAUUUCACAGCAGCCACGUGAGAACUAAUUUCUCCUUAAUAUUAUUAUUAGUAGAAGUAGAUUUUCAAACUAGUCUUGAUAUAUUUCAAAGUUGUAUUAUCAAUGUAUAUGUGUCUAGAUUGUAACUAUACUUUAAAAAAUAUAAAAUUUUUAAUUAUUGCACAAUAUAUGUAGAAAAAUAUCUAUAAAAUGAUAUUAUUAGGACUAAGAAUUUUUUAUUUUAUUUUAGAUAAGUUAUUUAUUUAUUAUCGAAUGAAUAAUUUAUUAAUUUAUUGAUAAAUGAAUAUUUAUUAAUUUAAAGAGAGAUUUUUUUGGUUUUAACAAGAGUUUGUUUGGUAAAUGUACACACUUAUAAAGAAACAUAAAAAGUGGUUCCUCAAGUCAAUAGUGUUUGCUUCAAUCGCAACGGUUCAUAAUAAUAUAGCUUAGUUAGGAAAUUUGUAAUUAUACUAUAACUUUGUUUGGUACAACUUUUCAAGUAAAACUUAUUUAAGUAGAGUUGUUAUUAGUAGAGCUUUUAUAAAUAAAGCUUUUACUAAAAAAAAUUUAAUUGUUUGGUUGUCAAUGUCCAAAUUGAUAAACUUUUGUUCUUUUGUUAAGAUAUGUUUGUUUUACUUAAUAAUAGCAUCGGCAAGAGUUUUCGAUUGUUGCAACUUGCAAUGCACGCGGUGAGAGAAAAUGAGAAUCUUGUUUAAUUGUCAAUAAUGACAAACCUAAUCCUUUCAUUAGGAGUAAUUUAAUAAUCGUUUGUUAUAACUGAAUAUGUAUAAAGAAAGGAAAAUUCUAUUCAUAGAUUUCGACUUAUUUUUUGUUUAAAGUAAUUAAUCAUUCAACCAUCUUCAUUUGCCUCUGGCCAAUGCCCUUGUAGAUUAGUUGAAGCGUUAAUUACUUAAUUAUGAUUAUAUACAUUUUCAUAUAGCAAGUGGCAUUGUAGAUCUAAACUAAGUUGCUAUUUCAAUACCAGCAAAUUCAAAAUAGAAAAGGAGUGCAACUAUUUAACUUUGUAGACAAUAUUGCAACCAUGGCAUAUUUAUAGCAAAUCCUUGAAAUCUGCUAAACAAAACAAUGCCCUGUCUCAUGAAUCGAUGCUCAAUUAAAAUUUAAAUUGAAAGUCCGGCUGGUGUUGUUUUCCUCUCCAGUUUUGCCUACAUAAGUAAAGGGAAAUAAGAAUCAUAAGUGAAAAUAUGCUUUGACAGGUCUUAUUUCUUUGUUUCUCUACUGCAGUUUUGCCUACUCAAGCUGAGUCUACGUUGAGACAUAAUUUCAGUAUUGAGGUAACAAUAAUUUCGGACUCCGUAAGAAGGUUUUGAAAAAGUGGAGUCACAUUUGUUGAAUCAGGCAACGUCAACGUGCCUUCUUCACCUGCUAACACCCUUUUCAACCUCUCACAAAAUAGUCGGAGGUGGACGUCCAGCAUAUCUCCUUCUCUCUGUAGCACCCAGAGGUAACAGGAUUAAUUAAAAAUUUUAGAAUUGUUGGGCGUGGAAAGAGUAGUAUUAAACAUCAGAAAGCAAGGUUGUUCUGCUAAAGAAUUGAUUUGUUGACAUAAUUUUUUUUUUUUUUUUUUGGUUUUCGAGGAAAAAGGCAUAUUUGUUGACAAGCAAGAAAAUGUUUUUGUAUUUUACAAUCUGUUAUACAUAUUUCAUCAUAUUAAAGUAAUUUUAAUAAUAAAUAGAAACAUAAUAUUAUGAUAAAUAAAUUAAAGUUUAAAUUAUUUUGAAUAUUAUAAAAAAAUAAUUCUAAUAUUGUUAAUAGGAACAUAUUUUGUUAAUUGUAAAAUCUUUUUAAUCCAAAGAUUUAUUUAAAAUCUUUAUAAUAAAUACAAAUAUAAAAUUAAAAUAAAUAUCAUAAUUUAAAAUUUUUAAUAUUAUUUUCAAUAUUAAAAUAUUUUAAUGUUAUUAGUCUACUAUGUAAGGUAUCAGAGCCAUACCCAUCCUUGAAUGGGUCAAUGCUGAAUUACACUUGAAAUGGAAAGCUUGCUGCAGUUACGAUAUUUCCCCCUCUGAUUUUUCUCCAAAACAAAUUCAGUUGUAAACAAUAACCGAAGUAGCAAUAAUUCAUUCAUCAAAGAAAAUACUCAAAUUUUCAACUAACAAAUCCUCUUAUCUAAACUAAUUAAAAAAAACUCAUAUCUCAAAAAUCUAUCUACAAAAUGUUGGAAAUAAAGGGUGAUCCGUCAACUCGAUAAAUAUACUCAUGCAUAAUGCUAACAAUAUGAUAAAUUACAUCAUAACUAUUAUAAAGAAUCAUAAAUUGGAAACACUAAUCAUUCUACAAUCUAUUAUAUAACUAAGAUAAAUCUUAUAAUAAGUUAAGUUAGAACAUAAUAAAUAUUUUCAAUAUAUAUAAUUAUUUAAGAAGUCUUUUAACAAUAAAUUUUUUUUCUUUUUCAGUUGAUCAUGUCAUAUAGCGUUAAUGGUGAUUAGUGACUGAUUACAAAGCAAAAUUGUUUAAAAUAGAUUUAAUGCACAAAUAUGAUGAAUUUUGGCAAAAAUUAGUUUCGGAAAUGUUGGGAUGAAAACCAUAUUAGUUGAGACUUAAAGUUACUUAAUAAAAUUAUAUCACUACCAUUCAAUGGAUGAAAACUAUUUUAGUUGAGACUUAAAUUUAGAUUUAAAUGUUGAGAUAUCUAGUAUUACUCAAUCAGAAUAAACAAGAACCAAUUCUGACUAUCAUGUAGAAGCAAAUAUUUAUGCUUGGAUUUUUUACUUCUUGAAUUUGAUUGGAAAAGUUUCUGAGACAGAGAAGUGUUUUGGAUAAUCUUUUUCGGGAUUGAAACCACAAAUUGGUCGAGGAAAUUAAUUUUGGACAAAUUUUUAUUGAGUUGUGCUAAACAUCAAGAAGGGCGAGAGAAUGCUGAGAGAAACGGCAGCUUUGUGCUGCUGUUUCGACUUCUCACUCUCUCGCCAUUCUAAUAAUUUUUUAUUAUUAAAAAUAAAAAAGCGGAGAAAAUGAUAGCAGACAACCCACAUCUACCAAAUCUCCAUCACUCCAUCACUCUCUUUCUCUCUCUCCCUCUCUUGAUUUUCAUCCUCUCUCUGGCUUCCUCACUCUCUACGGCUCCCCAUCAAGCUUCCUCAGUCUCUUCGGCCUCACUAUCUCUAGCCUCACUCUCUCCAGAUUCUUUCAUUUUCUCCUUUUUUUUAUAUUUUUAACAAUAAAAAAUUAGCAUUCUGCUGAGAAAGAGAGUGGUACACGACUCUUGAACAAUUUUUUUUCUGUCGUGAUCGUCUAUCAAACCACCUAAAAAUGAGCCAAGGGGGUUCUCAGCCCUAGCAGCUCACGUACUUUCAAGAUUUAGAGUAUGGUUCCAGUCCAAGCUAUUUAAUUAGUAUUGGGAUUCGAUUUAGUUGUUCUUCUAAUUUAAUAGGAUAAAGAAUUUAAUUGGAGAAAUGUCAUUAAUAUCAUAGGAGCAUAUAUAUUGUUUUGAUUUAAAUAUUGCUAUUUUUUUAUUGUUGAAAAAAAAAACACUAGAAAAUGGGAAGCCAAAAUCUUAGCCCUGUGUUUUUACUUUUACUUUUCUCUUAAACAUUUUAAAGAUGUAAAGGAAAAUGCUCAGAAUGGUGAGAGAGUGAUGGACGUGAUGGGCUAUCUUCUAUCCUUUUUUUAAUAAAUUUUUAAGAAUAAAAAAUUUAUUAAAACAGUAAGAGAGCGAAACCAAAACGGCAGCUUGUGCUGUCGUUUCUCUUAACAUUCUCUCGUCAUUCUUGAUGUUAAGCAUUUUCCAUUUUUAUUAUGUUGUAGCACCUUUUUGGUUCCUUUUGUGUCGGCAGCCCCUUACUAUUCUCUUAACCCUGAGUUUGAGAUAGAAAUUUCCCGAACUCCAACCCCACAUCCACAGACAAGUUGAUUCAAACAAUUGCUCUUUUAAUUAAGAGAAUGAGUUAGGUUUCAGUUCUUAUUGUUGUCUGUUAUUUCUCUGAAUCAUUAAUUUUGAGCAUUACUGAUCUUAGUUAUCUGUAUUUCUCCAAUUAUUGAAGAAUUUAUUAUUGAAUGAAUAAUUUAUUAAUUUAUUGAUAAAUGAAUAUUUAUUAAUUUAAAGAGAGAUUAUUUUGGUUUUAAGAAGAGUUUAUUUGGCACAUGUACACACUUAUAAAGAAACACAAAAAGUGCCUGCUCAAGUCAAUAGUUUUGGUACAUUUACACACUUAUAAAGAAACACAAAAAGUGCUUGCUCAAGUCAAUAGUAUUUGCUUUAAUCGCUAUAGUUCAUAAUAAUAUAGCUUAGUUAGGAAAUUUGUAAUUAUACUAUGGCUCCGAUUGGUACAACUUUUUAAGUAGAACUUAUUUAAUUAGAGUUUUUAUUAGUAGAGUUUUUAUAAAUAGAGAUUUUACUAAAAUAAAAUUUAGUUAUUUAGUUGUCAAUGUCCAAAUUGAUGAAAUAUUGUUCUUGUUAACAUAUGUUUGUUUUACUUAAAAAUAAAAGUUUAGUUUACAAUUACACCAGUAUAAAAUCAGCAGAGCAUUUUUGCUUAAAUAUUUAUUAAUUUAAAGAGAGCUUAUUUAAAUAGAGUUUUUGUUAGCAAAACUUUUAUAAAUAAAACUUUGCUUAAAAAAAUUUAAUUAUUUAAUUGUUAAUGUCCAAAUUGAUGAACUUUUGUUCUUUUGUUAACAUGUGUUUCUUUUACCUAAUAAUAAAAAUUAGUUUACAAUAACACUGGUGUCAAAUCAGCAGAGAUAUUUUCCAGCCAGUCACAUUAUACAUACGGGAGCCUCUAUGUUACAUUGAAUGUACCAUACACAACUAAUAAGAACCACAUAAAUUGUGGGACCCACAUAAUUGUGUGGUUCUUAUUGGUUGUGUAUGGUACAUUCAAUGUAACAUAGCAAAAUCCUAUACAUUAUACUAAUAGCAUCGGCAAGAGUUUUCGAUUGUUACAACUUGCAAUGCACGCGGUGAGAGAAAAUGAGAAUCUUGUUUAAUUGUCAAUAAUGACAAACCUAAUCCUUUCAUUAGUAGUAAUUUAAUAAUCGUUUAUUAUAAUUGAAUAUGUAUAAAGAAAGGAAAAUUCUAUUCAUAAAUUUCGACUUAUUUUUUGUUUAAAGUAAUUAAUCAUUCAACCAUCUUCAUUUGCCUCUGGCCAAUGCCCUUGUAGAUUAGUUGCAGCGUUAAUUACUUAAUUAUGAUUAUAUACAUUUUCAUAUAGCAAGUGGCAUUGUAGAUCUAAACUAAGUUGCUAUUUCAAUACCAGCAAAUUCAAAAUAGAAAAGGAGUGCAACUGUUCAACUUUGUAGACAAUAUUGCAAGUUGCAACCAUCCAAAGGUGAAGAUCUAUGCUUAUUAUCUAUUUAACAGCUAAUAUAUAUAUAUAUAUAUUUAUUUAAAUAUCAAGAGCUAUGCUUUUAAAUAAGUUCAAAUGGGAUGAGAACAGACUUAUAUUUAUUUAUUUAAAUAUGACCCAGGCUAAUUUCUCUGAAUUUGGACAGAGUAGAUUUCUAAGCUAAUGCUUGGCAUAUCUCUGGCGAUACUACAAAGUGCAUGUACAUUGACUCUUAAUAAAUAUAAACGAUUCUCUGAUAUGAUUCAAAACAUCACUACAUGCAUAAGUUAAUAAGAGACAAUAUUCUAAGAUUAUUUAUGCAUCACCAUUUAUAGUUGUACCCUCUCUAAUGAAAUUGAAGGUGCAGCCAGCAACUAAAAUGAAGCAGAAAUGUACACGCAUGAGGCAGUUUUUCUAGAAGAUUGAUAUUUCUUUAACUAGAAAACCAUACAAGUCCACAACUAGCCAAACUGUACCUGCAUGUGUCUAGGGCUUAAAUGGAGCACUUCUAAGCAUAAAACAGUAACUAAAACACAUACACAAACAUACAUACCAAAAAAUUCAGAAAAUAGAGAAAGGAAUACAACUAUUCUUGUUUGUAGACAAUAUUGCAACCAUGGCAUCAGUUAUAGCAAAUCCUUGAAAUCUACUAAACAAAAUAAUGUCCUGUCUCAUGAAUCAAUGUUGAAUUACAGCUGAAAUUGAAAGUCUGGCAUCAGUUAUAGGAAAUAUUGAAUUACAAUAUUUCCCUUGCCGAUUUUGUCUACACAAGUAAAAUGGAAAUAAGAAUCAUAGAUGAAAAUCAACUUUUACAGUUCUAAUUAUUAGAUAGAUACAGAAUGAUCUAUCUUUGUGAGUUUGUUUUUCUGCUGCAAUGUGCGAUCCCACUCUGUUUUGAUACUCAAAUUGAGUCUAUGUUGAGACAUAAUUUUGACAUUGCAAGCAAUCCCAAUUAGUUUGGCAUUUGUAUGACCCUUUGAAGGUUUUACAAUAGAUGCAAAUCUACUGAGAAAAUGGUAAAAAAGGUGCAUAUAAAAUGAGGCAAGUAACAGAAGUAUGAGUUAUCAGAUUAGAUUAAAAGUCACCCAAUUCAAUCUAUCAGAUUCCGUAAGGAUAUAACUGGAUGUCAUAUCGCCACUCCAUAUCCUCGAAAGUCCGUAGUCUUUGUCUCAACUCUGUCUGAGGCCAAUGUAAAUCCAAUUUGCACAAGCUCUUUAUGCACCAUAGCUCUUCUGGAAGCUUUCUCAAGUAAGCACAUGGGUUGACAAUUAAGCUUUCAAGUUUUGGCAUUGCUCUUGCCCCCAUCGUCCACUCGUCUAGCCAAUACAUCGACUUCAAGUGCAAAAUCUUAAGUUCCGGAAAGCCACCAGAGCCAACGCAGGCCAGCUUUCUUCCUAAAUAUGAGUUCUGCUUCAGUUUCAGCACUUGAAGGCGUGGAAGCUUUUCCAGCAUUGGCAUGGGAUCCUCCAUUAGCUCAGUAUUUGAUAAGCUCAGUUGGAUCAGGCUUGGAGGAAAUUGGUAUUCAGACAGGACCAUCCGUGAGAGCUUGCUCUCAUUCACCAACUUCAAGCAUUCAACUUUGUGGAGUUCGCAUACGCUUUUGGAAACCCCAGAGUGAUAGCAACUCAAAUCUCCAGACACUCUAAGAGUUUGAAGAUUAGGUAGUCUGCACAAUAUAUCUGGCGUGCAACUACUAGGGUGUAAGGCUGAUAUGAAAAUAAGAUUUUUCAGAGAGCUGGAAUAAUUUUUUGGAGGUGCAGGCAGAGUGAUGGAACCAAAGUUCAGAUGCAUGAGUUUUUGCAUCUUCCAAAUAUCCUCUGGUGUUUGAUCUACGUAGCUAGAUGGCAUGUCUAGUGUUUGAAGGUUUGAAAGGGUGCAUAGCAGUGAAGGAAGACAUUUGAGCGAAGGGAUAUUCAAUUUCAAAUACUUCAAAUGGAAUAAAUUUUCUAAUCCGGGUGGAUAUUGGUCCAGGACUGCAGAACCCAUGUUCAAUACCCGAAGGUGUUUGAACAUUUUACAAAAAUUCUCGCAAUCUAUCGGAUUAAGAUGAUCGCUUUCUGAACUGUGAUUCAGAAAAGAUUGGAGGUACAUGUCAGAAUGUUUCAAAGAAAAGAACUCAAUCAGAUCAUCGACAAUGAUGUACCGUUUGGCAUUUGCCAUUGAUUCCUCUUCCAAUCCAGGCGACCAAAAAAAUCCCGUCAAUGCUGCCGGCAAAAGUAACGCAACAUAUGCAAAAGUUGGAACAUAGCACGCCUUAAUUGUGCCUCCGGCUCUUCUCUUAUUCACUUGAAUGAAGCCACGAUCGAUUAGUUCAUUCAAGUAAUGCUCGGCAGUUUCCUCACUGUUGUGUGGUAUGAAACCUUCAGCUACCCACAACCAAUAUAAUUGCCUGGUAGAUAUCUCAAUGCCUGGAUGGAACAAACACAAAUAGAGGCAGCAGAUUUUCAAGUGAACAGGUAACUGCAACACAGAAUAAAUUGUACUCCAAGCUGUCAGAAACGCUUUUUCUCCCAUGUAAAUUCUUAAUGUCGUUUUUCCAUAGUGUAGGAUGAAAAAUUGCCAGGCUUCAUGCUUUAAUCUGAUCAAUGGUCCUCCAACGAGAACUGAAUCAGGAUGAAUCGUCUGUCCAUUUUCCAAUUCGAACGAGGAAAGGAAGUCUGGAUCAGUGACCGUCAUUAAUACUCUGCUUCCAUUCUGAUUCUCAGGAAGGACUUCUUCAAGAUCAUCCAAUACAUCGUCACUCUCUUCACAGUAAUCAUCAAGCACAAUAAAGUACUUCUUGUUUGUUAGGUAAUCUCGAAGAAUAGAUUUCUUCAAUUGAUAAUCUUCACCGAUAACUACACUAACCCGAGAUGGAGGCAUCACAGACUUGAUUAUGUCAUCCAAUAUCAUGCGAAAAUCGUAGGCUAUAGAAACCCUGACCCAAGCAUGACAGUCAAAAUAGAACUUGACAUGAUUAUUGUUGUAAGUAUCAGCAGCAAAAGCAGUCUUAUCAAAGCCACUGCUGUCGAGAAUUGCAACCACUGAAAGCUGAGGUUGUCCCUCGAUCAGUAAAUCAAACAACGCCUCUCUGCCGCUUUCAAAUUCACUCUUAUCAAGCUGAAAUUGUCCCUCAAUCAAUAAGUGAGUGAAUUCGUUCCUUCGCUCUUUGAAAUCAAAACCAUUGCCUCCAGGUGGAAGUUGUUGCAACCGAUUUCUAAUAUCAAUGAUUUUACUGUGGAUUCCGACAAGAAGAGCAAUGCAAGUAGUGCUCUCACUUUCACUGUUUUGCUGCUGCGUGAUGUUGAUGAAGAAUGUGUCAAUAGCUUUCUCAGAUUCACGGACAAAGUAAUUGAUGUCUUUCAGAAGUUCCCAAAUGUCUGUUCUUUUAACAUUUUCUAAGUGCAAGAGCUGCCGAUAACGCGAAGGCAUUUCGUCUUCAUCGAAUUGUUCUCUAAUGAGUUGAAUUAAAACUCGAGCCAUGUCAACUUCAUAUUUUCCCAGCAGAGUAGUAGCAAUAAUUUCGGACUCCGUAAGAAGGUUUUGAUAAAGUGGAGUUAAAUUUGUUGAAUCAGGCAACGUUAACGCGCCUUCUUCACCUGCUAACACCCUUUUCAACCUCUCACAAAAUAGUCGUAGGUGGACGUCCAGCAUAUCUCCUUCUGUCAGUAGCACCCAGAUGUAUUGUCAUUUGCUUCAAGAAAUGUUGAAAGGAUUGGUUCUAUCUCAAAGUGUUUAGUGGUGUAAAAUUAAUUAAUUAAACACCAUGGAAGAAUUUGCAAGGAAGAUGCCAAGAAACUGGCGAAGUGGCUAAAUUCCACAAUUAUGACAUUAUUGCUCAUUUUCAACUCAAAAAAAUGAUACGCGUUCAUUUAGAGAAAAGUCCAAGACGCGUUCCUUUCGGAAAGAACAAUUAUCCAAUAGAGAUCCAACCUUUAUCUUAUUCAAUUACUACCCUGACAUGAUUGAUGGUGCUUAAAUCAAUUGUUUCUUUUUUAAUUUAAAGAAUUUUUCAUUCAAAUUUUUUUUAAUAUUAAAUUGCCUUCAAUGGCAUUACUGCAGCAAGCCCAGUAACACGAUUAAUUAAAAAGUUUAGAAUUUUUGGGCCUGGAAAGAGUAGUAUUAAACAUCAGCAAGCUAAGGUUGAUAUGUUAAAGAGUUGAUAUUGACAUAAUUUUUAUUUUGGUUUUCGGGGAAAAAAAAUUGUUGACAAGCAAGAAAAUAUUUAUAUAUUUUACAAUUUAUUAUACAUAUUUUAUCAUAUUAAAAUAAUUUUAAUAAUUAAUGAAAAACAAAAUAUUGCAAUAAAUAAAUUAAUGUUUAAAUUAUUUUGAAUAUAAUAAAAAUAAUUUUAAUAUUAUUAAUAGGAAGACAUUUUGUUAAUUUUAAAAUCUUUUUAACCCAAAGGUUUAUUUAAAGUCUUUAUUAUAAAUUAAAUAUCAUAAUCUAAAAUUUUUAAUAUUAUUUUAAGUAUUAAAAAUAUUUUAAUGUUAUUAGUCUACUACAUAGAUCAUAUUACUUAUGUUAUAUUUGUAUUGAUUAAAAAUUUUUAAAAUCAAUUUUCUAGUUACUACAUUCACGAGGCAUUAUGGUUAAAGAAAAGAUCUUGAUGUUACUUUUAAAAAAUUUGAGGGCCUGCAUGAUAAUUUUUUCAAAAUUUAAGGAUGUAGGUGUCCUUCUCAAAUAAUUUAGGGUGAGGCUAUUUGAAUCCACCAAUCUACUCACUACACCCAUUUACUAAAUAAACCCGCACUUAAGUUUUGAAAUUUUAAAUUUUACUCAACAAACCGACCUAAAUGUCCAAUAUACCCUUAUUGAACCCAAUUAUUAUAAUAAUAUGUUUUUGCUAAUUAAACCCAUUUAAUUCAUUUAAAGUUAAUAAAUGAUUAUAUUUAUUAAAUUGAAAACUAAAAGAUUAUACAAAACAUAAACAAUACUCUCAAUUAUAUAUUUUGGAGCAAAAAUUCCAAAGUGUAGUAAGCAAAGCCAAUGCAAAAUGGCUGGAGCAGCUAAUAAUGGUAAAAGUCAGAGCCUAGUAAUGUGGUACCGCUACUUGACUUUGGGAAAGAAGUGAUAAUUAUAUCAAUUUCUUCAACUUGGAAGUUGGAAGUGCUGUUGAAAGCGGUUGAUGCCAGAAAAAUAAUUAGAUAUCUGUCAAAAAAAAACUUUGGUAUUUUUAGAAAUAAAAUCCUAUAUCCAGUAUUUCAAUAUGAAAAGUCUCUAGUAUUUCUUUCAAUUGAUUCUUCCUUUGUCUUCUUCGACUCCAUGAAGGUUUAAUUAUGAUGAGAAAGCCAAGGGGAAUCAAUAAAGAAUAUCAAUUUAGGGUUUAAGAAAAAUAUCAUAAAGUUGAAUGUAAAAUGGAUUCAAAGAGUAAAUUUUAUUUUUAAAACUAUAUUUUAAUGUCUAAAAUUGUAAUUUAAUUUAGGGAUAUUUUAAUAAUUACAAUUUAUUUUUAAAAGUGAGUUUAUUAAGUAGUUUGAUGGGUUCAAAUAGUCCCAUCCAAUAAUUUAUUUCACUGUUAAGGGAAUCCAAUGAGAAAAAUAAUAAGAUAUCGUCAAUGACUUGUCAUUUUCUAUUUUUUCUAUGAGCUAAUUAUUUUGAGCAUUAGUGAUCUUGUCAGGACUACUCCAAUUAUUGAUGCAACUCCAGCGGCUGCAUCCACAGUGGCUACUCCAAUUAUUCAUGCCUUUUAAAAAGAAUAUGUAUACAAUAGCAAUCCAUACUUUAUCUUACAUUGAUUUUUUUCAAUUAAUGGUGAUUGCAUUGAUUUUUUUCAAUUAAAGAAAAAUUGUUUAAAAUAGAUUUAAUGCACAAAUACGAUGACUUUUGGCAAAAAUUAGUUUCGGAAAUGUUGGGAUGAAAACCAUAUUAGUUGAGACUUAAAUUAAGAUUUAAAUGUUGAGAUAGUAUUGCUCAGUCAGAAUAAACAAUAACCAAUUCAAAUUAUGACUAUCACGUAAAAACAAAUGUUUAUGCUUGGGUUUUUUACUUCUUGAAUUUGAUUGGAAAAAUUUCUGAGACAGAGAAGUGUUUUGGAUAAUUGUUUUGGGGAUUGAAACCACAAAUUGGUCGAGGAAAUUAAUUUUGGACAAAUUUUUAUUAUAUUGUAGCACCUUUUUGGUUCCUUUUCGGCGGCCCCAUACUAUUCUCUUAACCCUGAGUUUUUUUUUUUUUUUUUUUUUGAAAAGUCUUAACCCUGAGUUUGAGAUAGAAAUUUCCCGAACUCCAACCUCACAUCCAGGGACAAGUUGAUUGAAACAAUUGCUCUUUCAAUUAAGAGGAUGAGUUAGGUUUCAGUUCUUAUCAUUGUCUGUUAUUUCUUUGAAUCAUUAAUUUUGAGCAUUACUGAUCUUAGUUAUCUGUAUUUCUCCAAUUAUUGAAGAAUUUCAUGUGGCCACUUUUUCUCCUUUUCAUAUAUGUUUCGUUUUUGGACUGAUCAAACGGUGCAAAACCAAGUAUUUGCUGGUCCUUAGUUUAGCCAAUGAUGGCUGAUCCACAGUUGAAUAUAUGAUACUAUUAGCUCUUAUUUGAGAAUGUAAAGGGAUCUUUCUUAUUUGAGAAUACAAGUUGCCCAAUAGAGUUGAACUAUGUUACCCAACUCCAUGCUCAUACAUUAAAUGUUUAGGUAGUUUUACAAAAUGAUAGCAGCAUGCCAAAACUUGUUGUUGUCAUUUUCGACAUUUCAAAUUGAAAAAUAUGCAAGCAAUCUUCAGUGAACAUUACGUUUUUAUUGAAUAAUUUAAAUGGCCAGCAAAUCAACAGUCCGUGAGUUUUAAAUCUAUUAUGACUUAAUGUAUCUUUCUGUAUUCGUACACAGGUUAUAUUAUCAUAGUUUAAAAUUUUAAUAUUAUUUUAAAUGUUAAAAAUACUUUAAUGCUAUUAGUCUACUACACAGGUUAUAUUAUUUAUAUUAUAUUUGUAUUAAUUAAAACUUUUAAUGUCAAUUUUCUAAUUACUAUAUUGAAAAGGUAUUAUGGUUAAGAAAAAGUUUUGGCAUUUCUUCUUGAAAAUUUGAGGGUCUGCAUGACAAUUUUUCCAAAUUCUAAGGGUAUAGGUUUGAAAAUUUAAUGUUCUUUAACUUAAUGAAACAAAAGGGGGAAACCAAGAACUAUUCAAUUUUGUAUUUUUUGUUUGUAAUUCAAAAAAUGCAUCCACCAAACAAGUUUUACGCAUUAAUGCUGUCAUAAAACAAAAAACAGUUUGCCAAAAAAUGGUACCAAACAUAUCCUUAAUGUCUCACAUGAUUUCUUAGUAAGCCCAUAUUAGAUAUAUUUAUACAUUUUAGGUAUUUUAAUUAUAAAAGAAGUUGGUCCUCCCUCUGUUUAUAAAAGAUAACGUUAUUUCGAGAUUACCACUAAACUCUUACAUAGAAUUAGUGUAAUGUUAAGAGAGAGUAACACAAUUUUCCGUUACCAUCUUUGAAAAUAGAAAGAUAUGGAUGCGUGCAUUUAAGGGUUAUCGUGAAAAUCAUACAAUUCAAUUUCCUGACAUAUAUAUUCGUGCACAUAUGCCAAAAGAAUAAAUAGACAGAAAGUAAAUUUACAGUCCUCACUUCCUCACAAUUGUUAACGUGGAGACAUUAAGGAUGAGCAUAAAAGUUAAAGAUGACUCAUUUCUCAUUUUCUUUUUAAAGUGCUCUGCUGAAAGCCAAACUUCCUUUGGCUAAUUAAUUUAGAAGUAAAGCAGAGAAUAAAGUCCUAGAUGCCUUCUGAAAUUAGAAAUACAUUUUAUAUGCUUUAAUUAUGAUUAUUUGGUAGACUAAAGACCUAAAAGAUAUGUCCAAAGUAUAAAACAGAACGAUUAAAGGAAAAAGAAAAAAAACAGAGUAUUUGUGACGUAGAAUAACAAUUGGUAACUAAAAUCCUAAAUAUUUGAGUUGUUAAAAGCAAAUAUAACAGAGAAGGUAAGAGAGAUGCAGAAACAGAAAACUAUUAGCUUAUCUUGAUUUCCCACUAUAUUCAUUUUCGAUGCUUUUCAAACGAGAUUCUUUUAAUCCUUCUGGCGUCCGCAGCCCUUGCUCUUCUUACAAAUCUCCAGUCCACAUCUGCACUACGAACAAGUUGAUUGAAAUUAAAUAAUGUUGGAGAUGAGGGGUGAGCCGUCAACUUGGUAAAAAAAUUCAUGUAUAAUAUUAUCAAUAAUAUAAAAUAUAUAAUAAUUAUUACAAAGAAUCAUAAAUUAAAAAAUUAAUUAUUUUACAAUCUAUUUCUUAAGUAAGAUAAAUCUCGUAAUAAGUUAAGUUAUAACGUAAAAAAUAUUUUCAAUUUAUAAUCAUUUAAGAAGUCAUUUAACAAUAUAUUUUUUUUAUCAGCAGGCCAUGCCACAAAGUAUCAUCUAUAUUCGUGGUGAUAUUAUUAUUACUCCGUAUUCUCAAAAAACAUGAUUUAACAUUUAGAGAAAAUUCCUGCCUUUUAAAAAGAACAUGUAUGCAACAACUACCAAUACUUUAUCUUACCACAACAAAACCAAUGGUGACUAAAUCAAUUUUCUUGAUUAAAGCUAAAUUUCUUAAAAUUGAUUUAAUGCACAAAUAUGAUGACUUUUUGCAAAAAUUAGUUUUGGAAAAUAUAGUGAGAGAAAAUAGUGACGAUUAUUGUUUAGAUGUGUAAAUAGUCUAAACAUAAUCGCUAAUACCAAUAUCCAAGUGCAUCUUAACACCUUUCGUGAUAUUCUUUCAUUCAUGGUCACUGGUUCAAUAUUUGAAUUUAAUCAGUAAAUCAUGUUCAAUAAUAUUAGAGAUCCCAACAAUUGAGUACCAAUUUAAAUCCUAAUGCUAUAUGUCAUUGACCAAUAUUGUGUCAUUUUUUGUUAACUGGGUGAUGAAUUUCUAGUUGAUAAAAUUACUUUAAAAUAUCUUAAAAAUUAGACAAUAGUUUGCUUAAUUUUUUUAAGCUAACCGCUCAAGAUGCUCUAUUAGAAAUGAUAACCUAAUUAUAUACAUAAAAAAUGAUGUAUUUUUUGCAAUGUUGAUAGUGAGAUUAUCAUUCAACAUGUUAAAAUAUGAAAACAUAUGGAAGAUGGUUGUAAAUUGAUUGAAUGAAAAUAUUUCAGUGAAGUCUCAAAAAUUUGGUACUUGUUAUCUUAUCGAAAGUUUUCUAAAUUAUAUUCGUGGCACUGCCACUGCUUCUAUGUGAAGGUCAUUAAAAUUUGUGUUAGUUACCUAUAGGUUGAAUAACAAUUUUAUUCAUCAAUUGUUGCUCAAUAUAGCAAUUUGAUUGAAAGUGCCGCUGCACUAAUUUUCUAGAUGAACUUUCCUAAAUGUUUGUCCUCAUAUGACCUAGAAUGCUGCGAUAUCAAUUGUAUUGGAAAUUAUUCAAGUGGGUUAGUGCUCUACAUCCCCACCAAAAUUUAAGCAAUCAACAAAACAUUCCUUGUGGAAAUAAACUUAUUUCGCUACUAGACUUCUAAUGAGGCCCAUUUUCCAGAAUCUGGAUACGAGUUAGAUGUCUCCCAAAAUAUUGGUGGGAGUAGACUAUACUAGCACUCGACAACAUACUAACGACGCUAUGGUCCACCAGAAAGACCGGUCUCCGGUCAGCCGAAAAAUCUCACGUUCAGUCUCUUCUCAAUCUCCCUUCUCCCAGCCAAGUCGAUCCCGUAACAUGAUACUAAUCCACAGUUGAAUACAUGAUACUAUUAGCUCUUAUUUGAGAAUAUAAAGGGAUCUUUCUUAUUUGAGAACAUAAAUUGCCCAAUAAAGUUGAACUACGUUACCCCGCUCCAUGCACAUACAUUAAAUGUUAACAGCAUGCCAAAACUUGAUGUUGUCAUAUUCGACAUUUCAAAUUAAUAUGCAAGCAAUCUUCGGUGAACAUUACGUUUUUAUUGAAUAAUUUAAAUGGCUAGUAAAUCUAGAGUUCUUGAGCUUUAAUCUAAAUCAAAUCUAUUAUGACUCAAUGUAUUUUUUUGUGUUCGUACCAGUAAUGCAGGGGAUUAUUUACGCAACUCUUAUUAUUGACUGAGAUGUUCACCUUCAUCCAAUUAGAGAAAGAGUGACUGUAGAGGUGGCAAAAAUACCCGCCCGGUCCGGACCCGGACCGUACCCAUUACCUGGUCCGGGUAUGAAGCCGGGUCGGUCUUGGGCAUCACUUGAUAAACCUGGAACCCGGAUUUUAUUAAAAAAAUUAUAAAAUAUAUAUUAUUUUAAAUAUUUUAUAUUUAUUUGACUCAUUUAUUAUACAUAUAUAAAGUUUUAAACACUUAAAGUUUAUAUUUUCAUGUCAAAUUUUAUUGAAAUAAAUUUAAAACUUAUAAAAUUACUAAAAAAUAAAAAAUAUAUACACAUAAAAUAUUAAAAAAUAUAAAAUUCGGAUACCCGGAUUAAAACCCGGCCCGAACCCGGACCCAGACCGGUUGCAUCCGGGUAGGGUCCAGUCAUGGCAAUACUCGGACCUGGUCCGGGGUUUUGCCAUCUCUAAGUGACUGGGUUCCUAUAAAGGGACUCUUAACCAUUACGAGAGUAUUCAGACUACAAAUCUUUGUAAUUAAAUUCAAAGGUGAAGAUCUAUGCCUAUUAUCUAUUUAACAACUAAUAUAUAGUUAUCUAUUCAUUUAAAUAUCAAGGGCUAUGCUAAUAAUUAAGUUGAAAUGUUGAUGAAAGUAGCCUUACAUCUGUGUAUUACUCAUCUACUCUAAUCUUUUUUUUUUUUAACUUAAUGUACUUUUUCUAAUGUUGUUUACUCUUCCCCCCCCCCCCCCCCCCCCCCCCCCCCCCCCCCCCCCCCCCCCCCCACCUCUCUGACAAAAUAAUAAGAGUUUAGACUUGAAAAUAUCUUAAAGAUCAAACAGUAAUUUACCUAAUUUUUUGAAGCUAACUGCCAAAGAUAUUCUAUUAGACAUUGAUAACGUAGUUAUAUACAUUUAAAAUGAUAUUUUUUUGUGGAAAGGGAUUAUCAUUCAACAUCUUAAAAUAUGAAAACAUAUGGAAGAUGAUUGUAAAUUGAUUGAAUGAAAAUAUUUCAAUGAAGAUGGUUGUAAAUUGUUAUCUUAUUGAAAGUUUUCUAAAUUUACUACUAUUUGAACUUAGCCCUCCUGGUACCGCCACCAUUUCUGCUUGAAAGUCAUUUAAGUUUGUGUUAGCUGCCUAAAGCUUUUUUUUUUUUUUUUUUCUUUUUCUUUUUGAAAAGAGCUGCCUAUAGCUUGAAUAACUAUUUUGCUCACGAAUUGUUGUCCAUUAUAGCAAUUUAUUUAAUUGAAAGUGCGGCUGCAAUAAUUUUCUUGAUGAACUAUUCCACAUGUUUGUUCUCAUGUGAGGCAGUUUUUCUAGAAGAUUGAUAUUUCUUUAAGUCUUUAACUAGCAAAGCAUACCAGUCCAAAGCUAGCCAAACCAUACCUGCUGGUCCAGGGCUUAAAUGGAGUACUUCUAAGCAUAAAACAGUAACAAAAACACAAUAUAUGCAUACAUACAUACACACAUACAUACAUACCAGCAAAUUCAAAAUAGAAAAAAGAGUGCAACUAUUCAAGAAAUUGGUUAUUGUAGACAAACACACAUACAAACACAUACCAGAAAAUUCAAAAAAUAGAGAAAGGAGGCCAACUAUUCAAGUUUGUAGACAAUAUUGCAAUCAUGGCAUUACUUAUAGCAAGUCCUUGAAAUCUACUAAACAAAACAAUGCUCUGUCUCAUGAAUCAAUGUUGAAUUACAGACGAAAAUGAAAGUCUAGCAGGUGUUGUUUCCCUCUUCGAUUUUGCCUACACAAGUAAAGGGAAAUAAGAAUCAUAAAUGAAAAUCAGCUUUUACAGUUGUAAUUAUUAGAUAGAUCUAGAACGAUCUUUCUUUGUUUCUCUGCUGCAAUGUGCUAUCCCACUCUGUUUUGCUACUAAAAUUGAGUCUAUGUUGAGACAUAAUUUCGACACUAGGAGCAACCGCAAUUAGUUUGGCAUUGCAUUACCCCUUGAAGGUUUUACAAUAGUUGUAAACUUACCGAGAAAGUGGAAAAAAAAGGGCAUAGGGAAUUAGGCAAGUAACUAAAGUAUGAGUCAUCAGAUAUGAUUAAAACUCACCCAAUUCAAUCCAUCAGAUUCCGUAAGGAUAUAACUGGAUGUCAUAACGCCACUCCAUAUCCUCGAAAGUCCGUAGCCUUUGCCUCAACUCUGUCUGGGGCCAGUGUAAGUCCAAUUUGCGCAAGCUCUUUAUGCACCAUAGCUCUUCUGGAAGCUUCCUCAAGUAAGCACAUGGGUUGACAAUUAAGCUUUCAAGUUUUGGCAUUGCUCCUGCCCCCAUCGUCCACUCAUCUAGCCAAUACAUUGACUUCAGGUGCAAAAUCUUAAGUUCCGGAAAGCCACCAGAGUCAUCACAGGCCAACUUUCUUCCUAAAUACGAGUUCUUCUUCAGUUUCAGCACUUGAAGGCGUGGAAGCUUUUCCAGCAUUGGCAUGGGAUCCUCCAUUAGCUCAGUAUUUGAUAAGCUCAGAUGGCUCAGACUUAAAGGAAAUUCGUAUUCAGACAGGGCAAUCCGUGAGAGCUUGCUCUCAUUCACUAGUUCCAAGCAUUCAAUUUUGUGGAGUUCGCAUACGCUUUUGGAAACCCCAGAGUGAUAGCAACUCAAAUCUCCAGAUAUCUGAAGAGUUUGAACAUUAGGUAGUCUGCACAAUAUAUCUGGCGUGCAACUACUAGGGUGUAAGGAUGAUAUGAAAAUAAGAUUUUUCAGAGAGCUGGAAUAAUUUUUUGGAGGUGCAGGCAGAGUGAUGGAACCAAAGUUCAGAUGCAUGAGUUUUUGCAUCUUCCAAAUAUCCUCUGGUGUUUGAUCUACGUAGCUAGAUGGCAUGUCUAGUGUUUGAAGGUUUGAAAGGGUGCAUAGCUGUGAAGGAAGACAUUUGAGCGAAGGGAUAUUCAAUUUCAAAUACUUCAAAUGGAAUAAAUUAUCUAAUCCGGGUGGAUAUUGGUCCAGGACUGCAGAACCCAUGUUCAAUACCCGAAGGUGUUUGAACAUUUUACAAAAAUUCUCGCAAUCUAUCGGAUUAAGAUGAUCGCUUUCUGAACUGUAAUUCAGAAAAGAUUGAUUAGUUCUUUCAAGUAAUGUUCGGCCGUCCCCUCACUGUUGUAUGGUAUGAAACCUUCAGCUACCCACAACUGAUAUAAUUGCCUCGUGGAUAUCUCAAUACUUGGAGGGAAGACAAACAAAUAGAUGCAGCAGACUUUCAAGUGAAAAGGUAACUCCAUCACAGAAUAAAUUUGUCUCCAAGCUGUCGGAAUCGCUUCGCCUUGAAAAUAAUUUUCUAAUGGCAUACGUCCGUAGUGUAGGACGAAAAAUUGCAAGCCUUCAUACUUUAUUCUAAUCAGUGGUCCUCCAACGAGCACUGAAUCAAGCCGAAUCUCCUCUGCGUUUUCCAUUUCCAACGAUGUAAGGAGUCUUGGAUCAGCGACCAAUAUCAAUACUCUGCUUCCAUUCUGAUUAUCAGGAAGAACUUCUUCAAGAUCAUCCCAUAUCUCACUCUCAUCGAAGAAGCACAAUAAAGUACUUAUUGUUUGUUAGGUAAUCUCGAAGACUAGAUUUCUUCAAUUGAUAACUUCACCGAGGCAUCACAGACUUGAUUAUGUCAUCCAAUAUCUUGCCAAAAUCGUAGGCUAUAGAAACCCUGACCCAAGCAAGACAGUCAAAAUAGAACUUGACAUGAUUAUUGUUAAAAGUAUCUGCAGCAAAAGCAGUCUUAUCGAAGCCACUGCUGUCGAAAAUUGCAACCACUGAUAUCGAUAGAUCAAACAACUUCUCUCUGCCCUUUUCAAAUUCACUGAUAUCGAGCCGAGGUUGUCCCUCAUUCAAUAGGCGAAUGAUUUUGUUACUUUGUUCACUGAUAUCAAAACCAUUGUCGCCGGGUGGAAGUUGUUGCAUCUGAUUUCUAAUAUCAAAGUGAAAAAUUGCUGCUUUCACUUUCGUUUUCACUGUUUUGCUGCUGCAUGAUGUUGAUAUUGACAUAAUUUUAUUUUAGUUUUUGGGGAUAAAAAUAUUUGUUGACAAAUAUUUUUAUAUUUUACAAUUUAUUAUACAUAUUUUAUCAUUUUAAAGUAAUUUUAAUAAUAAAUAGAAACAUAAUAUUACGAUAAAUAAAUUAAAGUUUAAAUUAUUUUAAAUAUUAUAAAAAUAAUUCUAAUAUUAUUAAUAGGAAGACAUUUUGUUAAUUUUAAAAUUUUUUAACCCAAAGGUUUAUUUAAAAUUUUUAUUAUAAAUAAAAAUAUAAAAUUAAAUAUCAUAAAGUGUAUGCACGUUGACUCUCAAUAUAUACAAACGACUCUCUGGUAUGAUUCAAAGCACCAGUAUAUGCAUCAUUUUAAUGAGAAAGGAUAUUCUAAGAUUAUUUAUGCAUCACCAUUUUUAGUUGUACCGGCUCUAAUGAAAUUGAAGGUGCAAUCAGCAGCUAAAAUGAAGCCAGAAAUUGAAGGUGCAUGAGGAAAUUUUCCUAGAAGAUUGAUAUUUCUUCGACUAGCAAACCAUACAAGUCAAAGCUAGCCAAACCAUAUCUGCAAGUCCGGGGCUUAAAUGGAGUACUUCUACGCAAAAAACAUUAAUCAAAACACAAUAUGAGCACACCCCCGUCAACCCACCCCCCCCCAACACACAUACCGGCAAAUUCAAAAUAGAAAAAGGAGUGCAACUAUUCAAGUUUGUAGACAAUAUUGCAACCAUGGGAUAUUAAAGAAUAUCUUUGAAAUCCGCUAAACAAAACAAUGCCCUGUCUCAUGAUUCGAUGCUCAAUUAGAAUUGAAAUUGAAAGUCCGGCUGUUGCUGUUUCUCUCUCCAGUUUUGCCUACAUAAGUAAAGGGAAAUAAGAAUCAUAAAUUAAAAUCUGCUUUUACAAUUCUUAUUAGAUAGAUAUAAAGGGAUCUUUCGUUGUUUCUCUGCUGCAAUGUGUUGCUAUCCCACUCUGAGAAAGAUCUUUCGUUGUUUCUCUAUGUUGAGACAUAAUUUUGACAUCAGAAGGUUUUAUGACCUCCUUGAAGGUUUUACGAUAAACAUAAAUCUACUGAGAAAGUGGGAAAAAACGAAAAUGCAUAUAAAAGUAUGAGUUAUCAGAUAUGAUUAAAACUCACCUAACAUCAGAUUCCAUAAGGAUAUAACUGGAUGUCAUACCGCCACUCCAUAUCCUUGAAAGUCCGUAGUCUUUGUCUCAACUCUGUCUGAGGCCAAUGUAAAUCUAAUUUGCGCAAGCUCUUUAUGCACCAUAGCUCUUCUGGAAGCUUUCUCAAGUAAGCACAUGGAUUGACAAUUAAGCUUUCAAGUUUGGGCAUUGCUCCAGCCCCCAUCGUCCACUCAUCUAGCCAAUACAUUGACUUCAGGUGCAAAACCUUAAGUUCCGGAAAGCCACCAGAGCCAACACAGGCCAUCUUUCUUCCUAAAUUCGAGUUCUGCUUCAGUUUCAGCACUUGAAGGUGUGGAAGCUUUUCCAGCGUUGGCAUGGGAUCCUCCAUUAGCUCAGUAUUCGAUAAGCUCAGAUGGGUCAGACUUGGGGGAAAUUGGUAUUCAGACAGGAACAUCCGUGAGCGCUUGCUUUCAUUCACCAGCUUCAAGCAUUCAAGUUUGUGCAGUUCGCAUAGGCUUUUGGAAAUCCCAGAUUGAUAAUAACUCAAAUCUCCGGAUAUUCUAAGAGUUUGAAUAUUUGGUAGUCUGCCCAAUAUAGCUGGAGUGCAACUACUAGGGUGUAAGGCUGAUAUGAAAAUGAGAUUCUUCAAAGAGCUGGAAUAAUUUUUUGGAGGUGCAGGGAGAGUGAUGCAACUGAAGUUUAGAUGCAUGAGUUUUUGCAUCAUCCAAAUAUUCUCUGGUGAAUGAUCUAUGUAGCUAGAUGGCAUUUCUAGUGUUUGAAGGUUUAAAAGGGUGUAUAGCAGCGAAGGAAGGCAUUUGAGCAAGGGGAUAUUCAAUUUCAAAUACUUCAAAAGGAAUAAAUUUUCUAAUCCGGGUGGAAAUUGGUCGAGAACUGCAGAACCCAAAUUCAAUACCCGAAGGUGUUUGAAAUUUUUACAAAAAUUCUCACAAUCUAUCAGAGCGAGACGAUCGCUUUCUGAACUGUGAUUCAGAAAAGAUUGGAGAUACAUGUCAGAAUAUUCUAAAGGAAAGAAGUGAAUCAGACCUUUCAAAAUGAAGCACCGUUUAACAUUUGCCAGUGAUUCCUCUUCCAUUUCAGGCAUCCAGACAAAUCCCGUCUUCUCUGCCACCAAACCCAAUGAAGUACAUACAAAACUUGGAACAUAACGCGCUUUAAUUGUGCCUCCGGCUCUUCUCUUACUCACUUGAAUGAAGCCGCGAUGGAUUAGUUCUUUCAAGUAGUGUUCGGCAGUUUCUUCACCGUUGUAUGGUAUGAAACCUUCAGCUACCCACAACUGAUAUAAUUGCAUCGUGGAUAUCUCAAUGCCUGGAGGGAAGACCAACAAAUAGAUGCAGCAGACUUUCAAGUGAAAAGGUAACUCCAUCACAGAAAAAAAUUGUCUCCAAACUGUCGGAAUCGCUUCGCCUUGAAGAUAAUUUUCUAAUGGCAUACUUCCGUAGUGUAGGAUGAAAAAUUGCCAGGCUUCAUGCUUUAAUCUGAUCAAUGGUCCUCCAAAGAGCACUGAAUCACGCCGAAUCUUCUCUCCAUUUUCCAUUUCCAACGACGCAAGGAGGUCUGGAUCAGUGACUGUUAUCAAUACUCUGCUUCCAUUCUCAUCAUCAGGAAGAAGUUCUUCGAGAUCACUCCAUAUCUCACUGUUAUCGAAGACAUCAUCAAGCACAAUAAAGUACUUCUUGUUUGUUAGGUAAUCUCGAAGAAUAGAUUUCUUCAAUUGAUAAUCUUCACCGAUAAUUACACUAACCCGAGAUUGAUGUCCUCCAGAAUUCCAAAAAUAUCUGCUGUUUCAACGUCUUCUUCAUCGCUUUCUUCUAAGUCCAACAGUUCCAAAAAAGGCAAAGAUAUUUUGGAGUCAUCGAAUUCUUCUCUAAUGAGUUGAAACAAAUGCCGAGCCAUGUCAGCUUCAUAGUUUCCCAGAAGAGUAGUAGCAAUAAUUUCGGACUCCGUAAGAAGGUUUUGAAAAAGUGGGGUUAAAUUUGUUGAAUCUGGCAGUGGCAACGUGCCUUCUACACCUGCUAACACCCUUUUCAACCUCUCACAAAACAGUCGGAGGUGGAAUUCCAGCAUAUCUCCUUCUCUCCGUAGCACUCAGAGGUAUAGUUGAAAGAUUAAACACCAUGGAAUAAUUUGAAAGGAAAAUGCCAAGAAACUGUGUAAGUGGCUAAAUUCCACAAAUAUUACAUUAUUGCUCAUUUUUUAACUCAAAAAAAUGGUACGCGUUCAUUUAGAGAAGAGUCCAAGCCCAGUAACAGGAAUAUUUUAUUUACUGGUGCUUAAAUCAAUUGUUUCUUUUUUAAUUUAAAGAUUUUUUCAUUAAAAAAUAUUUUAAUAUCAAAAUGCCUUCAAUGGCAUUACUGCCGCAAGCCCAGUAACAGGAUUAAUUAAAAAGUUCAGAAUUUUUGGGCAUGGAAACUGGAAAGAGUAUUAAACAUCAGAAAGCUAAGGUUUGUUCUGUUAAAGAAUUGAUAUUGACAUAAUAUUUUUUUUUUUGAGGAAAAAAAACAUAUUGGUUGACAAGCAAGGAAAUGUUUUUGUAUUUUACAAUCUGUUAUUAAAUAUUUUAUCAUAUUAAAGUAAUUUUAAUAACAAAUAGAAACAUAAUAUUACAAUAAAUAAAUUAAAGUUUAAAUUAUUUUGAAUAUUAUAAAAAAUAAUGUUAAUAUUAUUAAUAGGAAGACAUUUUGUUAAUUUUAAAAUCUUUUUAAUCCUAAGGUUUAUUUAAAAUCUCUAUAAUAAAUCCAAAUAUAAGAUUAAAAUAAAAAUCAUAAUUUGAAAAUUUUAAUAUUAUUUUAAAUGUUAAAUAUACUUUAAUGUUAUUAGCCUACUACGUAGAUUUUAUUAUUUAUAUUAUAUUCGUAUUGAUUAAAAUUUUUUAAAGUCAAUUUUUUAGUUAGUACAUUCAAGAGGUAUCAUAGUUAAAGAAAAGAUUUUGGUGCAACUGUUUUAAAAUUUCAGAGUGUAAAUGAUAAUUUUUUUUAAGUUUUAAGGAAGUAGGUAUUAUUUUUCCGACAAUUUAUUUUAUUUUGAGGGAAAUCCGAUGAGAAAUAUCAUCAGAGAACAUUAAUUUAACAUUCUUUAUCUUUGUGAAAAAAGUGGAAACCAAGAACUAUUCAAAAUUUUUUUUUUUUUGUAAUUCAAAAAAUGCAUUCACCAAACAAGCUUAUCUUAAUUUUCCCACUUUAUUCAUUUUCGAUGCUUUUCAAAAGAGGUUCCUUUAAUCCAUCUCCAUCCCACAUCUACACUAUCAAACAAGUUGAUGGAAAUUGGAACACAUUAAGUUAUGUUCAUUACUGGUCUUUGUCUUUCUAUGAGCCACUUAUUUUGAGCAUUAGCGAUCUUAUAAGGAAUCAUGCCUUUUCAGGAUCGUUUUCUUUCAUUUCCUUAUUGUAGUAGUUAAUUAAAUAAAGAACGAACAGCUGAACUUGGUCUUUUUGGAGGAAGAACAAGGUUUCCAAUACUAGAGGAACUUUGAAGAAAAUUAAUUGGAAGCCUUUAUUCAUCUUUGAAGAAAAUUACCACACUUUAAAUCCUGGAUAAAAAAAAUUUUAUUCAUCUUCGGACUAUGAAUUUAUAAAAUAAUAUUGUUAGGACUAAGAAAAAAUAUUAUUUUAGAUAAGUUAUUUAUUUAUUAUUGAAUGAAAAAUUUAUCAUGAUAAAUAAAUAUUUAUUAAUUUAAAGAGAGAUUUUUUUUUGGUUUUAAGAAGAGUUUUUUUGGUACAUGCACACAUUAAUAAAGAAACACAAAAAGUGCUUCCUCAAGUCAAUAGUAUUUGCUUUAAUCGCUAAGGUGCAUAAUAAUGUAGCUUAGUUAGGAAAUUUGUAAUUAUAUUAUGGCUCUAUUUGGUAUAACUUUUUAAUUAGAACUUAUUUAAGGAGAAUUUUUAUUAGUAGAGUUUUUAUAAAUAGAGAUUUUACUAAAAAAAAAUUAUAGUUAUUUAGUUGUCAAUGACCAAAUUGAUUAACUAUUGUUCUUUUUGUUAACAUGUGUUUGUUUUACUUAAUAAUAAAAGUUUAUUUUACAAUUACACCGGUGUCAAAUCAGCAGAGCACCGGCAAGAGUUUUCGAUUGUUGCAAUUUGCAAUGCACACGGUGAGGGAAAAUGAGAAUCUUGUUUAAUUGUGAAUAAUGACAAACCUAAUCCUUUCAUUAGGAGUAAAUUAAUAAUCGUUUGUUAUAAUUGAAUAUGUAUAAAGAAAGGAAAAUUAUAUUCAUAGAUUUGACUUAUUUUUUGUUUAACGUAACUAAUCAUUCAACCAUCUUCAUUUGCCUCUGGCCAAUGCCCUUGUAGAUUAGUUGAAGCGUUAAUUACAUAAUUCAGAUAAUUACAACGUCCUUUUCGCUAAUUAAUUAUGAUUAUGUACAUUUUCAUAUAGCAAGUGGCAUUGUAGAUCUAAACUACGUUGCUAUUUCAAUACGUUAAUUAAGUGAUUCUCCUCAUUGUCAUCAGCGUUAUAAACAGGAAUUGUGCAAACAGUACACAAUGCUGCGGCAAGGCGUGGGUGGCUAGAGUUUUGCAACCACCCUCGAGAUCCUGUGCUGCCAGUAGUAAAAGAAUUUUACACCAAUUUGGUAAGCCUUGGUCAGCACAACAUUUGGAUAAGAAACUCACUUGUUCCAUUAGACUCUCGAGUUAUAAAUUUUUUUUAUAAUUUACCUGCCGAAAUUAAUUGUGAGUAUGCCAAGUUGCUUGACAAAUUGACCUCGCAACAAUGGAACAUAAUUUUCACGACACUUACAGUAGAGGGUGCAUCGUGGGCUAAUGAGGAGGAGCGUGUAAUUAACAGGAUAGAUUUAAAACUCAUUGCUAAGGUGUGGGUGAAAUUUCUGAAAUCUAGGCUUAUGCCAACCACCCACACCACUACUGUUUCACAGGAAAGGUUGGUGUUGUUAUAUGCUAUUGUUAGAGGGCUUCCCAUAGAUGUGGGAAGUAUUAUCGAAAAAGAAAUUCGAGAUUGUGCCAUGAAAAACCACAAGGCUGCUGCCUUGUUAUUUCCUUCACUCAUAACCAGCAUAUGUGUAGUAUCAGGUGUUCAUCUUGAUGCAAAGGAUGAAAUUUGUAAUUAUAUUAUGGCUCCAUUUCGUAUAACUUUUUAAUUCGAACUUAUUUAAGGAGAAUUUUUAUUAGUAGAGUUUUUUAUAAAUAGAGAUUUUACUAAAAAAAAAUUAUAAUUAUUUAGUUGUCAAUGUCGAAAUUGAUGAACUAUUGUUCUUUUUGUUAACAUGUGUUUGUUUUACUUAAUAAUAAAAGUUAAGUUCACAAUUACACCGGUGUCAAAUCAGCAGAGCAUUUUUCCAGCCAGUCACAUUAUACAUUUUUGCAACUUGCAAUGCAAGCGAUGAGAGAAAAUGAGAAUCUUGUUUAAUUGUCAAUAAUGACAAACCUAAUCGUUUCAUUAGGUGUAAUUGCAUAAUCGUUUGUUAUAAUUGACUCUGUAUAAAGAAAGGAAAAUUAUAUUCGUAGAUUCGACUUUUUUUUUUUUAAGGUAAUUAAUCAUUCAACCAUCUUCAUUUGCCCCUGGCCACUGCCCUUGUAGAUUAGUUGAAGCGUUAAUUACUUAAUUCAGAUAAUUACAACGUCCUUUUCGCUAAUUAAUUAUGAUUAUAUACGUUUUCAUAUAGCAAGUGGCAUUGUAGAUCUAAAUUAUGUUGCUAUUUCAAUACGUUAAUUAAGUGAUUCUCCUCAUUGUCAUUAAGUGGAAAAUAGCUCAAUUGUUUCCCUGCAUCGAUUUUCAUUGGUAAGUGAUUUCUUAUGAUAUUCGUUUGAGCUUUCCUUAUUAAAAAAGCUUGAGCCUUGAUCACCUAAUACUGAUAUCAAUUUACUUGUGAACGAUUUUGUAAUGAAAUUAGGAGUUAAAUAUACAAGAUUUUUACCUGAUGAAUUUUGAUUUUUUUAAUUUUUUGAUGUAGUCAAUUUGCGAAUUUUAUAUAUUUCAUAUUCAACGGAAUUUGGGCACGGAAAGUUUGGAUUCUAAUAUUUAUAGAGUAAUGAUACAGCCACAAACUCUUGUACAAAAUUGAUGUGGCGUUAAUUCAUUAGUUGAAUUAAAUAUCUUUUUGCCCACAUGAUUUUUUUUUUUAUUUUUUUUUUUCAUUCAAUCAAUGAAUUAAUGCCACAUCAGUUUGUACAAAAUAAGUUUGUACAAGAGUUUGUGGUUAUAUCAUUAUAUUUAUAUAUUUAGCUUUAAUCAGUUUGACUUUAGCAAUCUUUUUCCCUCAUCAUUAAGGGAUUCAGAAUUAGAGAAACGCUAGGAAGAGGAAGAAAAUAACUUUGGAAAUAAGUAAGAGGGAAAAAAUUAUGAAAUUUUGAAUUAUUUUUUGUAAAGUAUGUUGCGUUUACUAAACUUGAAUUAGAAUGAGCUGAAAUCAGAAUGAAUAGGAAUGCGAAUGUGCUGAAAUCGGAAUAGGUAAUGAGAAUAAGAAUAAGUUGUUUACUUGAACUGUAAAAAUCAAAAUCGAAAUGAGCUGAAUUGCAAUUACUUUGUCUUGGAAGCGGAAUUAGAAUCGGAAUGAGUUAGAUUGUAACAAAUUACUAAAAAGUACUUAAUGAAUUAUUGUCAUAAUUAUUAUUUUAUAUUUUAAUUAUAGUGAUUAUUUAUUCAAAAAUUAUUAUUAUUAAUUAUUUUCAAUAAUAUAUUAAUAUGUUAAUUAAUUUUAAAAAUUAUUAAUUAAUUAAUUAUAAUAAUAUACUAAUUAAUUAUAAUAAUUAUAAAAAUAUAUUAAUAAUAAAAUUACUAAUUUAAUUAUAAUAAUAUAUGAAUUAAUUAUAAUAAUUAUAUUAGUAAUUAUUAUAAUAGUAUAUUAAUUAAUUAUAAUAAUAAAAAUAUAUUAAUUAUGUGAUUAUUUAUUCAAAAAUUAUAAUUAUUAAUAAUUAUUGUUAAUAAUGUAUCAAUAUAUUACUUAAUUAUAAUAAUAUAUUAAUUAAGUAUAAAUGAGGACAAAGGGGGUAUUUUUAAUUUCACGUAGGGGCAAAAUGGUCAAUUCUAGUAAUGGGAGACUCACUCCGACCCUCUCCCUUGGGAAUGAGUCUCCCAUUCCUCAUUCCCAAAUUGUGGUGGGCCCCAUAAUUUUGACUCUGAUUUUUGACUCAAUUUUGCGAAGUAAACGCUACCAAUGAUUCUGAUUUCGGAUUCUGAUUCACUUAUCCGAGAAGUAAAAGCAACAUAAAUGUGUAUGAAUAAUUGAUACCUAUGAAUAGUUUUGGGAGUUUUAGUUAGGAGUCGUUUAUUGAAGAUGUUUAGCAAUUAAAGAUCUCUGUCUCAGCAGUUUUCCCAAUCAAAAUCAAGAAGCAAAACAACUUGCCAUUUUUCUACUUGAUAAUUAAUUGAAAUUUAAGAAAAUACAAUGGCAUUUCAAUUAGAAAUGGUAAUUGUUUAUCUUUUUUCAUUGAUCAAAUUCUAAUCGUGAUCCAAUAGUUAUGGAUGAAGGAAAUAUUAUGAGAGGCGAUAGGCCAAGUGAAGACGUACCAGCAAAUUCAAAAUAGUCGGGAGGUGGACGUCCAGCAUAUCUCCUCUCUGUAGCACCCAGAUGUAUUGUUAUUUGCUCCAAGAAAUGUUAAAAGGAUUGGCCCUAUCUCAAUGUGGUUAGUGGUGAAAAAUUAAACACCAUGGAAGGAUUUGCAAGGAAUAUGCCAAGAAACUGGCUAAGUUCCACAAAUAUGGCAUUAUUGCUCUUUUUUUUUAAAGAAAAAUUAUACACGUUAAUUUAGCAAAAAGUCUAAGACACAUGCCUUUUGAAAAGAACAGCUAUUACCAUGACACAAUCGAUGCGGCUGAAACCAAAAUUUUCUUUUCUUAAUGUAAAGAUUUUUUUUAAAUAGAUUUUAAUAUCAAAAUGCCCUUCGAUGUUAUUACUGUCACAAGCCCUGUAACAGGAGUAAUAAAAAAUUUUAGAAUUUUUGGGCAUGAAAAAAGUAGUAUUAAGCAUCAGCAAGCAAAGGUUGUUCUGUUAAAGAAUUGAUAUUUUCGUGAUUUUAUUUUGGUUAUCGAGAAAAAAAAAUAUAUAUUUGUUGACAAGUAAGAAAAUAUUAUUAUAUUUUACAAUCUAUUAUACAUAUUUUAUUAUAUUAAAUAAUACUAAAUAGAAACAUAAAAUUAGAAUAAAAUAAAUUAAAAUUAAAAUUAUUUUGAAUAUUAUGUAAAAAAUAAUGUUAAUAUCAUUGUUACUUCUAAAAUAUAUUUAGCCCAAAGAUUUAUUUAAAAUUUUAUAAUAAAUAAAAAUAUAAAAAUAAAUUAAAUAUCAUAGUUUAAAAUCUUAAUAUUAUUUUAAAUAUUAAAAAUACUUUAAUGUUAUUAUUCUACUACACAUGUUAUAUUAUUUAUAUUAUAUUUGUAUUAAUUAAAAAUUUUAAAGUCAACUUUCUAGUAACUAUAUUCAAAGGUAUUAUGGUUAAAUAAAGGUCUUAGUGUUUCUUUUUCAAAAUUUGAGGGUCUACAUGAUAAUUUUUCCAAAUCCUAAGGUAUAGGUGUCCUUUUUGUCAAUAAUUUGAGAGAAUACGAUGAGAAAUAAGAUCAGAGAAAUGUCAAUUUAAUGUUCUCUAGCUUAAUGAAAAAAAAAAUGGAAACCAAGAACUAUUCAAUUUUGUAUUUUUUGUUUGUAAUUCAAAAAAUCCAUCCACCAAACAAGUUUCACGCAUUUAUGUUGUCAUAAAACAAAAAAACAGUUUGUGAAAAAAUGGCACCAAACAUACCCUUAAUGUCCCACAUGAUUUCUUAUGAAGCCCAUAUUAGAUAUAUUUAUACAUUUUACUGCAUUUAGGACAUAUUUGAUAGCCUGCAUUAUAUAGGAUAAAAACACAAUUUUGUAUUAAAUUAAUGCACACUCACGUUUGGCGCUAAAAGUAACUCCAGCCGCAUUGCAUUAAUGGGCUGCUAAUGCGGCAAUUGCCGCACUAGCUUGCCUCUUUUUCUUUUUAAUUUUAUUUAUAAUAAUAAUAAUAAUAAUAAUAAUAAUAAUAAUAAUAAUAAUAAUAACAUAAUAUAACUUUUUAUUUUAAUAUAAUAUUAUAUAAUAUUAAGUAUAAUUUUUAUUUUUACAUUAUAAUUAUUGAUAUAAAUUAAUAAAUGUAUUAUUUAUUAUUCAAUAAUAUUAUAUUAUAUAUUUUUAUUUUUACAUUAUAAUUUAUUAGUAAAUUUAUAAUUUAAUAUAAUUAAUAAUAAUAGAAAAUAUCAUUACAUGUACUACAAAACUCUUACUUUGAUUAUUUAACACAAUUUAUUUUAUUCGUGAAUAUGUUAUAACAAUUGUAUCACUUUAUUAUUUUGUUAUUAUUUUGUGGUAUGUAUAAAUUUUUAUUCUAUUAUCCUAGGAUGACUUUGAACUAAUGUUAUAGGUUUUAACUAUUUAUUUAUGUUGUUAUAUUAUUAGAGAUUAUUUGAUUAAAUUAUUUGCUUCGAUCUUUAUUUUGCAGGUCAUAUAUUUAGAAAUUGCUGAAAAAUAAAUGUUAUACUUCAAAAAAUUUAAGGCUAUAAGCUCGAUCUUUAUGAAGAAUUGUGAUAUUUUUUAACAUUUACACCAAAAAAAAUUGUUAAAUUUCUAAAAUUUAAGACUUCUAUAUUUAGUAUUUUUCUAAUUACUAAUAAGUAUUAUUUUCUAAAUAUAUAAUUUAAAUUAAUCACAAAAAAUUAAUACAGUACAGUGCAAUAUCAAAUAUAGUAUAAUAAAAAUUAUACAGUAUAAUGUAACACCAAAUAUUAUAUAAUAUUAUUAUAAUAUAGUACUAAUAUAAUAUAAUAUAAUACAAUAUAGUGUGCCAAACGCACCCUUAGAGUGUGUUUGGAACAUGGGAUUAUAGGGUAUUAAAACACUAUUCUUAUUAGCUUAAUACCAAUAUCAUGUUUGGAAAGAAAUUUUAAGGGAUUAAAGGGGGGUGAGCUAAUGCCAUAACUGCGGCAGUAGUGUCUUGGUUUUUUUUUUUAAAUAAUAAUAAAAAAUAUAAAUUUCUAAUUUUAUGUAAUAUUAUAUAAUAUUAAUUUUGAUUUUCUUUGAUCUUUACAUUAUAAUUAUUAAUAUAAGUUAAUACAUUUGUAAUUUAUUAUUCAUAUUUUAAUUUUUAUUAUAUUAAAAAUAUAACUAAAUAAUUUAAUUUUAAUUAUAUAAUAAUUAAUGUAUAAAAUUGAUUAAUAUUUAAUAAGUUAAUACAACUAGUAAUAAGUGCUUAAAUAAUACAUAAAAAUAAAAAUAUAACAUAAUAUUACAUUAUUUAAUUAUAUUACAAUAACUAAUAUAUAAAAAUUGAUUAUUAUUUAACAAUUUAAUAUAGCUAAUAAUAGAUACUUAAAUAAUAAUUUAAUAUAACUAAUAAUGAAUAUAUUUAAAUAAUAUUAAUUUAAAAUUAAUACCAAUAUAUAUAAUAAUAUAAAAUAUUAUUACAUGUACUGUAGUAUUCUUACUUGGAUUAUUUAGCGCAAUUUAUUUUAUUAGUGAAUAUGUUACAACUAUUGUAUCACUUUAUUAUUUAAAUUAAUCAAAAAAAUUAAUACAGUACAAGAUAAUACUAAAUAUUGUACAACAUUAUUAAAAUACAGUAUUAAUUCAAUACAAUAUAAGACAAUAUAUCUAUAUUAAAAUAAAAUAAUAUAAUUUAAUAUAAUACAAUAUGUCAAACGCACCCCGUGUAUUUUAAUUUCAAAAGAAGUUGGUCCUUCCUUUAUUUAUAAAAGAUAACUUUAUUUUCAGAUUACCACUAAACUCUGAAGUAGAAUUAGUGUAAUGUUAAGAGAGAGUGACACAGUUUUCCAUUACCAUCUAUGAAAAUAGAAAGAUAUGGAUCAGUGUAUUUAAGAGUUAUCGUGAAAAUCAUACAAUUCAAUUCCCUGACACAUAUAUUUAUGAGCAUAUGCCAAAAGAAUAAAUAGAUAGAAAGUAAAUUUACAAUCCUCACUUCCUCACAAUUGUUAAAAUGAAGACGCAUUACAACUGUGAACUGUCACUACUUUAUCCUUUUUUAUUUUUUAUUUUUUAUUUUUAGUUAUAGUGUGAUGGAGACAGUGAACAUCAAGGAUGAGAAUAAAAGUUAAAGAUGACCCACCCACUUUCUUUUUAAAGUGCUCUGCUGAAAGCCAAAGUUCCUCUGGCUAAUUAAUUUAGAUGUGAAGAGAGAAUAACGAUAUGUUAGAUUAUUUGGUAGACUAUAGACCUAAAAGUUCCUUCUGAAAUUAGAAAUACAUUUUAUAUGCUUUAAUUAUGAUUAUUUGGUAGACUAUAGACCUAAAAGACAUGUUAGAUUAUAAAAUAGUGCGAUUAAAAAAAAAAGAGUAUUUGUCACGUCAAAUAACAAUUGGUAACUAAAAUCCAAAAUAUUUCAGUUGUUAAAAUCAAAUAAAAAAAAAGAAGGUAAGAGUGAUGCAGAAACACAAUAUUAGCUUAUCUUGAUUUUCCCACUUUAUUCAUUCUCGAUGCUUUUCAAAAGAUAUUCUUCUACUCCUUCUGGUGUCUGCAGCCCCUUGUCACGGGAUGAGAGGUUUCGAGCCCGUGCGGCACUCUCACAUCCCAUACUACGAGAGUAAACCUAGUGGAAGUGGCACAAUAUCGACUAGUUUCGCCCUGCCUUGGGCUCAUCAGGAGAACGGCUCCAGUUCCCAACCAGUGUGUGUAGGGCUCUGAUACCAAAUUGAAGUUUAACCAAGCUAUUUAUGCUUGUUUGGUUGCAGAGAAAAUGAAGGAAAAUUCAAUGAGUAAUAAGAGAAACUAUAAGAGAAAUGGAUCGAAUCUUAUUCAAUGAAUUAUGAAUACAGAGGUUGACCUUAUAUACUAAGAUCCAGAACCUUCUGUAUUGCUCACACACGUGUUGAGAGUGAGCUGUGAUUAACAAACUUCUCAGCUCUAUAACAAACUUACAAACUAACAAUAACAGCCUUGCUUACUCAGCUACCACAUCAGCAGAAUCAUUACAAAAAUAUUCUUUAUAUUUAUAACUCUAACAUCCCCCCUCAAGCUUGCUGCGCAAAUAAGCAAACUGAUCAAAACAGAGGGGCUUAGUAAGAACAUCUGCUAAUUGAUCUGAACUGGGAACAUAAGUGACUGAAAGCUGCUGUUGAGCAAUAUGCUCUCUGAGAAAAUGAAGAUCAAGCUCAAUAUGUUUAGUACGAGCAUGAUAUUUAGGAUUACUGGCCAAAGCUUCAGCACUCUUGUUAUCACAAUGCAGAAGAGGAAUCUGAUCAAAAGAUAUGUUAAGCUCUUGAAAUAAGUAUGUAAUCCAGAGAACUUCAGAGGUAGCCAUAGCAAGAGCUCUAUACUCUGACUCAGCUGAUGAUCUGGACACAAUGGGCUGCUUCUUAGAGGACCAAGAGAUGAGAUUGGAACCUAAAAACACACAAUAACCUCCAACAGAUCUGCGAUCAUCAGGAUAUGCUCCCCAAUCAGCAUCAGAGUAGGCAGUUAACUUUAAAGAACCAGAACUGAAAAACUGAAGACCAUAAUCAGCUGUACUUUGAAGAUACCGUAACACCCUCUUGCAAGUUUGCCAAUGAAGAAUGGUGGGAGCUGAUAAAAACUGACUAAGCUUGUUGACUGUGAAAGCUAAGUCUGGUCGAGUUAACAGAACAUAUUGAAGAGAUCUCAUAAUGCUUCUGUAUAAGGAUGGAUUUUCAAAUGCAGCACCUGUAUCCUUGUGCAGCUUCUCAGAAGUACUCAUAGGUGUAACACAACCUUUACUGUCCAGCAUAUUUGCCCUUUUAAGAAUAUCACCAAUGUACUUAGUUUGAGAUAGAUGAAUACCUUGAACAGAUGGAGUAACUUCAAUACCAAGAAAGUAAUGAAAAUUCCCCAGCUCCUUCAAGGAAAACUCAGAAUGUAAUUGCUGAAUAACAUUUCCUAUGAGCUUUGAAUCUGAACCCGUGACUAAAAUAUCAUCCACAUAAAUGAGAAUGAGCAAGAUAUCUUUCCCUGCAUGCUUAAUGAACAGAGAAGUGUCAGAUUUGGAGACCUGAAAACCCCAUUAAAUUAAUGACUCCUUUAAUCAAUCAUACCAGGCUCUUGGAGCCUGUUUGAGACCAUAUAAGGCCUUGUUAAGCUUACAAACAUAAGAAGGGUAAGUGGAAUCAACAAACCCUUGUGGUUGAUGCAUGUACACAUCUUCAGUAAGAAUGCCAUUGAGGAAAGCAUUGUUUACAUCCAGCUGCUUAAUAGGCCAGUGAUGCAUGACUGCUAGGCUUAAAAUGAUUCUGACAGUACAAGGCUUGAUCACAGGGCUAAAUGUCUCAAAGAAAUCAACCCCAUAAGUUUGAUGAUAUCCCUUGGCAACCAACCGAGCUUUAUACCGAGAGAUACUGCCAUCAGCAUUAUACUUAACUCUGUAAACCCACUUGUUGCCAACAAUUUUCCCAGCUGAUUCAGGAGGCACUAAAGUCCAGGUUUGAUUUCUUUGGAGAGCUUCAAAUUCUUCAUUCAUAGCUGAGUACCACCUAGGAUCUGUCAAUGCUGCUUUGACAUUGGAUGGUUCAAGGUCUUGAGAAACAGCUAAGUAGGUUUUGGGUUUGUAGAUACCAGCUUUAGAUCUGGUAACCAUAGGAUGAGUAGAGAUUACUGGUGGAGAAGAAUUUGAAGAUCUUGAGGGUUGAUCUAGAGAUUGUGAAUGAACAGAAUGUGGCAAGGAAUGAGACUCUGAUGCAGGAGACAGAGCAGGACUAGAGACUGCAGCUGAUGGCUCUUCAUUGCUACUGUGACUAAGAACAGGUGUUUGAGGAAGAAAGAAAUGAACUGAAGAUGGAGUGGAGGUAGCAGAAUGAGAUAAGGUGUUGGACUUGUUUUUCAAAAACAGUUCAGAAUACAGAAAUUCCAGUUCAUUGAAAGUAACAUGUCUAGCAACAAAGACUUUCCCAGUUCGAUCAAGACACUUGUAGCCCUUAUAAAUGGGGCUAUAACCAAUGAAGACACACUUUUGAGUAUGAAAAUCUAGCUUGUGAUGAUGAUAAGGUUGAAGAAAAGGAAAACAAGAACAGCCAAACACUUUAGGAAACUUGUAAUCUGGAAGCUGAUUGUAUAGUUUUUGAAAAGGAGAUAAAUUAUUUAGAACAUGUGUUGGCAUUCUAUUCACUAAGUAAGUGGCUGUAUGAAAAGCUUCCCACCAAAAAGAGAGAGGUAAAUGAGCUUGAGCUAAGAGUGUGAGUCCAGUUUCAACAACAUGCCUAUGCUUCCUUUCCACCACACCAUUUUGAUGGUGAGUGUGGGGGCAACUAUAUCUAAAUUGAAUACCCUCUUGUUGGAGAAAUGAUCUGAAGGCUAUAAACUCACCCCCCAUAUCAGUUUGUAGUGUUUGGAUGGAUAAAGAAAACUAUUUUUCGACAAGAGACUUGAAAUAUUUGAAGGUGUCAAAUGCCUCAGAUUUGAGUGUGAGUGGAAAUACCCAACAAUAUCUUGUGAAAUCAUCAACAAAAGAAAUAUAGUACUUGUAUCCAUCCAUAGACAACACAGAAGCUGGACCCCAUAAGUCAGCAUAUAAGAGUUGGAGAGGAAAUUUUGAUUUUAUAUCAGUGACUGGAAAAUGGAAUUGAUGUAAUUUGCCAUAUUGACAAGCAUCACAAAAAUUAAGAGAUUGAGAAUAUGUUGAAUGCAUAGGAAGACUUUUCAUUAUUGUUUGCAAGACAUGUUUGGUUGGAUGACCAAACCUAUUGUGUAGCAACUGCAUAGACUCACUACUGGAAGCUAGAAAACUGACAGAAUUCUCAUUAUUGGAAUUGAUCAAAUUUGAACAGACAUUUGUUUGGUGAUUCAACUCUUUCAAAGAGUGUACAUUCUCUUUAUUUGAAAAAACAGACAACAUUGAACUAGGUUUGAGACCCAAGGCUUUAGAAUCAGAAAAAGGUGUAUCUUGAGUCAGUAGCUUAAAGAGACCAUCCUCAGCAAUCCCCUGUGCCAGCAAAGUUCCUUGCAUCUUGUCCUUAAUGAAACAAAGAUUAGAAACAAAUUUAAUGAUUAUAUGAUUGUCAGAGAGAAGUUUAGAUAAGCUAAUCAGAUUCUUGGUAAUUUUGGGAACACAUAGAACAUUGGAAAGGUUUAAUUGAUUACCAAAGGAUGUAAAGAGACAUAUAUUGCCUAUGGAAGUAAUUCUAAGACCUUGUCCAUUACCAACUAACAGCAACUGAGAUCCAAGAUAAGGUUUACCUUCAGCUAGGUUCUCCAUAUUGUUUGUGAGAUGAUGUGUUGCUCCACUAUCCAGAUACCAUCCUUGGUCAGCAACUCCUUCUGAUGUAGCCAUGAAGGCAGCUCUGGAAGUUUGAUUCUGAUCUGAAAAAUUUCCUUGCACAGAAAAAUUAGGAACAAAAUUUCUAUUAAAUAUGUCUUUGCAAUCAGCUGCAGUAUGAUUGUGCUUGAAACAAAUCUGACAAACAAUAUUUCCUCUGCCUCCUCCUCUUCCAAAUCCAUUAUAGCCACCAGGAAAUCUACCAGAAAAAUUUCCAGCAGCACCAGCAAAAUUGCCUCUACCCUGAUUUCCAUUCCAGUUAUUCCAAUUAUUAUUCCAUUGUCCUCUACCUGAAUUUUGUCCCCUUCCUGGAUUGAAACCUCCUCUAUUUGUAAAGUUUCCAUUCCAGUUAUGAAAUCCAGGUUUGUUUCCAGUGUUUCCAUUCCAGCCUCCUUGACUAUCAUUAUUCAAGCCUCCCUGAUUGUUAACUUUCUUUUGAUUAUUCCCAGCCUGAGCUAAGUUAGCAGCAUAGUUCUGUUUCACUUCCUUGAAAGAAUUAGAUUGAUUGCUUUCUAAACGUGCCUCAUGUGUCAACAACAUUGAAUAAGCCUCAUUAAUACUCAUUUUUAGAACAUUUGCUUCAAUAUACACAACUACUGGAUAAUAAGGCUGACCUAAUCCAGAGAUGAGAUGAGUUAUAAAAUCCAAAGAACUAACAGGACUUCCAGCAAUAGCAAGCUCAUCUAUAACUGACUUCAACUUACUAAAAUAUUCUGUCAUAGUCAUAGAUCAUUUCUUUAGAUUAUUCAACAUCAUUUUGAGAUGAACUUUCUUAGCAGCAGUUUCAGAUCCAAAUUGUUGCUCUAAACUAGACCACAGUUCAUAAGAGGUUUUAGAGUUUACCACAAGGCUGAGGAUUUCAAUGUUGAUAGAGGAUAGCAGCCAGCUCAGCAGCAUCUGAUCUUGCUUUCUCCACACAUGAAACUCAGGAUUCUCUUGUGAAGCAACAGUUGAACUUGCAGAAGUAUUGAACAUAGCAUCUGAAUUUCCUUGAGUGCUUGAGAGAAAUUGAUCUGGACAGAUUCUGGAUCCAUCAAGCAAACUCUCAAGCUCAUUUGCUCGAACUGAGGAUAGAAUUUGAGAUUUCCAGAUUAAGUAAUUUGAUCGAUCAAGUUUUAUUGGAGUUGUAAAAGUAAAGGUUGUUGCUGAAGAAGAGAUGUUUGUGGUCAAGCUUGAUAAUGCCAUGAGAUUAGACUAGACGUGGCUCUGAUACCAAAUUGAAGUUUAACCAAGCUAUUUAUGCUUGUUUGGUUGCAGAGAAAAUGAAGGAAAAUUCAAUGAGUAAUACGAGAAACUAUAAGAAAAAUAGAUCGAAUCUUAUUCAAUGAAUUAUGAAUACAGAGGUUGACCUUAUAUACUAAGAUCUAGAACCUUCUGUAUUGCUCACACACGUGUUGAGAGUGAGCUGUGAUUAACAAACUUCUCAGCUCUAUAACAAACUUACAAACUAACAAUAACAGCCUUGCUUACUCAGUUGCCACAUCAGCAGAAUCAUUACAAAAAUAUUCUUUAUAUUUAUAACUCUAACACGCUUAGUCUCCUCUUCAACGUUAAGUCCUCGACUAGCAACAAGCUCCCCAAACUCAACUGGGUUGGCCUGCCUGAACUCCAAGAAAUCUAGGAUCAUUGUAUUCCCCACACACACGCCCCUGAAGCACGUCUCCUACAAUUAGCACAACUAUUAUCGAUGCAAGUGUACAAGCACAUAUCUUCGGCAUCACAAUUGCAGUCCGUGACACCCUGCUCUUCUUAUAAAACUCCACCCCAAAUCUACACUACAAACAAGUUGAUUGAAAUUAAACAAUUGCUUUUUCAAGUGGACCCAUUGAGUCGUGGUCAUUACUCAUCAUUGUCUAUUUUUUCUAUGAGCCAUUUAUUUUGAGCAAUAGUGAGCUUCUCUGAACUACUCCAAUUAUUGAUGUAACUCCAGUGGCUGCAUCCAUAGUUGAAUAUAUGACAGUAUUAGCUCUUAUGUGAGAAUAUAGGGGGAUCUUUCUUUGUUUCUUUACGUAGCUAGAUGGCAUGUCCAGUGUUUGAAGGUUUGAAAGGGUGCAUAGCGGUGAAGGAAGACAUUUGAGCGAAGGGAUAUUCAAUUUCAAAUACUUCAAAUGGAAUAAAUUAUCUAAUCCGGGUGGAUAUUGGUCCAGGACUGCAGAAUCCAUGUUCAAUACCCGAAGGUGUUUGAACAUUUUACAAAAAUUCUCGCAAUCUAUCGGAUUAAGAUGAUCGCUUUCUGAACUGUGAUUCAGAAAAGAUUGGAGAUACAUGUCCGAAUGUUUCAAAGAAAAGAAUUCAAUCGGAUCAUCGAAAAUGAUGUACCGUUUGGUAUUUGCCAAUGAUUCCUCUUCGAAGUCAGGCGUCCGGACAAAUCCCAUCAUUGCUGCCGUCCCAACUAACGCAGCAUAUGCAAAAGUUGGAACAUAACACGCCUUAAUUGUGCCUCCGGCUCUUCUCUUAUUCACUUGAAUGAAGCCACGAUCGAUUAGUUCGUUCAAGUAAUGCUCGGCAGUUUCCUCACUGUUGUAUGGUAUGAAACCUUCAGCUACCCACAACUGAUAUAAUUGCCUGGUAGAUAUCUCAAUGCCUGGAUGGAACACACACAAAUAGAGGCAGCAGAUUUUCAGGUGAGCAGAUAACUCCAACACAGAAUACAUUCGACUCCAAGUUGUCAGAAACGCUUUUUCUCCCGUGUAAAUUCUUAAUGUCGUUUUUCCAUAGUAUAGGAUGAAAAAUUGCCAGGAUUCAUGCUUUAAUCUGAUCAAUGGUCCUCCAACGAGAACUGAAUCAGGACGAAUCGGCUCUCCAUUUUCUAAUUCGAACGAGCAAAGGAAGCCUGAAUCCGUGACCGUUAUCAAUACUCUGCUUCCAUUCUGAUUCUCAGGAAGUACUUCUUCAAGAUCAUCCAAUACAUCGUCACUCUCUUCACAGUAAUCAUCAAGCACAAUAAAGUACUUCUUGUUUGUUAGGUAAUCUCGAAGAAUAGAUUUCUUCAAUUGAUAAUCUUCACCGAUAACUACACUAACCCGAGAUGGAGGCAUCACAGACUUGAUUAUGUCAUCCAAUAUCAUGCGAAAAUCGUAGGCUAUAGAAACCCUGACCCAAGCAUGACAGUCAAAAUAGAACUUGACAUGAUUAUUGUUGUAAGUAUCAGCAGCAAAAGCAGUCUUAUCAAAGCCACUGCUGUCGAGAAUUGCAACCACUGAAAGCCGAGGUUGUCCCUCGAUCAGUAAAUCAAACAACUCCUCUCUGCCGCUUUCAAAUUCACUCUUAUCAAACUGAAAUUGUCCCUCAAUCAAUAAGUGAGUGAAUUCGUUCCUUCGCUCUUUGAAAUCAAAACCAUUUUCUCUAGGCGGAAUUUGUUGCAACCGAUUUCUAAUAUCAAUGAUUUUACUGUGGAUUCCGACAAGAAGAGCAAUGCAAGUAGUGCUUUCACUUUCACUGCAUUGCUGCUGCGUGAUGUUGAUGAAGAAUGUGUCAAUAGCUUUCUCUGAUUCAUCGACAAAGUAAUUGAUGUCUUUCAGAAGUUCCCAAAUGUCUGUUCUUUUAACAUUUUCUAAGUGCAAGAGUUGCCGAUAACGCGAAGGUAUUUCGUCUUCAUCGAAAUGUUCUCUAAUGAGUUGAAUCAAAACCCGAGCCAUGUCAGCUUCAUAGUUUACCUUCUUCACCUGCUAACACCCUUUUCAACCUCACACCAAAUAGUGUGAGGUUAAUUUCCAUAUCUUUCCCUCUGUCAGUAGUACUCAGAGGUACGUAUUGUUAUUUGUUAGUGUUGAUGACGAAAGCUGAAUAUCAAAGGAUAUAAAUCAAACAAAAGUUUUUGUAGAUUGAGAAUGGAUGGAUGCAAAGAAUGACUGAUGUUAAAUGAUUCUAUAAAUGAGAUAUGCAAAGAAUGAAUGAUAUUAAGUGAACAUCAAGGAUGGGAACAAAAUUUAAAGGUAAUUUUUUUUUUUAAGUACUCUGUUGAAAGCCAAAGUUCCUUUGGCCAGUUAAUUUAGAAGUGAAGGAAUGAAUAAAGUUAGUCCUCGACGUCUUUUGAAAUUAGAAAUACAUUUUGAAUGCUUUAAUAGAUGCAGAGCAAACUGGCUCGAUAUCUAACUAUUUUAAGAGCUAAAAUCAUUUAUUAGAAGUUGUAGCAUUAAAAAAAAGGGCUUGAUAUCCAAUUUUGUUAUUGAAUAUGUCUCACGUGAGAGUAUAUAACUGUUGUGUUACUGGCAGAUGGCUACGCUAGGUUUUAUUGCUCCCUGAAUUUGAUUGAAAAAUUAUUGAGACGGACAAGUUUGGACCGUCGUUCGAGACUGAAACUACAUAUCAGUCUUAGAAAAUUGUAAUUUUGUUGGCUUAUCAUGAUUUUCAUCGCCCCAUAUUGAUUUUCCUAUGAUGUCUCUGUAGAGUGGCUAUGCUUACAUUUUUAGGUAUUUACUUCUAAAGGUUAACUUAUUAGAUGGAGGGACCAAUUCUACCUAUAAAUCCAAGUGGCUUCCCUUUACUAACUCAUAUGAGACACAACAAUAAUUUUCUUUGGACAAAACCAUUGUUGGAAGGUUAUUUUCGUUCAACAUACAUGAGUUGUUCCACCGCUAUAUUUUGAGGGUUUGCUUUGGAUACGACUUGGGGGAGCUAAUGCUAAGAUUUCUAAGUAUCAACAUAAAAACCUUGCCUAUUAGGUGGAAGGACCAAUCCUACUUUAAAGUCUAAAUGACUAAUUCUUGAGGACACAACUCAACAGACCAAUAUAAAAUUUUGACGUCCCAUUUUAUUACUUUCCAGUGCUUUUACUUUUGCUGUCUAGAGCCCUACUAUUCUAUUAAGCAGAAAAUAUUUCAAGGCACUCUCGGUCUAGUAGAUAACUUUGGUAUUUAUUAUCUAUUGGGAAAAUGACACAGACACCCCCAACGUUUAGUAAAGGGACACAAAACUCCCUAAUGUUUGAAAAAAGACAUACAGACCCCCAUUUCAUGACGGAAACAGUUUCGUUAAAUCAGUCAAAGGUUAAUAUCGUAAUUGCACAUUAACAACAAAUGAAUUGACCAAAAACCCACACACGAACAAAACGCUUAACACACGCACUGACACUGCUCCUUCCAGAUCUUGACAAAAUCCUUAACGGACACACUCACACGGUUCGCCGGAAACUGCUGGAAUUGCUGGGGUUGCCGGAAGUCGCUGGAACUGCUGGGCCUGCCGGAAGUCGCUGGAACUGCUAGGGCUGCCGCAAGUCGCUGGAACUGCUAGGGCUGCCGCAAGUCGCUGGAUCUGCUCGCGCUGCCGCAAGCUGCUGGAUCUGCUCGCGCUGCCGCAAGCUGCUGGAUCUGCUCGCGCUGCCGCUGCGUUGAUCGAGACCGCAUCUGGCUGCUGCUCGUUCGUGUGGCUGCUGCUCGUGCGUGGUUGCUGCUCGUUCACGUGGUUGCUGCUCAUGCAUCUUCAAUCCACGGUUCACUUAUCUUAAACUAGCUUUUCCCUCUUUAAUUUUCUUUUUUUUUUACUAAAUUAACUUUAUUUCUUUUUAUUAUCAUUCAAAAUCCACCAGAAUUUUUGAGAAUUUUUGGACAAUUAAUUAAUUUUGGAGAAUUUUAGACAAUUAAUUUCACCGAAGAAGUGAGCUUACCAUGGGCAUAAUGCCAAAAAAGCUUGUACUGGUUUAUUGGAGAUUUAUUGUGCUUAAUUUAUCAAUGAAAAGCUUGUACUGGUUUGCAUAUGGUAACAAAUAAAAGCAGGCAAUACUACAACGACGUCCCAACAAGCUAUGAGAGGAAGUUCACAAGCUAGGAGCCAGAGUUGUCAUACAAAUUUGUGAAUAAAUAAUGUUUUUUUCUCAAAAAAAUAUUAUGGUUAUUGUUGUAAUGAUUACCAGUAUCAAUUUGAUACAAUAUUAUGAUAUAAGGAUUAUUUGUUAUGUUUAUUGGUGGUUUUUUAUGUCUAUUUGAUAUGUUAUUUAGUACAAUUAAGAUGUUGUUAACCAGUUUUUUUUUUAAAUUUUUUUUAUUAUACUGGUUUAAAUGAUUGACAUAUGAAGAAUUGUUAUUUUUAUAGUAUUAAUAAUUAAUUUUAUUUAUUUUUAUUCUUGAAUAAUGGAUUAAAAUUAUUUAGCUUGUAGAGAAUUUGAUAAAAAAUUAUUAAUGAUUUUAUUAUAAAAAAUUUAAUAGAGAAAUUGGAUAAUGAUGGUAUAUUCGUAAUUUUAUUAAUAAUAUAUGGGUAAAAUAGACAUUGAACAAUUUUUUUUUAAUGCUAAAAGGAUAUAACGGUAAUUACAUGUUAAAAUUAUAAUUUCCGUUACUAACGGUUUUCGUUAAGAAAUUGAGGUCUGUAUGUCUUUUUUCAAACAUUAGGGAGUUUUGUGUUCCUUUACUAAACGUUGGGGAUGUCUGUGUCCUUUUCCCUUAUCUAUUUUCGUUCCGUUUUAUGUAUACCCCGAUCUUUACCUCUGAUUGGUUGUAGAUUCUUUUGUUGCUUUGGGGUUAGGGGAUGGUUUUCAUAACUAUUAAGUUAAUCAAUGCAGAAAAUCUCCAUCAACAAAUGAUAAAGGAUUGUUAGUUCUGUCUGACAAACAACAUUAAUAUGAAGGAUGAUGAUUGUUCUGUUCAAGAGUUUAUAAUGACAUAAUUCUACUUUGGUCUUUUAAAAAAAGUAAGUUAGAAACGAGGAGUAUGUGAGUGAUGAUUUUUACAAAAUAAAUUGCAUGCAUGGUGAUGAUUUUGACACAUGAAAAUGAAAAAAGAAAUAUAAAUUGUGAAUAAUAAUUGAAGUACCUGCUAUUGUUAUAUUGAGUAAUCAAGGACUUCAAUAUUCGGACGAUAUAAGCAACACAAUCAAAUAUUAGUUGGAAGGCAUAGCAAAAUUAGAAUGUAGAACAAACUGGGUAUUGAUAAAUGGAUGGUUUUGGAAGAAUUGAAAAUGAUGGCAUAAGUAAACCAGAGUUAAAAGAAAAGAGAAAGAGCAUUUGAACUUUACUUGUAAGUAAAGGCAAAUUUCUUGGUUCAAGAAAAGAUAAGAGAUAUCAAACUAGCAAUAGGAAAAAGGAGGAAGGUUAAGACAGCAUCUCAACAAAAGCUAAAGAAAAGAAAAACUUAGUUCAAGCAAAGAACAAUGUGCUAAUGUCUGUGUAAUCUUGUUUAAUUUCUUUUUCUUCUCACAUUUUCCAGGGCUUAAAUAAUACAAUAUACAUUUUCAAGCAAAGAACAAUAUGCAAUUGCAGUACUUCUGAGCACACAACAACAAAUAAAUAAUACAAUAUACAUACCCACUAAAUUAAAAAAAAAUAUUAUUCAAGUUUGUGGACAAUACUGUAGCCAUGACGUCGUCGAAAUCUGCUGACAGCUGAAACAAAGAAAGAAUGGAUGAAUGCUGGAUCACAGUUGAAAUUGAAGGUCUGGUAGGUGAUGUUUCCCUCUCUGAUUUUACCUAAACAAAUACAAGAAAAUAAGAAUCACAAAUGAAAAUCUGCUAUUACACUGUUCUUACUUAUUAAAAUACAGAGGUUUCUUUGUUUCUCUGCAGCAAUGUCCAUGGCUAUUAGAAACAAGAACAAUUAGACCAGCAUUUGCAAGAGUCCUUUAAGGUAUUACUGCAGAUAUAAAUCAAGACUGAGGAAAUGGAAAAAUUGAAUACCAAAUUAGGCAAGUUAACUGAAGAUUGAGUUAUCAUAGAAGAAUAAAACUCAUCCAAUUCAAUCCAUCAAAUUCCAUAAGGAUACAACUGGAUGUCAUACUGCUGCUCCAUUUCCUCAAAAGCCCGUAGAUUUUGCCUCAACACUGGCUGAGGCCAAUGUAACUCCAAUUUGCAAAAGCUCUUUAUGCACCAUAGCUCUUCAGGAAGCUUUCUCAAGUAAGCACAAGGGUUGCCAAUUAAGCUUCCAAGUUUUGGCAUUGCUCCAGCCCCUAUCAUCCAAUCCUCUAGCCAAUACAUUGAUUUCAGGUGCAAUACCUUGAGCUCCGGGAAACCACAAGAGCAAACACAAGACAGUUUUCUUCCUGAAUAUGAGUUCUGCCUCAAUUUCAGCACUUGAAGGUGUGGAAGCUUGUCUAGUGUUAGCAUGGUAUCCUCCAAUAACUCAGUAUUUGAUAAGCUUAGAUGGAUCAGACUUGGAGAAGCUGGUAUUUAGACAGGGCCAUACGUGAGAACUACCACCUCUUGGUUUCGUUCACCAGCUUCAAGCAUUCAAGUUUGUGUAGUUCGCAUAGGCUUUUGGAAACCCCAGAACAAUCAUAAUUCAAAUCUCCAGAUACUACGAGUUUGAAGAUUAGGUAGUCUGCCUGUUAAAGUAGCUCACUAUGCCGAACAAAAGAAGGAGAAAGCUAAAGUGAAGAAAAUACAGAGCAAGAGUAUUAGCUGUGCCAGUUCAACUGAUAGCUCAGCAAAAUCAGUUAAAUUUUGUUACAAGCCCACUGUGCAUUGUGCUGAAGAUUAGUUAGUUUAAUAAUGAUUAGUUUUAGAUUAGUUAAAAUGUAAUCAUGAUUAAGAUAUAUAUAUAUAUAUAGCUGCUGUACUGAUAUCAUGGAUUAAGUUGUUGAGAAAUAAAAUUCAUUAAGCAUUUCCAGAACAGUUGAUUUUCUUUCUCAGUAGCCAAACAACUUCAAUCUCGUUUUUUUUCAACAAUGAGUUCUCAAACCACUCAAGUAUCAUUUUCAGAGAUUCUUGGCCUUAUACUCACCAUCAAAAUGGAUUGGUUGAGAGAAAACAUAGGCAUAUUGUUGAAUUAGGUUUGACUCUGUUGGCUCAAGCUCAACUUCCUUUUAAAUUCUGGUGGGAUGCAUUCCAUACUGCUCUAUAUCACAUCAAUAGAUUACCAUCUUCUGUUUUCAAACUUUUGACCCCAUAUGAGAAGAUAUUCAAGCACAAACCUGAUUAUGAUUUUCUCAAAUGUUUUGGUUGUAUUUGUUAUCCUUACUUGAGAGACUAUAACAAAAAUAAGUUUGCCUAUCAUUCCAGAACGUGUAUAUUCAUUGGUUAUAGUCCUUCACAAAAGGGUUAUAAAUGCUUACAUUCUUCAGGUCAAGUCUAUGUGGCAAGACAUGUUAUCUUUGAUGAGUCAACCUUUCCUUAUGCUACUGAAUCUGUUUUUCAUAGUCACACAAAUUCUGAUUCUCAUUCUUCAAAUUUAUUUCUCCACAGCAUGUCUAUUAUCUUUCUACUUUACCUGUCAUACCAGUAUUUCUAAAUAACAACACUGACAAUCUAAACUCUACAAAACUAAAAUGCCAGCUUUUUGGUGUUAGCGAUAAGAAACAACUUACCACAACCAUUAAUUAUCCAUAAUUUCAUUGUUUAUCCUCAGUUUUCUUCAUAAAUGUUACAGCGUUCUUCACAACAAAGUGCAAGGGCAUCUCAAAAGUUCUAAAAUAAUACCUCAAUUCUAUUGCAAAAAUAAAUAAUCUCAAACAAGAACCAAUAAUCAUAUGAAUAAACAAUUAAAGAUAGAGAAAAAAGGCUUAAACCUUGGGGAAAAAAAGUGAAAAAACAUGAAAGACAAAUUACACAUGUGCAGUAACCAUCGAACUUAUCAAUGACAGCUGCAUCCAUUACAUUGCUCCAACAACACAAUGGCAAACCACCAGUUUCAAAUUGAGGAUAGCUAUCGAGAAUGAGAAAGUGUCCAAAACGUCAUCAAUAGACAUGUUCCUAUUGUGCAUAAUUUACAUUAUAGGCAAAUAUUCUUAUACCAUCAAAGGCAAAACAUGACACUAACAAUUGAUCCCCCCCCCCCCCCCCCGUCCCCCCAACAACAAAAAAAAAAGGAAAAAACAACACAGAAAAGAUUGAAACAGAUAAGGCUACACUGAGCACAGGAUGCCAUGAAACAUAAUCCAGGAACCAAAUUAAUAAAAAAGGAAGCCAAACCAUUAUUUAACAAUCUGUUUUGUAUUUGGGAAAGUCUGAUAAAAUCUACUUAGGGAUAAUUAGAGAACCUCAACUAUUAAUCACACCUCAUAAAUGAACUAACAUUAACCAUCCCCACAUCACACAAACAUUCUAACCUAAUACUUCCAUCUUCAAUUGGGGGUUUUUUUUCUUUUUUUUUUGUUGGGGGGGGGAGCUUGCUUAGCUUCUGUGUGGGAUUGAAAUGCUGAUUUCGAAUCACUAACAGUAAAAUUGGAAUCUCAUGAAAAAACAGUUUUAUCUUAAAAUUACAUCUCGAUAUAAAUUCUCUUUUCAUUUCCUUCAACUUUCUAAUUAAGCUUAAAAAAUGUACCUUCAACCACAAAGGGGUUUAAAAUUUAAAAUAUAAAAAAUAAAUUCAGAUAACAAUAAUUAAUUUAAUUAAAAAUAUAAAUAGAGUUACAGAGAAAGAGAAAAUAGAGAAAGACCUAAUGUUGAGUCCUUUGGCGCAAGUCUCUUCAUAGGUCCGAACCAUUUCUUCGGGCGUGGGUUUCGGGUCUUUAGGAAACUCCAUAGUGAUAAGCCAGUGAUUGUAAUCGCAACCCUCGAACAGAAUCCUGUCGGGUGUGAUCUCGUCGCCGUCCUUAUACAAGUGGUACGUCUUGUUACCCGACGGCGUAGACGAGAGGGAGAUCGUCGGGGACGAUCUGAACGGCCGACGCCGAUGAAAUGGAAGGGUUUACCAGAGGAGUGGAUGCGAAGAGUGCAGGGACGGCCGCAGAGAGAGGGCGGCGGAGAGCGGCGACGGACGGUAGUGACCAGCGGAGGCGGAAGAUGGCGAUAUGGGCCAUUGCUUGCGCGUCAGUGAGUGUCUCGAGUGAGAGAGUGAAGGGUUUUGUUUAGGGUUUUGGGAAAUGAAAAAUGCAAAUGUUUGAUUUUGUUGCUAGAAACUUCUUCUGCCGCUGCCUUUUAUUUUCGCUAUAAUAAUAAUAAUUUAUUAAUCAAAUAUUUUCUUAAAAAAGAUAAAUUUCUACAACAAAAUUUAUAUUAAAUCAAAUUGUAAAAAUGUCUAUUAGGGUUAAUUUCUCCUUAAUAUUAUUAUUAGUAGAAGUAGAUUUUCGAAUUAGUCUUGAUAUAUUUCAGAGUUGUAUUAUAAAUGUAUAUGUAUCUGGAUUGCAAUUAUAUUUUUAAAAAAUAUAAUUUUUUUAAUUAUUGCACAAUAAAUGUAGAAAGUAUCUAUAAAAUAAUAUUAUUAGGACUACGAAAAAAAUAUUAUUUUAGAGAAGUUAUUUAUUUAUUAUUGAAUGAAUAAUUUAUUGGUAAAUGAAUAUUUAUUAAUUUAAAGAGAGAUUUUUUUUUUUUGGUUUGAAGAAGAGUUUUGUUGGUACAUAUACAUACUUAUAAAGAAACACAAAAAGUAGUUCCUCAAGUCAAUUGUAUUUGCUUUAAUUCAUAAUAAUAUAUCUUAAUCAAGAAACUUGUAAUUAUACUAUAUCUUUGUUUCUUUGUUCAGUUUGGUGGGACAUUGUGAUAAAUCAUUGGAUUAAAAUGCAUUUCUAAAUGAAAACUAGUUAAAACCUAAUUUAUUUGGGAACCACAUUUUAUUUGUCAGUCGUAUUUCUCAACUUAGCAAGUUAUUUCUAACUUAUCGGUCUCUAUUGAUUCUCUUAAGUGCCUGUUUGGUAUGACUUAUUUAAUGGCAAUAAGUGCUUAUUUAAUCUCAUAAGCUAUUAUCAUAAUUUUUGUUGUUGUUUGGUUGUUUUUCUAAUAAAGUUUUUGAAGCUUAAAUAAGUAAUUUUACCUCUACUAGCAAAAGCUCAAAUUUUGAGUUUUUUAGGAGUAGAGAUUGAAAAACUUUUUUAAAUGUCAACAUAUCUAUAAUAUCCUCUACUUAUUUAACAAUCUUAUUUAUUGUUUUCAUAAUAUAACUUUAAAAAACUUGUCUAUUAAAGUAAUUUCAUAAUUUUUUAAUAAAAGCUCUUAUUGACAACCAAACAAUUAAACUUUUUUUUAACAAAACCUCUACUUAAAUAAGUUCUACUUGAAAAACCGUACCAAAUAGAGCUUAAAGUUAAUAGUCUCGUAUCUCCCGCAUUUGAUAUCUUAUUGGCAUCAGCGUGUUACCUAAGAUUGGGAUUCAUUAAAAUCCUCAAUGUAAUCGGUGGAACUAAUGGAUUUCUUCUGUUCACCAAUCCACCAAAUUUUUUGUAAUUAAAUUCAAAAGUCAAGAUCUAUGCUUAUAAUCUAUUCAAUAGCUAAUAUUCUAUUUUAUAUUUACUUAAAUAUGAAGAGCUAUGCUUGUAAUUAACUUCAAAUGUGAUCGAAGCAGUAGGGAUGGCAAUGGGGAGGGGAGGGGAGGGGACCAAUCUCCCCAUACCCAUCCCCGAUAUUUUGCGUAUGUCCCUGUCCCCUCCCCGUCCCCGUCAGAAUUGCUUGAGAGAAUCCUCAUCCCCUCCCCGAAUAAUAACAGGGGAUCCCCGAGGGUCCCCGGUCCCCGAAUAAUUAAUAGUCUAAUACAUUUUUUUAUUUUCGAUUUUAAAUUAAUCAUAUUAAAAUAAAAAAUUCAGAUAAAAAUAAAGUUUAAAAUAUAUCUUACAUUAAUAUUGAUCCAUUACAAAGUCACAUUCAAAAUAUAAAUUAUUAAAAUAAUUAUCUUUAUCAAUGUCUCAAUCUUCAUAAUCCUACAAUAAAAAGAAAAAAAUUAUUUUUUAUAUCGGCAAUAAAAUAAAUGAAAUAAAUGUAGAUACUUAAUUAAUAUUUUUAAUAAAACUAUUUACCUCCUGCUAGUCAUGCUCGUCCUGUUCUUCCUCGAGAAAUGUGACAAAUUGAGAGAUAGCCUCAGAUUUCAAACCUAAAACAAUGAAAAUGAUAUAAGUAACGUAACUUAUAAGUGCAAAUAUUAAUAACUGUAUAAUAUAAUUACAAUGUAAAAUAAACUCAUACUGCUAUUGUAAGCUCGUAACCAACUUUAACAGCACAUUAAGGCCUCCAAUGUGCUUGGAUGAAGUUUGUUACGGUGUGGGCUCACAACUCUACCGCCGGUGCUAAAAGCUGAUUCAGAAGCAACUGUUGUAAUUGGAAUUGCCAAAAUAUCUCUAGCAAUUCGAGCUAAUGUAGGAUACCUAUUAGCAUUUGUCUUCCACCAACUCAAAAUAUUAAAAUCUUCCAUCCGGGGUAUAACUUUUUCAUCCAAAUAUGAAUCUAAUUCAUUUGCAACAAUUGCACAAUCUCCAUUGUUUACAUAAUCAUCAAAACCUGUCAUUCAUUUGGUUGCUUUCUUAUAAGAAUCCCCUGUAGAUCUAAUAGAAGAACUACUACCAGUAUAAUCAAAGCAAUAAACAGUUGGUGAAAACUUCAAUUGAUACUCUUCCACUAAUUCUCGGCAAAGGGUGACGACUUUCCCAACAUACAACUCUUUAACACCACCAUAAACCAUAGAAAAGUAAUAUUCAAUGAACUUCUUUUUAUACCUUGGAUCAAAGAUACAUGCCACACCCAAAAUUCCACUCAUAUCUUGCCAAUAUUUAUAAUUUUGUUAUUUAUUUAUUAGUAAUUUUAAAAAUAAAAAUAAAAUUAAAAUGGGGAAAUGGGUAGGGGAUGGGGAUUCCACCUCAUCCCCGUCCCCUCCCUGAAUAAAAAAUUGGGUAAAAAAUUUUCCCCGUCCCCUCCCCGAAUAAAAAUUUGGGUAUAAAAUUAUCCCCGUACCCUCCCCGAAUGGGGAAAAUCCCCGAGGGUACCCGUCCCCGUGGGGAUUUUUGCCAUCCCUACGAAGCAGCCUUGCAUCUGUAUAUUACUUAUUUACUCCCAACCUUUUUUUUGACUUCAUAUACUUUCUUUUCAUGUUAUUUACUCUUUUUUUUUCCCUCUCUGACAAUUGAGGUAGGGGGUCAAACUUGAAAGUAUCUUAAAAUCAGACAACAAUUUAACUAAUUUUUUUUUUUUAGAUAACUGCUAAUAUGCUCUAUUAGACAAUGAUAAGUGAUAACCUAGGUGUUUGCAUUAAAAACGAUAUUUUUUGUGGUGUUGAUAAAGAGGUUAAUUAUGAUUCAACAAUUUAAAAUAUGAAAACAUAUAGAAGACGGCCGCAAUUAAAUUGAUUGUAUGAAAAUAUUUCAAUGAAAUUUUAAAAAUUUAGUACUUGUUAUCUUAUCGAGAGUUUUUUAAAUUAUAUUACUACUUGAACUUGACUGCUUUUGUAUUGAAUUCCUAGCGUUGACAUUGCUUCUACUCAAAAGCCAUUUAAGUUUGUGUUAGAGUGCAAUUUAUGCACUAGUUUUGCAUUGUUUACUUCCCUUAAUAUCGAUGUUUUGCACUUAAUAAUAAUGAUUUACUUGUGUUUUACUUUUGUAGGUGCAAUUCUAUUGAUUUGUGAUAAAAUUGAGCUAUAAGAUGAUGUUUAAAGAUGAUUGUUCUCUUGGAGAAAUUAUGAGCGUCAGAAGAACUUUGUUGAUAAGGCGUGGGCGCGUGCUGUCAACUGCGGACCUGCAGUUUUUAGUUUAACGUGUUUUGUAUUUUUGGUUAUUUUUGUAAUUACGAAUUUAAUAUUUCAGAUAUUAGUAUUUUAUUUUAAAUAGAAUUCUAAAGGAGAAGAGAGAGAGAGUAUUUAAGAGAGGAAUCUAUUGUGAAAAAAAGGGGAUUGGAGAAAAGAAAGAAACCCUAGAUCUAAACUUUUCUCUUCUCUCUAUGAAGAACUAAACAUAUUUUUCUGGUUGAAGGUUAAUGCAGCUUUGAUUCAUCACUACUGUGAGAUCUUUCUUGUGCUUUAAUUGUUUUAUUGCUUUUUGGGUAUUUGUUUAUUCUCUGAAUUAUUUUCAUGAUUAUAUUUGUUAAUUAGGUAAUUGGCCACUAUUUAAUUAUCAACUUAAUCUAUUGUCAAUUAAAGGAUUCAUAGUAUGAAGAAUUUAAUGUUUGUGACAAAUAACAUAGCAGAUAGUUGUGUUGUGAGAAUAAACAAUCUAAUUUAAAUGAAUCAUCAUAUGUGUUGAUUAGGAUUUGGGUCUCUAUAGUUUUUCAGGCUGUCAAUUGAUUAAAUCCUAUGAUCGUAUCUAGGGUUGUCUAUUGAUUAGGGAAAUAACCAACGGUCGUACCUUGGUUAUCGACUAGUUAAGGAGAGAUUGGCUAUUAGAGGGUCUCAGUAGCUAUAACCGGUCUAUUCAUAAGUAAUAAUAAUCUAUAUUUGAAUCAAUGAUCAGUAGUCGAAUCAAGCUGAGUUAAUUCCUUCAACCAUAGCUUUCUCUAAUUUGAAUUACAACUUUAAUUUGUAUUCUUGUUAUUUUAAUUUGAUUUUUAUUAUUGUCAACAAUUCUCCCAUUUUACGUUUUACGUUUCAAAAGGAUUUAAAUAAUUACCGAUCUCUGUGGACACGACCCUACUCAAUCACUAUACACAAUUUAUUUAGAGUAGGAAUUUAUUUUUGUUGGCUUCGACAACCAUCAGUUUGUGUAAGCUACGUAUAGUUUGAACAACAAUUUAUUCAUGAAUUGUUGCUCAUAAUAGCAAUUUGAUUGAAAGUGCGGCUGCACUAAUUUUCUAGAUGAAUUUUUUCCUACAUGCUUGUUCUCGUAUGACCCAAAAUCCUGCUACAUCAGUUGUAUUAGAAAUUUUUUCCUACAUAAUUAUGCAUCCCCACCAAUAUUUAAGCAAUUUACAGAAACAUUUCUUGAGGAAAGAAACUCAUAUCGCCACUAGGCUUUUAAUGAGGCUCAUUUUUAUGAAUCUGGAUGGCAUUAGAUAUCUCUCCGAAUAUUGGUGGGAGUAGAUCGCAGAUCUCUGGGCUAUACUACAAAGUGUAUGUACGUUGACUCUCAAUAAAUACAAACGAUUCUCUGAUAUGAUUCAAAACAUGCAUAAUUUUAACGAGAAAGAAUAUUCUAAGUGUUGAAAAGUCAAAUAGUUGGCUUACCAAUUUCAAAAAAAGCAAAGUUAGGUUUUGAAAGCAUGCAAAUUGAAUACAUGGCAUGGGACAACUAGCAUGCAUUGCAUUUGUGAAUUUGGCCAAUCAAAGUCAAAUUGAAACCGGGUGGUAGGUGAGCAUGCUUUGCCUAUAAAUAGAGACGCAAAAUGCAUUUGUAAAUGCAUCCCAAUUUGAGAGAAGUAGAGAGCAAUUGCAAGUGAGUUCUUUAAGAGAAUUUGAGAGAGCUUCCACUUGAGUGUUCUAGUGAGGUUCCAUUUGGGUGUAUUGGGGUUGUGGGUUUUGUGAGUUUUUUCCACUUUUGUAAAUUUCCAUUGUUAGUAAAAUUAUCUUUUAGUCUUUGCCUGUGGAUGUAGGCAUUACGCCGAACCACGUAAAUCAUUGUGUUAUAUUUUCUUUGCAUUUGUUUAACACCACAUUUAUAUUUCUCCAGAAGUUGCAGUAUUAGUAAUUACUCAACCCGCGUUUCCGCAACACUAAGAACGAAAUUGAACGUGCAAUCAGCAACUAAAAUGAAGCCAGAAAUGUACAUGCAUGAGGAAUUUUUCCUAGAAGAUUGAUAUUUCUUUGACUAGCAAACCAUACAAGUCCAAAGCUAGCCAAACCAUACCUGCAAGUCGGGGGUUUAAAUGGAAUGCUUCUAAGCAUAAAACAUUGAUUAAAAUAGAAUACACACAUACAUACCAACAAAUUCAAAAUAGCAAAAGGAGUGCAAAAGUUCAAGUUUGUAGACAAUAUUGCACCCAUGGGAUAUUAAAGCAAAUCCUUGAAAUCAGCUACACAAAACGAUGCCCGGUCUCAUGAAUCGAUGCUCAAUUAAAAUUGCAAUUGAAAGUCCGGCUGGUGUUGUUUCCCUCUCCAGUUUUGCCUACAUAAGUAAACGGAAAUAAGAAUCACAAAUGAAAAUUUGCUUUGACAGUUCUUAUUAGAGAGAUAUAAAGGGAUCUUUCUUUGUUUCUCUGCUGUAAUUUGUGGCUAUCCCACUCUGUUUUGCCAGUCAAGCUAAGUCUACGUUGAGGCAUAAUUUUGACAUCAGAAGCAACCUCAAUUAGUUUGGCAUUUUUAUGACCUCCUUGAAGGUUUUAUGAUAAACAUAAAUCCACUGAGAAAGUGGGAAAAAGAGAAAAUGCAUAUAAAAGUAUGAGUUAUCAGAUAAGAUUAAAACUCACCCAAUUCAAUCCAUCAGAUUCCAUAAGGAUAUAACUGGAUGUCAUACCGCCACUCCAUAUCCUCAAAAGUCCGUAGUCUUUGUCUCAACUCUGUCUGAGGCCAAUGUAAAUCCAAUUUGCGCAAGCUCUUUAUGCACCACAGCUCUUCUGGAAGCUUUCUCAAGUAAGCACAUGGGUUGACAGUUAAGCUUUCAAGUUUUGGCAUUGCUCCAGCCCCCAUCGUCCACUCAUCUAGCCAAUACAUUGAUUUCAGGUGCAAAACCUUAAGCUCCGGAAAGCCACCAGAGCCAACACAGGACAACUUUCUUCCUAAAUACGAGUUUUGCUUCAGUUUAAGUACUUGAAGGCAUGGAAGCUUUUCUAGCGUUGGCAUGGGGUCCUCCAUUAGCUCAGUAUUUGAUAAGCUCAGAUGGGUCAGACUUGGAGGAAACUGGUAUUCAUACAGGACCAUUCGUGAGGGCUUCCUUUCAUUCACCAGCUUCAAGCAUUCAAGUUUGUGGAGUUCGCAUAGGCUUUUGGAAACCCCUGAAUGAUAGCAACUCAAAUCUCCAGAUAUCCGAAGAGUUUGAACAUUAGGUAGUCUGCCCAAUAUAUCAGGAGUACAACUACUGGGGUUUAAAGUUGAUAUGAAAAUGAGAUUUUUCAGGGAGCUAGAAUAAUUUUUUGGAGGUGCGGGCAGAGUGAUAGAACCAAAGUUUAGAUGCAUGAGUUUUUGCAUCAUCCAAAUAUCCUCCGGCGACUGAUCUACGUAGCUAGAUGGCAUUUCUAGUGUUUGAAGGUUUAAAAGAGUGCAUAGCAGCGAAGGAAGGCAUUUGAGCGAAGGGAUAUUCAAUUUCAAAUACUUCAAAUGGAAUAAAUUUUCUAAUCCGGGUGGAAAUUGGACGAGAACUGCAGAACCCAAGUUCAGUAUCCGAAGGUGUUUGAACUUUUCACAAAAAUUCUAGCAAUCUAUCAGAGCGAGA
rnacentral:lncRNA from 1 species